GAAUUCAUAGAGCAAGAUAGUUCUAGGGGCUGUAACAAGAGAUGAGGACUACACAAAUUCUACUCUUGGGCCUUGCCCUCAUCCUUCUAUCCUCGGGUAUCUUCAAGACCUAUACAUCUUAUCUGCGUGUUCUGUUAGGCCCUCUAACACAUGUCACUAUUUUCAUUCCUAACGGUCUUCCUCUAUUCUCUCUUGAUAUUUAUCUAUAGGCAUGGAAACCAUUGAGGCGCGUGGAGCCUGCUGCCCUCAGAUCGAAAAGGGGAAGUGUAACAACAAUGAUUGUGCGACUUAUUGCAAGAUGGUGAAUGGCUGGGAGUGGGGUUGCGUCCCUGAGGGAUGCAGGUGUGUAUCAUGCUGGAAAGAUCCACAAUGCUCAGGGCUAGAAGUACGACGACCACCACCAAGACCCUUGAUGUAACAUUUUCUUUCAUGUUUGUUCUAUCAAUAUACAAAAAAUAAUAUGAGUCCCGUGUAGACAAGUAAUACGUGUCAACUGUCAAGGUCUAUGUGACCAAAGAGAAAUAGUAAGAUGUAUGUCGAGAGUUUCUUGGUCAUUGGAUGCUUUCUUCUAGCAACUCAAUCUUGCUGAGCAACAUCAGUCCUCUCUAUACUGUUACCAAAUUGAUUCACACCUAAGGAUUUGUACAGGUGAACCACCUAAGAUAUGCCCAGUUUCCCACAUCUUAGGCGAGUCAAUGAAUUAGGUUUUCUUGGAUGGUCCUCUGCAAAAUAUUGUCCUAAGAAGUGAAAAUGCAUGUGAUGAUUCUCUAGACUCGCAAGAUAAGCCACUUAUUACGGCAUAUGUUGAUUAUUGUUUGUCAAAUGAUCUUCCAUCUCAGUAGGUUUUAAGUGGAACUGCUUGUAGCUACUCAAAAUUGUUCCACCGCCUUUUGUCUCAUAUGGUCAUUUAUUUGCUCUGCCAAUAGUUUGCCUUUCAUCAAUGGUGGUUUGAUUCAACAGCCUCAAGAUAUGGCUAAUCACCUUACAGUGACUUGCACGAUUACCUCCAUAGACGAUAAACAUGUCUACAUUUGAUUUAAACUGAACACUCGGCAGAGGUUUUUAGUCUAUAUGGUUUCUUAUAAUGAUGGUAACAUAUGCCAGUUACACUGCAAGAAAAGUGCAUAUCUAUGACAAAAGGGAUCUACGAAAAAGAUAAAAGUGUUAUAUAGAAGUGACCACAUACGUAUAUGUAUAUGUAUAUAGCAGUUAAUAAAUUUUAAAAGAGGUAAUCUGCAUAAUUGCGAAGAAUGAAAAAAAGAGCUACGCACACAUGCUGAUUUCGUUUGUGUGCGUGUGUAUGUCAGGACCUGCAUAAAUCUCAAAUCAGAAUCAGAUUCGGUCUUUGAUGGCUACAGAUGAUUAAUCACUAGAUGCAAUUAGACAAAACCUGCUGAGAUCGGUCGCGCCUACGCGCAUACGGAAUCUGAUGUCCGCAUGAUGAUGCAUGUGAAGGCUUGCCGGAUUAGUUUCAGUUCAGCCUUUCAGGACCGCGUCCUCUCUCAGCGCGUCAGCCAGCCAAACAUUUUCGACGACCAAACUAAUCUUGCCUUAAUAGCUAAUCUAAGAUGAUAUACCAGUCACAUUACUAUCACAGAAUCACCAGGAGCCGGGCAGUCGGCUACGUCAGGUACUGCCCUAUGCAUGCCAUCUACUAGUAGAAGCGUCUCCUCGAAAGAUGGACGGCGAGCGAACUUGCUACGCAUCUCCUCGACGCCGUACCCCGAUUCCUGGCUUUUGCUUGGAAGAAACCAGGUAGAUGUUGGGAAAUAACCCACGGCGGGCAUGUCCAGUGCGUGUGUGUGCGCGUGCGCUGGGCGUGUUGGCUGCUGGUCGGAGCCGCGCCGAGUCUGUGGCCGUGCGUGCAUCAGGGUUAAAAAUUUCAACAAAGUUUCAGUUGAAUUUCUGAAAUUUCGCAUAUUUUGAUGGGGUCUGAAAUAUUUUUACCCCGAAAAUUUGAUGCAUAUUCAAAUCGAUUUCAAACUAAAUUAAAUUAUGUUAAAACUUUUUAAAAUGAAGUGAAAUUUGGAAUCUCAAGAUCUGAAAUAAUUUCCGAAAUAUGCAAAAUUUCCGAAAUUUCACAUAUUUUGGUGAGGUCCGAAAUUAUUUUGUUUACGACCCCAUGUACCCCCCUGAAACUAACCACUUGAAUUGCUCAGGAUUUGUUAGGUCGAGUGCAUUUUCUUCCAAAUCCAGUCAAUUUCAAUAAAAGUAUCGAAAAAUCCUGGGGUUAGGCACCUUUUUUCAAUGAAAUCUUGUUUUUUCCCGCAUUAAUUAGUUUAAUUUAAAACCUUGGCAUGCAUGUGUGUGUCUGGGCAUAGUCUGAUUAGUGUAUGGGCAUAGUCCGACAAAUGUAUGGGCGGUGUGUGUGCGUGUGUCUGUAGCAUGGGUUGUGCGUGUGUGUGUGUGUACAUCACGUGUGUGUGUGUGUGUAGGACUAGGUCUAGGCAGGUAGUGGAUCCCGGGCCAAGGGUGGAGAUCAUUGCGGGCUCGCCGCGAGCCACGUGUACGUGCACGUGGUGGCCACGGCCAAAGCGAGCUGAUCGGGCGCCCAACUUGGUAGGAGGCGUGGGGAUCGUGUCCCAGCGCCGGCCUAGGUAUAAAACCCCCCUGUGAUGAUCAUUGUAAUUGUCGUGCCGACAAAGUUCGUGCUCUGGGAUAGAAACAGGGUUGUUGUUUGUGCGGUGGGCAUUCGUGCGCCAGAAAAAAACACCACGUCCUCUCCUUCUUCCUUUUUCUUCUUGUGUAUGUGCCAAAGAGAGUGGUGACAGAGAGAGAGAGAGAGAGAGCUAGGACUAGAGACUAAUAGUAGACCAACUAGCUAGCUCUACCGCAUGAUCGUUGGAACUUUCAUGCUAGAAUUUGUCUGCGCUAGGUUGAAUUAGGUGAUCAAGGCCUCUGAUUUUGUGAUUUCCCCUUCUCUCUGGUCGCAGCGCUGGCGUGUGUCGGACGAAGAAAAAUCUGCUCUUAUGUUGCCUUUGUCUGUUGAAAAAAUUGAGACGGUUGUUGAAAGGAUCGAUAUGGUUGACUAGAGGGGGGAUGAAUAGGUAACUAUCGAUAUUUUAGGUUUUCUUAACAAAUUAGGUUUAGCAAAAAAUAGAUUGUCUAGAUGUGCAACUAGAUGAGCAACCUAUAUGAUUCUAGCAACAAUCACAACACAAGCAAGAAAAGAAUAUAACACAAAUAUUGCUUGUACAAAGUAAAGGUAAGAAGUAACCACAAGUGGAGCCGGUGGAGACGUGGAUUUGUUACCAAAGUUCCUUCCUUUGAGAGGAAGUAUGUCUCCGUUAGAGCGGUGUGGAGGCACAAUGCUUCCUAAAAGCCAUUAGGGCCAUCGUAUUGUCCUCACACCCUCGCACAAUGAAAGAUGCCGUGAUUCCACUAGUUGUGUCCUUGAAGGCGGCAACCAGGCCUUUACAAACAAGGUUGGAACUAUCUUCACAACCGAAUUGAAGGCUCCCAACACCACCACGAAGCAUCACCAUAACGGAAUAUGGCACCAAGGCGACAUCAACCGUCUAGGAUGCUCAAACACCCAAGAGUAACAAGANNNNNNNNNNNNNNNNNNNNNNNNNNNNNNNNNNNNNNNNNNNNNNNNNNNNNNNNNNNNNNNNNNNNNNNNNNNNNNNNNNNNNNNNNNNNNNNNNNNNNNNNNNNNNNNNNNNNNNNNNNNNNNNNNNNNNNNNNNNNNNNNNNNNNNNNNNNNNNNNNNNNNNNNNNNNNNNNNNNNNNNNNNNNNNNNNNNNNNNNNNNNNNNNNNNNNNNNNNNNNNNNNNNNNNNNNNNNNNNNNNNNNNNNNNNNNNNNNNNNNNNNNNNNNNNNNNNNNNNNNNNNNNNNNNNNNNNNNNNNNNNNNNNNNNNNNNNNNNNNNNNNNNNNNNNNNNNNGGAAGUGUAGAUCCAUAAGGAAUAAGUUUGAUUGGUUAUAAAGAGAGAUCGGGCGAAAAUGAGUUCAUGAGCAACAAUAGAGAGGAAGAGGUGAGUCAACUUCGAGAAGAUGACUCCUUUUUAUAAUGGGCGAGCGGUACUUCUGUUGGCAUGAAAGUUUCAGCAGCUACAUACAACUGGACAUGUCAGGGAGACGGUACUGCCACUGGAGCGAUACUACCGCUCCCACUAACGGUACUACCGCUUAGUGUUGAUCAGCCAGUUAAAACAGCGGUAGUAAAAGAGGGCAGCGCGGUAGUGCCACAUGGAGCGAUACUACCGCUAGCUAUUUCCGCUCUACUUUCGAUCGAAGGACAGAGGCAGUCCAGAAGGCAGAAAGUAAGCAACCGGGCUACCACGGAGCAGCAACCGGCUGCUAGUGGAGCUACGGCUCCGGUGCGCAAAGCUGCAACAGUAUGUGAGCGGAGCUGAGCCGGGCUACGACAGAGCUGCAACUGGCGUGUUGGCAUGCUAUAUGACGAGCGAGGGUGACCCGGUGACCAGAGACACGGCAAGGUGGCAUGCUACAACCAGCAAGGCCACAACCGUAGGAUGCUAUGAUAACCUGCCUGGCGGCUUGCUACCAUAGACAUGGCGAGGUGGCGUGCUACAACCGGCAAGGCGGCAUUCUACGCCGGCUGAUGCGGCAUGCUACGAUGCAGCGACACGGUUGCCCGGAGACCAAAGACACGGCGAGGCGGCUGCUACAACCUUCGGCGCGGCAUGUUGUAACCAUCCAGGACGGAGCUGUGACCGACAGCGGGCAUGCUGCAAGACGGGAGCUACUGCUGGGAGCGGACGGCGGGGGCUGCAGGACCAACGGGUGUCCUGCAUGCAUGGGGAGCUGGCACCGGCGACUUGCUGUGGUCGUGGCUCGUGGCUCGUGCGUCCGCCGCAGCCUUCUUCGCGCGGCGGUGGGAGCAGGGAGGUAUUUUUUCACGUUUGACUUUCGUUGAGAAUCUAAGAUACGGGGAGAAAGAGUGGAAGACGGCAUACAUGUGCGUGCGAUCAAACGGCCGAUGCCUCUGCCCCCUAUCGAACGUUGCAUGUGGUGAUUGAUACCAAUCGGGCACCCUGCCCGGGCGGCCGACGCAAAUUUGCGUCCUUUAAUUAAGGCACUUUUUUUGCGGAGACUUUAAUUAAGGCACUAGCUAGCUUAUUAGAUGGGUCAAAAAUUUAGGGAAUACUUCCGCGCCAUAAAAUUUACUUCAUUACAUUUGGAGGUUUCAAUUGCUCCACAUCAUUCAAUAGUAUGUUAUACAAUAAAUUUUUUUAGCCUGUACAAAUGAAAGUAUUGUGUUGUCAUAGAUAUUAAGAAACAGUAUAACUAAGCGAGCUACGGCUGCUCACAGCGUUUUGACGUUUGUGACCGUUUGAUUAGAUCGAUCGGCUGUCCUCAAGUCUCGCCUGGUGUUUCUAGGGCCACUGCUCCACAAACUUACCUAGGCCUGUUAUGGUCGAUCGGGCUGGAAGUAAAAGAUGGGCCGGACCUGGCCUCACAUCGUCCUUGCGAGCCUCUUUCUGGCCCUGCACACGUACGAGAGAUUCCUCGGUCGGCUGGUCACCGGUCUACAUAUUAUCGAACGAUAAAUUUAUUUAACUUUACAUCUAGCCUGACACAAGUACUCAUGUACUUUUUCCGUUCCUAAAUAUAAGUCUUUUUAGAGAUUCCAGUACGAACUGCAUAAGGAACAAAAUGAGUGAAUCUACACUGUAAAGUAUGUCUAUAUCCAUUUGUAUGUAGUCUGUAGUGGAAUCUUUAAAAAGACUUAUAUUUUGAAACGGAUGGAGUAGUCAUAUUCCCCUCACAUUUCACACGUCAUGAGAGAGAUCUAUAUAUACUACACAACCAACUGUUGAUGCUUUUUCUGGCCACCACCGGUAGAACCAAAUAUAUACCUGUAUUUUUCAUUUUUUAUAUGAUUUGCUAAAAUUCAACAAAAUUUGAUCAAAAUUUUGAUUUCUUUGAAUGAUUGUCUUUAAAAUAAUCAAGAGUUUUCCAAGAUUACUGUCUUUUUACGGAAAUCUGUAAUUCGGGAGUUUUACGAAAAGAAUAUGAAUAUGUGUUCUUUAUGUAUGUAUAUAGUCCAAAUCCCCCAGAUAUUAUUACGUUUCUCUCUAGAUAGAAGGGUGUGGCAACUCACGUGAAGAUGUUCUUUUUCUAUGAUGCAUGUGAAGGAUGAGUUCAUUUUGGCCAGUUAUUGCACAUAUUACAACUUACUUUUGUACUGUCCCCAUAAUCUAAAAUUAGAUGGAUGGUUAUUUUGAAGAUAUAAUUAAAUAAUAUUGUGGGAGAUAGAACAAAAUUGUGAUGGUUCCAAAUAGUCCAAUAUCUAAAUUUUCUCAUAUAGUUCUAUCAUUCUUUCAUUAAAAUGUCUUAUUAUUCUGUAAAAAUGUCUCUAAGGUCGGCGAGCGCUGCAACGCGCGCCUUUAUGGUCUAGUAAACUUAUAAAGCCUACCGACCAAGAAUCGCAUACAGAGGAUGCUGCUAUAACCGGGUGCAGCAGAGCGCACCAUUUCCUCUGGUACUACUUGUUGAACAUCCAAUGCUUUAGGUUGUGAUUGCAUAUGUUUGCAACUAUUUAAAUGUAUGAUUUAUUUUCUAUUGAUCUAGAUAUCCUUGUUAAAGGAAGGUGGUUGAACAAGGGACAAACAUUUUGUCCCUCUUGGAAAGCUUUCACCUCACCCAGUGUCUGUGGAUAUUUCAUGCCCUUCGUUUGAUGAUCCAAAUUGUGAGUUGUCCUCAGGUUUCUCUAUGUGAUCAAGUUAGCGAGUGGCGGUGAGAAAGAAAUCAUUUUAAUCAUUUUAUUAUUUGCCUUCGCUGAACUCUUCUUUUUGUGCACAUGUGCCUUUAUUAAACUCUGGUGAAACAUAUAUUAUACUUCCUCCGUCUCAAAAUAAGCGUCUCCACUUAUACUAAAGUUGAGACACUUAUUUAAGUGUCUCGAUUUAUACUAAAGUUGAGACACUUAUUUUGAGACGCGGGAAGUAUAUGCUUGAUUACUUAACCUUUAAUUAACUUCUCAUGAUUAUGCAUCCGGCCCGAAGCAUCAUCCCCGGAGUAUUACAUGCGCCUCACGUGGCAAUGCUUAUAUAUGUAAAACUAUGAGAACUUAGCAGAUUUCGUAAAAAUACCCAAACAUUAAAAUGGCCGUCAUUUUGUGGUUUUGAGCGAGAAAUAUGUCCAUUUCAGAUCCCGCAAAAUGGGCGGCAACGGGAAAAAAAAUUAUCCAGCCCUUCCUAAAACAACUCAUGCCCAAGAUAUCCAGUUUUGGAGGUGAUUUCUAGGGUGAACUGAAAAACCAUGUGAUGGUUGCCCGGAGGAAAAUUUGAGCCCAACCGUCACCGUACCAGCGCUGGACUCACUGAAGUCCGGCAAAAUUUCACAAAGGUGCUCCAAUUCGGCCCAAAUCCCCUCCAAUUUUCGGCGACCAACCCAAGUUCGACCGAUUUCAGUUAAUUGCGACUUUGGAGCUGGAGCUUAGGCGAGCGGGUGCCAUUGACAGGCGGCUAGGCGGGCAGGGCCAAUGCAGGGGAGGUCGGGAGCGAUCUCGAAGGCGGCCGGACGGGGCGUGGGGGCGAGCAGCUGGAAAGGUCUACGGGCGAGCACGACCAGGGGCAAGGGGGUAGGGUCGCGAAUGCAUGUUGGGAGGCAGGCGGUCAGGGUCCCCGCCAGCGGGCCGUGUGUGAGCUGGGGAGCCGGUGUGGCUGACUACGCGAGGUAUAGAAGAACCUGCAGACCUGUGGGCCUCAUGUGUAGAUUUCUUUUUACAGUAUUUUUGAGGUACCUUUUCAAUCCGGCGCCAUAUUAGAAAACCGUUUUAUGGUGUACCCUAAGGUUACUGAACCUCAAUUUAGUAGCAGGGUCAAAGAUGUUAUUUAUAUUCCUUUUGCAGAGGAAAGAUGUUCAUAUUAACAAUUACAGUUAAUUUCAUUUCUCCUCUAAAUUUUGGGCCAUGCUACGCGUCGGCCGGCGGAUUUUUUAGAAAGAUCCGCCGCCUCGGCAACUGUCAUUUGUACAGCUAUCCAGCAUCCAACACGGUUCUCAUUAUUGCAACAAGGGCAGUGUUGCAGAAAUACUUUGCAACAAAGGUUAUGUUGCAGAUUUUUUUCGACAUAGUUGAUGUUGCAGAUUUUUUUUCAUCACUGUGUUUUGCAACAUGGGUAUUGUUGCGGAAACCAAAUUGCAACACAAACAAUGUUGCAAAAAUAUUUGUUAUUUUUUUCGUCUUCAUUUUUUUCGCUUUUUUGUCUUUAUUUUUUCGCAACAUGGAUGUUGUUGCGGAAGACAGUUUUGCAACACACAUGACGUUGCAGAAAAAGAGACGCGAAGGAUACAUGUACACGUGUCACAUAGAAGAGGGCAGAAAGAGAGACAUGAAGGAUACACGUACACGUGUCACAUAGAAGAGGUGGCGGAUGGCUUGCGUGCGAUCCGUCCGGCGAAGGAAAGAGUUUCCCCUAAAUUUUAGGUUUGGGAUAGAUUAUAUCACAACUUCUGUUUUCAUCCCUUAUAACUUUUUUACAUUUUGACUAGUCGGUCCCACAUUUCAGUGUGGGCUUGGACGCCAUGUAAGACUGUACUAAUGUCAUAUCCAUUCUCCAACUGUCCAACGUAUAUAUGUUUCAUAAAACUGUAUCUGGAUCAUCUCAUCAUGCCGUCGUAUGUGUGGUGUAUAUUAAAGUCUCAAGCGACCUGUAGACUGGAUUACUAAGUAACUCUAGGCUGUAGAAAAGUGAGAAAGAGUUGGUCGAUCCAUGAUGAUGAUCCUUUGUCAUUUAGAGUAUCUACAGCCGGACGUCUUAAACCCGCUUUAUACGUUCGGCGGGCCGCCCGGUCACGAUUUUUUAUCCAGACGGACCCCUCAAAUGACCCUCAAACGUUUGGGCUGACCGACACCUCCCAUAUUCAGCCUAAAUAUGGGGCGGAUAUGGAGCGCUCGGGUGCGUCCGGGCACGUCCGCCAUGUCAGAUCUGGCCCACGCUGGUCCAUCCGACCCUACAUAAAUUUCUUCCUAUCCGCUCGCCGGACCAAACCNNNNNNNNNNNNNNNNNNNNNNNNNNNNNNNNNNNNNNNNNNNNNNNNNNNNNNNNNNNNNNNNNNNNNNNNNNNNNNNNNNNNNNNNNNNNNNNNNNNNNNNNNNNNNNNNNNNNNNNNNNNNNNNNNNNNNNNNNNNNNNNNNNNNNNNNNNNNNNNNNNNNNNNNNNNNNNNNNNNNNNNNNNNNNNNNNNNNNNNNNNNNNNNNNNNNNNNNNNNNNNGCUCAUCUCCGGUUCCUUCCAGCCGUCUCCAGGACGACGGGCAACAGAUCUGAGUCCUUCACCACCAGAUCCGUCGACCCCGAACUCAUCCAACGUGGCCCCGAGGAGGAGAUGACUGUCUGGCUUGCGCUCCGCCACACCCGGGAGGACCUCGGUGCAUGGUUGUGCUCGGACUCCAUCCGUCGGGAAUCCAUUGCAUCCGCCCGAAUGGCGCAUGGAUCCGGCGCUAGGCCAGCCGUAGCUGCCUCGCUGGAGGCUGUGCGGUCUGUGUGGCGUCCGAACGCGCUGGCGCACGCGCAACCCAUCCAUUGGCGCGCCGAUAUUCGGGACGCACCAUCGUCCCACGAGGCCAUGGCACGACAUGCCCAUCGUGCAAGGCACCAGACGUGGGAGGCGGCGGUAGCCCUCGCAGCAGCGGACAUCGGCGAGGCGAAGUCACAUUCUCAGGCGCCCAUUAUGGGGCAUCAGUCCGGGCGACACAACCGCAUCAUGGUGGACGUCGACGGCUCGUACCCGGACGGAUCCGUCAUCGAUCUGACGUCCACCUGCACCCAACGGGUUCCGGGCUCUGACGAGGAAGAGUAGGGCAUGGGAGACAACGGCGCAUUGAGUCCCGUGAGCCGGCUUGUGUCCCAUCCCCUACUCUACCUUGACGGCGACCGAACCAAUAAUCUGAGGAGCACGGCCGGCCGCCAGACAUGGCCAGGGCGGAACUGGGAGAGCAGGGUGUGGCACUGGGCGAGCUUCGUUUAGAUUAGGUUUCAUGUUGCAUGUAAUAAUAUGGAUUUGAAUUUGAGAUAUCCGGAUGUAGAAUGCAUUUUUUAAGACGUCCCCGGUCACUGUCCACGGGUGCGCCCGGGCACGUCUGUGGGUGUUUGAGGUGUCGGAUUUGAAGUCCGGAUGUAGAUGCUCUUAGUAAACUUUAAUUCCAGUUGAGCAGAAAUAUCCUUCAGGUUAAAGCAAGACAAGAGUCCAAAAAGCCAUAUGCUUAUUGUUAGUGAACAAUAGGAAAAGCGAGAAAGAUGUGAAACAUCUCUGCAAAUAAUUGGCUUAUGAUCAUCAUCUCGCACAUUACCGCUAGUCUCGGUUUGCACAGACGAUCAUAUGCUGCCUUGGACUCAAUGAUCGGGGAAUAGAAAUAUCUAAAGCUGAAAUAACGACUUCACAUUUUACUCCCAUAAAAGCUACAUUUACAUAGUAUUUCCAGUGAGUAAACCGACCAUUUUUGGAAUAACGACUUGAUCAAUCUUGUAGAGAACCAAAAGAACAAAAAAAAAUAGCAAUUCCAUUUUACACACGCAUAUGCUACACUAGGCGCACCUAGCCGCACCUAGCUAGCUAGUACUCCUACUAGCGCCUUGCCGCCUUGCCGCAAGCCGCCGCGGCUUCCUCCGCCGCCAGCCGCUCAUGCACUAUCCUGAUAUACGCCGCCGCGGCCGCGUCGAUGCCGCCCCGCUGCGCAACGGCGCCGGCGGCCCCGUGCACGCUCGCCGUGGCCAUCUUCUGCCUCUCCGUUCCGAUCUUCUCCACCCUCUGGACGCAGACUUCUCCAACACGCGACAUGUCGGAUGAUAUAUACUAGUGUGUUGAGUGUUUGGAUUUGGUUUGGACUGAAUGAAUGAAUGAUCGUGGAUGCACCGGAGGGGCAGGGUAUUUAUAGAGCAGCGCCCACCGCCUCCAUGCGGUCGCGUGGUUUCCAAGGAAGAGUCGUCUCCGAACAUACAUGGCUGCUGGAUUGAUGCGUUGACUCAAUGGCCCUGGUGGAACGUUCAACACGCACGUAGUAGUACGUACGAGUGCAAUAUUGUUAUACCUCACGGUGUUUCAGUUGGACUUGGUCAAUGUUCUCCCUUUAUGCCGUUUCAUACAUGUAGUCACUACUCUGUAGCUUGUCAAUAUAAUGACAUAUUCACUAGUAUCAAAAAGAAUUUCGCCUUUGCUAUUGCAUAGAUGGGUGAAAUUUUUCGCCGCAUAAAUGAUCCCGCGUGAGAGCAUGGCAGGGUGGCGUGGCGGCGUACGGGCCUCGUCUGGCGGGGACCAAAAGUUCGAGGCGGUGCUAGUGGAGUCUUUGGAUCAAGAUCUUACGGUUGAGCAAUUUGAUUGAAAAAUACAGGCGAUUGUGUAAUAGGCAGACUUUUUUUUUCUGAGUCACUAGUGCUAAAACUUGGACAGAAACUGUCGUCAAUACUCAAGACUACUCCAACUCUAUUAUCUCACUACUAUGUUCCAAAUGAUUGUAUUAACUGGUAAAUUAGUGGGAAAAGAAAGUAACGAUUGAUCACUCUGAAUGCGCCAAGUGAUACUUUUGGUUGUCUUCUGGGUAGUUAUCCUCAAAAAAAAAGUAACGAUGAGAAUUGCCAAGAAGCGACGAGUGAAAAAACACCUAUACGCACACGCUGAUUUGGUUUGCUAUAUAGGUCAGGACGUGCAACUGCUUCAUAAAUCUCAAAUGAGAAUCAGAUUCGGUUUUUGAUGGCUACAUAUGAUUGAUCACUAAAUAAAGGUAACAGACAAGACCUGCAGAGAUUCGGUCGCGCAUAAGAAGUCCGUUGUCCGUAUGAUCGUGUCUCCAUCGGCCAAAUUCCACGGACCAAAUUAAGCACGCGGGUUUACUAGUACAAGUACAUCUGUCUGAACUAGCUAAUUGUUUGGCUAAGCCGGGAUUAUAAUUUUCACAUAUAAACAAGGGUGCAACGUGUGAGAAGCAGGGACUAGCUAGUGUCACGGGGCUGCUAGAAAGUCCAAAAGUGUUUAGUUUGGUGAGUCAGUAAGUGAGGGUCAGAAAGAAGUGUUCCAUCAGUUUGUUUUCAAUACAACAUCCAUCAGUGAGUGAGGGUCAGAAAGAAGUGCUCCAUCAGUGAGUGAGGGUCAGAAAGAAGUGUUCAAUCAGUUGCCUUUGUUGAACUUUGCUGAAGCAUAUAUUUUACGCUUGAUUCCCCGCUCUCUAAUUAACUUUGCAUGAUCAGGCGUCCGGGCAGGAAGCAUCAUCCUAAUAAGGGUACUGCAUGUGCUUCACGCGGUAAGAGUAAGAACAAGAUCACUUGGAGGAGUGGAGUCACACACUAAAUUGAUGUACUCUCUCUGCACCAAAAUAUAGAACGUUUUUUUAGUUCAAAGUAGUAUCAGCCAGUUCGUUCAAAAAGUCAAAAAUCAUUCAAGUACACAUAUGUUUCUAUGGUUGAAACCCUAGCCACUGGAAGAAGAGGAGCUUCAUUUUUUCGCUANNNNNNNNNNNNNNNNNNNNNNNNNNNNNNNNNNNNNNNNNNNNNNNNNNNNNNNNNNNNNNNNNNNNNNNNNNNNNNNNNNNNNNNNNNNNNNNNNNNNNNNNNNNNNNNNNNNNNNNNNNNNNNNNNNNNNNNNNNNNNNNNNNNNNNNNNNNNNNNNNNNNNNNNNNNNNNNNNNNNNNNNNNNNNNNNNNNNNNNNNNNNNNNNNNNNNNNNNNNNNNNNNNNNNNNNNNNNNNNNNNNNNNNNNNNNNNNNNNNNNNNNNNNNNNNNNNNNNNNNNNNNNNNNNNCAAAAUGGAGCUCUCCCGUUUGUUUGGAUUCUGAACCGUCGGAUUAGUUGUCCAAAACGAUCCAGGCCGUCGGAUCUCUAGAUGGAGCGAUAUGGACCGUUGGAUCUCAGACAUCUCAGACGAAACGAUAUGGGUCGUCGGAUCGAGGCUGGGCAUGCCACCGCCUGUAAAUCCCGUGCCCCACCAAGGGCAUUCUUGUCUUUUCACACACAGGCGUAUAAAACGCAUCAGGUCAAAACCUAGCCGCCACCUACCGCACACGCGCACCCCGCUCCUCCUCUCCUCUGCGCCGCUGCCGCCCGUCAUCCUCCCCCGCAUCACGCGCGCACGCGCCCUGCCCCAUCCUCGCCUCGCUCCUCCUCUCCUCCGCGCCGCUGCCGCUCGUCCUCCUCCUCUCCUCUGCGGCGUCGCCGUUGUCCAUCGCCACCGCGCCCUCCUCCUCCUUCCACCUCCUAGCCCGCGCCCAAUCUCUGCAGCCCUUCUUCCCUCCCUGCGCCCGAAACCCUAGCCCUCGACCAUGGUGCCCGAAUCUGCAGGAGGUGCAGCAGAGAGGUCCCAGUGACCACGGCGGCGCAUUCGCGGCCGGUCCACCUCGGGCUGCUUCUCCACCACCACGCACCUGCCCCGCGUGCGCUCCUUCUCUCCCGGGAGUGGGCCGCAGCCAUGGAGAGUGGCCAGAGGAUCAAGGACGGCCAACCCCUGCCUCCUCUCCAGCAUGCUCGUCUCUGCCAUCUCUGCCGAAAAAGGAGACGGGAGCAAGAUGAGAAGACGAAGGAGAAGCCCUGCCAUCUCUGCCCCGUCCACUGCGUUGAGCGCGGGGACCGUCUGGGCUCUGCUUAUGCACCCCAAACUAUUCACCUCCACGCCACUUCCAAUCUCCCCAUCCCUUUCUUGAAGGUAUCUGUUGGGGAACGUAGCAAUAAUUCAAAAUUUUCCUACGUGUCACCAAGAUCAAUCUAGGAGAUACUAGCAACGAGAGAGAGGGAGUGCAUCUUCAUACCCUUGAAGAUCUCUAAGCGGAAGCGUUCAAGAGGACGGGGUUGAUGGAGUCGUACUCGUCAUGAUCCAAAUCACCGAUGAUCCUAGCGCCGAACGGACGGCACCUCCGCGUUCAACACACGUACGGAACGGAGACGUCUCCCGCGCCUUGAUCCAGCAAGGAGGAGGGAGAGGUUGAGGAAGAGAGUCCAACAGCAGCACGACGGCAUGGUGGUGAUGGAGUGGCAGUUCUCCGGCAGUCCUUCGCCAAGCUCACGCGGAGGAGGAGAGGUAUUGGAGGGCAGGGGUUGCGCCAGGUGCAAGGGUAUGGCCGCCCUCCCACCCCUCCACUAUUUAUAGGUGGGGAGAGAGGGGGUUGGCCCCCCUAGAUCCCAUCUAGGGUUGGGGGCGGCGGCCAAGGGGGGGGAGGAGUGCCUCCCAAGUCAAGUGGAGGUCCUCCCCCUUAGGGUUUCCCCUCUCCCAUGCGCAUGGGCCUUGGGGGGGCUGGUGCCCCUGGCCCAUUAAGGCUAGGCAGCCCCCCUACAGCCCAUGCUGCUGUAUUGGACGUGGUGGAACAUUUUCCGGACCUCCGGACCCCUUCGGAACCUUCCGGAAGCUUCCCGGUACAAUACCGGAAAAACCAAACUUUUCCUGGAACCCGAACAAUAACUUUCCAUAUAUAAAUCUUUACCUCCGGACCAUUCCGGAACUCCUUGUGAUGUCCAGGAUCUCAUUCGGGACUCCGAACAACGUUCGGUAAUCACAUACAAGUCUUCCUAAUAACCCUAGCGUCAUCGAACCUUAAGUGUGUAGACCCUACGGGUUCGGGAACCAUGCAGACAUGACCGAGACAUCUCUCUGGUCAAUAACCAACAGCGGAUCUGGAUACCCAUGUUGGCUCCCACAUAUUCCAUGAUGAUCUCAUCGGAUGAACCAUGAUGUCAAGGAUUUAGUCAAUCCCGUAUACAAUUCCCUUUGUCUAUCGGUACGAUACUUGCCCGAGAUUCGAUCAUCGGUAUCCUGAUACCUCGUUCAAUCUCGUUACCGGCAAGUCUAUUUACUCGUUUCGUAACACAUCAUCCCGUGAUCAACUCCUUGGUCACAUUGUGCACAUUAUGAUGAUGUCCUACCGAGUGGGCCCAAAGAUACCUCUCCGUUCCACGGAGUGACAAAUCCCAGUCUCGAUUCGUGCCAACCCAACAGACACUUUCGGAGAUACCCGCAGUGCACCUUUAUAGCCACCCAGUUACGUUGUGACGUUUGGUACACCCAAAGCAUUCCUACGGUAUCCGGGAGUUGCACAAUCUCAUGGUCUAAGGAAAUGAUACUUGACAUUAGAAAAGCUUUAGCAUACGAACUACACGAUCUUGUGCUAGGCUUAGGAUUGGGUCUUGUCCAUCACAUCAUUCUCCUAAUGAUGUGAUCCCGUCAUCAACGACAUCCAAUGUCCAUGGUCAGGAAACCGUAACCAUCUAUCGAUCAACGAGCUAGUCAACUAGAGGCUUACUAGGGACAUGGUGUUGUCUAUGUAUCCACACAUGUAUCUGAGUUUCCUAUCAAUACAAUUCUAGCAUGGAUAAUAAACGAUUAUCAUGAACAAGGAAAUAUAAUAAUAACUAAUUUAUUAUUGCCUCUAGGGCAUAUUUCCAACAGUCUCCCACUUGCACUAGAGUCAAUAAUCCAGUUCACAUCACUAUGUGAUUAACACUCAAGGUCACAUCCCCAUGUGACUAACACCCAAAGAUUUUACUAGAGUCAAUAAUCUAGUUCACAUUACCAUGUGAUUAACACUCAAUGAGUUCUGGGUUUGAUCAUGUUAUGCUUGUGAGAGAUGUUAUAGUCAACGGGUCUGAACCUUUCAGAUCCGUGUGUGCUUUACAAAUCUCUAUGUCAUCUUGUAUAUGCAGCUACCACGCUCUAUUUGGAGCUAUUCCAAAUAACUGUUCUACUAUACGAAUCCGGUUUACUACUCAGAAUCAUCCAGAUUAGUGUCAAAGAUUGCAUCGGUGUAACCCUUUAGAUGAACUCUUUUACCACCUCCAUAAUCGAGAAAAUUCCUUAGUCCACUAGUUACUAAGGAUAACCUUGACCGUUGUCCUGUGAUCCAUUCCUAGAUCACACUUGUACCCCUUGACUGACUCAUGGCUUGGCCACUUCAGGUGCGGUACACAACACAACAUACUUUAGAGCCUACGUCUAAAGCAUAGGGGACGACCUUCGUCCUUUCUCUCUAUUCUGCCGUGGUCAGGUCUUGAGUUUUACUCAAUACUCAUACCUUAUAACACAGCCAAGAACUCCUUCUUUGCCGAUCUAUUUUUGAACUCCUUCAAAAUUCUCUCAUGGUAUGUGUUCGUUUAAAAGUACUAUUAAGCGAUUUUGAUCUAUCCUUAUAGAUCUUGAUGCUCAAUGUUCAAGUAGCUUAAUCCAGGUUUUCCAUUGAAAAACACUUUUCAAAUAACCCUAUAUGCUUUCCAGAAACUCUACAUCAUUUCUGAUCAACAAUAGUCAACAACAUAUACUCAUCAGAAAUUCUAUAGUGCUCCCACUCACUUCUUUGGAAAUACAAGUUUCUCACAAACUUUGUAUAAACCCAAAAUCUUUGAUCAUCUCAUCAAAGCGUACAUUCCAACUCCGAGAUGCUUACUCCAGUCCUUAGAAGGAUUGCUGGAACUUCGCAUACUUGUUAGCAUCUUUCAGGAUUGUCAAAAAACUUCUGGUUUUAUCACAUACAACCUUUCCUCAAGAAACACGUCGAGGAAACAAUGUUUUGACAUCCUAUCUGCAAGAUUUCAUAAAUAAUGCAGUAACUGCUAACAUAAUUCCAACAGACUCUUAGCAUCGCUGUCGUGGUUCUAAGCCUGACAGUAGAGUGGGGGGUAGGUAUUGAGAGGCAAGGUCCUAGCUACGGAGAGGUUGUAAGCACAAAGGAUGUACGAGUUCAGGCCCUUCUCGGAAGAAGCAACAGCCCUACGUCUCGGAGCCCGGAGGCGGUCGAGUGGAUUAUGAAUGUAUGGAUUACAAGGUGCCGAACCCCUCUGCCUGUGGAGGAGGGUGGCUUAUAUAGAGUGCGCCAGGACCCCAGCCAGCCCACGUAGGAGAGGGUUUAAGGUGAGUUAAGUCUGGGGCGUUACUGGUAACGCCCCACAUAAAGUGCCUUUACUAUCAUAAAGUCUACUUAAUUACAGGCCGUUGCGGUGCAGAGUGCCUCUUGACCUCCUGAUGGUCGAGUGAGUCUUCGUGGUCGAGUCCUUCGGGCCAGUCGAGUGAAUCCUCGUUGGUCGACUGGAAGGCGACCUUUUCUAGGGAUGUCCUAGGGUAAGUUACUUGGAACAGGUCCAUGACCCUACCCUAGGUACACAACCCCAUCAUUAGCCCCCGAAUGGAUUGAGGCUUCGAGUGAAGAAGGCGUUGAUGUCGUUUUCGAUUAACCUUUGCGCUCUAGUUGUGCGCUGUUCUGGAUCAAAAAUCUCUUCGUUGACAGGGAGCAAUUUGUCUUCGGUCGACUCGAUCCAUUCUAUUUUUGCGUCGAGUGAUCUUUCGAGCUUUGACGAUCUCCGAGCGACGGAUCGCCGGAAACACCGCGUCUAACAGACUGAUUUGUUGCUCGCGGAUUCCGCGGGGUGCGAAAUUUGGGGGCGCGCGCGAAGCGGGGCAGACCGUGGCGUUCGGAUGGGACGGGGCAUAGACGCCUCGAUCUCCGCGCCGCCUUUUUCGCCACGUAUCCAGUCCUCAUAACUGCUCUUAGAUAUGAUUAGAUCGACCGGGCCCACAUGUCAGCCACUCGGAAGAGACCUUAUAAAUGCGCCCGGCGGGGAUUUCUGUGUUGCGCCUCAGCAUUCCCCCUCUCUCCUUCUGCCUCCUUCCUCUCUGCUCAGCGCGCUCGCUCUCACCUCCGCACCACUUUCCUUCGCGCAUUUCGCCGGCGACCAUGGCCAAGGAGAAGACGGCGGCGCUGGAGCGUGCCAAGAAGGCGUCGGCAUCGGAGAAGGCGAAGGGGAGAUCCACCACCCGCAGGGGGUCCUCGUCCAGAUCCCGCCUGCCGAAAGGCUGGGUCCAAGGAGACUGGAUCCAGUCGACCAUCACGGAGAAGGACCUCCUCGACAUGGCCAACGAGGGCUUGAUCCCUCACAGAGCUGCGAGGUUGCCGGGGAAGGAGUGGCAGCCACAACCAGAAGAGGGUGAGUGCGUGCUCCUGGCCACUCAUGUCGACCGAGGGUUUUCCUUGCCACCCAGCAUUUUCUUCCGUGGCUUCUUGAAUUUCUUUGGAGCGCAGCUCCACCACUUUACCCCAAACUCCAUUGCCUAUCUUGCUGCAUUCGUGUCCAUGUGUGAGGGUUUCUUGGGCUGCCGACCGCACUGGGGUUUGUUCAAACGCAUCUUCACGUGUCGCUCUCAGACCGUGAAGAAGGCUAGCCCAGGUGACGAGAAGACCCGAGUCGUCCAAAUGUGUGGGGGCCUGGGGAUUCAGGUGAGGAACAAUAGUACCUUCCCGCCCAUGAGCUUUCCCGAGUCCGUCAGAGGCUGGCAGUCGACUUGGUUCUACUGCCAGGUCCAGUCGACGCCAGGGCAGUCGAGUGGACUCCCUCCGUUUACCAUGGACCGAGUGAACAAGCCCUCCCCUCUGAAGCUGAUUCCGGAGGAGAAAGCCGAUGUGAAGAUGUUGAUGGAGCGCGUGGUGCAGUUGGUUCGGGAGGGGGUGACGGGCAUGGAUCUUCUGGAGGUCUUCCUCAGGCGUCGCAUCCAACCCCUUCAAUUCCGGAGCCACUGCAUGUGGUUGUACUGUGGGCCCGAAGACGAAACUAGAGUCCAUCCAGAAGAAGUCGACGAUGUCACUCUGGAAAGAUGGAUGGUAGCCGUUACCGGAAACAGGGACAACCCGCGCGGAGCCAGAAGGAUUCCUCCACUCGACCGCAACAGCAACCCAAACAAGGUACACUUGCUCUGCCCUCCACUGAGUCCUUGUCGUAUUCAUUUCUGCUAACCCUGUCGACUGGUCGACUGAUCUUUGUUUGUGCAUCUGCUAGGCCCUCACUGAACUGUACUCGAUGCCCAAUGGGGCACAAGCCUCGGCUGAGGAAGGCGAGGCGAGCGGGGGCGAGGCGAGCGGGGGCGAGAGCCAGGAAGAGGAGGAGUGGGAUUCGGAUGCUGCAGGGGAUGAUGACGACGAUGAUGAUGACGAAGGUGAUGAAGAUGACCUCGAGGACGAGGAAGAAGAGGAGGAGGAGGUCGUUCCACCGCGCUCAGAAAGGCGGUCGAAGCUUGUCCACGAUCCUUCGACUGAACGUGGUAAGGGGGUUGGGACCGCAAUUCAGUCGACCAAGCGCCCUCGGACCACCUCUCCGGCGCCGACUGAAAAGGCGCCGAAGCAGCCCAGGGCGGCCUCAUCGAAGCCGACCAAACUCUUGCCGAAGAUGAAGGUGUCCAUCCCCACCAUAUCAGGGUAAUUGCGUUGCUCAUAUUUUCUUACACUGUGCGAACUUUGUCUUUGGUCGACGCUGAUGUUAGUCGACUGAUUCUUUGGAGUUGCAGUGCUGCUACCUCUGAGACUUCGGCCCGGGCCGAAGACCACGAGAUGGAGGAUGCGGCAACUUCGAACCCAGGUACUGUAUUCUUAACACCGUUGUUAGUCGACUGAUUUGCGACCUCUGAUCCUGAUUCUUCUUCGCAGUUCCGCCCCAUACUGUUAUCGAUCUUCCUGACGACGACGAGGAUGAAGAACCACUGGCACGCGGGAAGAGUCGGAAAACGCCCGCCAGUAAGGUGCCUCGGGACGUGACGGCGCCUGAGACUCUGACUGUGGAGGAAGAGAACACCACUCGACACACAGUGUCCUUCGCGAAUCCACUGUCGAGUGCUCAGCAGCCUUCCCUCUUCACGACUCACCACGUCCCAGAGGACCAAGCUGGUGCAGCGAAGGAGGCAAUACGCCAGGCGGGGCUCAUGAUGGAGCAGCUGAAGACCAUCCGGGAUGCGAGCCAGGCAGCUUAUGACGCCAGCUCUGCCCUCCAAAGCAAUGUCCAGGUCAGUCGACUGCUGUUUGUUCUGUUGGAUAUGCUAGCAGAAGCUUUUCUUUUCCGGGAUUUAUAUUAGCCACCCACUGGGUGUGUUGAAUAGGCUUUAUGAUAUCAAUCUUUCUGUCAGUCGACUGGUCGACUGGAUUUCGCAAACCGGUGGGGGCACGCUGAGUGCACCCACUGGGUGUAGUCCCCAAGGCUGAGGUCGACUGCUGGCAGUUGAUCACAGUCUUAGAGAAUGUGUCUUGCACACUGUGUUUUUUUUUUUUUAAAGGUCGACUGGUCGACUUUGUUUUCGACAGGAUUAGUGGGGGCACGCUGAGUGCACCCACUGGGUGUAGUCCCCGAGACUACGGUCGAAUGCUUGUAUUCGGCUGUAGUCUUAGAAACGUGUGUUUUUCCCUUUUUCACUCGGAAGUGAGUUACGUUUGACGUUUAGUCGAUUGGUUCUUCGCAGAACUCCUGUGAUCUUGUGGCUCGCUACUCAGAGCUGGAACAGAAGCAUACUCAAGUCGAGCUGAGCUUGAAGCUGGUUCAGGAGAAGCUGGCGAAGGCAAAGGAGGAGACCGAAGGUAUGUUUGGUGAGACCCUGUCGACUGCUUUUUCCCUUGCUAGUUUCGGCAUCUGAUCUUGCUGUAACUUGCAGGUAAGGUAAGGGAGGCCCAGCAGAAGAAAGACCUUGAACUAGCUGAGAAGAUCAAGCUUGCUGACGAGAAGUUGGCUUCAGUCACCAAGCUCGAACAAGACAAUACCAAUCUGAAAACUGCUCUUGGGAUUGCCAACAAGGAGGUCAGUCGACUGAGAACUGACAAAGCUGCCCUGACCGACCAAGUCAGCAAAUUGACUGAGAAGAAAACUGAACUGGAAACCUUCCUGAGUGGCCUUGCCAAGAAGCUGUUUCUUAUGCUUGAAGGUAAAUCUUCAUGUUUGGCAAAUAUUUCCAAUUGUGGCCUUUUUCAUUCGACUAUCUCUUUGACUUAAUGAUCAUCCUUGCAGAAUUUUGUCAAAACUUUGAAGAAGAAACCAGCCGACUGGAGCCAAACCUUGACCCCGUCAAUUCUCCGGUGAACGACGAAGUUGCCAUGGAUGUCUUCCGACUGGAGUCGCGUGUUGCAGCUGUCGUGGACUAUCUCGCAAGGCUGAAGGCCGCCACAUCUCGCAUCGACUCGACGCUCUGGCCUGAGGAGACACUUCAGAAUGACCUUGAGUCGCUGAUGGCCCGCUUGAACACGAUCCCUGGUCGAGUGCAAGAUUGGAAGAAGUCCUCGGCUCGGUGUGGCGCAGAUGUCGCUCUGUGUCUGGCCCGAGUCCACUGCAAAGAUGCACGAGAGGAGAAGCUGGCGGCCCUUCGGGUGGCCAAUACCAAGAAGCACGACUUUAGGUCCUUUAUGGAGACUUUCCUUGCAGCUGCCACUCGGAUCGCCGACGGAAUUGACCUUGAUGAAUUCGUUGCACCUUCCAGCCCUCCGCAGGAGGGGUAAAAAACUUCUUCUGGCUCGACUCUUUAAAUUUGCCUCGGUAUGCCGAGUGGAAUUGUAACCGACGAACUUUAACAGGCUUGACGCCUCAGCACUUUCGGUUCCUUUAAAUAUCGAUUCAAGCUUGAAUUUGGCGCUUGGAUAUGAUUGCCUUUGGCUCAAAAUGUCUUAUGCAGAUUCAAAGCAAGGUGCCUGUGUUUAGGCGAGCGCUUGGACUGCAGCUAAGCCUCCUGAGUGAGAGGGUCGCUCUUCACUCGGUAGGAUUUUUGUAACUUAGGCGAGCACGAGGCUGCAGCUAAGCCUCCGAGUGGAAGGCUAGCUUACCACUCGGUAGGAUUUUUACAACUUAGGCGAGCACGAGGUCGCAGCUAAGCCUCCGAGUGGAAGGCUGGCUUACCACUCGGUAGGAAUUUGAUAAACUUAGGCGAGCACGAAGCUGCAGCUAAGCCUCCGAGUGGAAGGUUGGCUUACCACUCGGUAGGAUNNNNNNNNNNNNNNNNNNNNNNNNNNNNNNNNNNNNNNNNNNNNNNNNNNNNNNNNNNNNNNNNNNNNNNNNNNNNNNNNNNNNNNNNNNNNNNNNNNNNNNNNNNNNNNNNNNNNNNNNNNNNNNNNNNNNNNNNNNNNNNNNNNNNNNNNNNNNNNNNNNNNNNNNNNNNNNNNNNNNNNNNNNNNNNNNNNNNNNNNNNNNNNNNNNNNNNNNNNNNNNNNNNNNNNNNNNNNNNNNNNNNNNNNNNNNNNNNNNNNNNNNNNNNNNNNNNNNNNNNNNNNNNNNNNNNNNNNNNNNNNNNNNNNNNNNNNNNNNNNNNNNNNNNNNNNNNNNNNNNNNNNNNNNNNNNNNNNNNNNNNNNNNNNNNNNNNNNNNNNNNNNNNNNNNNNNNNNNNNNNNNNNNNNNNNNNNNNNNNNNNNNNNNNNNNNNNNNNNNNNNNNNNNNNNNNNNNNNNNNNNNNNNNNNNNNNNNNNNNNNNNNNNNNNNNNNNNNNNNNNNNNNNNNNNNNNNNNNNNNNNNNNNNNNNNNNNNNNNNNNNNNNNNNNNNNNNNNNNNNNNNNNNNNNNNNNNNNNNNNNNNNNNNNNNNNNNNNNNNNNNNNNNNNNNNNNNNNNNNNNNNNNNNNNNNNNNNNNNNNNNNNNNNNNNNNNNNNNNNNNNNNNNNNNNNNNNNNNNNNNNNNNNNNNNNNNNNNNNNNNNNNNNNNNNNNNNNNNNNNNNNNNNNNNNNNNNNNNNNNNNNNNNNNNNNNNNNNNNNNNNNNNNNNNNNNNNNNNNNNNNNNNNNNNNNNNNNNNNNNNNNNNNNNNNNNNNNNNNNNNNNNNNNNNNNNNNNNNNNNNNNNNNNNNNNNNNNNNNNNNNNNNNNNNNNNNNNNNNNNNNNNNNNNNNNNNNNNNNNNNNNNNNNNNNNNNNNNNNNNNNNNNNNNNNNNNNNNNNNNNNNNNNNNNNNNNNNNNNNNNNNNNNNNNNNNNNNNNNNNNNNNNNNNNNNNNNNNNNNNNNNNNNNNNNNNNNNNNNNNNNNNNNNNNNNNNNNNNNNNNNNNNNNNNNNNNNNNNNNNNNNNNNNNNNNNNNNNNNNNNNNNNNNNNNNNNNNNNNNNNNNNNNNNNNNNNNNNNNNNNNNNNNNNNNNNNNNNNNNNNNNNNNNNNNNNNNNNNNNNNNNNNNNNNNNNNNNNNNNNNNNNNNNNNNNNNNNNNNNNNNNNNNNNNNNNNNNNNNNNNNNNNNNNNNNNNNNNNNNNNNNNNNNNNNNNNNNNNNNNNNNNNNNNNNNNNNNNNNNNNNNNNNNNNNNNNNNNNNNNNNNNNNNNNNNNNNNNNNNNNNNNNNNNNNNNNNNNNNNNNNNNNNNNNNNNNNNNNNNNNNNNNNNNNNNNNNNNNNNNNNNNNNNNNNNNNNNNNNNNNNNNNNNNNNNNNNNNNNNNNNNNNNNNNNNNNNNNNNNNNNNNNNNNNNNNNNNNNNNNNNNNNNNNNNNNNNNNNNNNNNNNNNNNNNNNNNNNNNNNNNNNNNNNNNNNNNNNNNNNNNNNNNNNNNNNNNNNNNNNNNNNNNNNNNNNNNNNNNNNNNNNNNNNNNNNNNNNNNNNNNNNNNNNNNNNNNNNNNNNNNNNNNNNNNNNNNNNNNNNNNNNNNNNNNNNNNNNNNNNNNNNNNNNNNNNNNNNNNNNNNNNNNNNNNNNNNNNNNNNNNNNNNNNNNNNNNNNNNNNNNNNNNNNNNNNNNNNNNNNNNNNNNNNNNNNNNNNNNNNNNNNNNNNNNNNNNNNNNNNNNNNNNNNNNNNNNNNNNNNNNNNNNNNNNNNNNNNNNNNNNNNNNNNNNNNNNNNNNNNNNNNNNNNNNNNNNNNNNNNNNNNNNNNNNNNNNNNNNNNNNNNNNNNNNNNNNNNNNNNNNNNNNNNNNNNNNNNNNNNNNNNNNNNNNNNNNNNNNNNNNNNNNNNNNNNNNNNNNNNNNNNNNNNNNNNNNNNNNNNNNNNNNNNNNNNNNNNNNNNNNNNNNNNNNNNNNNNNNNNNNNNNNNNNNNNNNNNNNNNNNNNNNNNNNNNNNNNNNNNNNNNNNNNNNNNNNNNNNNNNNNNNNNNNNNNNNNNNNNNNNNNNNNNNNNNNNNNNNNNNNNNNNNNNNNNNNNNNNNNNNNNNNNNNNNNNNNNNNNNNNNNNNNNNNNNNNNNNNNNNNNNNNNNNNNNNNNNNNNNNNNNNNNNNNNNNNNNNNNNNNNNNNNNNNNNNNNNNNNNNNNNNNNNNNNNNNNNNNNNNNNNNNNNNNNNNNNNNNNNNNNNNNNNNNNNNNNNNNNNNNNNNNNNNNNNNNNNNNNNNNNNNNNNNNNNNNNNNNNNNNNNNNNNNNNNNNNNNNNNNNNNNNNNNNNNNNNNNNNNNNNNNNNNNNNNNNNNNNNNNNNNNNNNNNNNNNNNNNNNNNNNNNNNNNNNNNNNNNNNNNNNNNNNNNNNNNNNNNNNNNNNNNNNNNNNNNNNNNNNNNNNNNNNNNNNNNNNNNNNNNNNNNNNNNNNNNNNNNNNNNNNNNNNNNNNNNNNNNNNNNNNNNNNNNNNNNNNNNNNNNNNNNNNNNNNNNNNNNNNNNNNNNNNNNNNNNNNNNNNNNNNNNNNNNNNNNNNNNNNNNNNNNNNNNNNNNNNNNNNNNNNNNNNNNNNNNNNNNNNNNNNNNNNNNNNNNNNNNNNNNNNNNNNNNNNNNNNNNNNNNNNNNNNNNNNNNNNNNNNNNNNNNNNNNNNNNNNNNNNNNNNNNNNNNNNNNNNNNNNNNNNNNNNNNNNNNNNNNNNNNNNUCGCCAUAGACCAUUAGGCGACGGACGCCGAGUGAAAUGGCCAUGCGCAACCCAUAUAGGAGGGCCUCAUAUUCUGCCUCAUUGUUGGAGGAAUCAAAGUGAAUCUGGAGCACAUAUCUGAGCUUAUCUCCUCUGGGGGAAACCAGGACAACCCCAGCACCGGAACCAUUCAACAUCUUAGAACCAUCGAAAAACAUGGUCCAAUGCUCCGAGUGAACUUCAGUCGGCUGCUGCUGUUCGAUCCACUCGACGAGGAAAUCUGCUAUUGCCUGGGACUUAAUGGCUUUCUUUGCCUCGAACUUGAUAUCAAGGGGAAGAAGUUCAAUCGCCCAUUUGGCCACUCGACCAGUUGCAUCUCUGUUGUGCAAAAUCUCUGAUAGUGGAGCGUCGCUGACGACUGUGAUUGAAUGGUCAGAGAAAUAAUGAGCAACCUUCUUUGUGGUCAUGUAUAUUCCAUACACAAGCUUCUGAUAAUGAGGAUAUCUCUGCUUGGAUGGAGUCAAGACUUCAGACAAAUAAUACACUGGGCGCCGAACUUUGAGAGCUUUUCCUUCUUCUUCCCGCUCGACCGUUAGCACAGUACUGACGACUUGUCCUGUGGCUGCGAUGUAGAGCAACAGAGGCUCUUUGCUGAUUGGAGCAGCAAGCACCGGCUGGGUGGAGAGCAGAGCUUUUAGCUCGGCAAACGCUGCAUCAGCUUCUGGAGUCCACUCGAACUUGUCAGCCUUUUUCAUCAGUCGGUAAAGAGGCAGUGCCUUUUCACCGAGUCGUGAGAUGAAUCGACUUAAUGCGGCCAAGCAUCCAGUAAGCUUCUGGACAUCGUGCACUCGCACAGGGCGUUUCAUUCGGAGAAUAGUGCCGAUCUUUUCUGGGUUGGCGUCGAUUCCCCGUUCGGAAACGAGAAAACCGAGUAACUUGCCACCAGGAACUCCAAAUGUGCACUUUGAUGGAUUGAGCUUGAUAUCAUACCUUCUGAGGUUGGCAAAUGUUUCAGCAAGGUCAGCGAGCAGGUCGGAACCUUUUCGUGACUUGACAACAAUAUCAUCCAUAUAAGCUUCCACAUUCCGACUGAUUUGAGUGAGGAGACACUUCUGGAUCAUUCGCAUAAAUGUGGCUCCGGCAUUCUUGAGACCGAAUGGCAUGGUGAUAUAGCAGAAGCACCCGAAUGGAGUGAUGAAAGCUGUUUUUACUUCAUCGGGCCCAUAUAGACGGAUCUGGUGGUACCCGGAGUAAGCAUCUAAAAAAGACAACCUCUCGCAUCCCGCGGUCGAGUCAACAAUUUGAUCUAUGCGAGGGAGAGGAAAGUGAUCUUUCGGGCAGGCCCGGUUGAUGUGCUUGAAAUCAAUGCACAUUCGGAGCGAUUUGUCCUUCUUAGGAACCAUGACGACAUUAGCGAGCCACUCGGAGUGGAAUAUCUCUCGGAUAAAUCCUGCCGCCAACAGUCGAGCCACUUCUUCACCGAUGGCCUUUCUCUUCUGGAUGGCGGACCGCCGAAGAUGUUCUUUGACUGGUUUUGCAGACUUGUCGACUCUUAGGCGAUGCUCAGCCAGUCCCCUGGGAACACCUGGCAUGUCAGCGGGCUUCCAUGCAAAAAUGUCCCAGUUCUCACGGAGGAACUGGAUGAGCGCUUCUUCCUAUUUUGGGUCGAGUGAUGUGGAGAUGCGGGUCGGAGCUGCUUCAGGGUCGGUCGGGUGAAUGUGAACAGGCUUUGUUUCACCGGACGACUGGAAUGCAGAUUCUGUGGCGGGCUUCUUGGAUCGCAGCAAGUCACUCGGAUCUGCGCUUUGCUUGUAUUCUUCGAACUCGACCGCUGUCACUUGGGAAUCGGCAAUUUUGGAGCCCUUCUAAAAGCACUCUUCUGCCUUUUUCCUAUCACCGGUGACAGUGAUCACACCUUUGGGACCGGGCAUCUUCAAUUUGAGGUACACGUAACAUGGUCGAGCCAUGAACCGUGCAUAGGCUGGCCUCCCCAAAAUGGCAUGAUAUGCACUUUGAAAAUCCACGACCUCAAACGUCAACUUUUCUUUGCGAAAAUGCUUUGAAUCGCCAAACACUACGUCCAAAGCUAUCUGGCCGAGUGACUCGGCCUUCUUCCCUGGUAUAACUCCAUGGAAGCUCAUGUUACUAGUGCUCAGUCGGGACAUCGGAAUGCCCAUACCUUUCAACGUGUCUGCAUAUAACAGAUUCAGCCCACUUCCACCGUCCAUCAGCACCUUUGUCAGUCGAGUGCCUUCGACAACUGGAUCGACCACCAAAGCUUGCCUCCCAGGGGUGGCAAUAUGGGACGGGUGAUCAGAUUGGUCGAAUGUGAUGGGCGUUUGAGACCACUUCAGAUAACUUGCCUUUGCUGGGGCAACCAUGUUAACCUCUCGGUUAAUCACUUUCAGUCGACUUCUGCUUUCCACAUCUGCGAAGAUCAUCAGAGUGGAGUUGAUAUGCGGAUAUCCUCCCUCACUGUCCUCUUUGUCUUCGGCUUUGUCUGACUCCUUCUCCUUGUCCUUAGACUGUUUUCCCUGAAACUGCUGGAUCAGGAGCCGACAUUGGCGAGUGGUGUGCUUUGGGUAAAUGAUAUUCCCCUCUUCAUCUUUCUUCGUGUGGAUGUGGCACGGCAUAUCCAUCACGUCGUUCCCUUCUUUAUCCUUCACCUUCUUGGGGUUCCAGGAUCCUUUUGGUUUCCCCUUAGAUUUUCCUUGAGUCACGGCUAGAGCCUCCCCAGGAGCUGCCGGUUCAGCCUUCCGCUUCUGUUUCCGACUGGUGUUUCCUUUUUCCGACUGGCUCGGCUUGUGUUUGCCGCUUCGGAGUCGGUCUUCUUCUUCGCCGUUGGCGUACUUGGUAGCAAUCUCCAUCAUCCGACUCAAGGUCAUGUCACCGGUUCGACCAAAUUUCAAACUCAGUUCUCUGUUCUUGACACCAUCUUUGAAAGCGCAUACUGCCUGAUGGUCAGAGACAUUUUCCACAGUGUGGUGCAAAGUGAUCCACCUCUGAAUAUACUCUCUGAGAGUCUCAUUGGUUUUCUGCACGCAGACUUGCAACUCUGUCAAUCCCGCUGGUCGCUUGCAAGUCCCUUCAAACGUUCUGACAAACACUCGGGACAGAUCUUCCCAAGUGUAAAUGCUGCUAGGAGGUAAUUGAGUCAACCAUGCCCUGGCAGAACCUUCCAACAUGAGGGGCAAAUGUUUCAUGGCCACCUCGUCGUUCCCACCACCGAUCUGAACUGCCACUCGGUAGUCUUCAAGCCAAGUUUCAGGCUUGGACUCACCAGUGAACUUGCUGACUCCUGUUGCCAGCCUGAAAUUGGGGGGGAUAACUGCGGCUCUGAUAGCUCUGCUGAAACAUUCAGGACCAGAAACAUAUACUCGACUGCUCGUGGGCGCAUCUCUGUCGAGUGCGCCUCGAUGGGCUCUGUUCCGGUCGACCAACCCUUGCACGAUAAUGGAUCGCGCGUCGAAGCCUGCCUCUCUAUGGUCAACUGGAACCCUACGCCCUGUACUGUACUGACGCCUAUCAUCUGGCCGCCGAGGAGCGUAAGACCCACCCCUCGGAGGGGAAUAGGGCACUCGACGCCUAUCAUCUCGGUCGAGUCUGUCGCCAUAUUGAUCUCGCCGAUUCUCACGCCCUUCGCGCCGCGGAGGCGAUCUGGGGCUGUGAGCCGACUGAACCGUAUUCACAGUGACAGAUCGACUGUGAAUUCUGUUGCGCGACUGAGACACGGCCGAAUUCUGAUCUCCUGCCGCCCGGAGCAGAUCCCUGAUCUGCAGCAAACCUCUGCCAGCCUCUGACUGCGAAGGUUGAAUGGACUCUGCUAUACGGGUCGCAGCUGCUAAAUUCUGAAUUGGGGUUCGAUAUACCUGAGUCGGCGGGAAGAGUUGACGUCGACUGGUGUCGGGAACUCGUUGCCGCGCGCGCUCGUCGAGUGCUCGCUGAAGGUUCUCCAGUCGAGUGCGCUCGGCCAGGUUGGCCAGACGCGCCUCCUCCAAGGCACGAGCCUCGGGGGUUUCUCCUGCGAUGGGAAUACGCAGGGGAUCCUCGUUCCUGCAGCGAAGCUCUUCUCUUUGCAGAGAGUCGAGUGGCUCGGGCUGGUACUCUUCGUAGCCUCGAGCAGGGUCUCCGCCGUCGCCUGCUCCACCACCGCGGGCGAAGCCAGGAGGGCUGUGGGGCCCGUCGACCAUCAAGAUUUCCGCCGCUGGAUCACUGCUUCCGCACUCGGAUGCAGUCUCUCCGGAGCCAGUCGACUGAUCGAACAAGCCGUAGAGAGAUUCGUUGGGCUCGAUUGCCGCAACUUGUGUAGUGGUCGACUGGCGAGCCAUCGCGUGACUCACCCAUCGCUGAAGCCUCGACCGGCCCGAGCGCUUGCGCUGGCGGGAGACCGGGAGGGUGGAAGACGGAGGAGCCGACCGGUACUGGGUCGAUGGCUGCCGCAGCAGAACGCCGCGGACACAUGCGCGAAAAUGCGUCGCACCGCGGACGGGGAGCGCAUCCACGUCGAGUGGAGCCUCUUGGAGCCAUGCGGAGUCGUCGGCGAUGAAGGUGAGAGCGCCGAGACGGAUCUCUUGGCCCUCGACCAAAACUCCAGCAGACACCAUGAUGAAAAUACUCGGAAGAAUCGCAACUUCUCCGAAAAAUCGCUAAAACACCUGCCCCACGGUGGGCGCCAACUGUCGUGGUUCUAAGCCUGACAGUAGAGUGGGGGUAGGUAUUGAGAGGCAAGGUCCUAGCUACGGAGAGGUUGUAAGCACAAAGGAUGUACGAGUUCAGGCCCUUCUCGGAAGAAGCAACAGCCCUACGUCUCGGAGCCCGGAGGCGGUCGAGUGGAUUAUGAAUGUAUGGAUUACAAGGUGCCGAACCCCUCUGCCUGUGGAGGAGGGUGGCUUAUAUAGAGUGCGCCAGGACCCCAGCCAGCCCACGUAGGAGAGGGUUUAAGGUGAGUUAAGUCUGGGGCGUUACUGGUAACGCCCCACAUAAAGUGCCUUUACUAUCAUAAAGUCUACUUAAUUACAGGCCGUUGCGGUGCAGAGUGCCUCUUGACCUCCUGAUGGUCGAGUGAGUCUUCGUGGUCGAGUCCUUCGGGCCAGUCGAGUGAAUCCUCGUUGGUCGACUGGAAGGCGACCUUUUCUAGGGAUGUCCUAGGGUAAGUUACUUGGAACAGGUCCAUGACCCUACCCUAGGUACACAACCCCAUCAAUCGCUACGAGUGAGAAAGUCUCAUCGUAGUCAACUCCUUUGAACUUGUUGGAAAACCUCUUAACGACAAGUCGAGCUUUCUUAAUGGUGACAUUUACCAUCAUUGUCCAUCUUCCUUUUAAAAUCCAUCUGCACCCAACAGCCUUACGACCAUCAAGUAGUUCUUUCAAAGUCUAUACUUUGUUUUUAUACAUCGAUCCUCUCUUGGAUUUUAUGGCCUCGAGCCAUUCGUCAGAAUCCGGGCCCACCAUCGCUUCUCCAUAGCUCGUAGGUUCAUUGUUGUCUAGCAACAUGACUUCCAAGACAGGAUUACGUACCACUCUGAAGUAGUAUGCAUCCUUGUCGACCUAUGAGGUUUGGUAGUGACUUGAUCCAAAGUUUCAUGAUCACUAUCAGAAGCUUCCACUUCAAUCGGUGUAGGUGCCACAGGAACUACUUCCUGUGCCCUGCUCCACACUAGUUGAAGUGACGGUUCAAUAACCUCAUCAAGUCUCCACCAUCCUCCCACUCAAUUCUUUCGAGAGAAACUUUUCCUCGAGAAAGGACCCGUUUCUAGAAACAAUCACUUUUGCUUCCAGAUCUGAAAUAGGAGGUAUACCCAACUGUUUUGGGUAUUCUAUGAAGAUGCAUUUAUCCGCUUUGGGUUCGAGCUUAUCAGCCUGAAACUUUUUCACAUAAGCAUCGCAGCCCCAAACUUUUAAGAAACGACAGCUUAGGGUUUUUCUAAACCAUAGUUCAUACGGUGUCGUCUCAACGGAAUUGUGUGGUGCCCUAUUUAUAGUUAGUGCGGUUGUCUCUAAUACCUAACCCAUAAACGAUAGUGGUAAUUCGAUAAGAGACAUCAUGGUAUGCACCAUAUCCAAUAGGGUGCAGUUGUGAUGUUCGGACACACCAUCACACUAUGGUGGUCCAGGCAGUAUUAGUCGUGAAACAAUUUCCAUAAUGUCUUAAUUGCGUGCCAAACUCGUAACUCAGAUAUUCAUCUCUAUGAUCAUAUCAUAGACAUUUUAUCCUCUUGUCACGACGAUCUUCAACUUCACUAUGAAAUUACUUGAACCUUUCAAUAAUUCAGACUUGUGUUUCAUCAAGUAAAUAUACUCAGCAUCUACUCGAAUCAUCUGUGAAGUAAGAACAUAACGAUAUCCAGUGCAUGCCUCAGCACUCAUUGGACUGCACACAUCAAAAUGUAUUACUUCCAACAAGUUGCUUUCUUGUUCCAUCUUAUUGAAAACGAGGCCUUUCAGUCAUCUUGCCCAUGUGGUAUGAUUUGCAUGUCUCAAGUGAUUCAAAAUCAAGUGAGUCCAAACGAUCCAUCUGCAUGGAGUUUCUUCAUGCAUAUCUACCAAUAGACACGGUUCGCAUGUCUCAAUCUUUUCAAAACGAGUGAGACCAAAGAUCCAUCAACAUGGAGCUUCUUCAUGCGUUUUAUACUAACAUGACUCAAAUGGCAGUGCCACAAGUACGUGGUACUAUCAUUACUAUCUUAUAUCUUUUGGCAUGAACAUGUGUAUCACUACGAUCGAGAUUCAAUAAACCAUUCAUUUUAGGUGCAAGACCAUCAAAGGUAUUAUUCAAAUAAACAGAGUAACCAUUAUUCUCCUUAAAUGAAUAACCGUGUGGCGAUAAACAUAAUCCAAUCAUGUCUAUGCUCAACGCAAACACCAAAUAACAAUUAUUUCGGUUUAACACCAAUCUCGAUGGUAGAGGGUGCGUGCGAUGUUUGAUCACAUCAACCUUGGAAACACUUCCAACACAUAUCGUCAUCUCACCUUUAGCUAGUCUCCGCAGCCUUUUAUUUCGAGUUACUAACGCUUAGCAACCGAACCGGUAUUUAUUACCCUGGUGCUACUAGGAGUACUAGUAAAGUACACAAUAAUAUGACGUAUAUCCAAAAUACUUUUGUCGACCUUGCCAGCCUUCUCAUGUACCAAGUAUCUAGAGUAGUUCUGCUUCAGUGACUGUUCCCCUCAUUAUAGAAGCACUUAGUCUCGGGUUUGGUUCAACCUUGGGUUUCUUCACUAGAGCAGCAACUGAUUUGCCGUCUCAUGAAGUAUCCCUUCUUUCUCUUGCCCUUCUUGAAACUAGUAUUUUAACCAUCAACAAUUGAUGCUCCUACUUGAUUUCUACUUUCGCGGUGUCAAACAUCGCGACUUGCUCAAGGACCAUCAUGUCUAUCCCUGAUAUGUUAUAGUUCAUCACGAAGCUCCAAUAGCUUGAUGGCAGUCACUAUGGAGAACCAUCACUUUCUCAUCUGGAAGAUUAAAUCCCACUCGAUUCAAGCGAUUGCGGUACUCAGACAAUCUGAGCACAUGCUCAACGAUUGAGUUUUUCUCCCUUAGUUUGCAGGCUUAAGAAACUUGUCAGAGGUCUCAUACCUCUUGACGUGGGCACUAGUCUGAAAUUCCAAUUUCAGUCCUUGGAACAUCUCAUAUGUUUUGCGACGUUUCAAAAACGUCUUUGGUGCCCACAAUUCUAAACCGUUAGCAUUACGCACUGAACUAUCACGUAGUCAUCAAAACGUGUAUGUCAGAUGUUUCCCAAUAUCUACAGACGACGCUCAAGGUUCAACGCACUGAGCGGUGCAUUAAGGACAUAGCCCUUUUGUGCAUCAAUGAGGACAAUCCUCAGUUCACGGACCCAGUCCGCAUAAUUGCUACUAUCAACUCUCAACUAAAUUUUCUCUAGGAACAUAUCUAAAAUAGUAGAACCAAAGCGUGAGCUACGACAUAAUUUGCAAAGACCUUUUGACUAUGUUCAUGAUAAUUAAGUUCAUCUAAUCAAAUUAUUCAAUGAACUCCCACUUAGAUAGACAUCCCUCUAGUCAUCUAAGUGAUACAUGAUCUGAGUCAACUAGGCCGUGUCCGAUCAUCACGUGAGACGGACUAGUCAUCAUCGAUGGACAUCUUCAUGUUGAUCGUAUCCACUAUACGGCUCAUGUUCGACCUUUCGGUCUUUCGUGUUCCGAGGCCAUGUCUGUACAUGCUAGGCUCGUCAAGUUAACCUAAGUGUAUUGCGUGUGUAAGUCUGGCUUACACCCGUUGUAUGCGAACGUUAGAACCUAUCACACCCGAUCAUCACGUGGUGCUUCGGAACAAUGGACUUUAGCAACAGUGCACAGUUAGGGGGAACACAAUUCUUGAUAUUUUAAUGAGGGAUCAUCUUAUUUAUGUUGGGGAACAUUGCAGAAAAUUAAAAUUUUUCCUACGGUUUCACCAAGAUCCAUCUAUGAGUUCAUCUAAGCAACGAGUCAAGGGAGAGAGUUUGCAUCUACAUACCACUUGUAGAUCGCGUGCGGAAGCUUGCAAGGUGAUGAUGUAGUCGUACUCGACGUGAUUCGAAUCACCGAUGACCAAGUGUUGAACGGACAGCACCUCCGCGUUCAACACACGUACGGGACGGGAGACGUCUCCUCCUUCUUGAUCCAGCAAGGGGGAAGGAGAGGUUGAGGAAGACAGCUCCACCGGCAGCACGACGACGUGGUGAUGGAGGAGAGGCAGUACUCCGAUAGGGCUUCGCCAAGCACACAACGGAGGAGGAGAGGUGUUGGGGAGGGGAGGGCUGCGCCUUGUAGGGUGGUUCGGCUGCCCUCCCCUCACCCCUCUAUUUAUAGGGGGAAGGGAGAAGGGGGCCGGCCCCCUAGAACCCAUCCAGGGGGGGUGCGGCGGCCUAGGGGAGAGGGGAGAGGGUGGCUUGCCCCCCAAGCCAAGGGGGGCGCCCCCUCUAGGGUUCCCCCUCAACCCUAGGCGCAUGGGCCCAAGGGAGGGGGGUGCGGCCAGCCCACCAGGGGCUGGCUCCCUGCCCCACGCAGCCCAUGUGGCCCCCCGGGAGGGGUGGCCCCUCCCGGUGGACCCCCGGAACCCUUCCGGUGGCCCCGGUACAAUACCAGUAUGACCCCGAAACUUCCCGGUGUCCGUUUGACAACUUCCCAUAUAUAAAUCUUUACCUCCGGACCCUUCCGGAUCUCCUCGUGACGUCCAGGAUCCCAUCCGGGACUCCGAACAACAUUCGGUAGUCACAUACUAGUCUUCCUAAUAACCCUAGCGUCACCGAACCUUAAGUGUGUAGACCCUACGGGUUCGGGAGACAUGCAGACAUGACCGAGACGCUCUCAGUCAAUAACCAACAGCGGGAUCUGGAUACCCAUGAUGGCUCCCACAUGCUCCUCGAUGUUGUCAUCGGAUGAACCACGAUGUCGAGGAUUCGAUCAAACCCUGUAUGCAAUUCCCUUUGUCAAUCGGUACGUUACUUGCCCGAGACUCGAUCGUUGGUAUCCCAAUACCUUGUUCAGUCUCGUUACCGGCAAGUCACUUUACUCGUACCGUAAUGCAUGAUCCCGUGUCCAACACCUUGGUCACAUUGAGCUCAUAAUGAUGAUGCAUUACCGAGUGGGCCCAGAGAUACCUCUCCGUCAUACGGAGUGACAAAUCCCAGUCUCGAUCCGUGUCAACCCAAUAGCUACUUUCGGAGAUACCUGUAAUGCACCUUUAUAGUCACCCAGUUACGUUGUGACGUUUGAUACACCCAAGGCACUCUUACGGUAUCCGGGAGUUACACGAUCUCAUGGUCGAAGGAAGAGAUACUUGACACUGGCAAAGCUCUAGCAAAACGAACUACACGAUCUUUUAUGCUAUGCUUAGGAUUGGGUCUUGUCCAUCACAUCAUUCUCCUAAUGAUGUGAUCCCGUUAUCAACGACAUCCAAUGUCCAUAGUCAGGAAACCAUGACUAUCUGUUGAUCACAACGAGCUGGUCAACUAGAGGCUUACCAGGGACAUAUUGUGGUCUAAGUAUUCACACGUGUAUUACGAUUUCCGGAUAAUACAGUUAUAGCAUGAAUAAAAGACAUUUAUCAUGAACAUUGAAAUAUAAUAAUACUUUUAUUAUUGCCUCUAGGGCAUAUUUCCAACAGUCUCCCACUUGCACUAGAGUCACCAAUCUAGUUACAUUGUGAUGAAUCGAACACCCAUAGAGUUCUGGUGUUGAUCAUGUUUUGCACGCGAGAGAGGUUUAGUCAGCGGAUCUGCGACAUUCAGAUCCGUGUGCACUUUGCAAAUCUCUAUGUCUCCAUCUUGAACAUUUUCACGGAUGGAGUUGAAACGACGCUUGAUGUGCCUGGUCUUCUUGUGAAACCUGGGCUCCUUGGCGAGGGCAAUAGCUCCAGUGUUGUCACAGAAGAGUUUGAUCGGCCCCGACGCAUUGGGUAUGACUCCUAGGUCGGUGAUGAACUCCUUCACCCAAAUUGCUUCAUGCGCUGCCUCCGAGGCUGCCAUGUACUCCGCUUCACAUGUAAAUCCCGCCACGACGCUCUGCUUGCAGUUGCACCAGCUUACUGCUCCACCAUUCAACAUAUACACGUAUCCGGUUUGUGACUUAGAGUCAUCCAGAUCUGAGUCGAAGCUAGCGUCGACGUAACCCUUUACAACGAGCUCUUCGUCUCUUCCAUAAACGAGAAACAUGUCCUUCGUCCUUUUCAGGUACUUCAGGAUAUUCUUGACCGCUGUCCAGUGUUCCUUGCCGGGAUUACUUUGGUAUCUUGCUACCAAACUUACGGCAAGGUUUACAUCGGGUCUGGUACACAGCAUGGCAUACAUAAUAGAUCCUAUGGCUGAAGCAUAGGGGAUGACACUCAUCUCUUCUUUAUCUUUUGCCGUGGUCGGUGACUGAGCCGAGCUCAAUCUCACACCUUGUAACAUAGGCAAGAACCCCUUCUUGGACUGAUCCAUUUUGAACCUCUUCAAAAUCUUAUCAAGGUAUGUGCUUUGUGAAAGACCUAUGAGGCGUCUCGAUCUAUCUCUAUAGAUCUUGAUGCCUAAUAUAUAAGCAGCUUCUCCAAGGUCCUUCAUUGAAAAACACUUAUUCAAGUAGGCCUUAAUGCUGUCCAGAAAUUCUAUAUUAUUUCCCAUCAAGAGUAUGUCAUCUACAUAUAAUAUGAGAAAUGCUACAGAGCUCCCACUCACUUUCUUGUAAACGCAGGCUUCUCCAUAAGUCUGCAUAAACCCAAACGCUUUGAUCAUCUCAUCAAAGCGAAUGUUCCAACUCCGAGAUGCUUGCACCAGUCUAUAAAUGGAUCGCUGGAGCUUGCAUACUUUGUUAGCAUUCCGAGGAUCGACAAAACCUUCCGGCUGCAUCAUAUACAGCUCUUCCUUAAGAUGUCCAUUAAGGAAUGCCGUUUUGACGUCCAUUUGCCAUAUCUCAUAAUCAUAGUAUGCGGCAAUUGCUAACAUGAUUCGGACGGACUUCAGCUUCGCUACGGGAGAGAAAGUCUCGUCGUAGUCAAUCCCUUGAACUUGUCGAUAACCCUUAGCGACAAGUCGAGCCUUAUAGAUUGUAACAUUACCAUCCGCGUCCGUCUUCUUCUUAAAGAUCCAUUUGUUUUCUAUCGCUCGCCGAUCAUCGGGCAAGUCUGUCAAAGUCCAUACUUUGUUUUCAUACAUGGAUUCUAUCUCGGAUUUCAUGGCUUCAAGCCAUUUGUUGGAGUCCGGGCCCGCCAUCGCUUCUUCAUAGUUCGAAGGUUCAUUGUUGUCUAACAACAUGAUUUCCAGGACAGGGUUGCCGUACCACUCUGGUGCGGAACGUGUCCUUGUGGACCUACGAAGUUCAGCAGUAACUUGAUUCGAAGUACCUUGAUCAUCAUCAUUGUUUUCCUCUUCAGUUGGUGUGGGCAUCACAGGAACGGUUUCCUGCGCUGCGCCACUUUCCCACUCAAGAGGUAGUACUUCAUCGAGUUCUACUUUCCUCCCACUUACUUCUUUCGAGAGAAACUCUUUUUCCAGAAAGGAUCCAUUCUGGGCAACAAAGAUCUUGCCUUCGGAUCUUAAGUAGAAGGUAUACCCGACAGUUUCCUUAGGGUAUCCUAUGAAUACGCAUUUUUCCGACUUGGGUUCGAGCUUUUUAGGUUGAAGUUUCUUGACAUAAGCAUCGCAUCCCCAAACUUUUAGAAACGACAGCUUAGGUUUCUUUCCAAACCAUAAUUCAUACGGUGUCGUCUCAACGGAUUUAGACAGUGCCCUAUUUAAAGUGAAUGUAGCUGUCUCUAGAGCGUAUCCCCAAAAUGAUAGCGGUAAAUCGGUAAGAGACAUCAUGGACCGCACCAUAUCCAAUAGGGUGCGAUUACGACGUUCGGACACACCGUUUCACUGAGGUGUUCCAGGCGGCGUGAGCUGUGAAACGAUUCCACAUUUCCUUAAGUGUGUACCAAAUUCGUGACUUAAGUAUUCUCCUCCAUGAUCUGAUCGUAAGAAUUUUAUCUUUCGGUCACGUUGAUUCUCUACCUCAUUCUGAAAUUCCUUGAACUUUUCAAAGGUCUCAGACUUGUGUUUCAUUAAGUAGACAUACCCAUAUCUACUCAAGUCAUCUGUGAGAGUGAGAACAUAACGAUAUCCUCCGCGAGCCUCAACGCUCAUUGGACCGCACACAUCGGUAUGUAUGAUUUCCAACAAGUUGGUUGCUCGCUCCAUUGUUCCAGAGAACGGAGUCUUGGUCAUUUUGCCCAAAAGGCAUGGUUCGCAUGUGUCAAACGAUUCAUAAUCAAGAGACUCUAAAAGUCCAUCGGCAUGGAGCUUCUUCAUGCGCUUGACACUAAUGUGACCAAGGCGGCAGUGCCACAAGUAUGUGGUACUAUCGUUAUCAACUUUAAAUCUUUUGGCAUCUACACUAUGAACAUGUGUAAUAUUACGCUCGAGAUUCAUUAAGAAUAAACCAUUGACCAUCGGAGCAUGACCAUAAAACAUAUCUCUCAUAUAAAUCGGACAACCAUUAUUCUCAGACUUAAAUGAGUAGCCAUCUCGUAUUAAACGAGAUCCAGAUACAAUGUUCAUGCUCAAACUUGGCACUAAAUAACAAUUAUUAAGGUUCAAAACUAAUCCCGUAGGUAAAUGUAGAGGCAGCGUGCCGACGGCGAUCACAUCGACUCUGGAACCAUUCCCGACGCGCAUCGUCACCUCGUCCUUCGCCAGUCUCCGUUUAUUCCGCAGCUCCUGCUGUGAGUUACAAAUAUGAGCAACGGCACCGGUAUCAAAUACCCAGGAGUUACUACGAGUACUGGUAAGGUACACAUCAAUCACAUGUAUAUCAAAUAUACCUUUGGUGUUGCCGGCCUUCUUAUCCGCUAAGUAUUUGGGGCAGUUCCGCUUCCAGUGACCCUUCCCCUUGCAAUAAAAGCACUCAGUCUCAGGCUUGGGUCCAUUCUUUGACUUUUUCCCGGUAACUGGCUUACCAGGCGCGGCAACAUCUUUGCCGUCCUUCUUGAAGUUCUUCUUACCCUUGCCCUUCUUGAACUUAGUGGUCUUAUUGACCAUCAACACUUGAUGUUCUUUCUUGAUUUCAGCCUCUGCUGACUUCAGCAUCGAGAACACUUCAGGAAUGGUCUUUUCCAUCCCCUGCAUGUUGUAGUUCAUCACAAAGCUCUUGUAGCUUGGUGGGAGCGACUGGAGGAUUCUGUCAAUGACCGCCUCAUCUGGGAGGUUAAUGUUCAGCUGGGUCAUACGGUUGUGCAACCCAGACAUCUUCAGGAUGUGCUCACUGACAGAACUGUUUUCCUCCAUCUUACAACUGUAGAACUUGUCGGAGACAUCAUAUCUCUCGACUCGGGCAUGAGCUUGAAAAACUAGUUUCAGCUCUUCGAACAUCUCAUAUGCUCCGUGGUGCUCAAAACGCUUUUGGAGCCCCGGUUCUAAGCUGUAAAGCAUGCCGCACUGAACGAGGGAGUAAUCAUCAGCACGAGACUGCCAAGCAUUCAUAAUGUCUUGGUUCUCUGGGACGGGAGCGUCACCUAGCGGUCCUUCUAGGACAUAUUGUUUCCUGGCAGCUAUGAGGAUGAUCCUCAGGUUCCGGACCCAGUCCGUAUAGUUGCUGCCAUCAUCUUUCAGCUUGGUUUUCUCUAGGAACGCGUUGAAGUUCAUGUUGACAUUAGCGUUGGCCAUUGAUCUACAAGACAUAUUUGCAAAGGUUUUAGACUAAGUUCAUGAUAAUAAAGUUCUAAUCAAAUUAUAAACUCCCACUUAGAUUAGACAUCCCUCUAGUCAUCUAAGUGUUACACGAUCCGAGUCGACUAGCCCGUGUCCGAUCAUCACGUGAGACGGACUAGUCAUUGUCGGUGAACAUUCUCAUGUUGAUCGUAUCUUCCAUACGAUUCGUGUUCGACCUUUCGGUCUCCGUGUUCCGAGGCCAUGUCUGCACAUGCUAGGCUCGUCAAGUUAACCCUAAGUGUUUUCGCUGUGUAAAACUGUCUUACACCCGUUGUAUGUGAACGUAAGAAUCCAUCACACCCGAUCAUCACGUGGUGCUUAGAAGCGACGAACUGUAGCAACGGUGCACAGUUAGGGGAGAACACUUCUUGAAAUUUUAUAAGGGAUCAUCUUAUUUACUACCGUCGUCCUAAGUAAACAAGAUGCAUAAUACAUAAUAAACAUCACAUGCAAUUAUAUAGUUGUGACAUGAUAUGGCCAAUAUCAUACAGCUCCAUUGAUCUUCAUCUUCGGGGCUCCAUGAUCAUCUUGUCACCGGCUUGACACCAUGAUCUCCAUCAUCAUGAUCUCCAUCAUCGUGUCUUCAUGAAGUUGUCACGCCAACGACUACUUCUACUUCUAUGACUAACGUUUAGCAAUAAAGUAAAGUAGUUUACAUGGCGUUAUUCAAUGACACGCAGGUCAUACAAAAAAAAUAAUGACAACUCCUAUGGCUCCUGCCGGUUGUCAUACUCAUCGACAUGCAAGUCGUGAAUCCUAUUACAAAGAACAUGAUCUCAUACAUCACAAUUCAUCAUUCAUCACAACUUCUGGCCAUAUCACAUCACAUGAUCAAUCGCUGCAAAAACAAGUUAGACGUCCUCUAAUUGUUGUUGCAUCUUUUACGUGGCUGCAAUUGGGUUCUAGCAAGAACAUUUUCUUACCUACGAAUCACCACAACGUGAUUUUGUCAACUUCUAUUUACCCUUCAUAAGGGCCCUGUUCAUCGAUUCCGCUCCAACUAAAGUGGGAGAGACAGACACCCGCCAGCCACCUUAUGCAACUAGUGCAUGUCAGUCGGUGGAACCGGUCUCACGUAAGCGUACGUGUAAGGUUGGUCCGGGCCGCUUCAUCCCACAAUACCGUUGAGCAAGAAAAGACUAGUAGAGGCAAGUAAGAUGACAAAAUCCACGCCCACAACAAAAUUGUGUUCUACUCGUGCAAAGAGAACUACGCAUAGACCUAGCUCAUGAUGCCACUGUUGGGGAACGUUGCAGAAAAUUAAAAUUUUUCCUACGGUUUCACCAAGAUCCAUCUAUGAGUUCAUCUAAGCAACGAGUCAAGGAAGAGAGUUUGCAUCUACAUACCACUUGUAGAUCGCGUGCGGAAGCUUGCAAGGUGAUGAUGUAGUCGUACUCGACGUGAUUCGAAUCACCGAUGACCAAGUGCUGAACGGACAGCACCUCCGCGUUCAACACACGUACGGGACGGGAGACGUCUCCUCCUUCUUGAUCCAGCAAGGGGGAAGGAGAGGUUGAGGAAGACAGCUCCACCGGUAGCACGACGGCGUGGUGAUGGAGGAGAGGCAGUACUCCGACAGGGCUUCGCCAAGCACACAACGGAGGAGGAGAGGUGUUGGGGAGGGGAGGGCUGCGCCUUGUAGGGUGGUUCGGCUGCCCUCCCCUCACCCCUCUAUUUAUAGGGGGAAGGGAGAAGGGGGCCAGCCCCCUAGAACCCAUCUAGGGGGGGUGCGGCGGCCUAGGGGAGAGGGGAGAGGGUGGCUUGCCCCCCAAGCCAAGGGGGGCGCCCCCUCUACGGUUCCCCCUCAACCCUAGGCGCAUGGGCCCAAGGGAGGGGGGUGCGGCCAGCCCACCAGGGGCUGGCUCCCUGCCCCACGCAGCCCAUGUGGCCCCCCGGGAGGGGUGGCCCCUCCCGGUGGACCCCCGAAACCCUUCCGGUGGCCCCGGUACAAUACCAGUAUGACCCCGAAACUUCUCGGUGUCCGUUUGACAACUUCCCAUAUAUAAAUCUUUACCUCCGGACCCUUCCGGAUCUCCUCGUGACGUCCAGGAUCCCAUCCGGGACUCCGAACAACAUUCGGUAGUCACAUACUAGUCUUCCUAAUAACCCUAGCGUCACCGAACCUUAAGUGUGUAGACCCUACGGGUUCGGGAGACAUGCAGACAUGACCGAGACGCUCUCAGUCAAUAACCAACAGCGGGAUCUGGAUACCCAUGAUGGCUCCCACAUGCUCCUCGAUGUUGUCAUCGGAUGAACCACGAUGUCGAGGAUUCGAUCAAACCCUGUAUGCAAUUCCCUUUGUCAAUCGGUACGUUACUUGCCCGAGACUCGAUCGUCGGUAUCCCAAUACCUUGUUCAGUCUCGUUACCGGCAAGUCACUUUACUCAUACCAUAAUGCAUGAUCCCGUGUCCAACAGCUUGGUUACAUUGAGCUCAUUAUGAUGAUGCAUUACCGAGUGGGCCCAGAGAUACCUCUCCGUCAUACGGAGUGACAAAUCCCAGUCUCGAUCCGUGUCAACCCAACAGAUACUUUCGGAGAUACCUGUAAUGCACCUUUAUAGUCACCCAGUUACGUUGUGACGUUUGAUACACCCAAGGCACUCUUACGGUAUCCGGGAGUUACACGAUCUCAUGGUCGAAGGAAGAGAUACUUGACACUUGCAAAGCUCUAGCAAAACGAACUACACGAUCUUUUAUGCUAUGCUUAGGAUUGGGUCUUGUCCAUCACAUCAUUCUCCUAAUGAUGUGAUCCCGUUAUCAACGACAUCCAAUGUCCAUAGUCAGGAAACCAUGACUAUUUGUUGAUCACAACGAGCUAGUCAACUAGAGGCUCACCAGGGACAUAUUGUGGUCUAAGUAUUCACACGUGUAUUACGAUUUCCGGAUAAUACAGUUAUAGCAUGAAUAAAAGACAUUUAUCAUGAACAUUGAAAUAUAAUAAUACUUUUAUUAUUGCCUCUAGGGCAUAUUUCCAACAAUUUAUGCUACCGUCGUUCUAAGCAAAUAAGAUGUAACCAUGACAAACAUCACAUGCAAAUCAUAAAGUGACAUGAUAUGGCCAAUAUCAUCUUGCGCCUUUGAUCUCCAUCUUCGAGUCGCGGCAUGAACACCAUCGUCACCGGCAUGACACCAUGAUCUCCAUCAUCGUGUCUUCACGAAGUUGCCUCGCCAACUAUUACUUCUACUACUAUGGCUAACGGUUAGCAAUAAUUUAAAGUAAUUACAUGGCGUUUUCAUUGACACGCAGGUCAUAAAUAAAUUAAGACAACUCCUAUGGCUCCUGCCGGUUGUUAUACUCAUUGACAUGCAAGUCGUGAUUCCUAUUACAAGAACAUGAUCAAUCUCAUACAUCACAUAUAUCAUUCAUCACACCCUUUUGGCCAUAUCACAUCACAUAGCAUACCCUGCAAAAACAAGUUAGACGUCCUCUAAUUGUUGUUGCAUGUUUUACGUGGCUGCUAUGGGUUUCUAGCAAGAACGUUUUUUACCUACGCAAAACCACAACGGUGAUAUGCCAAUUGCUAUUUACCCUUUAUAAGGACCAUUUUCAUCUAGUCCGAUCCAACUAAAAUGGGAGAGACAAACACCCGCUAGCCACCUUAUGCAACUACUGCAUGUCAGUCGGUGGAACCUGUCUCACGUAAGAGUACGUGUAAGAUCGGUCCGGGCCGCUUCAUCCCACAAUGCCGCCGAAUCAAGAUAAGACUAGUAACGGCAAGCAAAUUGAACAAAUCAUCAGCCACAACUACUUUGUGUUCUACUCGUGCAUAGAAUCUACGCAUAGACCUAGCUCAUGAUGCCACUAUUGGGGAACGUAGCAAUAAUUCAAAAUUUUCCUACGUGUCACCAAGAUCAAUCUAGGAGAUACUAGCAACGAGAGAGAGGGAGUGCAUCUUCAUACCCUUGAAGAUCUCUAAGCGGAAGCGUUCAAGAGAACGGGGUUGAUGGAGUCGUACUCGUCGUGAUCCAAAUCACCGAUGAUCCUAGCGCCGAACGGACGGCACCUCCGCGUUCAACACACGUACGGAACAGAGACGUCUCCCGCGCCUUGAUCCAGCAAGGAGGAGGGAGAGGUUGAGGAAGAGAGUCCAACAGCAGCACGACGGCAAGGUGGUGAUGGAGUGGCAGUUCUCCGGUAGGGCCUCGCCAAGCUCACGCGGAGGAGGAGAGGUAUUGGAGGGCAGGGGCUGCGCCAGGUGCAAGGGUAUGGCCGUCCUCCCACCCCUCCACUAUUUAUAGGUGGGGAGAGAGGGGGUCAUCCCCCUAGAUCCCAUCUAGGGUUGGGGGCGGCUGCCAAAGGGGGGAGGAGUGCCUCCCAAGUCAAGUGGAGGUCCUCCCCCUUAGGGUUUCCCCUCUCCCAUGCGCAUGGGCCUUGGGGUGGCUGGUGCCCCUGGCCCAUUAAGGCUAGGGAGCCCCCCUACAGCCCAUGCUGCUGUAUUGGACGUGGUGGAACAUUUUCUGGACCUCCAGACCCCUCUGGAAUCCUCCGGAACCUUCCGGAAGCUUCCUGGUACAAUACCGAAAAAACCAAACUUUUUCUGGAACCCGAACAAUAACUUUCCAUAUACAAAUCUUUACCUCCGGACCAUUCCGGAACUCCUCGUGAUGUCCGGGAUCUCAUCCGGGACUCCGAACAACAUUCGGUAAUCACAUACAAGUCUUCCUAAUAACCCUAGCGUCAUCGAACCUUAAGUGUGUAGACCCUACGGGUUCGGGAACCAUGCAGACAUGACCGAGACAUCUCUCUGGUCAAUAACCAACAGCGGGAUCUGGAUACCCAUGUUGGCUCCCACAUGUUCCACAAUGAUCUCAUCGGAUGAACCACGAUGUCAAGGAUUCAGUCAAUCCCAUAUACAUAUCCCUUUGUCUAUCGGUACAAUACUUGCCCGAGAUUCGAUCGUCGGUAUCCCGAUACCUCGUUCAAUCUCGUUACUGGCAAGUCUCUUUACUCGUUCCGUAACACAUCAUCCCGUGAUCAACUCCUUGGUCACAUUGUGCACAUUAUGAUGAUGUCCUACCGAGUGGGCCCAGAGAUACCUCUCCGUUACACGGAGUGACAAAUCCCAGUCUCGAUUCGUGCCAACCCAACAGACACUUUCGGAGAUACCCGCAGUGCACCUUUAUAGCCACCCAGUUAUGUUGUGACGUUUGGUACACCCAAAGCAUUCCUACGGUAUCCGGGAGUUGCACAAUCUCAUGGUCUAAGGAAAUGAUACUUGACAUUAGAAAAGCUUUAGCAUACGAACUACACGAUCUUGUGCUAGGCUUAGGAUUGGGUCUUGUCCAUCACAUCAUUCUCCUAAUGAUGUGAUCCCGUCAUCAACGACAUUCAAUGUCCAUGGUCAGGAAACCGUAACCAUCUAUCGAUCAACGAGCUAGUCAACUAGAGGCUUACUAGGGACAUGGUGUUGUCUAUGUAUCCACACAUGUAUCUGAGUUUCCUAUCAAUACAAUUCUAGCAUGGAUAAUAAAAGAUUAUCAUGAACAAGGAAAUAUAAUAAUAACUAAUCUAUUAUUGCCUCUUGGGCAUAUUUCCAACAGUAUCCACACUCUCUCUUCCUCCUGAUUAACCUGCCCCCCAUUCAUGCCCUCCUCUUCUGUGAUUUAAUCACAAGAGUUUCUUAUCUUUGUUUGUGCAGGUCCUUUUUGUGUAUGCCUACAAGUUGUUCGAUAAAAAUCCAAGCAGGUUGUAGGAGAAGGUUAAUUCCAUUUUAUGCCCUUUUGUGUACUCAACGGUUCUUUUUUUUCUAACAUUUAGCAUGCAGUCAACAUAACUUACAUGUACAAUGUAUUACCUGGUCAUGAAACUUGCCUACUCAAGAUAUGAGUAAAUUGAGUAAAUUCCCCAGAAAAUAUAGUUAUGCUUGAUUUAAUAUGGUUUGCUGUCACGCACAAGUGCACAUUUAGUGAACUGCAAGCUUAAAUCAUGACAAUGUUCUAUGCUGAGCAAAUCCACCCUUUGCAGGUAUGCUUAGUAACGUCAAAGAGAUGCCGCCAAUUACAAAUUAUGAUAUUCAUCAUUACACAUUAGCACCACCAUGGAUAGCCAAGAUCCUUCCCAGCCAUGAUAAUCAGGUAUCUUAAAAGGUGCAACACAUUUGAUUUUGGGUUGAUUCUGGUUCUUGUAUUGAAGGCUUGAUGUCUGUGAGUAUUUACUUAAGAGGAAACUUGCAUAUGAUGGAGAAGGCAUUCAUGGUAGAGGGAAAGGUUAUUGUUGAUCCUUUUUGUAAGAUUUCCCCACUUCGCUUUUUUAACUGUGCAUGAUUCCUUAUGGAGAUUCACAAAAGGUGGCUACCUCAGUAAAUGAAUAUACUUUUGGAAGAUUCACAAAAGAUUAGGGUUUAUAUGCAUGUUGUUAUCCAUGACCUGUGAUGGUUUAGAUUGGAGCCUAACUGAAUUAGUUGAAUGUACACUUUCUGAUAUGGAUAAGCAUAUACAAAUAAGGAUCAACAUUUGAUUGGGUGUUACAAAAAAAAUGGUUCCAAGAAAUUUGUGAAGAUGUGAUGAAAGCUACAGAUUUAGAGAAUGAGUUUGCACUAUUGCUUCUAAUAAAUGGUAUGGAAGAUUUAGAAAAACAACCUACACUAUUACUCCCUCCGUGCCAUAAUUAUAUAAGAGGUUGCUACACCCAAUAUAUGAGUACACUAGAUGUAAUAACAUUCUAUAUUAUGGGACAAAGGGAGUGCCUUAUAGGAAACUGUAUGGUGAACACCCAGUUUAUUACAUGGUUUAUGUAUGUGCUUUAUCCUUAUUGUAGUUUUAGUCAUAGGUCACACAUGAACUAUUUCUAAUAAAGGGCCAUGUUUCUGUAUGGUGUUUAUUGCUAUGAUGUUUACUAUCGGUGGUACCAUAGAUUGUUGACUAUAUUUGUUUUGUACUCUGUUCUGCCAGAGUGAACUUUGCUGUCAUUUUCGUCUAUCCAUGCAGAGGAAGUAGAUGAUUGAUAGAGAUUCGGAGGAAGCAAUUAAUAAAUGAAGAUCUCGAGGCUCCUAUUUCUUCAGGUACUUCCUUUACUUGCAGUUUCCUUUUAAUUACGAGCUACCUCUGCCAAUAUAGUCAUUUAUUUAUUUCAUUGCCAGUCUCUGUUGACUGAAAUGUAACCAUGCAUGGGUAGCUUAAAUGGCAGCAGUUCUUAAUUAGUUAGAAAAAGACAACCAGAUUAAUCUUGCUUCAGAUUAUGUUUGUGCUGCUAUUGCCCAUCAUCGGUUGUGUUGUUACUGUUGUUUAAACAUACCUGGAACGGGUAACAAGCGGCAAGCCGCUCUUCAACAUUGUCGAUAACAGCCAGAGAGUGUCUGAAUAUGAGCGUUGUCGAUAACAAGAUAGCUAACUAUCUAUAGUAAAAUUCAGCUCCACGUGUUUAGUUGGUACAUUGCUUCUAAAAUUUAUGCACCCUGAAACUUGAUUUGCAUACUCAGAAUAUAGUCAGAAAUGACAAGGAAUUUAGCUUCAGAAUUGACAAGGAAUGCUCUUUUCUCUCUCUUUAGAUUCAUUGCUAGCCCCACAAAGGAAGAGGAUGUCAGGACGAGGACUGUAAUCAAUCCCCGCCUUACUUUCCCAACGACAGUGUGAAUGACCCCGAGCCUAGGUGAGCAGCGGCCAGACCAGUACUUCCCCACCUGCGUUGCUUUCCCUGUUAUUACUGAGUUUGUGUCGUUGUUGUGCUCCUUCUCUCCCUUCUCCCAGGUGCUGAACGUACCCAUCUUGCUGAUCUAAUGUGUAUCUAUCAAUUUGAUGCAGCGUUGUUGUCUUAUUUUCAUGAUGGCGUGGUGUCUCGACGCGUGAUGGAUUCACUCACACGGAGGAAGCUUUUCUCCGCUACUCCGGCGACAAGCGCACAAGCUUUUGGGUCCAUGGCGCCACCGGUAAACAAGGUAUGUCCUGUUCCGUUGAUUGAUCAGUUCAUCUUGCUUUUAAAAUUCUUACACUAUGAUUUGCUCAAAUUCUAUCAAGACAACGGUGGAAAUUGAAUUUAUUUAUUUGAAAUGCAUGCCAUUUCUCCCUGAUCAUUAGUUCAUGUAUCUUGAUGAUGUAAACCUGGUGUCGUUUAAUCUUUUUCCAUAAACCAGUCAUUUGGGAGUUUAUUGCAAGCUAUACCAUCUUGAUGCGGAAUUGCAGAUUGUGUUCUUGCUAUAAUUUCUUACGACUGGUGCUGCCUAAUGUGUUUUGCAGGUACAGAUCUUGGUGAUCAUGAGUAUUAGUAGCUAUAUAUAUCCAUGUUCUUUGUUCUCAUAUUAGUUCACAGAUAGGUUCUCGACAUGGGUAAUUACUCUCUAAAACAACAAUUUAGUGGUGUGCUAAGCCACUAUUUCUAUAUAAUGAUUAUCAAGAAAAUUUGCUCUAGCACGUAUGCUUUGCAGCCAAGUCUGGCGAACAAAGUAAUUAAGAUGAAGCAUUUUCCUGAUUUUCUUAACCUGGAGCUUUUACCAUCUCUUCAUCGCAUCAACUUUUACAGUAGCAUCCAGUCAAAUCUUUGUUUCUAUGUAUUUUUAACUCUAUUAAAAACUAAAAAAAUUGAAGCACCAGCAAGCCUUUUGUUAAAUCUUAUAUUAUCCACAGUAGGAUAUCUAAAUUCAGUUAUGCUUUAAUCUUAAAAUCUUGAGAAGGCAAUUUAUUUACCUUGGUUUGUUAUCUUGUGUUAUGCGCUACUAAAUGAUAUGAUCCUAUCUAAGAUGAGAAUAUGCAUAGGAAUGGGGCAAUUUAUUGUCAAAGAAAGUCAUGUAGUACCUUGCUGUGAUUAUUAGCCUAUUGUGAUACUCAAUACCUAACAAUGAAAAUGUUUUAUGACUGAAAGUUUGAUGUGAUCUCAAGUAUGAUUUGCUAAUGUUGGUUACAGGAUCUCCAGCCUGACAACAAAAGAAAGGGAUGUUGCCCCGUUAUCGUCGUCAUCCUCAUGGUUAGUUACAUGAUCUCAAGUCUCUCUCUCCAAUUUGCUAAUGGUAGUCCUAUGUAUGACUUGGUAGACGAGAUGUGGGUUCCAAUAGCCUCUCAAGAUUAUAAGUAGAUUUCAUAUAUUUGAACAAUGGACUGGGAUUAUGUUUCAUAUACGCAUAUGUGUUUAUUGUAUCAUUUAGUUCCGCUGCCACAAUGCCAAAGUUUUACUACUCCCUCCGGUCUGAAUUAAUUGACGUGAUCUGCCGAUAAUGGUUUGAAGUGUCAGGCUUGCUGAUAUAUGUUAUUUCAUAAUAUGCAUAGGGUUUUUCUCUAUCCACUUAGACGGAUUAUCACCCUUUUCAUGGAAGGAUAUAUAAGUUUAGAUCUGAAUAUAUUGUUAAGGCAUUCUCAGUAUGGAAUAUAUGAUGGUACAUAUUCCAGAGUCAUCAUUAUAAACAACAAGGGUUUAUGCCUUUCCAAAUUAAUUAUGUAAGUUAUCUUUGAGCCUUCUCCUGUUCACAAACUUUAAAUAGUCUUGCCGGUAUGUAGGGUUAUAAUACAUGUUUAUACAUUUUAUUCGUUUUAGUGCAUUAAGAUUGUGAUCUCCUUACUAUCAUACUGUUUGCUUAAAACAAAGACCGACAAACCUGCUCCCACUGUAUGCACUCCCGUGUCGUUUACUCUUCAUUGGAAAUCUAUGGGCAAGUGUAGAAAAAUGAGAAUCUGGUUCUUAAACUAAAAUUUGGAUAAACAUGGAAAGUGGAAGUUUUAUUGCUGAUUUUUCAUAUAGUUUCAGCCACGACAAACUGUGGGGGUCCUAAUAUUUUCCUUUCAUUUAAUUUGGCUUAUAAAGAUCUCCAAUGGACAAUGAUGAUAGUCGUUUAAUUGUACUGCUUGCCCUGAUUAUGAUUGCUGCAUUGCAUAUGGUUGCUUCCCAUAUAUUACUUUUGUCUGACUGUAAGUUCAGAAAUUGUUGCUUUGUAAUGAUAAUACUCUUAUUGAUCCCAACCUUAUUGCUUUGGAUGCUGAAAUAUUUGACUGCAAGUUCAGACAUUUGCCCGUCAGGAGGUAAUUUGAGGCUAAAAGUAAUAAGAAUAAAGAACAUAUGAAACCAGUGGAUAUUGCUGACAAAAUCUUAUUAUGGUUUCAGUGUGAGAGCAAGUUGCAUGCUGUAUGAACUAAGGGCAAAUUUGUGUUGUUUCCCUGGAUAUUGCAGGAAUGGGUGAACCAAGGAAAAUAACGCCGAUGUUCUAAGAUAUUUUGAGAUUAGCCUUGAUAGUUGGAUGCCCUGUACCCGUGAGGCGGUCGCUCAUGUAAACUCCAAGGUAGUUACGGCAGAUUGAAGAAUUCAUGUCUCUGAAGCAUGGUAUUUGAGUUAAUUUCAAGCCCCUUCUCCCGUUGUAACUGGUGGUUUGCCAUCCCAGAUAAACCCAUGUUGUCUAAUCAUCGUGCAGUGGCAACAACUAAUUAAAUCAGCCUAUUGUCCCUUGCAUAAAAUAGUCUUUCUUAAAUAGUUAGCCCGGGUUAAUAAUUUUUGGUGCAACUAUACUGUACCGUCUCUAUACUUUGUUUGCUUCCUUAGUUGUUAUCUUUUGACAUCUAACCUGCUUUAUGGCUGCUAAUCAUGGUCCUGCUUAUGUACAUAUUUGUGUAGGUUCAGUUUUUGUCAACAUCGGCUUCUUUGAUAACUUAGUCUUCAAAAUUCGAGAAGUGUGGGUGUGCGACCAUACUGGUCCUCCUAUGCAAAAUGGAUUUACCAUUGUAAGUGAUAAUGUUUGUUCCACUCCGGUUUUUGAUGAUCUGAAGCAUUCACUAAUUUUGCAUCUAGCCUCGACCUCUCUAUAUUGAUAAAGUAUAAAACCACUCUGGAAUUAAGAUCUGUUCGACAUCAUCCAGUCAUUCUUUGGUGGUGGUGGUAGCCCCUUCGGAGGUAAACUGUAUCCGAACCAACUGAAUGACUGCCUGCCGUUGUGGUAUUCCUUCACAUGUGAUUUUGUCCAUUGAAAUACUAUCAGAAGUACCUUCAUUUGCAAGUUGUUUAGAUAGAUUUUUCUGCCAGGAAAGAAAACUUCUUAUUUCGCUUUCGUCUCAGCAUUGUGGUGUCUAAUACACACACACACACACACACACACACACACACACACACACACCUUUGCAUGAACUCUGAUGCGGCAGUAUGAACUUUUUCUUCAUGCUAAGUAGGUGGGUGAGGGUUAGGUUCGGCAAGACUGUUGUGUGUUGCUGCUUGUGCAGGUGGUGUUUUUAAGUUUGUAAGGGCUGUUGCCUGGAUUUGGCUCGUCGUUUCUGUCUGCUUCAUAAAUAAAAUGGAGCGGGGGGUAACCCCUUUCUUUUAAAAAAUAAAAUCCUUUGCCCUGUUCGCUGCUCUUUGGCCUGUAAAGCCGCUAUUUAAAUAAUGUAUGUAGGAACUUCACAAAAGGACAUUAAGUUGCAUAUUAUUCACUAUUCUAUCAUAUGUGAAUUCGAAGAAUAAUAUGUAUUUUCCCCUACCACCUCAUGCCAAUGCCCAUUUUACAUUCAGUACAGAUCACUUUCAUUGAAUUUCCUCUCUUUUGCUCAUUUCAGUGUCCAUUUUUCUAAUAUGUAAUUUGGUGGUGUUCUAUUUAGAGUGUCAGUUACUGGCCUGUCUUGCAGUUUCGGCAUCCUUGUUGCUUCUAUUUUAAUACCGGUGCAAGGUGGCAUCUAUAUCGGGUUGUCCGCAAUCUGAACUUCUUUUACAGUGGCACUCUUUUACUUUGCAAGCGAAAUGCUUGAGAAAUAUAAAUCUUGAAAAUCUACUGGUAAAGAAGGUGCCGAUCAUCCUGUUAUGGAAUUGCUUUAUAAGACCAAUAAUCUUUCGUGAUUUGUUUCUCUCUAAUAGUGUGGCGUGCCCAAGUCUAUUCAUAUUGCCCUAAGAGGCUUUCUUUUCUUCAUUUUCUAUAGGGAUGUAGCGAGAAUGGAUAGUGAGAAUGAUGCAUUUCCAGUUUUUUAUCUUUGGUGUCUAUUUUGUUGUUUUUAGAUGUUUAAGAUAGUGGGAUCAGGCAUGCCUUUUACAGUUUUUCAGUUAACAAAUUUUGUUCAGCUCAAUCAGUUUUUGAUUACUGUGAUGUUAGUGUUCUUUCUUAGCACCUUCACUUUAUUUUUCAAUUAAGUUCAUUGUUCUGUACUUACUGCUAUACUUUGUUCAAAAAUCCAUUGUUCAUUGUUGUUUAUUAAAUUAGCCAUGUCCAUUUGUUAUUCCUAGGAUUUCCUUAAAUAACUAUAAUAGAUGGAACAUGAGAACAUGUCCAUCUCACAGAGAAUUAAUCUUGCUUCCUUACAGAGCCUCUGAACAUGAUGAUCAUGUGGACUAAGCUUGCAUGUGGGUGCGCCAAGGAGCAUGUCCAACCUAUGAAGGGAUAACAACUAAUUGGUCAGACUUUGUGAAGACAUCAUGGAUUGGAGAACGUCAGAUAUGUGUCCUUGUGUUCAAGGCUAAAAGGGGCAAACUGUUGCUUGCUAUCUACAUGCUUUGACAAGGUUGGUUACUAGGUCGUCAUCAUACAUGCAAAUGUUCCCUUUGACAAGGUUGGUUACUAGGUUCUUUGUGAGUGUUUGGUUGGACUUAUGUCGCACCGCUGAUCUGGCUCGCUUUGGUUAUCUAACAAACCAACUAUUGUAUCUACUUGGUGCCAAUUCAUCGGCUUGGCUUACUUUUGGAACAUAGUGCAUAUUUCCCCAUUUGUUGUGAACUUCCAGAUCUAAUGUGCCAUGCUUUUGGUAUAUUUGAUCGCCUUAUCCUGCCACAGUGCCUGGAUAACUCUUCUGUACUGGACAAACUUGUACCAAGGACUGAUCCAUUUUGAGCAAUCACUCUAAAUUUCCUUCGCAAUGGUUAAUACGUUGUUUAUGCGCUUGGAAAAUAAGUCAGUUCCUUUGUUAAGACAAGACUAAGUGGGGUGCGUUAGGCCGUGCAUCCUAUCUUUUUGGGUCAGUUCAUAGAUAAUGAUUUGGUGUAUGGCACGGUACCGAACCAACAUCAUGCUUUUUUUAUAUUUGCAAUGCUCCAAUGAUUGUAUUAUCAUAUUGGGUAUGACUGUAGCCGGUAGCGGUGCUACCGGGUGCGGCAAGCCGCACUUCCUAUCUAGUGGAAUAGAGAUGAAGCACAACCGAAGGUUCUUUUCCCAUGUUAGUUUUGUGUGUCUAUGCUGGUAGUUCAUCGACGGUAUUUGCAAUGUCACACAGAAUUAAAGCCUCACUACUCUACCCCUAUCCUGGUGUGCUCAUCAUAGCCCACAUAACACACAUUAGGGUGUCUGUGGUGUUUUCCUCCCACGGAUCGUCGGGUCUAUAUGUGGUGUUUUAUCAUCCGACGGUUCGGCCUGUCAAGGUGGUGGUGAUGGAAUGUUUGCGUUCAAGUUUGUUCUGAGUGGUUCUCAUGUUUCACAUUUUUUUGUUCUCGAUAAUAAAACAAUGAAGCAGCUCUUUGACAACCUAACUUGGAAGGGGUGUCUCUCAGCCUUAUAGUUCUUAGUGAAUCUAUGGAUCUUAUGUUCUCGCCCAUGACAGUGAGGGCUUUCAAUACCUAUGAUUGUUAGUCCAUCUUGUGCCUGUUUUGUAUUAUGUACUUUCUUUUACCGGAGGUUGAAAGGAAAGUAAAAUGCAAAAGAUGGAGCCAGAGACAACAACUUCAAUAGACUUUGAUGUAACGUCCGAUUGUAUAAGGGAUCGUUUUUAUGUGUCUAUGGUUCAGUUUCUUUGAUCCGUCAUACUUUAUUUAUUUAAUGAAUAAAGUUGGAUCGUUCUAAAAAGAAUCGAAUUCAUGCAUAAGCUAGUUUAUUCAUAAGAUCGAAUUAAUGAGGAAAAAUGGCAAUAUGUUUCAUCAUAAAGAUGUUAUUUAUAUCAAUUUACUUUUGCGGAGUAGCAACCGUUAUGCUCACUGCACCACAAGUUAGGAGUGGGAUCAUCUCCGUUCUCCAACGUAUGCAGUUAUGAAACUAUAUCUGGAUCAUCCUAUCGUGCCAAAGUACCUACGUAGUGUAUAUUGAGGUGACAUGUACUCCCUCUUUUUCGGUUUAUAGGGCNNNNNNNNNNNNNNNNNNNNNNNNNNNNNNNNNNNNNNNNNNNNNNNNNNNNNNNNNNNNNNNNNNNNNNNNNNNNNNNNNNNNNNNNNNNNNNNNNNNNNNNNNNNNNNNNNNNNNNNNNNNNNNNNNNNNNNNNNNNNNNNNNNNNNNNNNNNNNNNNNNNNNNNNNNNNNNNNNNNNNNNNNNNNNNNNNNNNNNNNNNNNNNNNNNNNNNNNNNNNNNNNNNNNNNNNNNNNNNNNNNNNNNNNNNNNNNNNNNNNNNNNNNNNNNNNNNNNNNNNNNNNNNNNNNNNNNNNNNNNNNNNNNNNNNNNNNNNNNNNNNNNNNNNNNNNNNNNNNNNNNNNNNNNNNNNNNNNNNNNNNNNNNNNNNNNNNNNNNNNNNNNNNNNNNNNNNNNNNNNNNNNNNNNNNNNNNNNNNNNNNNNNNNNNNNNNNNNNNNNNNNNNNNNNNNNNNNNNNNNNNNNNNNNNNNNNNNNNNNNNNNNNNNNNNNNNNNNNNNNNNNNNNNNNNNNNNNNNNNNNNNNNNNNNNNNNNNNNNNNNNNNNNNNNNNNNNNNNNNNNNNNNNNNNNNNNNNNNNNNNNNNNNNNNNNNNNNNNNNNNNNNNNNNNNNNNNNNNNNNNNNNNNNNNNNNNNNNNNNNNNNNNNNNNNNNNNNNNNNCACCGCGGCGGCUCCCCCUCCGGGCACCAACGCCUCUUCCGACGGUCCGCCGUGCUUCAAUUGCGGCUUGACCAGCCACUUCCAGGUGGCCUUCCCCAACCCUCCGAUGUGCUACCUGUGCAAGGAUGACAGGCACCCCGCGAUUCUCUGUCCGGACCGCCCGGUGUCGGAGGAGAUCAUGAUGUACGGCCACGACAUCGAGGACAUGGCCUUCUUCCACAUCGAGGUCCCGGAGAUCCCCCCUCCCUCCCCCUCGCCGCUGGCGAUUGUGUCGGUCGUGGACGAGGCCGUCGCCACCCCAGAGCUGAUCGAGGCGGAGCUCAACCACUUGUGCAGGUGCAAGUGGGAUUGGCAGGUGACCCCCACCGCCUCCACCGCCUUCUCGGUGAUCUUCCCCGACGCUAUGAGUAUGGGAUUCUGUACCCGCAGCAAUAACAUCACCUUGGCCCUCAACGGCAUUGUGGUGAACAUCUCAGAGCCGAGGUGGGAUCCCAAGGCUGUGGUUGUUUUGGACACUGCUUGGCUCCUCAUCGCCGGCCUGCCAGAUGUGGCCCGGUCUGAGUGGGUCAUUCGCAGUAUGUCCAAGAUCCUAGGCAAGGUGGUGGUGGUCGACGAGCUCUCCCUGUGCAAGGAGGAGGAGGUCCGGGUCAAGGUGAAGUGCCUGGACUCCUCCAAGCUCCACGCCACGAUUCGUGUCUUCUUCAACGACGACGGCUACGACCUCAAGAUCUGCCCCGAGCCUCCGAACCACGUCGGCCGCCCCUGCUUCUCUGAUGACAGUCACCUGGGGGAUGGCCCAGCAGAUGCCGACGACUCCCACCGCGGACGCUCGCGUCACUCCCGCCUCGACGACCCUGAGGAUGACGAGGACGGCUCGGAGCACUCCCGCUCCCCCUCCUGUGAGCCCACCAACCCACCCUCGGGUCAUGGCGGCUCCGGGGCGGGGCGCACUCAAGUGUCGGCCGCUGACCUCGCGGUGGCCCUCCGCCUGGCCACCCCGCCGGUCGUGCCCUCUCAGUCUCCGUCGGAGUCGACCAAUGACAUCUCCAGUCGGGUCCGGACCCCCCGCCCCCCUGGUUCGACCUACCCGGUUACCAUGGGUGGCGGUGGGUGUGAUGCCUCCGACGCGCCUUCACCGACACUCCCGUCCGCGGGGACCGCGGCCGGUGACACCUUGGAGCUCGUCGGCCCGCUCCCCUCGCCGGUGACCUCCGACGUCCGCCUCGCCUCGCCUGCCUUCCCGACCGCACCGGUGGCCGUGGUCGUGACCACUCCGGCUUCCGCUCACCCUCCUCCGACGGUGGCGUACGCCAGGCGGCCCUGCUCCACCUCGACGCCGGUGAUGGCCUCCCGGCGCAGCGCCCGCCUCGAUGCGUCCCGGCCAGCAGACUCCCCGGCUCCGUCCAUCGUCGAGCAGGCUGAGCUCCGGGCGGCAGUCCGUAACCUCGAGUCAGGUGCGGAUCCCGUCCUUCCCAGUUCUUCCAGCUGUUCCUUUUCCGUGCUUGAGGCCGUUCCUCUUGGCCACCUCACCAAGGUGGCCACUGACUCGCCAUAGUCUUUAGGGGGAAGUUGGUCCCCCCUGAGAGCAGAUCGCGGCCAUUAGGGCCCAUGAGAUUCUCGAUGGCAAGCUGGCUGAGACCCGAGCUCGCUUGCUUCGCCCCCCCCCCUCCCGAGGGAUCGACCGCCACCCCCGCGGUUCGGGCCCCUCGGGUGGCCGAUGGGAUGAUCCGUGGACGCACACGUUCGCGCAUGCUGCUCUCCGCGCUCAAAGCGCUUCCCGUGUCCUAGGGUCAAGCAGCCCCCCGAUGGGGGCUUGGAUGCGGGCCCUUUUCUGGAACAUCCGUGGCUUCGGCCAUGAUGGCCGUUGCCGCCAACUCAUUGAGUACAUUCGUCAUGAACACAUUGAAAUCAUUGCCAUCCAGGAAACCUUGCGCACUGAGUUCUCCCUUCAAGAGCUUGCACAUCUUAGUUCCCACCUCUUCGCUUGGCACUGGAUCCCGUCUAGUGGGACCUCAGGCCACUCUGGUGGCAUCCUUUUAGGGGUAAAGGAUGCCACCUUUGAGGUGGGCGGCAUGGACCGGGGUGAAUUCUUUGUUAGUAUGGAGAUCUUCGAGCGUGCCCCGAACUUCAAAUGGGAGGUCAUAAUUGUUUACGGACCGGCGGACCAUCGCUGCUCCCCGGCCUUCCUAGCGGAGCUUCAGCUGAAGAUCUCUAACUCCCUCCUCCCAGUUGUAGUGGGCGGAGACUUUAACCUCAUCCGAUCCCCGGAUGAGAAGAAUAAUGAUCGGAUUAACUUCCCCCGAAUGCAGUUAUUCAACGAUUGGAUUGCGGAGCUGGGGCUCCGUGAGCUUGAUCGGACGGGGGCCAGGUUCACCUGGACGAACCGUCAGAUUGACCCGACGCAAUCCGUCUUGGAUCGCGUCCUAGUUUCCCCGGAGUGGCAAUUAUGCUGCCCCCUGGCCUCGCUCCGGGCUGUUACCAGGAUCGGGUCUGACCAUGUCCCCCUCCUCCUCUCCAUUACCGAUGAGCGUCCUCCCACCCUGCCGCGAUUCCGGUUCGAGCUCUUCUGGCUCAAUCAAGCCAGCUUCCAGGAGGCUAUCGUCGCUCGCUGGAUCUCCGCUCGCUCUUCCCCUCAUCGCUCCAUGUCUGCUGUCGACUCGUGGCACUUUUGCGCCAAGCUCGUCCGCCAAUUCAUGAAGGGUUGGGGGGCUAACCUUGGUCGAGACCUUAUGGAUCGCAAAAAGGCCCUCCUGUUGGCUAUCCAAGCCCUGGACGCCCGCGCCGACACGACCAGGAUCUCCCCGGAUGAGUGGAUGUUGCGAUAUGACCUUGAAGAUCAGCUCUCCACCAUUUACACGGAUGAAGAGGCCUACUGGCGGCUACACGGUACCCAACGGUGGGUGCUUCGGGGUGAUGCCAACACCGCCUAUUUCCAGGCGGUGGCGAACGGCCGACGUCGUCGCAAUUCCAUCCACUGCCUGUGGGAUGGAGACACGCCUCUCGUUCACCCCUCGGCCAUCCGUGCCCAUGUAGACAGCUUUUAUAAAGCCCUAUUUACCCCCACCCCGCGGGGUGGGGCUAGUCUCGCCCCCGACAUUUGGUCGGGUGUUGCAAUUGGUCUCUGCUGAGGCCAAUGCGGCAUUAGUAGCCCCUUUUGACGAGGAUGAGGUCCUCGCGGGCAUUAAGGGGAUGAACCCCUCCUCGGCCCCAGGUCCGGAUGGCCUGCCCGUGACGUUCUUCAAAACAUUCUGGCCUACCAUCAAGCCGGAGGUCAUGGCCCUGUUUGAGGAAUUCUAUUCGGGCUCCAUGGACCUUGGGCGUCUCAACUAUGGGAUUGUGACCCUCAUCCCCAAGGUCCUGGGCGCUUCUGACAUCCGCCAGUUCCGUCCAAUCACAAUGAUUAAUGUGAUAUUCCAGAUCCUGGCCAAAGGGUACGCCAAUAGGGUGACCCUCCUCGCUGAUGCGAUUACCCAUCCGAACCAAUCCGCCUUCAUACAAGGUUGAUUUAUUCUAGAUGGGGUGCUAGUAUUUCACGAAGUCCUCCAUGAGGUUCGGCUGAAAUGCCAUGGCGGUGUCUUUCUAAAGCUAGACUUCCACAAAGCAUACGACACGGUCCACUGGCCCUUCUUGCGGGAAGUGUUGCUUCGCAAGGGCUUCGACGACCGUUGGUUGACUCGCGUCAUGCAGCUUGUCUCCUGUGGCCGGACCGCAGUGAACAUCAACAGUGACAUUGGUCCCUACUUCCCCACCCUCUAUGGGGUCCGUCAGGGUGACCCUUUCUCACCGUUCUUGUUCAACAUGGUGGUCGAUGCCCUGGCAUCCAUCCUGGAUAAGGCCAAGGAUGCUGGCCACAUCCGCGGCAUCGUCCCCCACCUAGUCGGAGGGGGAGGGGUCUCCCUCCUUCAAUAUGCAGAUGAUACCAUAAUAAUGGUGGAGGGCUUCGCUCUAGAUAUUGCUAACCUGAAGUUCCUCCUCCUGUGCUUCCAACAAAUGUCGGGCCUAACCAUCAACUUCGAUAAGAGCGAAGUGAUGGUUCUCGGAUAUCCGAUGGAGGAAGCACAGGCUAUUGCUGAUCGACUAAAUUGACGGUUGGGUUCUUUCCCCAUGACUUACCUGGGGAUCCCCAUUAGUGAUUCGUGCCUCACCGUGGCCGAUCUUCGCCCCACGGUGACCCGUAUGCAACAUCGCAUUGAGCCCUGGAAAGGGCGCUAGUUGUCGAAGGCUGCUCGCGUGAUCCUUAUCAAUUCUUCGCUUGCCAGCCUUCUAUGGUUCCUCAUGAGCUUCUAUAGCCUCCAUGAAACCCUUCAUCAGGAGAUCGCCAAAUACCAAUCCAGAUUCUUCUGGGCCGGGGAGGGGGAUAAGUAGAAGUACCACAUGGUCAGCUGGCCAGAUAUAUAUCCGCAAACCCAAGGACCAAGGCAGUCUUGGGAUCUUGUCCUCCCGACGCAUGAACAUUGCCCUCUUGACCCGUUGGCUCUGGCGCAUUGCCAAUGGCGAUGGAGGACUUUGGCUCACUAUCAUCCAGAACAAGUACCUUCGUGGACAGCCUCUCGCAUUCUGUCAGCGCUCAGGCGGCUCCCAGUUUUGGCAGGCCGUCGUCCAGCUGCUGCCCGUGCUUCGCAUUGGCACAUCCAUUUUGGUUGGUACUGGGUCCUCGACCCUGUUCUGGUUUGAUAGGUGGCUUGGCGACACCCCCUGGCCGCGCGUUUUCUGGAGCUCUUCGCCAUUGUUGUUGGCCCUCGGGUCUCUGUCGAGACGACCCUUAUUGACCUAGGGCGCCUCGCUUUCCGCCGCCCCUUUGGCCCCCCUGAAGUAGCCGCUUGGGAUGUCCUCCUCCAGGACAUCGCCCUCCUCCCUAUGGACGUCGCCGACACCCCGGACGCCAUCUCUUGGCACCUGGAACCUUCCGGCUACUUCUCCACCAAAUCCCUCUACGCGGCCAUCGCCCCCUCGACGGCCCCUGAGCCCUUCAGUUUGAUCUGGGACAGGAUCUUCCUGUGGCAAUGGAUCCGAGGCGGCCUCCCGUCCGGCGUAGAGGUCCUUAAGCGUAAUGGACCUGGGGAUGGGAUGUGCCCCAUGUGCAGCACGGUGGAGGAUGCCAACCACAUCUUUUUCUCGUGCUCCACAGCACAGUUCCUUUGGUCCUGUUUCCGCGAGACGGUUGGGGGCCAGUGGUGCAACACCAACUUCCCUGACCUGCUUGCGGAGAUUCAUGCCUCCCCCUCGCUACAGGCAUAUUAGAUGGCUUUGCGUCGGGGUCCUUGCCUGGACGCUUUGGACCGUACGUAAUAAGCUUGUCAUACAGAAGGUGCCUCUUCGACGUGCUACUGACGCCAUCUUUAAAAUGUGUGGAUAUUUGUAGCUCUGGCAGCCGCUUAGCCGCCCCCGGGACCGGGACGUCAUCAGCAACCUCCUCGCCGACCUUCGAUCGAUGGCCUUCCGCUUGGCGCCUCCGCUCCCUUCGCCCCCCUCGGAGCCCGACUAGAUACUAUGCUGCACCCCGCGCGUGCGUUCUUUUUUUGUUUCUUCAGGGCUUGUUGAGCUGUGCCCUCAGCAUUAACCCUUUGACUGUUUGUCUGUGCUAGACCUGUGUGUGUGUGCGCGCGCGCGCGUUUGAACCUUGUUGGAUGUUUGCCUUGGGCAUUUGCUUUAUAAUAUAAAGCGGGGCGAAGGCCUUUUUCGGUAAUCUGAAAUCUCAUCAACCAAUGCAUUUUGUUAGUGGAGGAAUGUAUCUCGUACGUUACAAAACUACUCCCUCCGUCUAGGUGAGUAAGUCAUCUUAGGUUGUGCACCGUGACCAAGGAGGAGGGGAAAACAAGAAACAUUAAUGUUUAUUUGCUAAUUAAUAGGAUUGCAUGCAAUGAACUAACCACUGCAUGUCGUGUUUGAUAAUCUCAAGUUAUUAAAAGCAUGCACACCCCAUAUCUCUUAUUGGUUGAUAUGUCAAGAAACAAGAAACGAGGUAGAAGUUAAUGCACCGCGCCUAAGUGUUUUGAAAUUAUUUGGUUUUCGUAAGAUGACUUACAUACCUAGACGGAGGGAGUACUCAAAUUAAACUCAUGCAUUCAUUUUGAUUAAUUGCAGUGCAUGCAUGCUUGACCACUAGAUGAGUAGGAACAUUAUAUGCAUUGAUGUGUUCCUUUUUAAUUCUUGCAUGCAAAGAUUGAAUGCGCCUCGAAAACUAAAAAUGAGAUGGAGAUGAGCCCUUUAAAUUUCCUCCGUCCCUAAAUAUAUGAUGUCCUCGUUUCUCGUGAAUAAAUUUUGACAACCAAUUGUGCUCACAUGAUAUGAAGUAUGUCAUAAAAAAUACACCGUUAGAAACUACAUUUGAAUAACAAUAUUGAGGAAUUGAUUGGUGUAAAUUUUGUGAUAUAUAACUGACAUUAUAUUGGUCAAUCGAUGAUCAAAGUUAAACCUAAACAGGGACCGAGGGAGAGUAUAAUUGAUAGUGGCAUCAAGUUGGCGAAAAGUCUGUAAGAGUUGGUCGAUACAUCAUGGAGUGUGGAACUAACAGUCAACGGUUAGGUACGUACUAGCUUCCAGAUCUUCAGUAAACUUCCUAGCUAGGCUCCGCCUCUCGCGUCUCGCGUGCACCCGCGAUGCACGUCAGCACGAGUGGAGCACGCAACAUGGGUCGGCAUCGUCGACUUCACCAUGCAUGCAUGGAAGCACACCAUGUCAGCAAAAAUGUCCUUCAGAAUUAAGGGGGAACAAAAAUUAAAAAAGGCAAAUGCUUAUUGCUCAUGGUCAAUAGGAAAAGCCAGGAAUCUUGUGCAAAAUAUUUGUUUAGUAGUACUACACACCACACAAAACAUCUUUGCAAAUAAUUGGCUGUUGAUCAUCCCACGUUCCCGCUACUCUCACUCUGCACAGCUGAUCAUUUGUUGCUUUCAAUACAAAUUUAAUAAAAUCAAAGCUCCGUCAUUGUUAUUAUUUAAUGUAAAUUCCUGCUAAAACAUAUGACAUGCUAUCUUACAUGGUAUUUCCUACAAAAACUGACCAUAUAGGAAUAUAAACAACCAAUCCUGCCAAACAUACUCCAUCCGUCCUGAAUUAUUUGUCGCGACAUAUAAUUCUGGACGACGGAAGCACGGCAUGACAUGUUAUUUACAUAGUAUUUUUAGAAAAAGAAAAACUGAGUAUAGUAGGAAUGAAAAAAACUAAAAAAACAAAUCAAUUUUGCACAGUCAUAUUGUUGGUGCGAGCCCUAGCUUGCUCUUUGCGCCGGUGCCCAGCUCCUCCCUUCCUCCCUCUCUCUCUAUCUCUCUCUCUCUCGCAUGAACGAAGGUAGAAGAAAGAAGAGACACAGGAUAUAGUGAUGUUUUUCCGACGCAUAUACGCCUGCCGCAACGACGACCGUUUCCUCAAGCAACAACUCGAGUUACACCCACGCACAAGUAGUACAACGGAGGACCUUUUAUAACCAGAUGCACACACGCGCUCGCGGCCACCACGCACGCACUCACGCGUGCACGCCGGCCACUAACCAGCUCACUAAAUGCAACUGACUCCUACAUGCACAUCCAGCGACGACCUCAUCCAUGCACUCCAGGACUCGGCCGCUCCACCGCACACCAUGCACAGACCCACGACGCCGGGUAGCACCACGCGCGCACACACCCAGCUGCUUGAUCCGCACGCUCCUGCCGCGCGCACAACGCGCUCCAAUGCGCCCGACCCGGCUAGCUGAUCACGGCUGUGGACGCGGCCACGCACCCGCAAGGUUCAGGGAUGUACCGGCAAACGAUACGCCGUUCGCUGGGUUUGCGAUUCGUGCGUCGUCGUGGCCCACCUUUUGUAUAAUACUGUAUUUCUAUAACCCAUGUUUAGUAUAUCAUUCUAGUAUGUCAGGAGAAUGACCCACUAUUUAUACUAGUAUGUCAACUUUGUCAGCUCAGCAUGCAUGCAACCUUUUUCCUCUCUCCCCGCUCCCAAACAAAUCCACCAUUUUAUUUUUGCUUACAAUUUUAGAUGGUCAUCAUAUUUCACAUUAAAAUUUCAUUAUAGAAUUUUUUAUAGAUUCAAAUUCCUUGCAACAUGAUCUUCAGAACAAGAUCAAUCUUGAAUAUUUUUAAAUUAGAUUUCAAAAUAACAUGUUUCAUAGUCUUUAAAAAAUAUCUCGUUUCAUAGAUUUCACGUAGUUCAAAAAAUAAAUUUCGCUAAGUUCAUAGAUAUCAAUUAUUUCAAAGAAUUGAAACAUCUAUUUUGUAACGAGUGAAAUCACUCUUUACAAACAAGUGAAAUAUACUAUUUCAAUUGAAUGAGUGUAAUAUUUUUCAGAAACUAGUGAAAUGAGUGAAAUAUAUCUUUUGUAACAAGUGAAAUCACUUUUUCGAAACAAGUGAAAUACAGUAUUUCAAUUGAAUGAGUGUAAUAUGUUUUCUGAAACUACUGAAAUGAGUGAAAUCUAUUUUUUGUAACGAGCGAAAGAACUUUUUUGAAAUAAGUGAAAUUUAGUAUUUCAAUUAAAUGAGUGUAAUAUGUUUUCUGAACUAGUGAAAUCUUUCUUUUGUAACGAGUGGAAUCACUUUUAUUAGAACAAGCGAAAUAUAGUAUUUGAAUUGAAUGAGUGUAAUAUGUUUUCUGAAACUAGUGAAAUGAGUGAAAUCUAUCUUUUAUAACGAGUGAAAUCGCUUUCUUAAAACAAGUGAAAUAUAGUAUUUCAACUGAAUGAGUGUAAUAUAGUUUGAGAUGAGUGAAAUAAUAAAAUACAAUAAUAUUGAAAUAUGAUACAUAAAAUUCAAACUAGUCAAAAUGUAUCCAAGAUUGGUCUUGUUUGAAAGGUCUUAUCGUCCUGGACUCGAAUAUAUAAAAAGUUUCAAAAAUGAACAUUUGCUUCAAAACAUAUCAAGUAUUCAAAAAUAUGAGGAUGGAAAUUAAUCCAUGUGAGUGGAAAGAGAGGCUGCAUGCAUGCGUCAUUCAUCUCCACUCUAACUCUCUCUCUCCCCUCUGUGAAAAGGCUGAAAAGACAUGCAGUGUCAGUUUUGUCUGUUGUAUUAACUGGGUAUAGUAGAGGAAUCAAUUUACAAAUUUAUACGGAGUCAGAUAGCACACAUCUUGAGAAAAUUAAUGGAUGGUGGAUUCUCCACCGAUACAUCCCGCCACCGGUAAAAAAACUUAUUCAGCCACGCACCAGCGUCCACACUCUGACCGAUACGCACACACAUAUUGAUCACCACCAUGGUGUGGCUUAGUCCUAACACAUAUCACAUAUGCUAAGACUGCGGGCACCUAGCUACGCCUAGCUAUCUGCCGCCUUGCUGCAGCAGUAGCAGCCGCCGCAGCUUCCUCCGCCGCUAGCCGCUCAUGCACCUUCCUGAUAUACUCCGCCGCGGCCGCAUCGAUGCCACCCAGCUUUGCUACGGCGCUGGAGGCCGCGUUUACGCUCGCUAUCGUCGUCUUCCUCUGCGCAUCGAUCUUCUCCACCCUCUGGACGCAGAUUUCUGACAUGUCUGAUACUAAGUGUUGUUGAGUGUUCUCUUUGGUUUGAACUAACAGAUCGUCGUGGCAGCAGAGGGGUAGGCCAUUUAUAGACAGCAGACACCACCUCCACGCGGUCGCGUUGUUUCCAAGGAAGAAGGCAAGAAAAGGCCCCGUAUGUCCGUACGUACCUCGCUGCUGUAGUCAUGGGUUCGACAGCAUUGGAAGUACUGUAUAUACCUCACGGCGUGUUUCCGUUUGAUUUGGUCAUGUACUCCUACUCAGCUUGUCAAAAUAUUCACUAGUACUAAUUAACUUGCGCAAAAUCUGUCGUCAAACCACUCUAACACUGUUAAGGCAUCUCCAACCCACAAAUUUGCUCCGGUAUUCGUCCACGGACGAAGGAACUAGUUUGCGGAGAUGGAUACCGGAGCCGGCCAUCCAACGCUACCUGCAUGCAUUUCAAGCCGGGUUUCAGUUUAGCAGACAAAAUCCAUGCAAACCGGCUAAUAUGCAUCAAAGUUUGGAAAAAAAACAACACAAAUUAUCCAUGCAUACAUAGUAUGCAAAUAAGUCUUGUACAACAACGUUCAGCAAGUUUUUAAUCAAGGGUUAAUUAUCCUUUUGCCCUCAGUGGUGUCCAUCUGCUCAGUUUUGCCCUCAGAUGCGAAUUGUGCUCAGUUUUGCCCCUAGUCCGUGCGCACCGACUCGUUCCGUGAACUCUGCCGUCUCCGUCAGGUCAACCUUUUGACUCGGCCCUUACAGGUGGGACCAGGCGGCAGAAACGGCCAAUUUUAUUCAGACCGUUGCACGCGUGGCUUGUGGGACCCAGCAAAGAGCCGUUGAGCAGAGAGUCGUUGGCGGGUGUGCUAUAUAAGCGGGCGACAGCGGUGGUGACCACGGCGACAGAGAGCACGGCGGUGACCACGGCGAGAGAGAGAGCACGGCGGCGGGAAGCUAGCUGUGGAGGGCGCGGCGGUGGGAAGCUGGCAGUGGAGGGCGCGGCGGCGUUGAGAUCCCCUUCGACUCCGAGCUCCAUGUUCCUCAAGCUCCCGCGCCACCUCGCGGAUGCAGAGCCGGGCGCGUGUGGACAUGCCUGUCUUCGUCUGUCCGCGGUGCCGGGCGGGCGCUGAUCAAAGGGUUUCUCAGACACCGAGGAACCAGAAUCGUCCGUUCUACGUGUGCAGCGAGAAUGGGGUAAGAAUCGGGGUAAUUGCACCAUUUUCGUCGUCGGGAUGUUUGAGCAAUGGGUUGAUCUGUUUAGUGUUCAUGCAGGUGACAUGCUUCUUUCUUUGGGUCGAUGCUCUGGCCAAGACUCUGAUGAAUGAACUGCAAGAAGAGCAUGAAGAAUGGUUGCGCAUGUUGCCACGAACGGCAGUGGCCACACCACGAGCUCCGGAAGAAGAGAUGGAUGGCGAAGCACGCACUGACAGAGAGCUAGCUAUUGAGCUUAGGAUGUUGAAGAAGAAGGUUAGGAAGCUUGAAGAUCAAGCACUACCAAUACCCAUUUGCAAAUACUUUUGGGCAUUUGUAGGUAUGGUAAUCGCACUGGUUGUAAUGUUUGAAAAUGUAUGGAAAGGCAUGAAUUAUGAAGGAAUUUGUAAUCUUGAAAUUGUUUGAGAAAUUCACCUAGUUUAAAUGUUGGUUAAAGUUGUUUAAAUGUUGAAACAAAAAGAGAAGAAGUGACCAACAUUUAAAUAUGUUGGAAAAAAAGAGAAGAAAUUAGGAAUUCAGAAACUUUUGAUCAAUGAAAUGCAGCUCUCUGCUCUGCCUUUCUGUCCAAAAAAAGGUUGCUCUUGGGCCAAAUUCAGAGCGUAGAGCCAAGUGCAGGCUAGAUUAAUGGGCCAACUGCAUCCAAUUAGGCCCAUUCAGGGGUUUUCUUGCGUAUUUUUCUGUUUUCUAUUCUGAUUUAAUUUAGGCAGUAAAUCAUAAUGCUGAAACUUUUUGUGGAAGCUAAUUGAAUUAUUCCGGAGCCAAACAAUUAAUGUUAGAAAUUUUUUGGAGUUGUUAAUUAAUCCAAUUCAAAUACACCGUGAUUUAAAUGAAAGACCAAAAUGUCAUGAAAAAUGUGCCUCGGCUCUGGUAGAGGUUUACGCCAGGUGCCAAAAUAAAUGAACAUUUUUUAAGGGCAUUACAUUGAGAAAAACAUAAUAUGUCUAAAAAAUGAAGGGUGGAAAAUGCACAAAAAAUUGGUGCGCCUGGGGACUCGAACCCAGGACCGCGUGGGUUUGUGGUGUUUAGGGCUACGCUGGUAACCGCUAGGACAGAUGGCAAGACUUUGACAUGGGUAGGGAAAGAAGGUAUACAUAGUGAGACUGUGAAUUUUUUUUUAAAAAAAAAUAGUGAGACCGUGAAUGUUGCACACGCGUGAGAGUGGUUUUCCUUUGUUUUGCACUUAAAUUUUGGAGGGUUGGAAGGUUGAAAAUGUAUGUUGCACUACCACAUGAUUUUGGUCAGAGUGGCACUUGGUUUAGGGUUAGAGUGGCACUUGGUUUAGGAUUUAAAGGGAAUAAAUUUGCAUGUUAGUUCAUGACUUUUUGUUUGAAUGAAACAGAGGGCUUCUCACCACCUCCGAAAACCACAAGUUCUCGAACUUCAUGACUUGUUUAGGGAAGAAAUGAUAAGUUUGGGCACGGACAUUUUUUAACACACAUAAUAAGAUGGAACACACCGUACCAUUACAAUAACUUAGAUAAGUUCACGGACAGUUCACGGACACAUGAUGAAACAUGACACGACACGACACGACAUAGAAAAGCAACAAAAUAAAAAACCAAACAUGACGAGCUUGACUCCGGGCUUGAACAUCUUCAUCUUGACCUCCUUCUUCCACCUUGGCCGCGCGCGCCCCUUCAACACCGUCUUCAUCUUCACACCUCCUCCUCCUCGUCGUAGGGAAGGGAGUGCAUCUGGCCUGGAGCGGGGAAGAUGCGCUCGUAGUUGGUGUAGAUGUUGUAGACGGUGAAGAAGAUGGCCUCGCAGCCGCACCAAAAGACUUGGCCGAGGAGCUCGCGCGCGUCAAAUGGGUUGGUGAAGGUGACCGUGAGCAGUAGGAGGAUGCCGCCGCGGUCACGAACCUCGUUGAGGGUGAACAUCCUCGGCGAGCCCCGUGGGAGGUGGGCAUAGCCGGCUCUGAGGAAGGCGCGGGUGAGUUCGACGGAACCCCUCCACCUUGAAAUAGCCCACACACAGAGCUCCCUCUCCACGAGCACGCCCGGUGGGUAGCGCAGCUCCGGCACCACAGGCGGACGGCUGAAGGUCGGCCCGUUGAACUGCAUCUUCUUCACUUGGUCUCGCUUGGGGAGGGCUCGGUCGCUUGGGUGUUUGAAGUUGGAGAGGAUCGGAUCUGGCUUGUGGGUGGGAGAGGAAGAGAGGCACCCCAUUUAUAGGCCUGUGGGUGGGAGAGGAAGAGAGAAAGGAUGAGAACGGUGCGUGUGUGAAUCCGGACGCGUGUGUGUAUCCGUUACGUUUUGCACACUUAAAUUUUUGCACGAAAACGAUGCAUCUUUGACCGGGCAGUGCAUGUGAACCGCUGCCCUGAACCACUGCCCUGAACCACCUAGCUCGCCUCGCUAGCCUAGCUCGCCUAGCGCGCCUCGCUCGCCUCACUCGCAUGCAUGCACGUCGCCGCCUCCCGCGCAUGCGCAAACCCAUGUAGCCGCCUCCAUGCAUGCAAGGCCUGAAAAGGCUGAGACGGGCUAUUUACUGCAAUCUCAGGCCCAGACAACGAGACGGCCCAACGGUCCAUCCAGCGCGCCCGAUAUUUGUUAAAAAAACAAUCUCCCAGCCAAUCAGAUUGCAUCUCGCGAAUCGCCCCCCUCCUCCCUGCAGAUUCCUUCUAGAAGGGUUAGAUCGACGGCCCUUGAUCACCGCUAGGGUUAGAUGAACGGUCCUUAUUCAGCGCUAGGGUUAGCGGGGUUUGGGAGGGGUUUGGAGCAGUCAAAGCUAUGUUUGACCAGAUUUCAAAUGAGCAUAAUAAAUUAAAUAAAAAUCAGAAAAAUGAAAAACCUGCGCACAUAGUCUUCUUAUGUCAUAUACUAACGAUUUAAGUUGAUAAACAAGCUUUACAUACAAUUAAAUGAUAAGUUCAUGUGUAUUGUAUGAUAUCUCGAGUAUCUCAAACUCUCUUGUAUGAAGUGAAGAGAAGUGUUUUGGGGAAAUGAACAUGAAAAUUUCAAAAAACUCACCACAGCUUCAUUUUGGAGUGACUAAGAAGGAUCCACGCUUAGUUUUUCAUUUUGAUGUUUUACACUUGUUUAAAUCUUGGUCAAAGUUAAGUUUGACCAGAAUUCAAAUGAGCAAAACAAAUUUUAAAAAAAUCAAAAAAUGGAAAAACCAGCGCACAUAGUCUGUACAUAUAGAAUAUAUGUGUAGGAAAGUUAUUUGACUGAUUUAGAUAAGGUCGAAAAAAACCUUGCAUAGAAAUGAGGCCGUUUACCCUACCUUUGGACCCCUCUUUUUAGCACAUUUUUCAUGAAAAUUUCAAAAACCUCACCACAACUUCAUUUUGGAUUGACUAAGAAGUAUCCAGGCUUAGUUUUUCAUUUUGAUGUUUUAGACUUGCUUAAAUCUUGGUCAAAGUUAGGUUUGACCAGAAUUUAAAUGAGCAAAAUAAAAUUCAACAAAAUCAAAAAAAGGAAAAACCAUGUGCUCAUUCAAACAUCAUCCAACAGAUAUUUAAACAUCAUGUCAAACAUACUUCUAACAUAGGUCCAACAUCAUCCAACAGAAAUACAACAUGUCAAGUGAUAAAUGUUUCAUAAUACAACAUCAUUCCUUAUUCAUAAUGUUUCAUAAUUGUUCAUAGAUAGCGUUGGGGCUUCUGUCUGUUCCUUGAGCUUCUUGUCAUCACUUUGCUCCUCGUGCACCUUGUGCUCAUUGUUUCUUCUCUUCUUCUCUUGGUUGUCGGUACCUUGCGCGUCUUCUUCAAACCUACCAUAGAGCUGUGCAAAACAUAAAGGGUCCAAACAUAAACGGUAAUGAGAUCGUGUCAAGUGAUAGAUGUACAGUAGUAUUUGACCCUUGCAAGAUUUACAUACCUAGCAGAACUCACAACAACAGAAGGUUGGUCACCAUUUGGAGCCUCACUUGGAUCAUCAUUUGGAGCCUCACUUGGAUCACCAUGAUCACCAUUUAGAGCCUCACUUGGAUUACCAUUUGGAGCCUCACUUGAAUCAUUAUUUGGAGGAUAUUUUGGAUCAUCGUCAAAAUCAUCCGGCUGUUGACCAUCAUUUUCAUCAUCUGUUGAGGCAACCGGCUGUUGACCAACAUUUUUAUCAUCUGUUGAGGCAACCGGCUGCUGACCAACAUUUUCAUCGAAGCCUUCAUCGAAACUCUCUCCGAAUACUGGAUCUUCUGUGUUAUCACAAUACUUACCGAAAUGACCAGACCCACCACAUCUUGUGCACUUACGCUUCCUCGCUCCAAGUCCAGCUCCUUCGCUGCGAGGUCUUAUUCGACUCUUCCUUGGUCUACUUGCUGCUCUCUUCAGAACUGGAGCGCAAAGCUUGAAUCCAGGGUCCACCAUGUCCCAUUGUUGUUUUCCCUCCAUAGCAGGCAAGGCAUAAGCAUAUGUGGCUUUGAACCUUGCAACAGAGUAGUAAUCAUGCACAUACUGCUGUAUGUUCCCUGCUGGACCUGGGAGAGAAGUGAUGAAAAACAAGGCAUGAAUGCAUGGCAACCCAGUUAUCUGCCAUUGCCUACAACUGCAAGUUCUAGCUUCUAAAUCCACUGGAUAUCUCCAUUCCCUUUUCUCUUUAUCCAAAUAUGAUAUCUCUGCUGUGGUACCCGAGCAAAGCGUCAUGUUCAUUUCCAAGCCUGUUGUCUUCUGCUUCAGUUCAUUCAUCACGGCAGGGAUGAUAAUGUGGCCCAUGAAUUUUGCCUCGGCUAUUCCUGCACGAUAAUGAAAUUUCUGCAUGUAUUCUAUCCUUAUUCUGUCAAGCAAAUCCACCACAUAAUGACCCUUUAGUUUCCGGAUCGUUGAGUUGAAAGACUCUGCUAGAUUAUUGUGCACAUAGUCAACUUUGCUCACUUCACUGAAUUGGCUUCUAGCCCAUAACUUGGAGUGGUGUGUUUUCAAGUAUUCUUUCACUUUGGGAUUCAUGUAUAACUGCCUCAAGUGGUAGUUGUGCUUCUUCACACUGCAUGUCAAAGAUGCUGGCCAUAAAUUGUCGGUAUACACCUUUCCUUUGAAUUUCUUCAUGAAAUUUGCAGCAAGGUGACGCAUGCAUUCCCUAUGCUCUACUCCAGGGAACACAUUGUCCACGGCCACUUCUAAACCUUUGCAGGCAUCUGUAUGAAUGACCAACCCAUUGGGAUGUGCAAUAGCCCGGCGGAGAUUAUGCAAAAACCAAGUCCAGCUCUCCUCAGACUCUGUCUCUAGCACACCAUAGGCAACUGGAAAUACAAAACUAUGUGCAUCAACUGCACAAGCUGCUACUAACUGUCCUUUAAACCUUCCUGUGAGAAAAGUGGCAUCAAUAGCCAAAUAAGGCCUGCAGCCUGCCACCCUUCUAAAACAUUCCUUGGUCUUUGUCACUCCCCUGAAUGUGUACUCCACGGUGUGGUGAUCAAUAUCUACAAUACUACCUGAGCUUGUCCUCUCCACUUCACCUUUGAAUGAAUACAACAAUUGAAAACUUUCCUGCCAGUUACCAUAAAUAGAAUCCAUAGCAUGUUGUUUACCAUUGAACAACCUCAUGUAUGGUAAAUCUAUCUUGAACUUAUCUUUGAUGUUCUUCUGCAAUUCCUUUGGACCCACUUGCUGGUUUUCUUUCACCCACUUUUUUACUUCUUCUGCCACCCAUCUUGACUUGGCUCUACUGAUUGUAUCCUUCCUAAGGGUUGAUUCCUGAUAUGUGUGCUUAAAAGGAUUCACUUUGACCUGAACAUUAGUGCUAUUCCGCAUUUUAGCUGCAAGCAGCCUCCAUGGACAACCCUCAGUCGGACAGUGCACUCUGUAACGUACUUGAUCGUUCUUGUCAACUUUGAAAGUACGUUCUACCUUGAUGCAGUAUGUCACAAGUGCAUUUCUACACUCAUUCAUGGAUGCAAAAACUGUACCUUCUUCCAUUUGAGGGUUCAAAGGGUCUCAUUGAACAGCUGCAAGGUCUUCGUCCUCACCCAUCGCGUCAUCAUCCACACGGACUGCAUUGUGAGCCUCAUCUUGGUUUUCAGCCCUAGGUGCCCGUCGUAAAUUCUAAAUAACAUCAGAAUAUAACUUCUCUUCAUCAACCCCAGAAUUGUAGCCAUCAGGCUCCACUUCAAGGGGGACCCUACUGCUGUUGCCCACACUUGUCGAGCCAUCACAUUGCCGUGCACCAACAGAACUGUUCUGGCUAGAGAUGCCAUUACGAUGACUUGAUUCUCCCCGAGAUGUUGCACCCGCCAUCCUAGGUCCAAAUGCCUGCUCAAGCACAUCAACUUGCAGCCUCACAUGGAAAUUAUCUUUCUCUUUAUGCCUAACAAACAUGGUAGCUAGCUCUUCAUCAUUACUAACUGUCACCCAAUUCUUUCCCCCAUCAUAGUAUUUGUAAACCACUUCAUCAAGCAAACCCCAAGGAUAUUGGCUACAAAUUACCUCCCCAAAUUGUCUGAAACUCCAAUUACUAGCCAUUGGCAACCGAUAAUCAAAACCUCCUUGGUAUUUCUUCUUAUCCUUUGCAUCGAACAUGUACCGGUCCCUUCUAAUGUGCACCAUGAAAGCAAACCGCAACUCCAUCCUAACCGGCGAAAAACAGAGACGCAAUCAGCACACUAAUUGGGCAAACCUACUCGAAUCGAGUGUUCAAAUGCACAACUAAGCUCAAUCUAAACAAGAGGCGAGACUUACCCCUCGGGAACCCAGUCGUGGACGCGGCGGAUCUCCGGCCCGAUGCCUGCCUCGCCAAAUACUCCGGGGUCGCCGCUGCUCUCCAUUUCGCCCUAGGGUUCUUCCUCCUAGUUCAAAUAGCUCCAGCAGCCCCCCACCUUUGAGCGCUCCGGCCGGGCGCACGGAAGGAGGCCGCGCCGCGGGUCGAGCAGGUGGUGGGCGCCCCACCCGUGGCGUCGCAGGAAGGUGGUGGGCGUCACAAUGAGCCGUGGAGCGUAGGCGCAGGGAGGUAGCGGCGGAGCAGGGCGUGCAGCUGGUGGCGGGGCAGGUGCUGGCCGCGGCGCAGGUGGCGGCGGCGGCGGCGCACGACAGCCGGCCGGGCGGAUGGGUGUGAGCUAGAAUGAUUUGGGGAUUUAGUUGCAGGGGCCUACAUGUCAGCUCCGGACCCACGUCCACGCGGUCCCACGUGUAAGCUCCGGACCCACAACUACUAACGCCGGCGGACGGAAUGGACUCAAAUAUGGCCGUUUGGCCUAGUCGUAGUUGCUGUGCACGGACUAGGGGCAAAACUGAGGACAAUUUGCAUCUGAGGGCAAAACUGAGCACAUGGACACUACUGAGGGCAAAAGGAUAAUUAACCCUUUAAUCAAUGGAUCAUGUCGUUCCAUAAAUAGUGCCCCUUCAGCUUCAUCCACCGGUGUGUGUGAAUAAAUAGUCGUCCCUCCUUUUUAUGAUACAUCACUGAAUGAAUGAUUCAGUCAACAAGUUGAGGAAGAAGAAGCAAAACUUAUGACCUCCUCCUCUGCCGCAUGCAAUGGCCACCUUGCCGCCAGCCGGGCAACUACGUUACACAAGUUGGUGACGAUGGUCUGGAUGGCGUGCCAUUGAUACGAUAACGACCUCACAUUGCGAUCAUGGAUAAUGUGCAUGUCGUAGGGCGCAAUGUGCUUUUGUGUGUGAAACGAUUCAUGCACUUGCUGUCAGAAGGUCCGCAGGUGCUGGUUGCGAACGUUUGGCAAUGCCUGUGUGGCGGACGGACAGGUACAGCGGCGCCGGCAGAGGUGGAGGGUGAGGAUGCAAAGCAAGGAAGAAAAGUGACAGAGUGGAAGAAAAUGGGACCGAGAGGGCGGAUUUAGUGGGCCUGGGAUGUNNNNNNNNNNNNNNNNNNNNNNNNNNNNNNNNNNNNNNNNNNNNNNNNNNNNNNNNNNNNNNNNNNNNNNNNNNNNNNNNNNNNNNNNNNNNNNNNNNNNNNNNNNNNNNNNNNNNNNNNNNNNNNNNNNNNNNNNNNNNNNNNNNNNNNNNNNNNNNNNNNNNNNNNNNNNNNNNNNNNNNNNNNNNNNNNNNNNNNNNNNNNNNNNNNNNNNNNNNNNNNNNNNNNNNNNNAUGUGUUCGGACCGCCGAGAGGACCGAUAUAGGAUAGUGUUGGAUGGCUUCCGCGGUCCGGACAUAUGCAGGGGGUUUGAGGGUCAGCGUUGGAGAUACCCUUAUAAUUGCAUUUGUUUGGGCUCAUUAGCAAGAAUGAUUAUGAGAUUCUUUCUCACACCCACCAGCUUAAAGAAACAACGUUUUUUGGGGAGCACCAUGGAGCCGCUGGGGAGAAGGUCGACCAUGAAACGGCCUGAAAACUUGCAGCCGGAGAGGAGCUAAUAUGAAGGAGUGCAAGAUUGUGGAGCAAUAACUUCAUCUUGCUGCCAAAAAAUAAGCAACAUUAACGUUGAAGAAACAUAUUCAAUGUACUCCGUUAGAUAUGACUCUAGAGGCGAAUAUAAGCUGAUAUGACCGGAUGAGCUCAAUCCAAAGCUCCUAGAGCACACGUCUAGUCCAAGAUCUUAGAUAGAAGGGUACAUGGUCUCGUUUCAAACUCGAGGUGAGGCUCCCUAUAUAUAUGACUUUAUGAAGCCUUGACAUCUCAUUUUGAUCUUUUUCUCUCUCCUUGGAGCCGAAUUGAGUGCCUUCCCUCCCCCACCACGAUCGCCGCCCCAACCCCAGGCCUCCUGUCCCCAAGCUCCGCCCCGAUCUGCUUCACCACCGGUGACCUGAGCCUCUCCCGCCGCUGAACCCACGAGUCGAACCCGCCAAGACAUGCCCGAAAAGAGCUUACCGAUCGGUUGCAUUUUCCUGAAUUUAAUUCAAGCUUUUCGGCGAUGUAUGUUCAAUGGGAAGAGAUGUUACCGUCCACUAUGAGACCCCUAUGGUGACUUCAUCAAUCUCAAGAUGAUGUGCCGACUCAGUCUCCCGAAAGUGCUUAUGGGGGUAAGAUGUGUAUGCAUUUGUUCACGGGGAUGAGUAUAUGUGCAUUUAUAUAAACGCGUGCAUUUGUACUGUGUUCAAAAAAAACACUGGCCGUUCCUUUCCUUUAAAUCAACACCAAAAGUAGAUGAUCUAAGUUAUAAUAAUCAGAAAAUUAUAUGUUUAAUAUAUCAAAUUAUAUGUUUAAUAUAUCAAAGUAGAUGAGUAUAAUACAUUGUCCAAAUUAUCAAAAAAAUCAGCUAAAUCAUGUGAAAACUAGCCAUCCGCAAAAAAACAACUCUUAAUCGAGUCAUUUAUUGUUAUAACAAUACAAACAAAGGACAUUUUGAUCAUUUUCAGCUAGCACUUCUCCACGCCAGCCACAACUGCUACAACACAAGUACCAAAUGACUGGAUUCCGGCUCCAACCUUUUGGCUGCAGCUAGCAGAUACUGUUUUUCCUUCUACCUGAAGCCGUUGCAGCUGUAGCCAUGGAAACUACAGCCCAAAUUUUGUAUUAUGUACUUUUCAGCUGCAUCCUCCGGUAAAAGAAACUACAGCCCAAACAAACAGUAUCUGCUAGCUGAAAGUACUUUCCUUCUACCUGUGUGGCGGACAGAGAGGUACAAUGGCGCCCGUCGGAGGUGGAGGUUGAGGAUGCAAAGCAAGGAAAAGAAGUGGCAGAGUGAAAGAAAAUGGGACCGAGAGGGCAGUGGGCCUGGGGUGUCAGAGCCNNNNNNNNNNNNNNNNNNNNNNNNNNNNNNNNNNNNNNNNNNNNNNNNNNNNNNNNNNNNNNNNNNNNNNNNNNNNNNNNNNNNNNNNNNNNNNNNNNNNNNNNNNNNNNNNNNNNNNNNNNNNNNNNNNNNNNNNNNNNNNNNNNNNNNNNNNNNNNNNNNNNNNNNNNNNNNNNNNNNNNNNNNNNNNNNNGUUCGGACCACCAAGAUGCACAUAUAGGAAAGUGUUGGAUGGCUUCCAUGGUCCGGAUGUAUGCGGAAGGUUUGAGGGUCGGCGUUGGAGAUACCCUUAUGAUUGCAUUUGUUUGGGCUCAUUAGCAAGAAUGAUUAUGAGAUUCUUUCUCACAGCCACCAACUUAAAGAAACAACGUUUUUUGGGGAGCUCCAUGGAGCCGCUGGGGAGAAGUUGAUCAUGAAACGGCCUGAAAACUUGCAGUUGGAGAGGAGCUAAUAUAAAGGAGUGCGAGAUUGUGGAGGAAUAACUUCAUCUUGCUGCCAAAAAAUACGCAACAUUAAUGUUGAAGAAACUACUUCAAUGUACUCCGUUAGAUAUCACUCUAGAGGCAAAUAUAAGUUGAUAUGACCGAAUGAGUUCAAUCCAAAGCUUCUAGAGCGCACAACCUAGUCCAAGAUCUUAGAUAGAAGGGUACAUGGUCUCGUUUCAAACUCGAUGUGAGGCUCCCUAUAUAUAUGGCUUUAUGAAGCCUUCACACCUCAUUUUGAUCUUUUCAUCUCUCUUUGAAGCCGAAUCGAGUGCCUCCCCUCCCCCACCACGAUCGCCGCCCCAACCCCAGGCCUCCUGUCUCCAAGCUCCGCCCCGAUCUGCUUCACCACCGGUGGCCUGAGCCUCUCCUGCCGCCGAACCCACAAGCCGAUCCCGCCAAGACAUGCCCGAGCUUACCGAUCGCUCGCAUUUUCCAGAAUUUAUUUCAAGCUUUUCGGCGAUGCAUAUAUGUUCAGUGGGAGGAGAUAUUCCUGUCCACUAUGGGAUGUCUGUGGUGACUUCGCCAAUCUCAAGAUGAUGUGCCAACUCAGUCUCUAGAAAGUGCUUAUAGGGAUAGGAUGUGCAUACAUUUGUUCACAGGGAUGAGUAUAUAUGCAUUUAUAUAAAUGCAUGCAUUUGUACUGUGUUCCAAAAAAAAACACUGGCCGUUCCUUUCAUUUAAAUCAACACCAAAAGUAGAUGAUCUAAGUUAUAAUAAUCAGAAAAUUAUACGUUUAACAUAUCAAAUUCGUAUAAUACAUUGUCCAAGUUAUCAAAAAAAUUCAGCUAAAUCAUGUGAAAACUAGCCAUCCGAAAAAAGAACUCUUAAUCAGGUCAUUUAUUGUUAUAACAAUACAAACAAAGGACAUUUUGAUCAUUUUCAGCACUUCUCCACGCCAGCCACAACUGCUACAACACAAGUACCAAAUGACUGGAUUCCGGCUCCAACCUUUUGGCUGCAGCUAGCAGAUACUGUUUUUCCUUCCAGCUGAAGCCGUUGCAGCUGUAGCCAUGGAAAUUACAGCCCAAACAAACACACUAUCUUUCAAAUGCUUGUAUUAACAGUUAAGUAGGGAAAAGAUACCAAUCAGAAUUGCGAAGAAACUGAUUUGGUUUGCGUGCGUGUGUACUUCAGGAUCUGCAAGUGUUGCAUAAAUCUCAAAUGGGAAUCUGAUUCUUUCUUUGAUGGCUACACAUGAUUGAUCAAUCGACAUGAACAGAGAAGACUAGCUUACAUCCCCAUCAGUUUCAGGAUUAUGUCGUGUCUAAGGGCGGCCGGACAAACCUUUCCACGUGACCAAAUUAAGCACGCGCGUACUUCUGCCUUAAUAGCUAAGCACUCGAUUCCCCCAAUCUGCGCGUGGAAGGUGAGAUAGGGAAGUCGAGUGGAAACCAUUUAUGCGCCUGCAUCUUCGUUAUUCAUGUCACAUGAACUGACGAUAACUAUUUAGAGCUCUAUUCAUGUCAUCUACUUCCUCUGAUGCAAAAUAAGUAUCGCAGUUUUAAACUAAGCUUAGUUUAAUUUAUUUAUUUGAAGUUUGAAACUACGACAUUUAUUAUGAACAGAGGGAGUAGUAGAGGUGUCUCCGUCUCCGUACCCCUGCUUCAAAGAUCAAAACCUGAGUAGACCAAUGGGCUAGCUCCACUGCAUAAUCUUUGAAACUGUGAUCUUGGACAUCAUCUGCACCAGAUUUAAUUACAGGAUCAACUUCGACAGCUUAGAAAACUGUGAUAACAUAUCUGAAUUUUUGUCCAAAAAAACCACCUGCCGAAUGUAAUUGACAGAAAAGAACACCCAUGAGUCACAUUGGCAAAACGGACCAGCUGGGUUGUGGCGGCAGGCGCGCUAGCAAACACGUGGCACCUGCCGCCUCCGCACGUGGCGGCAGGCGCCACGUGGCGGCUGGCGCGCCUGCCGCCACGACCCAGCUGAUCCGUUUUGUCAAUGGGAUUAAUAGGUGGUCUUUUCUGUCUGUUGUGUUCACCAGGUAGUCUUUUUUGACAAAAAAUCAACAUAUUUAGCGUCAUUUCGGACGGUGCAGAACUCAUUGUGAAGGAAUAGCCAGAACUCAGUUUCUUCACCAGGGGUGAUAGCACGCUUCUAUACUCACAUAAGAACCAUGAAUUGAGAAAGUAUCGGGUGCUCCAAACACUCUCCAACGUUCAAAAAUUCAAGUUUGAAUAUUUGGAAAAAUUCUAACUUCUCUAUGGACAUUCACAUGACAUAUGUCUACAUCCCCUAAUAAAUUCAAAUAAAAUAGAGAAACAAAAAUGACAAUCUAGCAUGAAUAGUGCCACAAAAAGAGAAAAGCAAAAAACACACACUAUCCACAAAAAAGCAACACACUAUCCACAAAAAGAUAAAAUUUGCCGGAAGACAAAUAUUUUGUAGAAACCACCAUGAACGCUAGAUUUACAGCUCAAGGAUGGAUACGGCACAUCUAGGCCGAGCAUAUACCACCACAAAUGCUAGAUUGACAGCUCAGCAAAAAUGUCCAUCAGGGGUUAUGGGAACAGAGAAGUCAAAACAGCAUGUGAUAGGAAAAGCCAGAAAGAUUCUGCAAAAUGUUUUGUUUAAUGCACAUUACACAUUGAUCGAACAUUGCGUACCACUAGUCUCGGUCUGCAUGAUCAUUUAAAAAAAAGGAGGAAUGCCCCUGGCCUUUGCAUCAGAGUGCUGCAUGCAACCAUUUUAUUGAUGCAAAGUUCAAAAAGUCUUGGGUCCAGCCUUAGCUCACAAAAGGAGCAUGAAAACACAAAGGAAAUGUAUAAAUAAAAAUGCCACAACCAGCGAAAAAUUGGCCUAGAUGACUAAAUACCUAUCCUAUUAUUGGAUCGCCAUCCAAACCGGUUGUAUAUAACCCAUGCUACCGACUCUCACCGGUUGCACCAAAUAGCCAAAAGCUCCUUGAAGUCCGCAUGAGUGAGUAAUUAAGGAUCACAUACGGAUUCAAGCAGUGGCUCUGUAAAUAACCUAUAAAAAGUUGAUAAAAAAUUUCCUGGUAAAAUGAUAUCAUUUCUGCAGUUCCAUAUAGCCCAAAGUAAGGCGCUCCGAAUAUGUCACACAAUAUUAGAUUCCACUUCAGUUAGUGUGACACCCCCGAUUCAAUCGUACACUAAUCAUACACGCAAACGUGUACGAUCAAGAUCAGGGACUCACGGGAAGAUAUCACAACACAACUCUACAAAUAAAAUAAGUCAUACAAGCAUCAUAUUACAAGUCAGGGGCCUCGAGGGCUCGAAUACAAGAGCUCGAUCAUAGACGAGUCAGCAGAAGCAACAAUAUCUGAGUACAGACAUAAGUUAAACAAGUUUGCCUUAAGAAGGCUAGCACAAACUGGAAUACAGAUCGAAAGAGGUGCAUGCCUCCUGUCUGGGAUCCUCCUAAACUACUCCUGGUCGACGUCAGCGGCCUGCACAUAGUAGUAGGCACCUCCCGAGUAGUAGUAGACGUCAUCGACAGUGGCGUCUGGCUCCUGGACUGCAACGUCUGGUCGCAACAAUCGGGUAUAGGAAGGAAGGAAAGGGGGAGCAAAGCAACCGUGAGUACUCAUCCAAAGUACUCGCAAGCAAGGAGCUACACUACAUAUGUAUGCAUUGGUAUCAAAUGGAAAAAGGGUAACAUAUGUGGACUGAACUGCAGAAUGCCGGAAUAAGAGGGGGAUAGCUAUUCCUAUCGAAGACUAUGCUUCUGGUAAUCUCCAUCUUGCAGCAGAAGAAGAGAGUAGAUGGUAAGUUCACCAAGUAGCAUCGCAUAGCAUAAUCCUACCCAACGAUCCUCUCCUCAUCGCCCUUUUAGAAAGCAACCACCGGGUUGUAUCUGGUACUUGGAAGGGUGUGUUUUAUUAAGUAUCCGGUUCUAGUUGUCAUAAGGUCAAGGUACAACUCCAAGUCGUCAUGUUACCGAAGAUCACGGCUAUUCGAAUAGAUUAACUUGCCUGCAGAGGUGCACCACAUUUCCCAACACGCUCGAUCCCCUUUGUCCGGACACACUUGUCAGGGUCAUGCCCGGCCUCGAAAGAUCAACACGUCACAGCCCUACCUAGGCACAACAGAGAGGUCAGCACGCCGGUCUAAAUCCUAUGGCGUAGGGGCCUGGGCCCAUCGCCCAUUGCACACCUGCACGUUGUGAACGCAGCCGGCGAGCAGACCUAGCCUCCCUUAUACAAGAGCAGGCGUUCCAGUCCAACCCGGCGCGCGCCGCCCAAUCGUUGACGUCAAGAAGGAUUCGGCUGAUACCACAACGUCGAGUGCCCAUAACUGUUUCCGCGUAGUUGGUUAGUGCGUAUAGGCCAGUGGCUAGACUCAGAUCAAAUACCCAGAUCUCGUAAAGCGUGUUAUUUUGAAGUAACCGCGAAUGCCGACCAGGGCCAGGCCCACCUCUCUCCUAGGUGGUCCCAACCUGCCCUGUCGCUCUGCCUCAAAGUAACAAUCGAGGGCCGUCGGGAACUCAGGCCCACCACUACCUGGAUGGAGCCACCUGCCAUUUCAGCCCCCAACAUCGGAAUCACUUGCGGGUACUCAACGAGCCGACCCGACUUUAGUCACCACCUGUAUAGCAUGUAUAUAUGUAAGUAUAUACCCGUGAUCACCUCCCGAGUGAUCACGGCCCGAUAGUAUAGCAUGGAAGACGGACAAGAAUGUAGGGCCACUGAUGGUAAACUAGCAUCCUAUACUAGGCAUUUAGGAUUGCAGGUAAGGUAUCAACAGUUAUAGCAAGAAUGACAGGCUAUGCAUCAGAAUAGGAUUAACGGAAAGCAGUAACAAGCUACACUACUCUAAUGCANNNNNNNNNNNNNNNNNNNNNNNNNNNNNNNNNNNNNNNNNNNNNNNNNNNNNNNNNNNNNNNNNNNNNNNNNNNNNNNNNNNNNNNNNNNNNNNNNNNNNNNNNNNNNNNNNNNNNNNNNNNNNNNNNNNNNNNNNNNNNNNNNNNNNNNNNNNNNNNNNNNNNNNNNNNNNNNNNNNNNNNNNNNNNNNNNNNNNNNNNNNNNNNNNNNNNNNNNNNNNNNNNNNNNNNNNNNNNNNNNNNNNNAAUGUAGUCGAACACACGGACAUCGACAGCAGUCUUGGAGUCUACCGGAAAGAAGUAAUGGAGGGGGAACACAAUAAAUAACAGAGCAAUCAAAUGUAACACAAAGCAAGACGCGGCAAUACGUUGUGUUAGGGUGACCUAACGUAGGGAUAGGUGAUACCGACGAAGGGGGGAAACAUCCGGGAAAGUACCCCCGGUGUUUUGCAUUUUCGGACAAAUGAACCGGAGGGGGAAAGUUGUGUGUUCGCUAUGCUAGGGAUGUGUGGUGGACUAACAGACUUUGGAUUCAGAUUCGUCUCGUCGUUCUGAUUAACUUUCAUGUAUAAAUUAUUUUCAUCCGAGUUACGGUUUAUUUUAUAUUAAUUUUCAAAGUUUUAAUAAUUUUCAAAAAUUCCUGGAAUUAUUUUCAUUCGAAUAAAUAAACAGUGCAACAACUUUUAACACACAACCAGAGCUAGCCCUAGCCACUGACUGGUGGGGCCAGUGGGCUAGUUGACUAUAGUCAAUAGCCCAGUCAGCAGUCAACCCAGUUGACUGCUGACUGGUCAACCUUGACAGGUGGGGACCGGUGAAUAGUGACUUGGUUAAAGAAACAUGUUUAAUUAGCAUGCGGGUCCCACUGUCAUACACUUGUUAGUGGGGGUUAGGAUAAAUUAGGGGCUUAGUACCUAAUCUAAAAAGGGGCAGUCCCCUUCCUGGACAUGCAUGCGUGUGUGGUGGCUUCGGCCAGGGGGCUCGGCCCCGACCUCGGCGAGCGGCGCCAGAGCGGAGCUCCGAUGGGUGCGCCGGGGGAAGCCUCGGCGAAGGACUCGGGAGGAGGGGCGCGUGCGAGGCGGUUGUAGGGGAGCGAACGACGGAGAGGCCAGGGGUGCGGCGAGCGCUAUCGACAGGGGAUGAUGGGGGCACCGGGCAAGCGACAGCAAGCAUCAGCAGAGCGAGCAAUGGGGGCAGCGCAGCGAGCGGCUGCGGUCAGCGCGCAGCGGGUCGGGGGUGCGGCAGGGAAGCGCGGCGGAGGCGGGCGCUGCCUGGUGUGGGGACGACUCGAGAAGCGAGAGGAGGCAGGGGCGCGGGGCGGAGGAAGGAGCAGCACCGGCAGCCGUAGCGGAGCAAAACGGCAAUGGCGGCAGGGGGUGGUGGCAGCGCCGGGCGCAGCGGGAGGUGGUUGCGGUGCGGGCAAGGGCGCUCAGGGUGUGGCCAGGGAGGGCGUGGGUGCGGCCAGGGAGUGCGAUGAAACGCAAGGGCAUGGUGGGCGCGAGCUCACAGUCCAGGCGCGGCGACUAAAACGGCCUAAGGCGACAGAUUCGACGGGGAAAAGGGGGAGACAGCGAGGAGCUCACCGGGCCCUACAGAUGUGUGUACGCGGGCUCGGGGGAGGCUUGGUGACGACAGCGUGGUGGCGGCGUUCUCCGGCGACCGGAGGGGGAGGCGGGGUGGAGCGCGUCGAUGACAGACAGCGACGGUUGCCCGCGGAGGGGAUCGACGGGGGCGACGGCACGAGGGCGUCCUAACUGGUGGCGCUCGGCAUGGAAGAAGAGGAUGACGACGUGCUUCUUCUGGGCAUCAGCGAACGGCGAACGGUGGCUGAUGGCUACGGCAACGACGACGACGACGCGAUCACCGCGCGAGCUCUUGCGCUCGAUUUCGAGCAGAUGAGGAGGGGCACGGUGGGGAAAGUUGGGGGACCGGACGAGAGAGUGCUAGGGUUUUUGUUGGAUGCGGUUAUACGCCACGGGGAGGCACGUGGAGGCCAUCCAUGGCUAUGGCAGCCGUGGAUGUGCGCCACGCACCUGGCUCUGCCUCCUCUCCUGUACAAAGGUUGAAGAGGCAUGUAGAUGGGCCAGGCUGCACUAUGGCUUUGGCCAGGCCCAGUGCACAGCAGUUCAGCUCCUUUCUUUUUCUUUUCUUUUGUUUUUACUCUUUAUUUAUUUUUCUUUUUAUUUAUUUCAAUUUUGUUUCCUAUUUUUUGAGUUUUAGUAAAAUAUGCAUUUAGUAUCUAAAUUAGUAUUUCAACUUAGCCCAUAGUCACAAAAAGUCUAGUCCUCAAAUAAAUUAGUUUGACAUUUUAUUAAUUAUAAAAAGUAUUUAAAUAAUUGUUUUUGUUGCUGUUUUAUUCAUCUUAUAGUAUUUAAACAUUUUAUAAAGGUGUGGCUUUUCCACCAUAACUACUUAUGCAAUAUUUUGUUCACUCAGAACAUUUUAGUUUUAAUAUUCGAAAACAUUUAUUGUUUGCUAGAUUUUGGAUUUGAAUUAGAAUCGGUUUCGAACUAACGCGAGAUUAGCAAUAUUAAUUCGAAGUGGCGUGGCAUCGUUAACAGGGAAUUACUGUAGCUUAAUUAUCUGGGCGUCACAAUUCUCCUCCACUACAAGAAAUCUCGUCCCGAGAUUUUAAGAGGCGUAAGGUGGGGAGGUUUUGGUUACGAAAUUCUAACGAUUCUUCUCGGUCUUGGUUGCUUUUCUCGAAGAGAUCGAUCCAUUACGUUGAUGGCUUCAUUUCUCUGCUUCUGUUCAUCAUGAUGAAGUUGUCUUCCUUCCUUCGGGAUCUUCAUCGUACUUACGAAAAGGAUAAGGGGUAGCUUCAAAAGGACAGACCUCUACAAGGUUGCUUAUCUGGUAGAUAAUAUUAGGGAAGGUGGCGGAAAGUAACUCUCGAGUUGAAACUUAAGAAAUUAUCGAGAUCAAAAUAAGAAGGUGCACCAUAGAAGUUUCAAGUGCAUAGGCAAUCGUUCAUUGCCUGAUACGAAAUGUGAAAGGGGUUCAGAGCAACGGGAAUAAGUAUUGCGUCUGAUACCAGAAUAGAUUACUAGCCAGGUGGCCCCUGAAUUACAUACGAAGUCAAGCUCAAGGAUUAUCUUUGGCAAUAGGGUCUAAAGGAGAGUCAUGUUUCGAUCCUGUGGAACUAUGGGUUAUGGGCCCACCAUGUGUGUUAAAAGUAGAAAGGGGGCUGACAUCUUGCAUGGUCACGAUAGCAAGGCAUAUCAGAGGGUAGCCUUCCAGUUAUGUUGGCAACAACAUUGGUACCAAGGGCGAGGGACGAAGAGAACCAUUUUCCUGCUCGUUUAACGAGGUAGACCAAUAGGCAAGGUUCUCGUCCAUCGGUGGCUACCGGAAUGUCAUCAACAAUAGUAACAGGGUCUUGCUGACAGAAUUGUACAACGAGGUGUUUACAUAAGCAAGAGAAUAUUACUACUUAGAUCAUAUAGACCUCAAGAAAAGUUAAACCAAACAAUGGAAAGGAUAGUAUGUUUAUCAAAUUAAACAGAACAAUGGAAAGGAAAAUGUGUUUAAACACAUAUUUCAGGGGUAUAUCCUUCCCAAGGGCAAGCAGAGCAUGAUAUCCAUGACAGGAUAGAAAGUAGAGAAACCAUUUAGAAAAGGGGGAAGGAAUUUCAUGACAUUACCCAUACAACGGUGUUUGGAUAAUUUGAUAAAGAAAAUUUAGCAUUGUGCUUCAAAUGUUCUUAUUGAAGAUCAGAGUACCACAGACAAGCUUCGAGAUAGCAUUGACAUGGUCUUCAAGCAAAGGUCGGUCUACGGAUACACGAAGAAUCCAUCAAGAUCAACUUGUAGAAUAAGUCUUACAAUUUCCCCAUUGAAGAAUAAUAGGUCCUCCGGCCAGGUGUGCUAGGCAUGACAUCACCUUAUUGGGUUAUAGAAAGACCAAUGCUAUGACUCUUGGAAAAUGUUCCAACCAUCAUAUCUGACCAAGUUUCAGAUCUGAUUGGUGUCAGAAUACCUCAGACUCAGGAUGCCUGAGAAGAAGAGGUGCAACACAAUUGACGAGAUGACAUUAUAUGAUUCUCGGGAAAUGAAUUAUGGAAGCGAGUUCCGAACAAGGGUUCAUCAUUAAGCCAAGGAGAGGAUGAGGAGGUGGCUGAUGGACUCAGUGAUAAUUCAACGGGGUAUCCAAAAAAGAUGGAUCUCCACAAUUAUGUGGAUAAGGAGAUAACAUUUGUUAGAUCAAAUGAUAUAAUGAAAUAUGCUCGAGGAAAACAUACACAAUUAAACAUUGGUUGAAAGGUGCACCCAAAAUAUUGGCUUAGGUAGCAUGAUCAAUGUUAGAAUGGUGAUUCAAUAACCAAUAGUCUAAGAAUGAACUAUCGACCAUUAACUUCAAAGCAAUAGGGCUGCUAGAAGUACAUAACCCAAACAUCAUCGUUCACUUGUUGAUAUUCCCGGUUAGUCAAUACGGGGACCAAGAAAUAAUGGUGCUUGUGAGAAGUAUCACUAUACCAAGAAUUAUUAAGAGGUGGAGCAAUCCUUGCAACAUCCUUGACAUAAAAGAUGGUUAUACUCCAAGGUAGCACACAAUACAAACUGGAUAGCAAGUUGCAUCCAUAACAUGAACAAGUUUUUGAUGAAAGGAAGGUAAAGAUGUUCUCGAUGGUAACUCAAAUUACCAAGGGACGAGGAUGGCACUUACCAUCAUGAAUUUGAUUGAUAUCCUGGAAGAGCUCAGAAUGUUGAUGAUGAUCAUGACAAAUUUUGUCAAGAGGUUUCAUGGACAUGUAAUCGAUCGGCGAUGACAUCACACCAAGGGAAUGGUAAAGCAAAAGGUUACUGGAACCAUAGGUACGACACAAACUCGAAAUCAAGUUUGUUGUUUGAGGUGAAAUGAUAAGACGAGGAAGAUCGACGUAAGGUUAGCUCAUCGUCAAAAAUUGUGCUCCGGGAAUAAGGACCAGGUAGCACGAUAAUGAUAUAGCCGAUCAGGCUUGGGAUGACUUGAAGGAUUAUUAAACUCAUAAGAAAUGAAAAUUACUUAGAGUUAUUAAAUCAGAGUCCGAACUCGAUCCACUAUUUGGUGUUCUCGGUUGACGACAACCCAGAACCCAGGAAAAUUGGAAUUGGAACAGUUGAUGAAGAACCCAUAAUAAGUUAUGCAGUUCCAUGAUAUUCUCGAGAUACCAGAGUGUAAUACUCGACGGUAGAGCAGAGUAGAGGGUGGACACGUGAAAUGAUCUGCAGAAGACAAGUACUUCAUCUUGUCUGAGAAAUGGAAUCAAAGGAGAUCGAUCAUGGUCGGAGCCAUGAUUGCAAAGGAUCAAUUUACAGAUACCAGAUGAUAUUAUAUCAAGGAAAUAGUUAUUAUUACAAGAAGCUUCCAUGGUAGGAUCUACAUCGUGUCCAUGGGCAUGAACACAAAGUUCAAGGUCGACUCCCACUUCUUCAAUGUAUAACCUUCCAUUCACCUCUCACUUUCGAAGAAGUUGUAGUGUUGAAAUUUUAUCUAGCAAAAUACCAGAAGAGUAUGACUCGCAAAAACUUUCGAGUUCACACAUAUUAAGGAAGGCAUAGGUUCAACCCGUCAGGGUAUCAUGGAAACAUGUACCACAAGCUUCAAUAGUAAAUACCACCAGCUCGAAAACAGAGCAUGGUUGAGAAAGCAGAGGAUACAAUUUACCAAAGGCUUUAUAUAUCCGUGGAAAGGCUCACAAGGUUAUUUGAAUGUGGAGGACAUUGCCGGAUAAUAAUCCAACAAGAGGUCUGGUGGUCUACAAUGGAGCUGAUGUGAGUAUCGGUACUCUAUCAAAGGAAGAAGGAAUGCAAGUGCAUCGGAUUAUAGAAACAACUGACUAACUCAUAGCUCAAAUGCAAAUGAAUUAUGAAUUCCAAGACAAGGGAUCAGAAGCAAUGCUCUGAUUAGGGAUGGAUAAGUUGAAUAGCCUUAGGGGUACAAUCGAUGACAAUUUGAUCGGUCAAGAACCAGCUCCUGUUCAAAAUGACAUCUGAGCCAAAAGGAUGAAUUCUAGAAUCCAAUUGAGGAUUGCGAGCAUUCGCAACAUAUCGAAUCAAGUGACUCGAAAUGAUAGUGACAGAGGAUGUCAACGGAGAUUACUAGAAGUAUGGAAUUAACCAUAAUGGAGGAAGGCAAGGAAAUCAAGAGCAAUGGGCUGCUGAGGAUUUUCAGAAAAUCGAAUGGUAUUUUGAGGACUUAUGUGAAACACAUGAACGGCUAGGGAUGAGCGGAUACUCGGCAAGUGCGAGGAAUUAUCAGUAGGGUUAUUCAGGUGGUAAGAAACUGCAAGGCAGUAGGCACAAAAUAUUCUCGGAACAAUAGAGAGGAUUUCAGGGUAUUUUGUAAUAACAAGAUCAACUUGGAAUAAAAGCAAGAACGGCAAGUGUAUGUAUUUAUCCAUAGGGAUAUGUCGGUGGUAGGGAAUUGCAAAAGCAACGGACACAAAGUAUCAUGGGAACAUCGGAGAGUAACUUCGGGAUCUUCUAGUACAUCAAGUGAUCAUCUGUAUCGAGUGGCUCUCCGGGAGGAAGUAGUUACGAGAACCUAGAGUUAGAGUUAGAGUUAGUAAAACCAUUUAACCCGAGUAGAAGAGAGAUAAGAGUCCCAGAGUAUAGACGGGGAAUAAAAGAUCCUAAUACCACCCAAUGGCGACAUGGGCCCAUAAGGCACACAUCCAUGUUAGUAAAAGUUUUGCAAUGUCUAGACUCGACUUCAGCCAAGGAGUGUGGAAGGGGGAUUCCUACAUGCAGUCUGCUAUGAUACCAACUUGUGACGCCCCCGAUUCAAUCGUACACUAAUCAUACACGCAAACGUGUACGAUCAAGAUCAGAGACUCACGGGAAGAUAUCACAAUACAACUCUACAAAUAAAAUAAGUCAUACAAGCAUCAUAUUAUAAGCCAGGGGCCUCGAGGGCUCGAAUACAAGAGCUCGAUCAUAGACGAGUUAGCGGAAGCAACAAUAUCUGAGUACAGACAUAAGUUAAACAAGUUUUCCCUAAGAAGGCUAGCACAAACUGGGAUACAGAUCGAAAGAGGCGCAUGCCUCCUGCCUGGGAUCCUCCUAAACUACUCCUGGUCGACGUCAGCGGCUGCAAGUAGUAGUAGACACCUCCCGAGUAGUAGUAGACGUCAUCGACAGUGGCGUCUGGCUCUUGGACUCCAACGUCUGGUCGCAGCAAUCAGGUAUAGGAAGGGAGAAAAGGGGGAGCAAUGCAACCGUGAGUACUCAUCCAAAGUACUCGCAAGAAAGGAGCUACACUACAUAUGUAUGCAUUGGUAUCAAAUGGAAAAGGGGUUAACAUAUAUGGACUGAACUGCAGAAUGCUGGAAUAAGAGGGGGAUAGCUAUUCGUAUCGAAGACUAUGCUUCUGGUAACCUCCAUCUUGCAGCAGCAGAAGAGAGUAGAUGGUAAGUUCACCAAGUAGCAUCACAUAGCAUAAUCCUACCCAGCGAUCCUCUCCUCGUCGCCCUGUUAUAGAGCGACCACCGGGUUGUAUCUGGCACUUGGAAGGGUGUGUUUUAUUAAGUAUCCGGUUCUAGUUGUCAUAAGGUCAAGGUACAACUCCAAGUCGUCCUGUUACCGAAGAUCACGGCUAUUCGAAUAGAUUAACUUCCCUGCAGGGGUGCACCACAUUUCCCAACACGCUCGAUCCCCUUUGUCCGGACACACUUGUCAGGGUCAUGCCCGGCCUCGGAAGAUCAACAUGUCGCAGCCCUACCUAGGCACAACAAAGAGGUCAGCACGCCAGUCUAAAUGCUAUGGCGCAGGGGUCUGGGCCCAUCGCCCAUUGCACACCUGCACAUUGCGAACAUGGCCGACGAGAAGACCUAGCCUCCCUUAUACAAGAGCGGGCGUUCCAGUCCAACCCGGCGCGCGCUGCCCAGUCGCUGACGUCAAGAAGGCUUCGGCUGAUACCACGACGUCAAGUGCCCAUAACUGUUCCCGCGUAGUUGCUAGUGCGUAUAGGCCAGUGGCCAGACUUAGAUCAAAUACCCAGAUCUUGUUAAACGUGUUAUUUUGAAGUAAUCAUGAACGCCGACCAGGGCCAGGCCCACCUCUCUCCUAGGUGGUCUCAACCUGCCCUGUCACUCCGCCUCAAAUAACAGUCGGGGGCCGUCGGGAACUCAGGCCCACCACUACCUGGAUGGAGCCACCUGCCCCUUCAGCCCCCCAACAUCAGAAUCACUUGCGGGUACUCAACGAGCCAACCCGACUUUAGUCACCACCUGUAUAGCAUGUUUAUAUGUAAGUAUAUACCCGUGAUCACCUCCCGAGUGAUCAUGGCCCGAUAGUAUAGCAUGGUAUACGGACAAGAAUGUAGGGCCACUGAUGGUAAACUAGCAUCCUAUACUAAGCAUUUAGGAUUGCAGGUAAGGUAUCAACAGUUAUAGCAACAAUGACAGGCUAUGCAUCAGAAUAGGAUUAACGGAAAGCAGUAACAAGCUACACUACUCUAAUGCAAGCAGUAGAGAGAAGAGUAGGCGAUAUCUGGUGAUCAAGGGGGGGCUUGCCUGGUUGCUCUGGCAAGAAGGAGGGGUCAUCUUUAAUGUAGUCGAACACACGGACAUCGACAGCAGUCUCGGAAGUAUACCGGAAAGAAGUAAUGGAGGGGGAACACAAUAAAUAAUAGAGCAAUCAAAUGUAACACAAAGCAAGACGCGGCAAUACUUGUGUUAGGGUGACCUAACGUAGGGAUAGGUGAUACCGACGAAGGGGGGAAACAUCCGGGAAAGUACCCCCGGUGUUUCGCGUUUUUGGACAGAUGAACUGGAGGGGGAAAGUUGUGUGUUCGCUAUGCUAGGGAUGUGUGGCGGAUGAAUGGACUUCGUAUUCGGAUUCGUCUCGUCGUUCUGAUUAACUUUCAUGUAUAAAGUAUUUUCAUCCGAGUUACGGUUUAUCUUAUAUUAAUUUUCAAAGUUUUAAUAAUUUUCAAAAAUUCCUGGAAUUAUUUUAAUUCGAAUAAAUAAAUAGUGCAACAACUUUUAACACACCACCAUAGCUAGCCCUAGCCACUGACUGGUGGGGCUAGUGGGCCAGUUGACUAUAGUCAACAGCCCAGUCAGCAGUCAACUGGGUUAACUGCUGACUGGUCAACCUUGACAGGUGCAGCCCGGUGAAUAGUGACUUGGUUAAAGAAACAUGUUUAAUUAGCAAGCGUGUCCCACUGUCAUACACUUGUUAGUGGGGGUUAGGAUAAAUUAGGGGCUUAGUACCUAAUCUAAAAAGGGGUAGUCCCCUUCAUGGACACGCAUGCGCGUGUGGUGGCUUUGGCCAAGGGGCUCGGCCCCGACCACGGCGAGCGGUGCCAGAGCGGAGCUCCGACGGGUGCGCGGGGCGAAGCCUCGGCGAAGGACUCGGGAGGAGGGGCGCGCGCGAGGCGGUUGCAGGGGAGCGAACGGAGGCGAGGCCAGGGGCGCGGCGGGCGCUAUCGACAGGGCAUGACGGGGGCGCCGGGCAAGCGACAGCAAGCAGCAGAAGAGCGAGCAACGGGGGCAGCGCAGCGAGCGGCUGCGGUCAACGCGCAACAGGUCGGGGGUGCGUCAGGGAAGCGCGGCGGAGGCGGGCGCUGCCUGGUGUGGGGACGACGCGAGCAGCGAGAGGAGGCAGGGGGCGCGGGGCGGAGGAAGGAGCAGCACCGGCAGUCGUAGCGGAGCAAAACGGCAACGGCGGCAGGGGGUGGUGGCAGCGCCCGGCGAAGCGGGAGGCGGUUGCGGUGCGGGCAAGGGCGCUCAGGGUGUGGCCAGGGAGGGCGCGGGUGUGGCCAGGUAGUGCGAUGAAACGCAAGGGCAUGGUGGGCGCGAGCUCACAGUUUAGGCGCGGCGACUAAAAUGGCCUAAGGCGACAGAUUCGACGGGGAAAAGGGGGAGACGAGGAGGAGCUUACCGGGCCCUGCAGAUGUGCGUACGCGGGCUCGGGGGAGGCUUGGUGACGACAGCGUGGUGGCGGCGUUCUCCGGCGACCGGAGGGGGAGGCAGGGUCGAGCGCGUCAAUGACGGACAACGACGGUUGCCCGCGGAGGGGAUCGACGGGGGCGACGGCACGAGGGCGUCCUAGCUGGGGGCGCUCGGCGUGGAAGAAGAGGAUGACGACGCGCUUCUUCUGGGCAUCAGCGGACGACGAACGGUGGCCGGUGGCUAUGGCAACGACGACGACGGCGCGAUCACCGCGCGAACUCUUGCGCUCGAUUUCGAGCGGAUGAGGAGGGGGCGCGAUGGUGAAAGUUGGGGGGACCGGAUGAGCGAGUGCUGGGGUUUUCGUUGGACGCGGUUAUAAGCCACGGGGGGCACGUGGAGGCCAUCCAUGGCUAUGGCAGCCGUGGAUGUGCGCCACGCACCUGGCUUUGCCUCCUCUCCUGUACAAAGGUUGAAGAGGCAUGUAGAUGGGCCGGGCUGCACUGUGGCUUUGGCCAGACCAAGUGCACAGUACCAGUUUAGCUCCUUUCCUUUUCUUUUCUUUUGUUUUUAUUUUUUAUUUAUUUUUCUUUUUAUUAUUUCAGCUUUGUUUCCUAUUAUUUUAGUUUUAGUAAAAUAUGCACUUAGUAUCUAAAUUAGUAUUUCAACUUAGCCCAUAGUCACAAAAAGUCUAGUCCUCAAAUAAAUUAGUUUGACAUUUUAUUAAUUAUAAAAAGUAUUUAAAUAAUUGUUUUGUUGCUGUUUUAUUUAUCUUAUAGUAUUUAAACAUUUUAUAAAAGUGUGGCUUUUCCACCAUAACUACUUAUGCAAUAUUUGGUUCACUCCGAACAUUUUAGUUUUAAUAUUCGAAAACAUUUAUUGUUUGCUAGAUUUUGGAUUUGAAUUAGAAUCAGUUUCGAACUAACGCGAGAUUAGCAAUAGUAAUUCGAAGUGACGUGGCAUCGUUAACAGGGAAUUACUGUAGCUUACUUAUCUGGGCGUCACAGUUAUCCACGUCCCAAAUAACGUGUUAAUACUAACUAGAGGAGUAAUGUUAAAGCCUAUAUGUAUCGUGCGCCAAAGAAGUUUGACGAGAGGAUAGUCAAGAAAGAGGUGUUUUAUGGUUUCAUUCUCGUCACAGAAGCAACAUCGUGAACUGCCCACCCAUCUUCGCUUUACCAGGUUAUCCUUGGUUAAAAUCACUUUUUAUGGGCAAACCACAUGAAAUUUUUAUUCUUAGCGAAACUUUAAUCUUUCAUAUGUAAAAUGAUUUCGGCAUCGGCUAAAUAAAAAUGCCACAACUGACGAAAAAUAGGCCUAGAUGACUAAACACAUAUCCUAUUAUUGGAUCGUCAUCCAAACCGGUUGUAGAUAACCCGUGCUACCGUCUCUCAUCGAUUGCACCAAUAGCUGAAAGCUCCCUAGAGUCCGCAUGAGUGAGAAACGACCACACACGGAUCCAACCAGUGGCUAUGUAAGUAACCUACAAAAAGUUGAUAAAAAGUUUCCUGUUAAAAAUGAUAUCAUUUCUGAAGUUUCAUAUAGCCCAAAGUAAGGCGCUCCGAAUAUGUCACGCAAUAUUAGAUUACAGUCCAGUUAGCCACGUCCCAAAUAACGUGUUAAUACUAACUGGAGGAGUAACGUUAAAGCAUAUAUGUAUCAUGCGCCAAAGAAGUUUGACAAGAGGAUAGUCGAGAAAGAGGUGUUUUAUGGUUUCAUUCUGGUCACAGAAGCAACAUCAUGAACUGCCCACCCAUCUUCGCUUUACCAGGUUAUCCUUGGUUAAAAUCACUUUCUUGUGGGCAAACCACAUGAAAAAAAUUUAGCGAACUUUAAUCUUUCAUAUGUGAAAUGAUUUUGGUAUCGGCUAAAUAAAAAUGCCACAACUGACGAAAAAUAGGCCUAGAUGACUAAACACCUAUUUUAUUAUUGGAUCGCCAUCCAAACCGAUCGUAGAUAACCCGUGCUACCGUCUCCCACCGGUUGCACCAAUAGCCGAAAGCUCCCUAGAGUUCGCAUGAGUGAGAAACGACCAUGCACGGAUCCAAACAAUGGUUGUGUAAAUAACUUGGAAACGGUUGAUAAAUUUUUUCCUGUUAAAGAUGAUAUAAUUUCUUCAGUUUCAUAUAGUCCAAUGUAAGGCGCUCCAAAUAUGUCCCGCAAUACUAGAUUCAACUCCAGUUAACCAUGUCCAAAAUAAUGUGUUAACACUAAUAGGAGGAAUAACGUUAAAGGCUAUACGUAUCAAGCACCAAGAAAGUUUGUCGAGAGGACAAUCAAGAAAGAGGUGUUUUAUGGUUUCAUUCUGGUCAGAGAAGUAACAUCGUGAACUAACCAUCCAUCUCCUGUGUAUCAGAUUAUCCUUGGUUAAAAUCACUUCUUUGUGGACAAACACAUGAAGAUUUUGAUUCUUAGCGAAACUUUAAUCUUCUAUAUGUGCAUGAUCAUUGCAGAACACAAAUUUCUAACAAUCAAUAACGCUGUCACCGUUAUUAUUGUUCACUCCCAAAAUCUAUUUACAUAGUGUUUCUACUACUUUCUAUUCCCUCCGUUCCUAAAUAUUUGUCUUUCUAGACAUUUCAAAUGACUACUACAUACGAAUGUAUGUAGACAUAUUUUAGAGUGUAGAUUCACUCAUUUUGCUCCGUAUAUAGUCACUUGUUGAAAUGCCUAGAAAGACAAGUAUUUAGGAACGGAGGGAGUAUUCAGUAAACUGACCAUGGAAUCACGACUUCACCAAUCUUGCCGAGAACCAAAAGAUUAACAAACAAAAAAAGAAACAAUUCAAGUUUACACACGCAUAUGCUACACCCAGCGAUCUAGCGCCUUGCGGCAGCAGUGGCAGCUGCCGCAGCUUCCUCAGCCGCCAGCCUCGCAUGCACCCUCCUGAUAUACUCCGCCGCGGCCGCGUCGAUGCCCCGCAGCUGCGCUACGGCGCCGGCGGCCCCGUGCACGCUUGCCGUUGUCGUCUGCGUAUCGAUCUUCUCCACCCUCUGGACGCAGAUUUCUGACAUGUCUGAUACUCCCUCCGUUUCACAAUAUAAUGCUUUCUCUAUCUCCGUGCUUUAACUUUGACCAUAAAUUUAAUUACCAAGACCAAUUGCGGCGGGAGCAAAAAUUAUAUCAGUGAAUUCAUAUUCGAAAGAAGUUUUGAAUUAUAUAAUUUUUUCUCCCGCCACAAUUGGUCUCGUUCGUUAAAUUUAUAGUCAAAUUUUGAUCUUGGAAAGUGUGGGCGUACUAUAUUUUGAAAUGGAGGGAGUACUAUUGUUAAGUGUUUUGUUUUGUUUUGGUCCAGACUGAAUGAACGGAUGAUCGUGGAGGCACUGGUGGGCGUACGUUAUUUAUAGACCAGCCACCUCAUGCGGUCGCGUGGUUUCCAAGGAAGAAGGGAAGAAAAGUACGUGGCUGGCUCCAUACGUCGACUUGUUGACCCUGGAAGUUUGGAACGUUCAUACUCUAUAUACGGAUCUACUACUACUCAGCUUGACAAGAUAUUCACUAGUGCCAAUUAACUUUUGCGCAAAUGACUGGAUUUAACCACUAAAUCAGGAAAAAGGUAUCGAUCAGAAUUGCGAAGAAGCGACGAGUGAAGAAAGAGCGGCCCGCACAUAUCUCAAAUGGUUUGGUUUGCGUGUGCGUGUGUACGUGAGGACCUGCAACUGCUGCAUAUAUAUCUCAAAUGAGAAUCACAUUCGGUCUUUGAUGGCUACAGAUAAUUGAUCACUAGACGGCAGCAGUCAAGACAUGCUGAGAUCAGUCGCGCCUACGCGUCGUGUAUACGAAAUGUGAUGCCCGCAUGAUGAUGGAUGUGAGGGCCGCCAAAUUAGUUUAUGCUGUUCAGGACCGCGUCGUGUCUCAGCCGGCCGGCUAAGCUAAGAUGAUACUCGCACGGCAACUGCCUGAACAAAAUCACUGUUCUGACCUUGUGAACGUUUAUAGUUACAAACUGAACUUGACGUGAAAGUAUUUUACGAUUUGACCCUUUUAAAAACGUCAGAGCCGCGGCGUUUCCACCCAACAUAGAAACGCCGAGCAAGCUAGCGUUCCCUGCCAACACGAAAACAACGUGGUAGCUAGCGUUUCAGCCCUGGCCCACAGACAAUCCGAACAUGCUGUUUUCGCUGACGUGGCACGCGUGAAACGGCAAAGUCCCUGGCGUUUCUGAACUGGAUUAAGUAACGCGCGCGGGCCGCGGGGGUCUAACCCAGCCCACUCACAGUCCCAGCCCCGGUCGGGCAGUUCUUUCAGGGACGAACUGGCAACCGCCCCCUCCCUCUUCUUCACCAAAUCUCCCCCAGAUCUGCUAUUUUGAUCAUCAAAACGAGUAGAUCGGAGCAUCCCCGAGUUGCUUGAGGUAUUCUCUUCUCAAUCCUCCAUUUUUUUUCAGUCAAGAUUGGCUAUUGUAGAUGCAUUUUUUCAAACAUGGUGGAACCCUAAGAUGAGUUACUAGUGAUUUGUUUGAUGAAUAUUUUGGUUACAUGAUGUUUAGAAAGAAGACAUAUACUCCUUGUGUUGAAGUAUUCCUAGUUAAGUUGUUUAGUAUUGGAUUUAGAGAGGGACCAUUUUUGGAUUAGGUUGAACUUAUUAUUUGUUAAUAAUUAGUUGUGAUAGAUUCUUUAGGAUAAAAUAGGUUGAAAAGAAUUGGUGUUGGUAAUUAAUGCCGUUCGUGAUUUGUAUCUUUGGGAUAAUUUUUAGUAGUUUUCACACGAUUUUGUGUAUGAUGUGGUCAUAAUUUUAAGCAUAUAUCAUAACAAAUCCGUUGACCUUAUUUUGUAGGAUGUUUGAGCCGGAUAAAUAUCCCGGCCUUGAUGAUUAUUACGAGGAGAAGCAUCGUGCUGUGCUACUGGAAAGAGGGGAGGUAAUUAUGUAUCUACAUUGUUGAUUCUCAUAUUGUGAGUAGUUUAGAGAAGUAUAUAAAUUGUGCGUGUGUUUUUUGUAGGUUCCUCCAGUACUUCGUUUGAGAGGCCACAACCCACAUGAGUCCCUGGAGUAUGACCGUCGCUACGAGCCUUAUGUUAGAAGAAUGGAUCUUCUCCAGUUUGUGCUCAACUUUAAAGUCACACCCCCAUGGCUGAACUCGACGGCCAUUACUGCCCUUACGGACCGUUGGAGGCCGGAGACGCACUCUUUUCACCUUGCUCUUGGUGAGAUGACCAUCACUUUGGAGGAUAUUGCAAUGAUCUCCGGUUUCCCGAUCGAGGGCAGGGCUCUUACCGGAAAGGUGAGGUCUGAGGGGUGGCGACAAAGGGUUGCAGGUUUGGUUGGUGUUGAACCUCCCUCGUGGAUUCAUGAAACAAAGAAGGAUCCUAGGCCAUCUGGUGUUUUGUUCUCGUGGCUACAAGAACAUUUUUACGAGUGCCCAGAGAGUGCCAGUCCGGCUGUUGUGGAGAGGUACAUCAGGGCUUACUUAUGGAAUCUUUUGACCCAAGUGGUGUUUCCUGAUGGAACGGGAGACACAGCCUCGUGGAUGUUCUUGGACCCUCUUCGUAACUGGGAUGUUAAGUGGAGUUGGGGGUCGGCGGCACUAGCCUUCUUGUACCGUCAGGUAAUGAUAAUUUGAUGCAUUCUCAUUAUAUGAAAGAGAUUUUUGCAUGUGAUUGUUUAAUGUGUGUACAAAUGUGCAGUUGGUCGGAGCAUAUAUGAGGAGUAAGCCGAAAUCUUGUCUUGGUGGUUUUGUUUGGGCCCUACAGAUUUGGAUGUGGAAGCGUAUCCCUGUGGGUCGUAACUUCACCAUUGCUCCGGAAGAACCUUGGGAGUGGCCUUUUGACGGGGAUGAGGAGCGAUAUCCCACUAUCACAUACACGUGGGCUAAUGUCCAAGUGUCGAGUAUCGCCGCCAUGGGGCGGUACAAGGCAUACAUAAGCGAUCUUCACAUGCUUACUUACAACCAGGUAAUUAUCAAAUGCCUUGCCAUCAUUACAGAUUUUUUUUGUUGUGCAUGAGCUAGUGACAUGUGAUGUAGGUUAAUUGGAGGUCGUACAUGGUACUUAGGCAGUUCCCUUUGAGCAAUAUGUGCCUUCUUGACCAACAUCUUUGGCGUGUGUGUUGCCCCAUGAUAUGCUUUUUUGCGUGGAGUGGCAUCUUCCACAUCGUGUUUCGAAGCAAUUUGGAGUACAACAACACACCCAGCCAGAGUAUGUUGAGACAAGUGUGGUGCUACAUAGGUGAGAGUUUCUUGUACCAUAUGUUGUUCAAUGUGUAACCACGGAAAAAUGAAAAUGAUACCGAUACUUCUCAUGCUUUGUAGGAUGAGCCGACAACACAACAAGAAUGUCAUUAAUUGGGAAGAUCACCAUCUUAUGUGGGUGGACAUGUGGAAUGCUCAGAGGAAUGCCCGAGUUGAAGAUGAUCACACACCUGACAAUGACGAGGGGGCAUAUUUAAGGCAUUUGGAGUGGCUUCGGAAAGAGUACAGAGUUAUCCUUAAGGGUGCUUGGACUCAUGCCGAUUGCUUGGAAGUAAUGCCAAGUGACAUUGCUGAUGGUGCAUUCAACAACUCUAUUACGGAGACCAUUGGAGCGCACCUAGAUUAUGGCCCUUUGCAUGAUCGAGUGGUAUGUCUUUUUGUCUCUUUUUUGAACAUGUGUCAUUUCGUCAUGAGUGGUGUGUCACUUAAGUUUUAUUCAGGGCACAGAGCUAUGGAGAUGUAUCAAUGAUAGUAAUGUGGUGCUUGGCCGCGCACCUGGUAGAGAAAUGGACGUUCUCGUCAGGAGUACUCUACAGGUUAGAGGCCUUCUUAAUAUGAACAUAUGUCAUGUGAACUAUUUUUGCAUAUUUACCUGUCAAUGUCUUUGCCUCUGCAGAAGGUUGUGAAUCGUUGCCGAACACUAGCUGCUUUACUUUCUUGCCAUGGCGGUUCAUCCAUGGAUGUGCGUGCACGUGCUCAGUAUAGAAUGGAUGUGUUGUCUUCCACUCGUCCAUCUUCGAUCCAAGCACGUGCUUCUUCCGCUCGUCCACCUUCCAGUCGAGAAGGUGCUUCUUCGAGUCGAGCACGGAUUGAUGAAUAGGAAGAUGAAGAGGAGGAGACAGACUACGAUGCGGAUCCGGACUAUGUGGAGCUUGGGGCUUCGCAGAUGGAAGAUGCUCCACCGCCAACUCAGCCUUCUCAGCCUUCUGAAGAAGCACGCCGAGUUAGCUCAAGAACCAUCCAACAUCCUGGAUGGCAGAACACUCCAGAGGGCUACAUCAACAGGGGGAAGAUGGAUGCAAAAAGAGGCAAGAAGUGAAGUGACGACUGAUGCAAAGGGUGGAAACGCCAGGGAUGCCAGGGAUGUAGAGCAUUUCGUUGUAGGGUGGAAAUGCCAGGGACGUUGGCGUUGCCAGCGUACACCACAACGUUUCUUGGUGAAGUUCCAGGCAGCCUCUGUCUUAAAGGAACGCCAAGCCAAGUCGAACGUUUCGAUGUAGGGAAGAAACGCCAGGGUCAUUGGUGUUGCCAGAGUACAAGGAGUCUAGGCAACAAGAAGGUACAAGAUGAAAUGCACACGAAGGUCCAAAGCAUGGCACAGUUCACAUCAUUGCUCUAUUGUGUAGAGCAAGGUCCCUUUCCCUUCUUCUUCUUCCUCUCUUCUUCUUCUUCUUCCUCCUCCCUUUUCCUUAUGAGGUGAGCCUCCUUAACCACCCUCUCCAUGAAUAUCUGAUUCUCCCUCUCUCUUUUUUCAUCUGCAAUUGCCCAAAGCUUCAAGGUUCUUUAUUCAAAAUCCUUUUGAUGCUUCUUCUGUGCCUCCUCACAUUUCCUCACCAACGCUUGCUCCCUAGCACGACACCCAUUUGACGCUCUCACUUUUUGCUUCCUCUUCUCUUCAAGCUCCUCUUCCUUCUUCUUCUUUAGUGCGGCUGCAUCCUCCUCUCUCAGCUUCUUCGCAGCCUUCUCCCACCACCCCGCCAUCUCACCUUCGCCAUCCUCCAGCCCCUUCAUUGUUUCCUUGUUGGGUUGAGAAGCCGCCAUAUCUAUGAAAAAUUGCAAGACAUUAGUUAGUAAGGACAAAAACAAUGAAAAUAAAAUUGAGAGACAUGAAAAUAAUUAUGAAAUGUAACCACGUACGGAAAUGGUCCAUCUAGGUAUCCAAACAUUCCUCUAGCAUUACCACGGCCUCUACCCAUGAAACCUCCUCUACCAGCACCCGAACCUCUACCCCUACCACGAGCACCAUCACUGGUAACUCGUACUCGACCAUGACCACCCCUGGAUCCUUGGCCACCACCGAAACCUCGGCCACCACCAAGGCCACCACCGAAAACUCAGCCACCACCAAGGCCAUGACCGAAACCUCGGCCACCACCAAGUCCAUCACCGGAACCUCGGCCACCAUCAAGGCCACCACCGGAACCUCGGCCACCACCAAGGCCAUCACCGGAACCUCGGCCGACACUUGAAGAAGCAUUGUGCCCUUUUGAAGUUUUGUUUGUUUUGCAAGUCCUUUUGUUGUGCGUCGUUUCAUUGCAACCAUCGCAUUAGUUCCUAUCACGUGGCUCCAUGAAAUGGCCACUACCAAACUCUCUGGUGCUCAUGAGGUCAUCCAUAUCAUUCAUGUAUUGCUUUGUUCUCCUUCUACCCUUGGGUUGUACCAUCAUCUCCGGAUCGGGCCUAAUGUUAGGACCUGAUAAUCUUGCCAAUGUGAUGCGUCCAGAAAAGGGUGGAAUCUAGACGCCCAUGUUAACUUAUGAGUUUGCAAGUUGAAUUCAUGCAACCUCACAACUACACCAUCGGAGAUAUCCACAUUCCUGAUGCGAGCUGCUGACAUCAUGUGUGAGCAUGGCCAGUGGUACUUACUAGGCCGCUCACAAGUGCAAUGUCUUGUCCUAAGAGCCACCUUAAAUGAGCGACCACCAUAUGAUUGUCCAUCUCUAGUUGUCCCACCUGGCUCAUCCACUUGGUAUUUCAUUUCUACAUUAUCGAAACAAGUGACUCGCUGGAUGGUUGACUUGUCUCUCUGAAACUCCAGCCACUCGGCAACCUUCUUCGGAUAAAUUUCAUUGGGAGGCUUCUCACUAUCAACAAUCAACUUGUCGAUUUCAUCGGAGUGCUUCAAAAAAAUACUCAUUUAGCUUGUAAAAGGUAUAUUCGGCUAUUGUCGUCACUGACAACUGAUGGGCACCCUUCAAGACAAAGUUGAAGCACUCAACAAGAUUGCUUGUCAUGUCACCAUAUCUCAUGCCUCCUUCAUCACAUGCUCAUGACCACUUGUGUCUCUCAUCAAUAUUCCUUUCUAAGAAAUCUUUCCCACCUUCGUUUGCCUUCUCAUAGAUUUUGUUCAAGCGUGUCGCGAAUGACUAAACGGAGAAGGCUACACAUGUGGAGUUAAGAUCCUUGCAAAGAUAUAUCCUUGUUCUUACAAGCCCUGUAAAAGUUUGCAACGAAGUGCCUCAUACACCAUCGGUGGUGAAGCCUCGCAUGCCCUGGAAUAUGAAUAUCCACGACCUUCAAUAUGCCUUGGUGCCGAUCGGAUAUGAUGCAUACCUCCCUAUUCGGAGGAAUGACCGUGCUCCUAACAAGUCUCAUGAACCAUUCCCAGUUGUCUUGGUUCUCCACAGAGACCAAAGCAAAUGCCACAGGCAACACCUGAUCGUUAGCAUCAUGUGCCAUUGCUAUCAUGAGUGUGCCCUUGUAUUUCCCUGUCAAGAAUGUCCCAUCUAUAGACAAAACCGGUCGACAAUGCUCAAAAGCUGCAAUGCAUGGGCCAAACGUCCAAAAGGCAUGACUGAACACUCCUUUAAUAUCUUGGACAUAGUGGUACAUUCCUGGGUUUCUAUACGACAUCGCUCCCAGAAACCUGGGUAUCAUGUUGUAAGCCUCUUCACAUCCACCGUACAACAUUCUGAGAGCGACUUGAUUGGCCUUCCAUAUCUUCCCGUACUUGGCCUUAUAUCCGAACUUAUCUUCAAUCCAACUCAUCAACAACUUCACUUUAAUGGUUGGAUCCUCGGCUAUAUGUUUCUGGUAUUUAUAAUGUAUUCCGUGCUUCUACGGCCGGCAGUGUGCAUUGGUGAGUGGCUUGGCAACUAGUUAUCUUCCACCAACCAUCUUUCGUGAGUCUUCCAUUGACUUUCCAUUUGCAUCUUUCUACCUCACAUUUCACGGUGUAUCGCUUGUUGCAGUCUGAGUGAACAACUAUGAAAGGCAUGUGGUGUUUGACAGCAUACUCACACAACCACAUCCUGAAUUCUAGCAUGUGCUCGAACAUCAAACCUUUCCUCACGUAUGACAUCGAAAUCGCGUCGGGUGUACUACUUGGGAAAUGUCUAGCCUCAAUUGUCUUGCUCAUGACACUGUCGACUAUAGCCUUAUCUGCAAGGCUAACAUCACAAAACAAGGGAACUUUGUGAUCCCUACCGGUGAUUUUUGUGUACCACUCUGCUUCUUUCUUAGUCAAGCCAUCCUCAUCCAACUCAUUCACUGAGCCUUCAUCAUCCGAGUCAUCCACACAAGCACGCUGAUAGAUAAUGUCAGGAUCCAUGUCCUGAUGCCUUACUUUAGCCUCUACAUCACCAACAAGGUUGUGGUGCCUCUCAUACUCUUCGUCGGGGUCAUCUCCAUCAUAUUUCAUCGGUGCACUACCUCGGAACUCAUAUUGGGGAUACUCAUUGGCUUCCGCUUCAACUUUAUGCUCAACAAUAGGCGGCGCACUACUAACCGAGCUCACAUCAUCUACUAAGGUUUGGUUCAAGUCAACAUGAAAGAGAGGAGCCUUGACCACCUUACUUGCAAAGACUUCGAGUGACUUGACUAUCGAGGAUGCAACAACCUCCUUAUAUGCAAGCCAAUGCAAAUUGGACUUGAUAGGCAUUGUCUUCAUUCGGCACUUGUGUGUCGACCCAACAUCAUAUCUUCCUACUAAUUCAACUUGGUCACUUGCAUCCACCCACUUUAAUCUUAUCCGUGUUUCUUCCACAACCUCUUCAUAACCAGGAGUCUCAAGAAAUAUCAACACUUCCUCAUACUUGUCAACAAUAUCCACAUUCAUGAAUGCCUCUUUGUCAACAUAAUGAAUAUUCACAAUCUUGUCCAUCUAAAAAAAUGGUAACAUAAGUAUAAGAAAUGUACAAUGCUAAAUAUACCACAUUGCUAACAAAAGCCCUAACCCUAACCCUAAAUCUUAACAUUAGCCAUAACCAUAACCCUAAAUCCUAACUAGCCAUAACCCACAAGUAAGGUAUGCCCAACAACAUCACAAUGCAACACUAUUGGAACAACAAUACUCAAAACAUCACAUUAUAGAUUCAUGUUCAAAACUAGGGUUAGGAACAACAAGAACAAAUCAAUCCAAAUGGACAAACCCAACCAAUAAAUAUUUGUGAGAUGAAGGAGGUGUUGGGGAACGUAGCAGAAAUUCAAAAUUUUUCCUACGAAUCACCAAGAUCUAUCUAUGGAGAAACCAGCUACGAGUAGAAGGAGAGUGCAUCUACAUACCCUUGUAGAUCGCUAAGCGGAAGCGUUCAAGUGAACGGGGUUGAUGGAGUCGUACUCGUCGUGAUUCAGAUCACCGAUGAUCAAGUGCCGAACGGACGGCACCUCCGCGUUCAACACACGUACAGCCCGGUAACGUCUCCCACGCCUUGAUCCAGCAAGGAGAGAGGGAGAGGUUGAGGAAGACUCCAUCCAACAGCAGCACAACGGCGUGGUGGUGGUGGAGGAGCGUGGCAAUCCCGCAGGGCUUCGCCAAGCACCAUGGGAGAAGAGGAGGAGAACUUGGGAGAGAGGGAGGGGCUGCACCAAAGGCAUAAGGUGUGUUUGGGAGGCCCUCCUACCCCACUAUAUAUAGGGAUCCCAAGGGGGGGUGCGGCAGCCCCUAGGAGAUCCNNNNNNNNNNNNNNNNNNNNNNNNNNNNNNNNNNNNNNNNNNNNNNNNNNNNNNNNNNNNNNNNNNNNNNNNNNNNNNNNNNNNNNNNNNNNNNNNNNNNNNNNNNNNNNNNNNNNNNNNNNNNNNNNNNNNNNNNNNNNNNNNNNNNNNNNNNNNNNNNNNNNNNNNNNNNNNNNNNNNNNNNNNNNNNNNNNNNNNNNNNNNNNNNNNNNNNNNNNNNNNNNNNNNNNNNNNNNNNNNNNNNNNNNNNNNNNNNNNNNNNNNNNNNNNNNNNNNNNNNNNNNNNNNNNNNNNNNNNNNNNNNNNNNNNNNNNNNNNNNNNNNNNNNNNNNNNNNNNNNNNNNNNNNNNNNNNNNNNNNNNNNNNNNNNNNNNNNNNNNNNNNNNNNNNNNNNNNNNNNNNNNNNNNNNNNNNNNNNNNNNNNNNNNNNNNNNNNNNNNNNNNNNNNNNNNNNNNNNNNNNNNNNNNNNNNNNNNNNNNNNNNNNNNNNNNNNNNNNNNNNNNNNNNNNNNNNNNNNNNNNNNNNNNNNNNNNNNNNNNNNNNNNNNNNNNNNNNNNNNNNNNNNNNNNNNNNNNNNNNNNNNNNNNNNNNNNNNNNNNNNNNNNNNNNNNNNNNNNNNNNNNNNNNNNNNNNNNNNNNNNNNNNNNNNNNNNNNNNNNNNNNNNNNNNNNNNNNNNNNNNNNNNNNNNNNNNNNNNNNNNNNNNNNNNNNNNNNNNNNNNNNNNNNNNNNNNNNNNNNNNNNNNNNNNNNNNNNNNNNNNNNNNNNNNNNNNNNNNNNNNNNNNNNNNNNNNNNNNNNNNNNNNNNNNNNNNNNNNNNNNNNNNNNNNNNNNNNNNNNNNNNNNNNNNNNNNNNNNNNNNNNNNNNNNNNNNNNNNNNNNNNNNNNNNNNNNCGGGAUCUCAUCCGGGACUCCGAACAACAUUCGGUAACCACAUACAAGCUUCCUUUAUAACCCUAGCGUCAUCGAACCUUAAGUGUGUAGACCCUACGGGUUCGGGAGACAUGCAGACAUGACCGAGACGUUCUCCGGUCAAUAACCAACAGCGGGAUCUGGAUACCCAUGUUGGCUCCCACAUGUUCCACGAUGAUCUCAUCGGAUGAACCACGAUGUCAAGGACUCAAUCGAUCCCGUAUACAAUUCCCUUUGUCUAGCGGUAUUUUACUUGCCCGAGAUUCGAUCGUCGGUAUACUAAUACCUUGUUCAAUCUCGUUACCGGCAAGUCACUUUACUCGUUCCGUAACACAUCAUCCCGUGAUCAACUCCUUGGUCACAUUGCGCAUAUGAUGAUGUCCUACCGAGUGGGCCCAGAGAUACCUCUCCGUUUACACGGAGUGACAAAUCCCAGUCUCGAUCCGCAUAAAACAAUAGAUACUUUCGGAGAUACCUAUAGUGCACCUUUAUAGUCACCCAGUUAUGUUGUGACGUUUGAUACACCCAAAGCACUCCUACGGUAUCCAGGAGUUACACGAUCUCAUGGUCAAAGGAAGAGAUACUUGACAUUGGCAAAGCUCUAGCAAAUGAACUAGACGAUCUUUUGUGCUAGUCUUAGGAUUGGGUCUUGUCCAUCACAUCAUUCUCCUAAUGAUGUGAUCCCGUUAUCAAUGACAUCCAAUGUCCAUAGCCAGGAAACCAUGACUAUCUAUUGAUCACAACGAGCUAGUCAACUAGAGGCUCACUAGGGACAUAUUGUGGUCUAUGUAUUCACACGUGUAUUACAAUUUCCGGAUAAUACAGUUAUAGCAUGAAUAAAAGACAAUUAUCAUGAACAAGGAAAUAUAAUAAUAAUACUUUUAUUAUUGCCUCUAGGGCAUAUUUCCAACAGUCUCCCACUUGCACUAGAGUCAAUAAUCUAGUUCACAUCGCCAUGUGAUUAACACUCACAGGUCACAUCGCCAUGUGACUAAUACCCAAGAGUUUACUAGAGUCAGUAGUCUAGUUCACAUCACUAUGUGAUUAACACUCAAUGAGUUUUAUGUUUGAUCAUGUUGCUUGUGAGAGAGGUUUUAGUCAACGGGUCUGAACCUUUCAGAUCCGUGUGUGCUUUACAAAUCUCUAUGUCAUCUCCUAGAUGCAGCUACCACGCUCUAUUUGGAGCUAUUCCAAACAACUGUUCUACUUGGAGCUAUUCUAAAUUAUUGCUCCAUUAUAUGUAUCCGGUAUCUCUACUCAGAGCUAUCCGGAUAGGUGUCAAGCUUGCAUCAUCGUAACCUUUACGACGAACUCUUUUACCACCUCCAUAAUCGAGAAAAUUCCUUAGUCCACUAGUUACUAAGGAUAACUUUGACUGCUGUCCUGUGAGCCAUUCUUGGAUCACUCUUGUACCCCUUGACUGACUCAUGGCAAGGCACACUUCAGGUGCGGUACACAGCAUAGCAUACUGAAGAGCCUACGUCUUAAGCAUAGGGGACGACCUUCGUCCUUUCUCUCUAUUCUGCCGUGGUCGAGCUUUAAGUCUUAACUUCGUACCUUAUAACUCAGGCAAGAACUCCUUCUUUGACUGGUCCAUCUUGAACACCUUCAAGAUCAUGUCAAGGUAUGUGCUCAUUUGAAAGUAUUAUUAAGCAUUUUGAUCUAUCCUUAUAGAUCUUGAUGCUCAAUGUUCAAGUAGCUUAAUCCAGGCUUUCCAUUGAAAAACACCUUUCAAAUAACCCUAUAUGCUUUCUAGAAAUUCUACAUCAUCUCUGAUCAUCAAUAUGUCAACAACAUAUACUCAUCAGAAAUUCUAUAGUGCUCCCACUCACUUCUUUGGAAAUACAAGUUUCUUAUAAACUUUGUAUAAAUCCAAAAUCUUUGAUCAUCUCAUCAAAGCGUACAUUCCAACUCCGAGAUGCUCACUCCAGUCCUUAGAAGGAUCGCUGGAGCUAGCAUACCUUUUAGCAUCCUUAGGAUCGACAAAAACUUUCUGAUUGUAUUACAUACAACCUUUCCUCACGAAAACUGGUAAGGAAACUCGUCUUGACAUCCAUCUGCCAGAUUUCAUAAAUGCAGCUAAUGCUAACAUGAUUCCGACGGACUUUAAGCAUCGCUACGAGUGAGAAAAUCUCAUCGUAGUCAACUCCUUGAACUUGUCGGAAAACACUUCGCCACAAGUCGAGCUUCAUAGAUGGUGACAUUACCAUCCACGUCCGUCUUCUUCUUAAAGAUCCAUUUAUCUUAAUGGAUUGCCGAUCAUCGGGCAAGUCCAUCAAAGUCCAUGCUUUGUUCUGAUAUAUGGAUACUAUCUCGGAUUUCAUGGCUUCUCACCAUUUGUCGAAAUUCGGGCCCACCAUUGCUUCUCCAUAGCUCGUAGGUUCAUUGUUGUCUAGCAACAUGACCUUCAAGACAGGAUCACCUUACCACUCCGAAGUAGUGCGUGUCCUUGUCGUCCUACGAGGUUCGGUAGUGACUUGAUCCGAAGCUUCAUGAUCACUAUCAUAAGCUUCCACUUCAAUUGGUGUAGGUGCCACAGGAACAACUUCCUGUGCCCUGCCACACACUAGUUGAAGAGACGGUUCAAUAACCUUAUCAAGUCUCCACCAUCCUCCCACUCAACUCUUUCGAGAGAAACCUUUCCUCGAGAAAGGACCCGAUUCUAGAAACAAUUCAUAUUGCUUUCGGAUCUGAAUUAGGAGGUAUACCCAACUGUUUUGGGUGUCCUAUGAAGAUGUAUUUUAUCCGCUUUGGGUUCGAGCUUAAUCCUGAAACUUUUUCACAUAAGCGUCGCAGCCCCAAACCUUUAAGAAACGACAACUUAGGUUUCUCUAAACCAUAAUUCAUAUGGUGUCAUCUCAUCGGAAUUACGUGGUGCCCUAUCUAAAGUGAAUGUGGUUGUCUCUAAUGCCUAACCCAUGAACGAUAGUGGUAAUUCGAUAAGAGACAUCAUGGUACGCACCAUAUCCAAUAGGGUGCAACUAUGAUGUUCGGACACACCAUCACACUAUGGUGUUCCAGGCGGUAUUAAUUGCGAAACAAUUUCCACAAUGUCUUAAUUGUGUGCCAAAACUCGUAACUCAGAUAUUCAUCUCUAUGAUCGUAUCAUAGACAUUUUAUCCUCUUGUCACAAUGAUCUUCUACUUCACUCUGAAAUUACUUGAACCAUUCAAUAAUUCAGACUUGUGUUUCAUCAAGUAAAUAUUCUCAACAUCUAUUCGAAUCAUCUGUGAAGUAAGAACAUAACGAUAUUCACUGCAUGCCUCAGCACUUAUUGGACUGCACACAUCAUAAUGUGUUACUUCCAACAAGUUGCUAUCUUGUUCCAUCUUAUUGAAACCGAGGCUUUUCAGUCAUCUUGCCUAUCUGGUAUGAUUUGCAUAUCUCAAGUGAUUCAAAAUCAAGUGAGUCCGAACGGUCCAUUUGCAUGGAGUUUCUUCAUGCAUAUACACCAAUAGACAUGGUUCGCAUGUCUCAAACUUUUCAAAAACGAGUGAGUCCAAAGAUCCAUCAACAUGGAGCUUCUUCAUGCGUUUUAUACCAUUAUGACUUACAUGGCAGUGCCACAAGUAAGUGGUACUAUCAUUACUAUCUUAUAUCUUUUGGCAUGAAAAUGUGUAUCCCUACGAUCAAAAUUCAAUAAACCAUUCAUUUAGGUGCAAGAGCACUUAUUCAGGUUUAAUACUAAUCUUGAUGGUAGAGGGAGCGUGCGAUGUUAGAUCACAUCAAACUUGGAAACACUUCCAACACGUAUCGUCAGCUCACCUUUAGCUAGUCUCCGUUUUAUUCCGUAGCUUUUAUUUCGAGUUACUAACACUUAGCAACCGAACCGGUAUCUAAUACCCUGGUGCUACUAGGAGUACUAGUAAAGUACACAUUAACAUAAUGUAUAUCCAAUAUACUUCUAUCGACCUUGCCAGCCUUCUCAUCUACCAAGUAUCUAGGGUAAUGCUGCUCCAGUAGUUGUUCCCCUUAUUACAGAAGCACUUAGUCUCGGGUUUGGGUUCAACCUCGGGUUUCUUCAUUGGUGCAGCAGCUGAUUUGCCGUUUCAUGAAGUAUCCCUUCUUUCCCUUGCCCUUCUUGAAACUAGUGGUUUCAUCAACCAUCAACAAUUGAUGCUCCUUCUUGAUUUCUACUUUUGCGAUGUCAAACAACGCGAAUACCUCAAGGAUCAUCGUCUCUAUCCUUGAUAUGUUAUAGUUCAUCAUGAAGCUCUAGCAGCUUGGUGGCAAUGACUUUGGAGAAACAUCACUAUCUCAUCUGGAAGAUCAACUCCCACUCGAUUCAAGUGAUUGUUGUACUCAGACAAUCUGAGCACAAGCUCAACGAUUGAGCUUUUCUCCCUUAGUUUGCAGGCUAAGAAAAUCGUCGGAGGUCUUAUACCUCUUGACAUGGGCACGAGCCUGAAAUCCCAAUUUCAGCCCUCGAAACAUCUCAUAUGUUCCGCGAUGUUUCGAAAAACGUCUUUGGUGCCUCUACUUAAACCAUUUAACUGAACUAUCACGUAGUUAUCAAAACGUGUAUGUCCGAUGUUCGCAACAUCCACAAACGACGUUUGGGGUUCAGCACACUAAGCGGUGCAUUAAGGACAUAAGCUUUCUACUGUCCGCAUAAUUGCUACUUUCAACUUUCAACUAUAUUUUCUCUAGGAACAUAUCUAAAACAGUAGAACUAAAGCGCGAGCUACGACAUAAUUUGCAAAAGGUCUUUUGACUAUGUUCAAGAUAAUUAAGUUCAUCUUAUGAACUCCCACUCAGAUAGACAUCCCUCUGGUCAUCUAAGUGAUCACAUGAUCCGAGUCAACUAGGCCGUGUCCGAUCAUCACGUGAGACGGACUAGUUAACGUCGGUGAACAUCUUCAUGUUGAUCGUAUCUACUAUACGACUCAUGCUCGACCUUUCGGUCUCCGUGUUCCGAGGCCAUGUCUGCACAUGCUAGGCUCGUCAAGUUAACCCUAAGUGUUUUCGCUGUGUAAAACUGUCUUACACCCGUUGUAUGUGAACGUAAGAAUCCAUCACACCCGAUCAUCACGUGGUGCUUAGAAGCGAUGAACUGUAGCAACGGUGCACAGUUAGGGGAGAACACUUCUUGAAAUUUUGUAAGGGAUCAUCUUAUUUACUACCGUCGUCCUAAGCAAACAAGAUGCAUAAACAUGAUAAACAUCACAUGCAAUCAAAUAGUGACAUGAUAUGGCCAAUAUCAUUUUGCUCCUUUUGAUCUUCAUCUUCGGGGCUCCAUGAUCAUCAUCGUCACCGGCACGACACCAUGAUCUCCAUCAUCAUGAUCUCCAUCAUCGUGUCUUCAUGAAGUUGUCACGCCAACGACUACUUCUACUUCUAUGACUAACGCAUCUAGCAAUAAAGUAAAGUAGUUUACAUGGCGUUCUUCAAUGACACGCAGGUCAUACAAUAAAUAAAGACAACUCCUAUGGCUCCUGCCGGUUGUCAUACUCAUCGACAUGCAAGUCGUGAAUCCUAUUACAAGAUCAUGAUCAAUCUCAUACAUCACAUAUCAUUCAUCACAUUCUUCUUGGCCAUAUCACAUCACAUAGCAUACCCUGCAAAAACAAGUUAGACGUCCUCUAAUUGUUGUUGCAUGUUUUACGUGGCUGUUAUGGGUUUCUAGCAAGAACGUUUCUUACCUACGCAAGACCACAACGUGAUAUGCCAAUUGCUAUUUACCCUUCAUAAGGACCCUUUUCAUCGAAUCCGUUCCGACUAAAGUGGGAGAGACUGGCACCCGCUAGCCACCUUAUGCACCAAGUGCAUGUCAAUCGGUGGAACCUGUCUCACGUAAGAGUACGUGUAAGGUCGGUCCGGGCCGCUUCAUCCCACAAUACCGUCGAAACAAGAUUGGACUAGUAACGGUAAGCAUAUUGAACAACAUCAACGCCCACAACUACUUUGUGUUCUACUCGUGCAAAGAAUCUACGCAAUAGACCUAGCUCAUGAUGCCACUGUUGGGGAACGUAGCAGAAAUUCAAAAUUUUUCCUACGAAUCACCAAGAUCUAUCUAUGGAGAAACCAGCUACGAGUAGAAGGAGAGUGCAUCUACAUACCCUUGUAGAUCGCUAAGCGGAAGCGUUCAAGUGAACGGGGUUGAUGGAGUCGUACUCGUCGUGAUUCAGAUCACCGAUGAUCAAGUGUCGAACGGACGGCACCUCCGCGUUCAACACACGUACAGCCCGGUAACGUCUCCCACGCCUUGAUCCAGCAAGGAGAGAGGGAGAGGUUGAGGAAGACUCCAUCCAACAGCAGCACAACGGCGUGGUGGUGGUGGAGGAGCGUGGCAAUCCCGCAGGGCUUCGCCAAGCACCAUGGGAGAAGAGGAGGAGAACUUGGGAGAGAGGGAGGGGCUGCACCAAAGGCAUAAGGUGUGUUUGGGAGGCCCUCCUACCCCACUAUAUAUAGGGAUCCCAAGGGGGGGGUGCGGCAGCCCCUAGGAGAUCCAAUCUCCAAGGGGGCGGCGGCCAGGGGAGGAGUCCUCCCCCCCCCCCAAGGCACCUAGGAGGUGCCUUCCCCUGCUGGGACUCUUCCUUUAGGGUUUCCCCAGGCGCAUGGGCCUCUUGGGGCUGGUGCCCUUGGCCCAUGUAGGCCAAGGCGCACCCCCUACAGCCCAUGUGGCUCCCGGGGCAGGUGGCCCCACCCGGUGGGCCCCCGGGACCCUUCCGGUGGUCCCGGUACAAUACCGAUGACCCCGAAACUUGUCCCGAUGGCCGAAACAGGACUUCCUAUAUAUAAAUCUUUACCUCCGGACCAUUCCGGAACUCCUCGUGAUGUUCGGGAUCUCAUCCGGGACUCCGAACAACAUUCGGUAACCACAUACAAGCUUCCUUUAUAACCCUAGCGUCAUCGAACCUUAAGUGUGUAGACCCUACGGGUUCGGGAGACAUGCAGACAUGACCGAGACGUUCUCCGGUCAAUAACCAACAGCGGGAUCUGGAUACCCAUGUUGGCUCCCACAUGUUCCACGAUGAUCUCAUCGGAUGAACCACGAUGUCAAGGACUCAAUCGAUCCCGUAUACAAUUCCCUUUGUCUAGCGGUAUUUUACUUGCCCGAGAUUCGAUCGUCGGUAUACUAAUACCUUGUUCAAUCUCGUUACCGGCAAGUCACUUUACUCGUUCCGUAACACAUCAUCCCGUGAUCAACUCCUUGGUCACAUUGCGCAUAUGAUGAUGUCCUACCGAGUGGGCCCAGAGAUACCUCUCCGUUUACACGGAGUGACAAAUCCCAGUCUCGAUCCGCAUAAAACAAUAGAUACUUUCGGAGAUACCUGUAGUGCACCUUCAUAGUCACCCAGUUACGUUGUGACGUUUGAUACACCCAAAGCACUCCUACGGUAUCCAGGAGUUACACGAUCUCAUGGUCAAAGGAAGAGAUACUUGACAUUGGCAAAGCUCUAGCAAAUGAACUACACGAUCUUUUGUGCUAGUCUUAGGAUUGGGUCUUGUCCAUCACAUCAUUCUCCUAAUGAUGUGAUCCCGUUAUCAACGACAUCCAAUGUCCAUAGCCAGGAAACCAUGACUAUCUGUUGAUCACAACGAGCUAGUCAACUAGAGGCUCACUAGGGACAUAUUGUGGUCUAUGUAUUCACACGUGUAUUACGAUUUCCGGAUAAUACAGUUAUAGCAUGAAUAAAAGACAAUUAUCAUGAACAAGGAAAUAUAAUAAUAAUACUUUUAUUAUUGCCUCUAGGGCAUAUUUCCAACAGGAGGUUACCUCAACGAACGGAAAUGACACCGGAUCCACGGACCAACCCAAUCGAUUUGCAAGGAUUUGAGAGGGGCUAAGUGAGGGACACAAAGGGGGAAAGGGCAAGAGCUUGGGAUAGGCCAAUGGGGGAGAAGAGAGUGAAAGGUGAGUGGUGGGUGAAAGCACCACGACCACCUAAAAUAUCUGCACCAGAAACGCCAAGGACAGUGGCGUUUCUAGCAACGCUAGCUUGCUCGGCGUUUCCACCACGCCACGUCAGCAAGCAACGCGUCCUCGGCCUGGCAGUGGGCCAGGUCAGGAACGCUAGCUUGCUCGGUGUUUCUAUGUGGGGUGGAAACACCGCAGUCCUUGGCGUUUCUGUGUUGGGUGGAAACGCCGCGGUCCCUGGCGUUUCUAAAAGGUCAAAUCGUGAAAUACUUUCACGUCGGGUUUAGUUUGUGAGAAUAAACUCUGACAAGGUCAGAACAGUGAUUUCGUCCCAACUGUCUCUGGUUCAACACCGUGGUGCCCCCUAUAUGGCUACAUCCUCCAUGAACAGUAAAUUCAAAAAAAUAUUUUAAAAAAAUCCAAAAAUCCUGACUUUUGAGGCAUCAAACAUUUGAUGUUCUUGCAAAGUUUGAGUCACAAAUAACACUCGAUGAGCCAACACAAAAAACAUUUGUGUGGGCUCCUUGAAUGUUAUCUAUGGAUGAAUUUAUUAUGUUCAUGAGGGUGUAGAGGCACCAUGGUGCUAUCACAUCUUUCUCAACCACACACUACUAUCACAUAAUCAUCGAGAGCCGGGUAUGCCAACUACUUCUCGGAAGAUCGACGAGGGAACUUGCUACACAUCUCCUCGAUGUCGUACCAGGAUUACUGGCUAUUGCUUUGGAACUCUGGUAUUGGAAUUCCUCUGCACAUUUAAUUAUGUGAUCAACUAUGAUGUCUAGCAUCAUUUCUGAUGAUGUAAGAAUUGGUUCCAGUCGUGCUUAUUUUAGACAUAUUCCAAUGCAUAGGUGCUUAGAUGAGGCAACAAUUAAUUCUAUUAAAGAGUUUAGGAAUAAGUCAUCAAUGCAUAGGUGCUUAACUAGUUAUAGCUAAGGCCUCUUCCAAUGCAUUAAAAAGCUAGGGAACUAAUCCCUCCAAUGCAUAGGUGUUUAGCUUUUGUAGCUAAGCUUUCUCUUUUAAUUGUUUACUCCCUCUUUUCCGGUUUAUAAGGCUCAAAUCUGAAAUAUCAAUCAAGGCAUUUUGUGAGUGGAGGAAUGUAUCUCAUACUUUACAAAACUACCUCAAUUAAACUCGUGCAUUAAAUUGGAAUAAUUGCAGUGCAUGCAUGCUUGGCCACUAGAUAAGUAGAAAAUUGCAUGCAUUGGUGUGUUCCUUUUUAAUUCUUACAUGCAAAGAUUUAAUGCGUCUCGAAAACUAAAAAUGAGAUGGAGAUGAGCCCUAUAAAUUGGAAAAACAAAAAAGUUAAGAUAAGCCCUAUAAACCGGAAAGGAGGGAGUAACAACUAAAUUCCUUCAUGCAUUUAUUGGUACACUUUGCAUAGUUCCACGCACAACAUUUUACUUAGGCCCCUCCCAGUGCUCCACUGUGUACAAGUGCUAAGUGUGAUGCCCCCGAUUUGAUCGUACAUUAAUCAUACACGCAAACAUGUACAAUCAAGAUCAGGGACUCACGGGAAGAUAUCACAACACAACUCUAGACACAAAUUAAAAUAAUACAAGCUUUAUAUUACAAGGUCUCGAGGGCUCGAAUACAUCAGCUCAAAAACACAUGAGUCAGCGGAAGCAACAAUAUCUGAGUACACACAUAAGUUAAACAAGUUUGCCUUAAGAAGGCUAGCACAAACUGGGAUACAGAUCGAAAGAUGCGUAGGCCUCCUGCCUAGGAUCCUCCUAAACUACUCCUGGUCGUCGUCAGCGACCUGCACGUAGUAGUAAGCACCUCCAGUGUAGUAGGAGUCGUCAUUGACGGUGGCGUCUGGCUCCUGGGCUCCAAUAUCUGGUUAUGACAACCAGGAAGAAAGGAAAAGGGGAAAAAUGGGGAGCAAAGCAACCGUGAGUACUCAUCCAAAGUACUUGCAAGCAAGGAACUACACUACAUAUGUAUUGGUAUCAAUGAAAGGGGGUAGUAUAUGUCGACUGAAUUGCAGAAUGCCAAAAUAAGAGGGGGAUAACUAGUCCUAUCGAAGACUAAGCUUCUGGCAGCCUCCAUCUUGCAGCAUGUACAAGAGAGUAGAUUGUAAGUUCACCGGCGCGCGCCGCUCAGUCGCUGACGUCAAGAAGGCUUCGGUUGAUACCAUGACGUUGAGUGCCCAUAACUGUUCCCGCGUAGUUGGUUAGUGCGUAUAGGCCAGUGGCCAGACUCGGAUGAAAUACCAAGAUCUCGUUAAGCGUGUUAUUUUGAAGCAACCGCGAACACCGACCAGGGACCAGGCCCACCUCUCUCCUAGGUGGUCUCAACCUGCCCUGUCGCUCCGCCACAAAGUAACAGUCAGGGGCCCUCGGGAACCCAGGCCCACCACUACCUGGAUGGAGCCACCUGUCCUUUCCCCCACAUCGGAAUCACAUGCAGGUACUCUACGAGCCGACCUAACUUUAGUCACCACAUGUAUAGUAUGUAUGUGUGCAUGUAUGUAUUGAAGGAAAUAUGCCCUAGAGGCAAUAAUAAAGUUGUUAUUUAUAUUUCCUUAUAUCAUGAUAAAUGCUUAUUAUUCAUUCUAGAAUCGUAUUAACUGGAAACUUAGUACAUGUGUGAAUACAUAGACAAACAGAGUGUCACUAGUUUGCCUCUACUUGACUAGCUCGUUGAAUCAAAGAUGGUUAGGUUUCCUAGCCAUAGACAUGAGUUAUCAUUUGAUUAAUGGGAUCACAUCAUUAGAGAAUGAUGUGAUUGACUUGACCCAUUUUGUUAGUUUAGCACGAUGAUCAUUUAGUUUUUUGCUACUGCUUUCUUCAUGACUUAUACAUGUUCCUCUGACUAUGAGAUUAUGCAACUCCCCAAUACCGGAGGAACACUUUGUGUGAUACCAAACGUCACAACAUAACUGGGUGAUUAUAAAGGUUCUCUACAGGUGUCUCCGAUGGUACUUGUUGAGUAGGCAUAGAUCGAGAUUAUGAUUUGUCACUCCGAUUGUCGGAGAGGUAUCUCUGGGCCCUCUCGGUAAUGCACAUCACUAUAAGCCUUGCAAGCAAUGUGACUAAUGAGUUAGUUCCAGGAUGAUGCAUUACAGAACGAGUAAAGAGACUUGCCGGUAACGAGAUUGAACUAGGUAUUGAGAUACCGACGAUCGAAUCUCGGGCAAGUAAACUACCGAUGACAAAGGGAACAACCUAUGUUGUUAUGCGGUUUGACCGAUAAAGAUCUUCGUAGAAUAUGUAGGAGCCAAUAUGAUCAUCCAGGUUCCACUAUUGGUUAUUGACCGGAAAUGAUCUCGGUCAUGUCUACAUAGUUCUCGAACCCGUAGGGUCCGCAAGCUUAACAUUCGGUGACGAUUUGUAUUAUGAGUUUAUGUGAUUUGAUGACUGAAGGUUGUUCGGAGUCCCGGAUGAGAUCAGGGACAUGAUGAGGAGUCUCGAAAUGAUCGAGCCGUAAAGAUCGAUAUAUUGGAAGGCUAUAUUCGGACAUCGGAAAGAUUCCCAGUGAUUCGGGUACUUUUCGGAGUACAGGGGGAGUUACGGGAAUACGGGAGUACAUAUGGGCCUUAGUGGGCUUUAAGGGAAACAGAGGAGAAGCCACGAGGGCUGGCCGCGCGCCCCCCAUGGGUUGCGCCCCCUCUUUCCUUCUCCUCCCCCUCUCCUUCCUUCCCCUCCUAGUAGGACUAGGAAAGGAGGAAUCCUACUCCUACUAGAAGGAGGAUUCCUCCCCCCUUUGGCGCGUCUAGAGAGGCCGGCCGGCCUCCCCUCCCUCAUUUAUAUACGUGGGGAGGGGGGCACCCUAGAGAACACACAAGUUGAUCAGUUGAUCUUUUAGCCAUGUGCGGUGCCCCCUCCACCAUAACCCACCUCGGUCAUAUCGUAGCGGUGCUUAGGCGAAGCCCUGUGUCGGUAGCAUCAUCAUCACCGUCAUCACGCCGUCGUGUUGGCGGAACUCUCCCUCGAAGCUCUGCUGGAUCGGGGUUCGUGGGACGUCACCGAGCUGAGCCUGUGCUGAACUCGGAGGUGCCGUACAUUCGGUACUUGGAUCGGUCAGAUCAUGAAGACGUACGACUACAUCAACCGCGUUCUCAUAACUCUUCCACUUACGGUCUACGAGGGGACAUGGACGACACUCUCCCCUCUCGUUGCUAUGCAUCACCAUGAUCUUGCGUGUGCGUAGGAUUUUUUUUGAAAUUACUGCGUUCACCAACAUGUAUAUACCCGUGAUCACCUCCCGAGUGAUCACGACCCGGUAGUAUAGCAUGGCAGACAAACAAGAAUGUAGGGCCACUGAUGGAAUACUAGCAUCCUAUACUAAGCAUUUAGGAUUGCAGGUAAGGGUAACAACUGUAGCAACAAUGACAGGCUAUGCAACAUAAUAGGAUUAACCGAAAGCAGCAACAAGCUACACUACUCUAAUGCAAGCAGUAGACAGAAGGAAUAGGCGAUAUUGGGUUGAUCAAAGGGGGGGCUUGCCUGGUUGCUCUGGCAAGGAGGGGUCAUCAACAACGUAGUUGUACUGGGUAGCAGCGGCGUCGGUCUCGAUGUCUAGCGAGAGAAGAGGGGGAAGAAACAAUACAUAUAAUGCAAACAUAAGCAUGACGAUGCACGGCAUGACAAUGAGCGGUGCUAGGUGUGCCCUAACAUUGUUGGAGGUGAUACCAGCGAAGGAGGGAAACAUCCGGGAAAGUAUCCCCGGUGUUUCGCGUUUUCGAACAAAUGAACCGGAGAGGAAAAGUUGAGUGUUCCCUAUACUAGAGACAUGCCGCGGACGAACGGGCUGCAUAUUCGGAUUUGCCUCGUCGUUCUAAGCAACUUUCAUGUACAAAGUAUUUUCAUCCGAGUUACGGAUUAUUUAAUAUUAAUUUUUAAAGUUUUAAUUCAUUUUUUAAUUAACAGAAUUAAUUUAAAUCAAAAAGCAUUUAUGAUGUCAGCAUGAUGUCAGGGUGAUGUCAGUAGUCAAACAGUCAAUUGACUUAGUCAACUGACGUGUGGGUCCUACUGUCAUUGACACAUUACCCUAACUAACAGAUUAGUUAGUUUUAAUCAGAUAUCUAGGCUAAUUAAGUUCAAUUAGUUUAAUUAAAUCAGAUUAAUUAAGUUAAUUAAUUAUAUUUUUAUAUUACAUUUUGUUUUCACUCUUUUUUUAUUUCCCAGGGCGCUGGGCCCACAUGUCAUAGGCCCGGGGUGGCCAAACGUGCGCUGGGUCCACGCACAACAUUUUACUUAGGCCCCUCCCAGUGCUCCACUGUGUAUAGGUGCUAAGCAUGCCACAUAAGCAAAAAAAUAAUGUGGCAAAGCAAUUAAAGAGGAGAGAGAGCAUUAUGAUGACCCCAGCAGGAAACGAUGCUAAGCGCAUGGACUUAUGCAAAAUGCCUACCAACCAAUGCAUGACGGACUUUAGUUGCUAAACAAUUAAAUAAAGCAAGCUUAGCUACAAAAGCUAAGCACCCAUGCAUUAAGAAAAUUAGUUGCUAAGACUUUUAAUGUACUUAGCGUCACAUCUAAGCACCAUUGCAUUGGAAGAAGUAUUAUGUGGCACCCUUAUCACCUGUACACGGUGGAGCACGGGAAAUGUCCUAAGCUCCCUUCAUUUAAGUAUUUAGCAACUAGAGUCUUUCACCCAUUGGGGAGUUCUCUUCAUUUAAGAGUAUUGCAUAGGUUCACGCACUUGGCAUAGUUUUUGUUGUGCCAUCAAAGUGCUCUCUCACCUCCUUAAAUGAUUUUCCAUUUUAUUAUUUUGCUUAUGUGGCAUGCUUAGCACAUGUACAUCAGGGAGCAUUGACAAUUUUUUUAGAAAAGGAGGAUGUACCCCCGACCUAUGCAUCUGGACGAUGCAUGCAGCCAUAUUAUUAAUUAUUCACAAAGACCAUACAAAGUGAUACAUCAAUAAGCCUGAAGCCACCAUCUUGGCAACACCGUUGCUACUCCUAUCCGCUUGAUGAAGGCGUGCCAAAUGUCCGGGCCUAAUACCAAACAGACAUCGCACCAAAGCCUAACAUCUAAAGCCGGGUGUCCCAUCCAAGCCACUACCUGGAUUGGGUCCCACACCGAUCUGGCAUACUCGCGAUGAGCACCGCAUGUUGCAAGGGCCGUCACCUCCAUCACCCCUCGGUCCAUCCUCAGAGCAGAACUGAAGCACCAACCUUGCCAAGCCUCUCUGCCAUCAACGCCACCAUGACGCCAGACAACUUCCUCCUCCUGCGCGAGUCCACCUCCACGCAUCAGACGCCGAAUCUCCACAGCACCACAUCGUCGAGAUCCGCCACCAUCGAUGUGUAAGAUGAAGCACCGCUCCACCAAAGACGUCCUCCUCUGGUCCCUCAAGCCCGUGUGCACCUCCAAGAAUGACGCCCCCAACGGGGAAACGACACCAAAGAGCCGCCGUCAUCCGAUCUACUGAUAUAGGGUUUCCCCUGGAGGUACCAGAGAGUGGCCUUGAACUUCUCCUCGGUGAUGCCUUUAGGAAGGGAAUGACGCGGACAAUGUCGCCAUCGUCGGCAUUGGCAAUAGCCAAUAGCAGAUUUUCACCCAGAUCUGAUCGAAGACCUCCAUCUCUCGUGCAUGGGCCGCCUGUGACGCCCCGAAUCCGAUGCGCCAGGUGUCUUCCAGUUAUUCGCCGAUGUUGCCAUGUCUUUUGCUUGCAUGUUGCAUUUCAUCAUGUCAUCAUGUGCAUUGCAUUAUCAUGUUUUCAAAACUUGCAUCCGUCCCGGUCUUCCAGUUCUUUCCGUUGUCCGUUCUGAGCCUAGACACACUUGCACGCGUCCGCAGCACGUCUGAAAUAUUAUUUUAUAACUGGCCGGAAAAUGUUCUCAGAAUGGGUUGAAAGUUGGCAUGAGGUGUUGUUUUGUUGCCGGUAGACCGCCUGCCAAAUUUCAUCGCAUUCGGAGUUUGUUUGACGCCCCAACGGAUAACUAUAGCGGCAUUAUAGCCGGUCUAAUGUCGGACGUUUUCGGUCUCCGAAAACUAUUGCCGGGCUUUCCCUCUCCUCUCAUCCCAAGCCCCUCUACACAGUCCAUCUAGCCCACCUACCUACCCCCUCCGCUCCGGACCGUCCGAUGGCGAUCGAACGGCUCCGAGACGGAGCAAAACCCCUCCUAACCCUAAUCCUAACCCUCUUUUCCUAUUUAAACAGUCCCCUUGCCAUUUUUGGCAUCCCCUAGUCUCCACCUACCUCCUGUCGCAGCCUCCACCCUCCUCCUUGCAUUCCGCGCCGGCCAAACCCCUUCCCGCCACUUGGCAGCGCCGCCACGCCCUUUCAGCCAACCGAUGCGCGCCACCUCACCCCGCCAGGCCGCCCGCAGCCACUCAUGAGAGGCCAUGUCGCCCUCCUCUCUCUCCCCGCGCCGCCAGGCCCGCCGGGGCCCGAGGCCAGCCCGCCCGGGCCCGACCGCGCCCCACAGGCGCCCGCGCCAGCUCGCCCCGAGCGAUCCAGAUCGGGAGAGGUGCUCCUGAUCCAGAUCGACACCGCCGCCUGUGCGUCGUUGUUCCGGAAACCGGGGCCGCACCGGAGUCGCCGCCGGUGACCACCUCCACCCCCAGGCCAGGCCUUGCCGCCCCUCUCCUUCCCAUCUUUCUUCCUCCUCAUCCUCUCACCUUCUCUCUCCCUCGCCGGACGCAGCCGCCGCCAGGAGCUGCCACCGUCCAUGUCCCUCGCCGCCGACCGACCUCCGCGCCAGAUCCGGCCUCCACUACCUUCCCCGUUCCCAUUCCCGGCCUCAGCGCUCGCCGCCGUCGCUGGAGAGACCCUGCCGCCGUCGGUCUUCUUCUUCGGGAGAUGGACGAGCUCAGCGCCGCUAGCGUUGACCGCGCCGCCGCCGCACACACGUGGGCCAGCACCGCCACGCGGCCCAGAUCCCAUCGGCCUUGUCCGGCACAGCGCUGCCCCCCUUCUGGCCUCCCUCACCACCGAUCUGGGCCAGGCCCACUGGGUGAGAACCCCCCCUGUGCACUGUUGGUCCAACAGAUUCGGCCCGUAUAACAUUUUUUUCUCUGGACGAAUUUAAUCAUUUAUCCAGACUGCAGUUUUUGCAGAAAACCCUUGUUCUUCAUGCAUAUCAUAAAUCACAAACUGUGCAUCGCAUGUAAAAACUUCAUAGAUGGAAAAUGACUAGAAUUCCAUCUAGUUUCAUAAUAUGCCAUUUUCAUCCAUGUUAAAAAUGUUAAAAAUGUUGUUUGUUUAAUUUUGCUCAUAUGCCAUGUUAAAAUGCUUUAUUUCAUACCUAAAUAACCAUAGCUCCAAACCUAAUAAACUUUAUAUGUAAAUGGGGUAGAAAAAUGCAUAGAUUAACAUGGUGGCUUUACUUUGCAUGUUUAACAACUCUAUAAUAUGGUUUAGGGCAGAACAGUACCAAAUUCACAAUAUGCAUAUGGGGAUUUUCCGGAAUUGUUGUUUGUUAUUUUCGGCCUCAUUUAACUUUGACUAGAUAGUUAGUUUACUUAUGCUUCACCUCUCGCCAUGCUAACCGACAUUUAAUAUUAUUGAGUACGUAAAUGGGGGAGGACUAAAUAAUCAAAUGUGGCGUUCCGGCAAUAUGCAACUCGUUGCAUAUUGAGCUCCACUUAAUUUGUAGGAUUGCUUGUGCACUUUGCCAUGCCAUGAUUCAUUAAACCGGACAUGCAUCAUACUUGGUUGUGCAUCAUGCCAUGUUGAGAUGAUGGUUGUUUACUAUGUUGUUUGCUUCUUUCCGGUGUUGCUUCUUCGGGUUAGUUCCGAUAACUUCGCGUUUGUGAGGAUCCAUUCGACUACGCCCGUUUAUCUUCUUCAUGGACUCGUUCUUCUUUCCUUGCGGGAUCUCAGGCAAGAUGACCAUACCCUCGAAAUCACUUCUAUCUUUGUUUGCUAGUUGCUCGCUCUAUCGCUAUGUCGCGCUACCUACCACUUGUUAUAUUAUGCCUCCCAUAUUGCCAUGUCAAGCCUCUAACCCACCUUUCCUAGCAAACCGUUGUUUGGCUAUGUUACCGCUUUUGCUCAGCCCCUCUUAUAGCGUUGCUAGUUGCAGGUGAAGAUGAAGUUUGUUCCAUGUUGGAACAUGGAUAUUCAUGGGAUAUCAUUAUUAUCUCUUAUUUACUUUAAUGCAUCUAUAUACUUGGUAAAGGGUGGAAGGCUCGGCCUUAUUCCUGGUGUUUUGUUCCACUCCUGCCGCCCUAGUUUCCGUCAUACCGGUGUUAUGUUCCUUGAUUUUGCGUUCCUUAUGCGUUGGGUGUUAUGGGGACCCGUUGACAGUUCGCUUUGAAUAAAACUCCUCCAGCCAGGCCCAACCUUGGUUUUACCAUUUGCCUCACCACCACCUACUUGUCCCUUGGGAGUCGCGCUCCCGAGGGUCAUCUUUAUUUUAACCCCCCCCCGCCCCGGGCCAGUGCUUGUCUAAGUGUUGGUCCGAACCGAGCUGCCUGCGGGGCCACCUCGGGGAAACUUGAGGUUUGAUUUUACUCGUAGCUAGUCUCAUCUGGUGUUGCCCUGAGAACGAGAUACGUGCGACUCCUAUCGGGAUUGUCGGCACAUCGGGUGGUUUUGCUGGUCUUGUUUUACCAUUGUCGAAAUAUCUUAUAACCGGGAUUCCGAGUCUGAUCGGGUCUUCCUGGGAGAAGGAAUAUCCUUUGUUAACUGUGAGAGCUUGUGAUGGGCUAAGUUGGGACACCCCUGCAGGGUUUUGAACUUUCGAAAGUCGUGCCCGCGGUUAUGGGCAGAUGGGAAUUUGUUAAUGUCCGGUUGUAGAGAUCUUGACACUUAACUUAAUUAAAAUGCAUCAACCGUGUGUGUAGCCGUGAUGGUCUCUUCUCGGCGAAGUCCGGGAAGUGAACACGGUUCUUGUGUUAUGGUUGUACGUAAGUAGCUUCAGGAUCACUUCUAGUUUACGACCAUUGCGUUGCUUCUCUUCUCGCUCGUAUUUGCGUAUGUUAGCUACCAUAUAUGCUUAGUGCUUGCUGCAGCUCCACCUCACUACCCUUUCCUUCCCAUAAGCUUAAAUAGUCUUGAUCUCGCAGGUGUGAUAUUGCUGCGUCCUCGUGACUCACAGAUACUUCCAAACAGUUGCAGGUGCCGAUGAUACCAGUGCAGGUGACGCAACCGAUCUCAAGUGGGAGCUCGAUGAAGAUCUAGAUCGAUGUUUUAUAUCUUUUCCGGUUGAUCAGUAGUGGAGCCCAGUUGGGACGAUCGGGGAUCUAACAUUUGGGGUUGUCUUCUUUUAUUUUGGUUCCAUAGUCGGACCUUUGAUUGUAUUCUGGAUGAUGUAUGUUUAACUUGUAUUUGUGUGAAGUGGCGAUUGUAAGCCAACUCUUUAUCCCUUUCUCUUUCAGUACAUGGGAUUGUGUGAAGAUUGCCCCUCUUGCGACAAACCUACCAUGCGGCUAUGCCUCUAAGUCGAGCCCCGACACAUGGGAGAUAUAGCCGCAUUGUGGGUGUUACACCGCCGCCAUCCUUGCCGGGAUAUGGAUGAUCUAGGCCACCGCUGCCAGAUCUCAGCAAGGAGAAGAGCCCCCACCGAGACUCGCCGACCAAGCAGUGGAGGCCGAGACCGCGCUCGCAGGACCAGAUCCACGAUGGAUCCGUGCCCGCGCCGCCGCCCCGAAGCCAACCCCUCGCGCAGCCGCCACAGCCUGGCCACCCGCUCGCACCACCGUCUGGUCGUCGUGCCGCACGACGCGCCCUCGCCGCAUUAGCCAAGACUCCGCCGCGCCGCCGCAUCUCGCGCUACAGCCGCACGCCGGGAGGGGAAGAAUGGCCCCUAUGCCACCGACACGCACUGGGCUUUGCCCGGUAGCGCCUUCUGGCGGCGGCGAGGGGAGGGGAUGGUGUAGGAGGCGGACGCGGGGUGGGGGCUAGGGUUCCCCCGCCGCCACCCGCGAGAGUGACGCGAGGGACGCCCGAGUGCUGAACUAGAAAGCAAGAAUUAAUCUACCUAAAAACCUAAUUUUCGGGUGUGAGUCUACUUUCACAAACUAAUCUAUAUUUAUGCUCACAAAAUUAUGGAGUUUUGAUUUGAUCUAAGCAAUCUUUAUUAUCCAUUGAUGCUACUAAUAUAGUAUAUAAUCUCGACAACCCUGAAAAUUUAGGAGUUACACCAAAGUCCCUUGAUGACGUGCUUCUUCAUCCUCCCGAACAUGCCGAUGGUGCACCGCUGGAGCCAGUUUGCCAUUACUGAUCAGUAACAGGACGUCAGUAAGGCAAUAGUGCUACUAAACCUAUGCCCUGGAGAUCUUCUCCGCUAAAAGAGGUGAUACGUCCAUUUUGCAUCAUGCUUUUAUAUCAAUAUUUAUUGCAUUAUGGACUAUUAUUACACAAUAUAUCACAAUACUUAUGCCUAUUCUCUCUUAUUUUACAAGGUUUACAUGAAGAGGGAGAAUGCCGGUAGCUGGGAUUCUGGGCUGGAAAUGGAGCAAAUAUUAGAGACCUAUUCUGCACAGCUCCAAAGGUCCUGAAACUUCACGGGAGUUAUUUCCAGAAUAUAUAAAAAAUACUGAGCGCAAGAAGUACGAGAGGGGGGCCACCCAUCAGCCACGAGGGUGGGGGAGCGCCCUACCCCCUGGGAGUGCCCCUUGCCUCGUGGGCCCCCUGGUGGCCCUCUGAUGCCCAUCUUCUGCUAUAUGGAGUCUUUCGUCGAGAAAAAAAAUCAUAAGCAAGCUUUCGGGACGAGACUCCGCGGCCACGAGGCGGAACCUUGGCGGAACCAAUCAAGGGCUCUGGUGGAGCAGUUCUACUGGGGAAACUUCCCUCCGGGAGGGGGAAAUAAUCACCAUCGUCAUCACCAACGAUCCUCUCAUCAGGAGGGGGUCAAUCUUCAUCAACAUCUUCACCAGCACCAUCUCAUCUCAAACCCUAGUUCAUCUCUUGUAUCCAAUCUUUGUAUCCAAACCUCAGAUUGGUACCUGUGGGUUGCUAGUAGUGUUGAUUACUCCUUGUAGUUGAUGCUAGUUAGUUUACUUGGUGGAAGAUCAUAUGUUCAGAUCCAUUAUGCAUAUUAAUACCCCUCUGAUUAUGAACAUGAAUAUGCUUUGUGAGUAGUUACGUUAGUUCCUGAGGACAUGGGAGAAGUCUUGCUAUUAGUAGUCAUGUGAAUUUGGUAUUCGUUCGAUAUUUUUAUGAGAUGUAUGUUGUCAUCCCUCUAGUGGUGUCAUGUGAACGUCGACUACAUGCCACUUCACCAUUGUUUGAGCCUAGAGGGAGGCAUUGGGAAGUAAUAAGUAGAUGAUGGGUUGCUAGAGUGAUGGAAACUUAAACUCUAGUUUAUGCGUUGCUUCGUAAGGGGCUGAUUUGGAUCCAUAUGUUUCAUGCUAUGGUUAGGUUUGCCUUAAUACUUCUGUUGUAAUUGUGGAUGCUUGCAAUAGGGGUUAAUCAUAAGUGGGAUGCUUGUCCAAGUGAGGACAGUACCCAAUCACCGGUCCACCCACAUAUCAAAUUAUCAAAGUACCGAACGCGAAUCAUAUGAUCGUGAUGAAAACUAGCUUGAUGAUAAUUCCCAUGUGUCCUCGGGAGCGCUUUUCUCUAGAUAAGAAUUUUUCCAUGCUUGUCCUUUGCUACAAAAAGGAUUGGGCCAUCUUGCUGCACCUUAUUUACUUUUAUUACUUGUUACUCAUUACAAAUUACCUUAUCACAAAACUACCUGUUACCGAUAAUUUCAGUGCUUGCAGAGAAUACCUUGGUGAAAACCGCUUAUCAUUUCCUUCUGCUCCUCGUUGGAUUCAACACUCUUACUUAUCGAAAGGACUAGAUAGAUCCCCUAUACUUGUGGGUCAUCAAGACUCUUUUCUGGCGCCGUUGCCGGGGAGUGAAGCGCCUUUGGUAGGUGGAAUUUGGUAAGGAAAAAUUUAUAUAGUGUGCUGAAAUUUAAUGUCACUUGUUACUAUGGAACAUAAUCCUUUGAGGGGUUUGUUCGGGGUAUCUUCACCUUGUCCAGAACCACAAUUAGUUACCCCUCAACCUACUGGAACUACUGAAAAUGGAAAUGUUUACUUCGAAAUUCCUUCGGGUAUGAUAGAGAAACUGCUAGCUAAUCCUUUUGCAGGAGAUGGAACAUUGCAUCCCGACUUACACUUAAUCUAUGUGGAUGAAGUUUGUGGAUUAGUUAAGCUUGCAGGUAUGCCCGAUGAUGUUAUCAAGAAGAAGGUAUUCCCUUUAUCUUUGAAGGGAGAUGCAUUGACAUGGUAUAGGCUAUGUGAUGAUAUGGGAUCAUGGGACUAUAAGCAAUUGAAAUUGGAAUUUCACCAGAAGUUUUAUCCUAUGCAUCUUGUUCAUCGUGAUCGUAAUUAUAUAUAUAAUUUUUGGCCUCGCGAAGGAGAAAGCAUUGCUCAAGCUUUGGGGAGGCUUAAGUCAAUGUUAUAUUCAUGCCCCAAUCAUGAGCUCUCAAGAGAAAUGAUUAUUCAAAAAAUUUAUGCUCGGCUUUCUGACAAUAAUCGCUCCAUGCUCGAUACUUCUUGUACUGGUUCCUUUAUGAUGAAGACUAUUGAAUACAAAUGGAAUUUAUUGGAGAGAAUUAAACGCAAUUCUGAAGAUUGGGAUCUCGACAAAGGUGAGGAGUCAGGUAACACCUAAGUUUGAUUGUGUUAAAUCUUUUAUGGAUACCGAUGUUUUCUGUAAAUUUAGCACUAAAUAUGGACUUGACUCUGAGAUAGUAGCUUUUUCUGUGAAUCCUUUGCUACUCAUGUUGAUCUCCCUAAGGAUAAGUGGUUUAAAUAUAAUCCUCCCAUUGAAACAAAAGUAGUUGCACCUAUUAAAGUUGAAGAAAAGACUAUGACUUAUAAUGAUCCUGUUGUUCCAACUGCUUAUGUUGAGAAACCACCUUUCCCUGUUAGAAUAAAGGAUCAUGCUAAAGCUUCAACUAUGGUUCGUAAAAGUAAUAUUAGAACUUAUACACCUCCUGAGCAAGUUAAAGUUGAACCUAAUAUUGCUAUUCUUAAAGAUCUCCUGGCUGAUAAUAUCGAUGGGCAUGUUAUUUAUUUCUGUGAUGAGACUGCUAGAAUUGCUAAACCUGGUGUUAAAGAUAAACAUAGACCUGUGGUAGGCAUGCCUGUUAUUUCUAUUAAAACAGGAGAUCAUUGUUAUCAUGGCUUAUGUGAUAUGGGUGCUAGUGCUAGUGCAAUGCCUAUUUCCUUGUACAAAGAAAUUAUGCAUGAUAUUGCACCAGCUGAGAUAGAAGAUAUUGAUGCUACCAUUAAGCUUGCUAAUCGAGAUACUAUUUCACCAAUUGGGAUUGUUAGAGACAUUGAAGUCUUGUGUGGGAAGGCUAAAUAUCCUGCUAAUUUUCUUGUUCUUGGUUCCCCUCAAGAUAGCUUUUGUCCCAUUAUAUUUGGUAGACCCUUCUUGAACACUGUUAAUGCUAAGAUAGAUUGCCAGAAGGAUGUUGUUACUAUUGGUUUGGAUGAUAUGUCUCAUGAGUUUAAUUUUUCUAAAUUUCGUAGACAACCCCAUGAUAAAGAAUUGCCUAGUCAAGAUGAAAUUAUUGGUCUUGCUUCUAUUGUCGUGCCUCCUACUGAUCCAUUAAAACAAUAUUUGCUAGACCAUGAAAAUGAUAUGUUCAUGAAUGAAAGAAGGGAAAUAGAUGAAGUAUUCUUUAAACAGGGACCUAUUUUGAAACACAACUUGCCUGCUGAAAUCCUAGGGGAUUCUCCUCCACCCAAGGGUGAUCCCGUGUUUGACCUUAAACCAUUACCUGAUACUCUUAAAUAUGCUUACCUUGAUGAAAAGAAAAUAUAUCCUGUUAUUAUUAGUGCUAACCUUUCAGAGAAGGAGGAAGAGAAAUUAUUGAAAACUCUGAAGAAGCACUGUGCUGCUAUUGGAUAUACUCCUGAUGAUCUUAAGGGCAUUAGUCCCACUCUAUGUCAACACAAAAUAAAUUUGGAGGAAGACGCCAAACCAGUUAUUGAUCAUCAACGGCGGGUGAAUCCUAAGAAGAAAUAAGUGGUAAGAAAAGAAAUAUUAAAGAUCCUUGAGGCAGUUAUAAUUUAUCCCAUUGCUUAUAGUCAGUGGGUAAGUCAUGUUCAUUGUGUCCCUAAGAAGGGAGGUAUUACUGUUGUUCCUAAUGAUAAAGAUGAAUUGAUUCCGCAAAGAAUUAUUAUAGGUUAUGGGAUGGUAAUUGAUUUCCGCAAAUUAAAUAAGGCUACUAAAAAGAUCAUUACCCCUUACUUUUAUUGAUCAAAUGCUAGAAAGAUUAUCCAAACAUACACAUUUUUGUUUUCUAGAUGGUUACUCUGGCUUCUCUCAAAUACCUGUGUCAGCUGAUGAUCAAUCAAAGACCACUUUUACUUGCCCUUUCAGUACUUUUGCUUAUAGAUGUAUGCCUUUUGGUUUAUGUAAUGCACCUGCUACCUAUCAAAGAUGCAUGGUGGUUAUAUUUUCUGACUUUUGUGAAAAGAUAUGUGAGGUUUUCAUGGACGAUUUCUCCGUUUAUGGAUCCUCUUUUGAUGAUUGCUUAAGCAACCUUGAUCGAGUUUUGCAGAGUUGUGAGGAAACUAAUCUUAUUCUGAAUUGGGAGAAAUGCCACUUUAUUGUCAAUGAAGGUAUUGUCUUGGGGCAUAAAAUUUCUGAAAGAGGCAUUGAAGUUGAUAAAGCUAAAGUUGAUGCUAUUGAAAAGAUGCCAUGUCCCAAGGACAUUAAAGGUAUAAGAAGCUUCCUCGGUCAUGCCGGUUUUUGUAGGAGGUUCAUUAAGGACUUCUAAAAAAAUUCUCGGCCUCUCACUAAUCUAUUACAAAAAGAUAUUCUAUUUUUAUUUGAUGAUGAUUGUGUAGACGCAUUUGAAAUACUUAAGAAAGCAUUAAUUUCUACACCUAUUGUUCAGCCACCUGAUUGGAAUUUACCCUUUGAAAUUAUGUGUGAUGCUAGCGAUUAUGCUGUAGGUGUUGUUCUAGGGCAAAGAGUUGAUAAGAAAUUAAAUGUUAUUCAAUAUGCUAGUAAAAGUCUAGAUAGUGCCCAAAGCAAUUAUGCUACUACUGAAAAGGAAUUCUUAGCAGUUGUAUUUGCUUGUGAUAAGUUCAGACCUUAUAUUGUUGAUUCUAAAGUAACUAUUCACACUGAUCAUGCUGCUAGUAAAUACCUUAUGGAAAAGAAAGAUGCUAAACCUAGACUUAUUAGAUGGGUUCUCUUGCUACAAGAAUUUGAUUUGCAUAUUAUUGAUAGAAAGGGAGCUGAGAACCCCAUUGCAGACAACCUGUCUAGGUUAGAAAAUCUUCUUGAUGACCCACUACCUAUUGAUGAUAGCUUUCCUGAUGAACAAUUAAAUGUCAUAAAUGCUUCUUGAACUGCUCCAUGGUAUGCUGAUUAUGCUAAUAUAUUGUUGCUAAAUUUAUACCACCUAGUUUCACAUACCAGCAAAAGAAAAAGUUCUUCUAUGAUUUGAGACAUUACUUUUGGGAUGACCCACAUCUUUAUAAAGAAGGAGUAGAUGGUAUUAUUAGACGUUGUGUACCUAAGCAUGAACAAGAACAAAUCCUACGCAAGUGUCACUCCGAGGUUUAUGGAGGACACCAUGCUGGAGAUAGAACUGGACAUAAGGUAUUGCAAUCCGUUUUUAUUGGCCUAAUCUCUUCAAGGAUGCCCGUAAGUUUGUCUUGUCUUGUGAUGAAUGUCAAAGAAUUGGUAAUAUUAGUAGACGUCAAGAAAUGCCUAUGAAUUAUUCACUUGUUAUUGAACCAUUUGAUGUUUAGGGCUUUGAUUAUAUGGGACCUUUUCCUUCCUCUAAUGGGAAUACACAUAUCUUAUUUGCUAUUGAUUACGUUACUAAGUGGGUAGAAGCUAUUCCAGCUAUUAGUGUUGAUUAUAACACCUCUAUUAAGAUGCUUAAAGAAGUUAUUUUCCCGAGGUUUGGAGUCCCUAGAUAUUUAAUGACUGGUGGUGGUUCACAUUUUAUUCAUGGUGCUUUUCGUAAAGUGCUUGCUAAGUAUGACGUUAAUCAUAGAAUUGCAUCUCCUUAUCACCCACAGUUUAGUGGUCAAGUAGAAUUGGGUAAUAGAGAGCUCAAAUUAAUUUUGCAAAAGAUUGUUAAUAGAUCUAGAAAGAAUUGGUCCAAGAAACUUGAUGAUGCAUUAUGGGCCUAUAGAACUGCAUAUAAAAAUCCUAUGGGUAUGUCUCUGUAUAAAAUGGUUUAUGGUAAAGCAUGUCACUUACCUCUUGAAUUAGAACAUAAGGCAUAUUGGGCCAUUAAAGAGCUCAAUUAUGAUUUCAAACUUGCCGGUGAGAAGAGGUUAUUUGACAUUAGCUCACUUGAUGAAUGGAGAACCCAAGCUUAUGAAAAUGCCAAGCUGUUUAAAGAAAAAGUUAAAAGAUGGCAUGAUAAAAGGAUACAAAAGCAUGAGUUCAAUGUAGGUGAUUAUGUAUUGCUAUACAACUCUUGUUUAAGAUUUUUUGCAGGGAAACUUCUCUCUAAACGGGAAGGUACUUACGUUAUCGAGGAGGUCUAUCGUUCCGGUGCCAUAAAAAUCAACAACUUCGAAGGCACAAAUCCGAAGGUGGUGAACGGUCAAAGAAUUAAACAUUAUAUCUCAGGUAAUCCCAUAAAUGUUGAAACUAAUGUUAUUGAAACCAUAACCCCGGAGGAAUACAUAAGGGACACUUUCCGGAACAUUUCAGACUCUGAAAAGGAAUAGGUACGUGGUAUGGUAAGUAAACUGACUCCAAAACAGUUCUAAUGGCAAUAUUUCUUUGUUUUGGAAUAUUUAGAAAAAUAGGAAAAUAAGAAGCAGACCGGAAAGGACACGAGGCUCCCACGAGGGUGGGAGGCGCGCCCUACCCCCCUGCCUCAUGGGCUCCUCGUGCGCUCUCCGGACUCCGUUUUCUUGCACGAUACUUCUUUUGGUCGGUAAAAAUUCAUUAUAUAAUGUCCCGAAGGUUUUAACCACCGUAUCACACAAAUAUCUCUUGUCUUUCUUUCGAGUUAUUUCUGCCGUAGAUUAGAGCAAGAUGUCUUCUCAAGAGUCAGUCGGGGAGAGUCGGGUGUCUCACCCGACACCAGGUCCAGGGGCAAAGAGUGAUGCCUAUCACUUUGGGCCCUCAACGGAGGAAGAGAUGGAAGCUGACUUGAAAAGGAUAGAUGCCAUGGAGGAGGAUCAAGAAGUUACUUCUCGUUUCCGGGCAGGAUUCACGAUGGAGGAACCACAGAGCUCAGCUAUUCCAAACUCGGUUAGCCCUUCCAGUGUUAGAUUUCUUUCUUAUGAAAAUAUGAAAAAGAGUGUUACUUGUUCUCCCGCAGCUAUGCAACAUUGGGUGAAAGGAGCUUUAGCCGUCACUGGCAAGCUCCGUAAGGAAAUAAUGAACCUCAAGCAGCAAGUCAAUAAGCUCGAGGAAGAGAAUCGUAUCCUGAGGGGCAUCAUCGCCAAGAAUAUCACAUCACCACCCCCGAAGAAGGAGACAUAAUCACACGGGUAUGGGUACUCCCCUUGGGAACUCCCAAGCUUGGGGGAGUGCCCCGGUAUCGUAUCACCAUCACUUUUAUCUUUGCCAUUUUUCUUAGUUCGAUCCUUUUAGUAAUAUCUUGAUCUAGUAGAAUAAAGUUUUAGUAUGAUCUAGUUGUGAGUUUUGCUUUAUGAUCCCUCUAUGUAAUCGAGUCUGUGAGCUAUAUAAUAAAGAUUAGUGUUGAGUCAAGGGCUUGAUUUUGCUAUGAUCUUGAGGGAAUAAAAUAAAAUAAAAAGAAACAAAGAGAUCAUAUGGAUCUUAUGGAAAGUAAUGAGCUCACAUAUAAACAGUAUGAUGAAUAAAAGUUGUUGAAAGUUGACAAACAUAGUUUUGGUCAUCGUUGCAAUUAAUAGGAAGUAAUAAAGAAAGAGAGGUUCACAUAUAAAUAUACUAUCUUGGACAUCUUUUAUGAUUGUGAGCACUCAUUAAAGUAUGACAUUGUAAGUGCAUCUAGGGCCCCUUAGUGAUUUUGGUGUAUUGAAGACUUAUAGGUUAAGGGACUAAUGCGUGUGUGAGUGUACACAGGUCUAUAAGUCUAUGAGGAGUUUGAUAUUUACAGGAAAAGUCGACCCCUAAAAAUGAAUAUCUUCGACUAAAGAUUUUGGUAUUUCUGAAGACUUUCAUGAAGAAUUUGAAAGUGAAGAAAUUUGGUGUGUCCGUGAAGACUUGAUAUUCAUGCGAGAAAUAUGAAGCUUGAAGACUUUCGUGUUCAUAGUUUUGUUUUUCUCUUUCUUGACUCAUAGGAAACACCGUACUGUUAAAGGGGGUCGAGGAAAUACUAAGGAAAAAAUUCCAUGUGAUGCUCAACUCAAAAUCCUACACCUACCAAUCCCUUCGAGUGAAGCCAUUGGAAAUCUCAUACAGUUCAGUCAAUUUCUUCAGUGACAGAGAUGAAGUUCUUCUGGUCUCUGAGGAUUUUGUCCUGACUGAGGAGUUAGGAAUUCGCCAGUGCGGAUUGCCUACAUAGUGAGGAACAUGAUAGCCCUGAGGAUUUUGCUACUCAAAAUUUCGACCGUUGUUGUGCUAUAUGCCAGCUGUCCCAAAAUAUCUAUCCACCUAACGGUCAUAUCAUUGAAGGGUAUUUAUGUCUUAUCAUGUUGGGCUGCUCCCUAGGCUAUAAAUAGCCACCCCCUACAACCACUAGCUGGUUGGCUGCUCCGAGAGAAAAUAACACUUGUCAUUUGAGAGCAACCCAUCCUCCGAGGACUUUGAGCGAAAAUCAUCAAGUGAGGAAAAAUCAAAAACCCAAACACCUACAAACCCCAAGUGAUUGAGCAUCACUGAAGAGAUUGAUCCUGAGUGGAUCCAAUGCUUGUUACCUUUGAAGACUGUGCUUCUUCCAGACGGUUAGGCGUCAUGGUCUAGAGCAUCCAAGAGGAAUUGUGGAUCGCCGAGUGACCAAGUUUGUGAAGGUUUGGAAGUCGCCUGAAGACUUACCACGAGUGAUUGGACGAGGUCUGUGUGACCUUAGUUCAAGGAGAAUACGGUGAGGACUGGUUGCCUUGGACUAAGUGUCCUUGACUGGGUGUCCGGGACUGUGUGUCCUCGAGUUUAAAUACUCAACCACUCCAACCAGAUGUACAACUGAGACAUCAGUUGGAACUAGUCUACCAAAUCAUUGUCUUCACCGAGCUUACUGGUUCUAUUUCCUCAACUCUUUCAUUUCCUCAUAACUGUGUUGUAUGUUUGUUCAUAUCUGUGUUUGAAGACUUUGACUGAAGACUUUCUCAAUUUUCUCAGUUCAAUUUCUUCAGUCUGUUUGUCUUCAUCCUGAGUUAUCCUGUGAUUACGCUUCCUGUACUCUGUGCCUGUCUUCAUUUCAUCAUGAUGACUAUGCUUGUAUUCUGUUGUGUUUACUUUUGAGUACUUAUUCCGCUGCUAGUAGUUCUUCGCGAAGGAAUUUCCUCACCAGCAAAUUCCUCAGUGAAGAAUUUCAUAAAAAUCGCCUAUUCACCCCCCCUCUAGUCGAUAUAACACACUUUCAAUUGGUAUCAGAGCAAGGUACUCCCUUGUUCUGUGUGAUUUUGGUUUAACCGCCUGGAGUUUUAGUUAUGUCGACCGUAGGUAUGAUCAAGGUCUCUGCUGGGUGCCCUACCUUCGAUGGGACGGACUACCCCUACUGGAAGAAUAAGAUGUGAAUGCAUCUUGAAGCAAUUGAUAACAAUCUCUGGUAUGUUGUGGAAAAUGGUGUUCCCUCAGUCACACCUUCUCUGAAUGCUGCCGAUGUGAAGAGAUUCAAGAAACUCGACUCUCAAGUGAAGAAUAUCAUAUGUGGCCAUCUAAGCAAAGGACAGUAUGGCAGAGUGAGUUCUUUGGAAACAUCGAAGCUUAUCUGGGACAGGUUGUCCAAAGUGAAUGAAGGAGUCUCAACUCAGAGUGACUCUCGAGUUGAUAUUCUUCGCAAUCUCUUCAACCGCUUCAAAAUACUCGACAAUGAAAAUGUUCAAAAAACCUUUGAUCGCCUCACUAACAUCUCAAAUGAGCUUCAAGCACUUGGUUCCACUGACAUCACUGACCAUGAGGUGGUGAAGAAAUUGCUGAGAUCGCUUGAUUCCUCAUUUGACACUCUGGCAUUGAUGAUACAAGAACAUGCUGAUUACAAGUCACUUGAUGCCGCUGAUAUUCUCGAGAGACUAAAUACUCAUGAGUUCCAACUUGCUGAAAAGAGAGAUCUCUAUGGUUCAAGCUAUGGCAGAACACAUGCACUGAAGGCCAAGGCAGUAUCUGAGUCCGAAGAUGAAGACUCUGGUACCAGCCUUGGUGAUCCUGAAGAACUGAGCCAUGAUCUGGCUCUGCUCAUGAAGAAGUUCCAAACGUUCUCAAGACGUGGUCGCCUUGGAAGAUCCUCAAGGAGCAAUGAUUCCUCAUCCAGUGACUACAAGAAGAGGCUUUGUCACAAGUGCAAGAAACCUGGACAUUUCAUUCAAGAUUGUCCUCAGUGGGAAAAGGAAUCAAAGAAGAAGAAAUACAAGGAUUACAGUUCUGAUGAUGCAAAGAAAAAGAAGAAAUCCACAAAAUCCACAUCAUCAAAAUCCUCAAAGCUUUCAUAUCACAAGAAGAGCAGCUGCAAGAAGGUCAGGGCAUUCAUUGGCAAGGAAAUGGACUCCAAGGCUGAAUCUGAAGAAAAUGAGGAAGAGGAGUCAUCUGAGGAGUCUGAAUCCGGAGUGGUGAGCCUAGCUCUCUCUACUGCAUUCAUCAGCAACUCUAUCUUCAACACUGAAGAAAAUGACCUCACCAACAAGGCUGAUGAAGGUGAUGAUGACCACGCUCCCACCUAUUGCUUCAUGGCAAAGGGUGCCAAGGUACUCAAAUAUACCUCCUCUGAAUCAAGUGAGAAUGAAUCUGAUGAAAACCUUAAGCCUAGCUAUUCUAAACUUGCUAAAAUUGCUAUAAAACAACGAAGGGCUUUAGAAAAGGUUCAAAACAUGCUAAAUAAAAGUGAUGAUAUGUUGGGUGAAGAAAUGGAUCGCACUGAAGCUUUGACUGAAAAUCUUCAGAGACUUCAGUCCAAGCUUGACAAACUUCAAAGUCAUCAUAACACUCUCUUAUCGGAUCAUGAUAAGCUUUCUUAUGAAUUUCUUCAAAGAAAGCAAGACCUUGAGAAGCUAAGAGUGAGUUAUGAAGAUCUUCAGAAGGAGCGCGAUUCAUUACUUGCUCAACAAAUCAGCGCAUCUCAGGAAGAAUUUGUUCCUCCAUGCUUGAAGUGCAUUGAACGUGAAUCUGCUAAUUCUUCACCUGAAUGUUCAAAUGCUGCUAAUGUUUCAAAUUCUUCACAUGCCUCUGCUAUCACUAAUUCCUCAUCUGAGGACAUUGCUAGUAUCACUGACGAUGCAGGGCUGAAGGAAUUGUACACGACAGGCAUGUACAAAAGCCUCAAAGGGCAUCAGGCUCUUUGUGAUGUGCUUAAAAAACAGAUCCUCAAUAGGAACCCUAGGAAAGAGGGUAUCGCCUUUGAGAGGAAACUCAAUGCUGAUGGUACAUAUUGGAAGCCUGAGCAGUACCCCAAAACUACAUGGGUCGCUGCAAAGGGACCUCCAGUUGAUCCAUCUAACUUAUCUGGAUUUGCAUGUGAAUCUCCUCAUUCUGAUGAUGAGUCAAUUGACUCCAACUAUAAGCUAUUCAAAAAUCAGAAUGGUGAAGUAUUUGCUAGAUAUGUUGGCAGUAACUGCAGGAAUGGCUCCCCUAUGAAGAAAAUCUGGGUUCCCAAAAGAUGUCUUGAAAAUCUUUAGGUGAAUGACAUCAUGACGCCACUUGUGAAGAAUAGGAACCCCAGAUCAAAUUCUUCAUAUGGACCAAAUUCCUCAUAUGAAGCAAAGUCCUCAUAUGAACAUCAUCGUGCUAACACGUCUGUUUCGCAUGGAAGAUCUAAGGAUUAUGGAUAUGUGCAUUAUUCUUCAAAUCAUUAUGUCCAUAAGUCCUCGAAGAAUUUCUCUGCUUACUCAUAUGCUUACUCUAACCCAUCUUAUGUGAAACGAAAUGUAUUGGCUUCUAUGCCAUCCUUCUCGUAUGGAGCUCGCAGAAUGAUGAACUCUUUUCCACCCCUUCAGAUGUGGGUGGUGAAGAAAAAGAACUAAUCUCUUCUGCAGGGUCAGGUCUCCAGACGCACGUAAUCAUCUGAAGAAUUUGCUGGAGACCUGAGCAUGCCUGAUAGGACGCAGGCUAAUCAUGAAGAAAUGAACUUUCUUUUCUCACGUCCUCAUAUUGCUUUAUCAGUUCUUUUAAUUGAUGAAAUUGAUCUGAUGAAUUGAUGUCAUAUUCUUCACUGAUGAAGUAUAUGAGUUUGUAAGCUGCACUAAUUCAUCUGCAGGAUGAUCAACCCAAAGCCACUGAGUGGGUCCUCGAUAGUGGAUGUGCAAACCACAUGACUGGUGACAAGAAUCUAUUGAUGGAUGCUCCAUUAUCUCCGUCGCAUCUGAAGCAUAUCAUCUUUGCUGACAAAGGAAAAAGUCAGGUAUUGGGUCUAGGUAAGGUUGCGAUUACAAAGGAUCGACACAUGGACAAAGUCAUGCUUGUUGAAACCCAAUGUAAGUUAUUUCAAAGUCUUCGGUGCUAAAUGUUGGAUUAGAGAUCCUCAUCACAACUCAAAAUUUGCACCGAAAGCACAUGAAGGUUUUAUGCUUGGUUACGGAAAGGACUCGCACACCUACAGAGUCUUCAACAACGUUCUUCACAAAGUUGUUGAAACUAUAGAUGUGUGGUUCGAUGAAACUAAUGGCUCGCAAAGAGAGCACCUACCUACUGUGAUAGAUGAACCAGCACCUGAGGAAACUAUCAAGUUCAAGGCUACUGAGGAUGUCAUUCCUACUGAAGAAUCUGCUGAAGAAUUCAUUCCAGAACAUGAAGAACGUCGAGCUAAUGCACCUGAAGAAAAUGCUGAAGAAAAUGGUGCUGAAGAAAACGCUGAUCAAACUCUUCAAUGAAAACCAGCUCAUCCUCGCAUUGCAAAAGAAGUGCAAGUUGAAAAUAUCAUCAAUGACAUCAAAGUGCCAGGUCCUCUCACACGCUCAAAAGCUUCAUAUUUGUCUCACUUUUGUGGGCAGUAUGCUUUUGUCUCUAUUACAGAGCCCACUAAGGUAGAUGAAGCAUUUCUGGAGCCUGAGUGGAUUCAGGCCAUGCAAGAAGAAUUACAUCAGUUCGAGCUUAACAAUGUCUGGGAACUGGUCAAACAUCCAGAUCCUCGCAAGCACAAUAUCAUCGGCAUAAAGUGGAUCUACCACAACAAGCAAGAUGAAAAUGACCUUGUGGUGAGGAAUAAGGCACGGCUUGUAGCUCAAGGCUACACACUGGUUGAAGGAAUUGAUUUCGAUGAAACUUUUGCACCUGUUGCUAGACUUGUGGCUAUUCGCAUAUUACUUGCUUAUGCUAACCAUCAUGAUAUCACUCUAUAUCAAAUGGAUGUGAAAAGUGCAUUCCUCAAUGGUAAGCUUGAGGAAGAAGUGUAUGUUGCUCAACCCCCAGGUUUUGAAGAUCCAAAGAAUCCUGACAAAGUCUUCAGACUCAACAAGGCCCUCUAUGGCCUCAAGUAGGCCUCACGGGCUUGGUAUGAUACUUUGAAGGAACUCUUCAUGAAGAAAGGCUUCAAACCCGGUUCACUUGACCCUACUCUUUUCACUAAAUCUUAUGAUGGUGAAUUGUUUGUGUGCCAAGUAUAUGUUGAUGAUAUUAAUUUUGGUUGUACUGACCAACGUUAUACUGAUGAAUUUGCCUAUAUGAUGAGUGAAGAAUAUCAAAUGUCUAGGAUGGGAGAGUUGAACUUCUUCUUAGGUCUUCAAAUUCGUCAACAACACAAUGGCAUAUUCAUAUCUCAGGAGAAAUACCUCAAGGAUGUACCGAGGAAAUUCGGCAUGCAAGAUUGCAAAGGCAUCAAAAUUCCUAUGCCCACAAAUGGCCAUCUGUGCACUGAUGAAAAUGGUAUUGACUUCGAUCAUAAGGUAUACCACUCCAUGAUAGGUUCCUUAUUAUACUUAUGUGCAUCUAGGCCAGAUAUAAUGCUUAGUGUUUGCAUGUGUGCCCAAUUUCAAGCUGCACCGAAGGAAUCACACCAUAAGGCUGUGAAGCAUAUUCUUCGAUAUCUAGCUCACACACCAACACUUGGAUUAUGGUACCCCAAGGGCUCGGCUUUUGAUCUUGUUGGAUAUUCUGACUCUGACUAUGCUGGUGAUCGUGUGGAUCGCAAGUCAACAUUUGGUACAUGUCAUUUCCUUGGACGAUCUUUGGUCUGUUGGUCCUCGAAGAAAUAGAACUGCGUAUCACUAUCUACUGCUGAAGCUGAGUACAUUGCCGCUGGUUCUUGCUGUGCCCAAUUGCCAUGGAUGAAGCAAACUCUCAAGGACUACGGUGUCAACAUGAAGAAUGUGCCUCUCUUCUGUGACAAUGAGAGUGCCAUCAAGAUUGCUCACAACCCAGUUCAGCACUCGAAGACAAAGCACAUUCAGAUUCGUCAUCAUUUUCUUCGUGAUCAUGUGUUCAAGGGCAACAUUUCUAUUGAGCAUGUGAAGACUGAAGAACAACUAGCCGAUAUCUUCACAAAGCCCUUGGAUGAGAAGAGAUUUAGCAAGUUGCGGUGUGAGCUAAAUAUCUUAGAGUCUUCGAAUGUUCUUUGAAAAGGACACUCAUCCUAACACUUAUGCAAAAUUUAUGACUUAGAUGUGCAAUACAUGAAGAAACAUUUUUCUUCAAUCAAUGAAGAAUAACACUCUUAGUGUGAAGAAAUUAAUGAAGAAUUUGAUUCUCAGAACCCUACGAUAAUUGUACGCGGUGUCUGAAAUCAUCAUUUUUAUACGGUGAGUCACGCCACCACCAAAAGUUGAAAUUCCUCAAAUUAUUCAUAUUCUUCAACUUUGCAUAGUCUUCACUGGUUCCGUCGUUUUUUCAUUGGCUAUAUAUAUAUAUAUAUGAGUUAUGUCCUCUACAACAUUCACUUAUUGCUAUUUCUUCAAGUUGGUUUUCUGCUAAGUGAAUGUGACCGGACCCUUCCCCUCUAUGCUAUACUCAACCCAAUCUGUUCACAAAUUCUUCAUGUGCGUUCUAUUUGAAACUCAUUCAAAAUCUUCACUGUGUCCUUGUCAGCUGAAGAAAUUGCGAAUGGAACUUUAAAACCUAUCUUAUCGAAAUUUUCAGUUUUGCCGCUCAAACCGUUCCACAUCCCUUGAUACACUUAUCCACUCACCCACGAUCUAACACGAUCUCCACCUCUCACUACAUGGGUGACACAUGUCAUGCGAAUGAGAAGGGUCAGGGGCACGUUCGUCCAAUUUCUUCGGGCAAGCAGUUUUUCACCGUGGCUAUAAAUACCCCUCCUUCCCUUCCUCACUUCUUUUACUCCGCUCGACCUCUCUCUCCAUCUCGAGCUUCUCAAACCCUAGCGCCGCCGCUACUUCAUCGCCGCUGGUGAGGAAGAGCUUCACUGCCUCGACCUCGUCGCCGACGUACUCGCGCCGACCGCGGACAUCUUCACUCCGCCGCCGCCGUAGCCGUCUUCCUCCGCCAAGUUAGGGCGUGGAAGAUCUGCACAGACGAACUUCACAUCUCCUCACUCCAGUUCGUCGUGUUCUUCAUCCAGGGUAAAUAAAAGUUACUUUUACUGCCCUCGUUGAUUCGAAUGAUUAUCUAUAAAAUCUUUAAAAGUGUUUUUCUUCAUAUCUUCACACAUUGAACACCUCACAAGUCAUCUGUUCUUGAUUCGUUUCUCUAAGCAUCAUUUUUCUUCAAGAUUCCUCAAUUGUGUGGAUCAUCGAUCUAUACAACUCUGGAACCUAAGACAAAGAACGCUUAGUGAAAAUCUUCAAGACUCAUCUGGUCAAAUUCCUCAAACAUGUUCAUUUUGAAAAACCUUCUGAGAACGCAUAUGACCUCUCCAAAUUCCUCGCAACUAUACUCUAUUCACAGGUACACAUAUCAGCUGCUGAAUCACUAGGUUCUCAUCAACUUAACUCAUUUGCAGCGUUCCUCGAAGAAAAAUUGCAUACUUCUUCAGAGAAUUCAAUUGUUCAAAUUCCUCAACUGAAGAAAAUGGCUGACGGUAAGAAGCCACAGAAGGGAGGAAAGAGGCCUGAGGUAAAUAUAGCGUUUGAGAUCCCUGAUGACAUAUAUGCUGGGUACUGCACACCUACUGAGGAAACCAAGAAUGAGCGCAAAGUGCGCAUUCAGAAGAUAGAGAGGAGAUGGGCAAGAGAAUGGAGGGAGUACAGAUAUGUCACUCCUAAGUAUAUGAAGAAAUUCGCACUCAAUCCUCCAUGCCCAAGAGCUGCAUUGGCACAUGGCCAAAUUGCUGAUCCCACCAGCCUCAAGCGAGGUGAGGACUAUCCUAAUGAAUGGGCCAAGCGCCAAGCCAAGCUGGCUAAGCAAGCCAGAGAAGCAGUGAGGAAAUUUAAUGAAGACUCUGCUGUUGCUGCUGCUGCCUCUGCUGAGGCCUUUGCUGUCAAGCCAAAGAAGGCUAUGUCAAAGAAGCCUGCGCGCAAGCCAAGUGCUUCACCAACAAUGCCCUCAAGGCCAAGUUCCUCAGCAAUGCCCUCACGGCCAGAAUCAUCAAAGCCCUCACGGCCAAUUCCUCAUGCUGCUCCUAUUCCUCCAAAAUCCUCAGCUCCUCUGCCAAAGCAUUCAGCUGUUCCGACCAAAUCCUCAGCACCUGUGCAUCUCGCUUCGUGCCAAAGGACUGCCGGCAUCUCCAUUGCCUCAGGUGUCUCAGCUAGUUCCUCAGCUGCACCAAGUUCCUCAGCUGGCCCCUCACUACUGAAGACAAAGGCCACUUCUGGACGAGGUCCACGCACGAGUCCUUAAAAGAAGCAAGUCGCUUUCCAAGUGUCGUCUGAUGAAGACGAAGCUGAUGAUGAUGAACUUGCAGAAAUCAUCAAAGAUAGGCAAGUCAGGGCUGCUAGAGCCAAAGGAUUAGAGGUGCCACUGCUUUUGGAUCCCAAGCUGAUCCUCGACUACAUUGAUGAUUGGCACAAGGACCCCAACACUCCCUUGCCUGACUUUAAGCUGACUCCUGGCCAAAGUCACAUGCUGACCCACUUCAUUCAAGAAGAAAAGUGGAAUUUUGAGAAGGCCAGGCAGAUCAAGAAAGCGCAGUAUAAGAAAGAGCGCUAUCUGAAGAAAAACAUUGUCUCUAUGACAACUGAAGAACUUGUCACUACUCAGACUGAGAUUAAGAAACUCAGUGAUGACUUUGAAGCAUAUCGCGCUGAUUGGCUUGGAGCCAAGGUUCAUUUUGUGAAACUUGCGGAUAACUUCACUUCCAAUGUUGCAGCCCCAACGCAACAGGAAAUUCUUAGGCUGAAGCAUCUGCUCAGCCUACUGAAGAAAAUGCCAACACCGCUGAUGACAAUCAGGCUGCUAAAGAUAAUGUGAUUUCCAGGGCUGAUGACUGCAUUCCAGCCGCUGAAGAAAUUGCCAGGGCACCCACUAGUGGUGUGCCUGAAGAAACUGAAGAACUCAACUGCAUUAGUUGUGCCUAAAGAAAAUUAACCAGAUUCCUCAGCUGCUCCUGCACCAACUUCAACUCCAAUCCUUCCAUCUGCAUCGGAUGUGAAGAAGACCAAGGUUGCAUAGCAUGCUGCAAUGAAGAAAAGGAAAGCAUCAGCUGCUUCAGAUUCUUCAGCUCCGAAGAAAAUGAAGCCUAUGACAAGUUCAUUUGCACAUCCGAUUGAUGUUGUUCCCAUCUCAACCAGGCCAUCAAAGGACCUUGUUCCUUUUGAUGAAGAAUAUGUGAUCCCUAGCGGAUCUGAUGAAGAAACUCAUUCUGCUGCUUCGUCUGAACCAUUGGAUGAAGAAAUUGAAGUGGAUGCGAUCCCUUCAACACCUAUCAUCUCCUCGCCUAUGCCUCAGUUCACAGAUGAAGAGGCUGGCAUUGAAGAAAUGAAAGAUGAUGAUGUGGACAUUGGCUACUCCACACCCGUCAUCAGUGAUGAAUUCUGGGAAAGUCAGCAUCCAAACUCUCCAAUGUUCACUCCUCUACAGAAAAUUCCUCAGUCCCCCACACAAACUGUUCACAUGGGCUCUGAAGAAACUCAUCCCACUGCAUCUGUCCAUGAGGAAAUUCCAGCCACUAGCACUGAUGAAACUGUUGCUGCUGCACAACCAACUACGCAGACUGCCACUGAGGAGGAACCAGAAAUUCCUUAGCCUGAAGAACCUGCGAUUGAGAUUCCUGAGGUCGUGAUGCAACUCACAGACACUCCUCUGCCGAAGCCAAAGGAUCCAUUCUCACGCAAGCAAAAGUUCAAGGCUGAUGAUUUCUUCGGCGAGCACGUAUUCUUCGAACAUUACAACCCAUAUGACUCUGCUCGCAUUAGGAAGAGGCGUUUCUGGACUGCUAGUCAAGCCAAUUUCUAUUCCUCAGUGUUGUUCAACAAGGAGAAGAUUUUCUACCAUGAGCAUAUUCCUCACGUGGAUAUGGAAUCUCUGCCAUGCUUCGCACCAGUCCUCAGUGUUCUUCACGAUGCUGGGCUGCUCAACUUUUGCUCUGACAUCUGCGAUUGGAAUGAGGAACUGAUUCUUCAAUUCUAUGCAACGCUGCACAUCACCGAAGAUGCUGAAGAUGUGAAUUCAUGGGUGUUGGAUUGGAUGUCUGAAAACACUCACUACACUGCACCAGCCUCUGAAUUGCUUCGUGCUCUACCACUCAGUCCUCCCCUUGAAGAAGCCCGCUGCAUCUAUAGUGAACCUGAGCUCACACAUCAUUACAUGUAGGUGCUGAUGAAACCUCUGAAGCCAGGUCAAGCACCAAGAACCAAAUUCCUCGUGAAGGAAUUGUUGUACGUGCCCAGAACUGUCUAUCGUAUUCUUAUGAGGACAAUCAGUCCUAUCAAAGGCCACGACUCAUCUGAUGAGGAAAUUGUUGGCAUCAUGAAGAAUCUGGUAUUCAACAUCGUUCAUGGCAUUCCUGUCAAUUAUCACGAUUUCUUCAUGAGGACUAUGGCCAAUGUUGCACUGUCUCCGUUUGAGCUGAAGCCUUAUGCACCUUGGAUCAUGAGAUUCCUCAGGACAAGGUCUUCACUCAACUACAAAGCUGAUUUCCAGAAUCAUCUCAGCUACUUGCCCCCAAUUGAAGUCCUCAAGCAGACAUAUUCCUCAGUUGAUGGAAAGGGCAAGGCACCAGCUGUAAUUGAUGAAGGCAUUCGUCCAUUGGAUGGUCAGUUUCGCAAAGCUGCAUCUUAUUCCACCAAUGAUGACUCUGCCACACAUGACUCUGCCAAUGCACCUAAGUCCACUCCUCAAGCCACUGCUCCGCGCGUGAUGACUGACCGUGAACUUCUGCUUAGUCUUCACCAGAAGGUGGAUCGAAAUCACAAAUGGGUUAAGCAUCAGUUUGGUUCACUUCUUCACAACAUGACUGCCACACACAAUGCAGUGAAGAAAAACCACUACUACCUCCAUCAAGUCUUCGGUCGCACCUGGGCAAUCCUAUCACAUCUGUAUGGUGAAGAAGAUCUGAAGAACAUGGGUCUUAAUGAAGAUUUUGACUGGUCUGCAGCUCCACCGAAGAAAUUCAAGAAGGUCAAGGUUCCUUCUCUGGUGGCCAGCUCAUAUUCUUCAUCGUGCGACACUGAUGAACAUGAAGAUUUGGACGACACUGCGGCAGGUCCUACAUCAAUAAACGACCCCAACAACGAUGGCGCUCCUUCAUCAACAUGAUUAUCUUCAGGGGCGUUAGUCCUCAUUUUCGAUCCUUUUGGUCAUUCGAUGACAAAGGGGGAGAAAUAUGAGUUAGUCUUCAAGCGGGUCUACUAUAUGGGCGUUGUUUUUUUGCUAAGUUACAACUCUCGUUCUUCUGAAACUUUAUUGGAUCGAGUUGUAAUCUUAAACCCGAUGGUGCUCUGAUACUUUUGAUGCACUGUGCUCUGAUACUCUUGAUGCACUAUUCUGCAUGCUUAUUCCUCGUUAAUAUUAUUGCGCGCAUGCUGAAUUUCAUCGGGCACCAUAUUUCAUCAUGCAUUUCAAAUUCUUCAUAUUAUAUGUUAAAUGCGUGUAUGAAUUACAAGAUAUAGGGGGAGAUCUCCAUGAUUCAACUCUUCAAGUGUGCAUUGCUUCAAAAGCAAAUUCCUCACUAUGCACAUCUUCAAGGGGAGUUCUUCUAUAUCUUGCAAUCAAAUUCCUCAAUAUCAGUAUUUACACUUCAUAUGUUUAUCCCCAUUGAAAUUAACCUAUAUUGUCAUCAAUCACCAAAAAGGGGGAGAUUGUAAGUGCAUCUAGUGCCCCUUAGUGAAUUUGGUGUAUUGAAGACUUAUAGGUUAAGGGACUAAUGCGUGUGUGAGUGUACAUAGGUCUAUAAGUCUAUGAGGAGUUUGAUAUUUACAGGAAAAGUCGACCCCUAAAAAUGAAUAUCUUCGACCGAAGAUUUUGGUAUUUCUGAAGACUUUCAUGAAGACUUUGAAAGUGAAGAAAUUGGUGUGUCCGUGAAGACUUGAUAUUCAUGCGAGAAAUAUGAAGCUUGAAGACUUUCGUGUUCAUAGUUUUGUUUUUCUCUUUCUUGACUCAUAGGAAACACCGUACUGUUAAAGGGGGUCGAGGAAAUACUAAGGAAAAAUUUCCAUGUGAUGCUCAACCCAAAAUCCUACACCUACCAAUCCCUUCGAGUGAAGCCAUUGGAAAUCUCAUACAGUUCAGUCAAUUUCUUCAGUGAAAGAGACGAAGUUCUUCUGGUCUCUGAGGAAUUUUUCCUGACUGAGGAGUUAGGAAUUCGCCAAUGCAAAUUGCCUACACAGUGAGGAACAUGAUAGCCCUGAGCAUUUUGCUACUCAAAAUUCCGACCAUUGCUGCUAUGCGCCAGCUGUCCCAAAAUAUCUAUCCACCUAACGGUCAUAUCAUUGAAGGGCAUUUAUGCCUUAUCAUGUCGGGCUGCUCCCUAGGCUAUAAAUAGCCGCCCCCCUACAACCACUAGCUGGUUGGCUGCUCCGAGAGAAACUGACACUUGUCAUUUGAGAGCAACCCAUCCUCCGAGGACUUUGAGCGAAAAUCAUCAAGUGAGGAAAAAUCAAAAACCCAAAACCCAAACACCUAUAAACCCCAAGUGAUUGAGCAUCACUGAAGAGAUUGAUCCUGAGUGGAUCCGAAGCUUGUUACCUUUGAAGACUGUGCUUCUUCCAGACGGUUAGGCGUCAUGGUCUAGAGCAUCCAAGAGGAAUUGUGGAUCGCCGAGUGACCAAGUUUGUGAAGGUUUGGAAGUCGCCUGAAGACUUACCACGAGUGAUUGGACGAGGUCUGUGUGACCUUAGUUCAAGGAGAAUACAGUGAGGACUGGUUGUCUUGGACUAAGUGUCCUUGACUGGGUGUCCGGGACUGUGUGUCCUCGAGUUUAAAUACUCAACCACUCCAACCAGAUGUACAACUGAGACAUCAGUUGGAACUAGUCUACCAAAUCAUUGUCUUCACCGAGCUUACUGGUUCUAUUUCCUCAACUCUUUCAUUUCCUCAUAAUUGUGUUGUAUGUUUGUUCAUAUCUGUGUUUGAAGACUUUGACUGAAGACUUUCUCAAUUUCCUCAGUUCAAUUUCUUCAGUCUGUUUGUCUUCAUCCUGAGUUAUCCUGUGAUUAUGCUUCCUGUACUCUGUGCCUAUCUUCAUUUCAUCAUGAUGACUAUGCUUGUAUUCUGUUGUGUUUACUUUUGAGUUCUUAUUCCGCUGCUAGUAGUUCUUCGCUAAGGAAUUUCCUCACCAGCAAAUUCCUCAGUGAAGAAUUUCAUAAAAAUCGCCUAUUCACCCCCCCUCUAGUCGAUAUAAUGCACUUUCAGACAUGCUAAGAGUUGACAUUGGACAAGGAAGACAACAUAAUGGGUUAUGUUUUCUUUCAUCUGAGAUAUAUUAUAUUGUCAUGGAUCAUCCAACAUGUUGAGCUUGCUUUUCCCUCUCAUGCUAGCCAAUUUCUUUGCACCAAGUAGAGAUACUACUUGUGCUUCCAAAUAUCCCUAAACCCAGUUUUGCCAUGAGAGUCCACCAUAUCUACCUAUGGAUUGAGUAAGAUCCUUCGAGUAAGUUGUCAUCGGUGCAAGCAAUAAAAAUUGCUCUCUAAAUAUGUAUGACUUAUUAGUGCGGAGAAAAUAAGCUUUAUACGAUCUUGUGAUAUGGAAGAAAUAAAAGCGACGGAAUGCAUAAUAAAGGUCCAUAUCACAAGUGCAAUAUAAAGUGACGUUCUUUUGCAUUAAGAUUUUGUGCAUCCAACCAUAAAAGCGCAUGGCAACCUCUGCUUCCCUCUACGAAGGGCCUAUCUUUUAUUUUUAUCUUCUACCUUACAUAAGAGCCAUGGUGAUCUUCACCUUUCCUUUUUUACAUUUUAUCUUUUGGCAAGCACAAUAUGUUGGAAAGAUCCUGAUAUAUAUAGCUAAUUGGAUGUGAGUCUUCAUGAACUAUUAUUGUUGACAUUACCCUCGAGGUAAAACAUUGGGAGGCAAAACUAUAAGCCCCUGUCUUUCUCUGUGUCCGAUUAAAACUUCAUACCCAUAAAUAUUGCGUGAGUGUUAGCAAUUGUAAAAGACUAAAAGAUGGUUGAGUAUGUGGACUUGCUGAAAAGCUCUUAUAUUGACUCUUUCCUAUGUUAUGAUAAAUUGCAAUUGCCUCAAUGACUGAGAUUAGAGUUUGUUGGUUCUCAAUGUAGUUUAUGAUUCAUAUUUGAAAUUGUGAUUGAAUUGUUACUUUAGCAUAAGAGAUCAUAUGACAAAAAAUAUAUAUGUUGUUGUUCUAAGAAUGAUCAUGAUGCCCUCAUGUUUGUAUUUUAUUUUUAUCAACACCUCUAUCUCUAAACAUGUGGACAUAUUUUUCGAUUUCGGCUUUCGCUUGAGGACAAGCGAGGUCUAAGCUUGGGGAGUUGAUACGUCCAUUUUGCAUCAUGCGUUUAUAUCGAUAUUUAUUGCAUUAUGGGCUGUUAUUACACAUUAUGUCACAAUACUUAUGCCUAUUCUCUCUUAUUUUACAAGGUUUACAUGAAGAGGGAGAAUGCCGACAGCUGGGAUUCUGGGAUGGAAAAGGAGCAAAUAUUAUAGACCUAUUUUGCACAGCUUGAUGACCCACAAGUAUAGGGGAUCUAUCGUAGUCCUUUCGAUAAGUAAGAGUGUCGAACCCAACGAUGAGCAGAAGGAAAUGAUAAGCGGUUUUCACCAAGGUAUUCUCUGCAAGCACUGAAAUUAUAGGUAACAGAUAGUUUUGUGAUAAGAUAAUUGGUAACGAGCAACAAGUAACAAAAGUAAAUAAAGUGCAGCAAGGUGGCCAAUCCUUUUUGUAGCAAAGCAUAAGCCUGGACAAACUCUUAUAUAGAGAAAAGUGCUCCCGAGGACACAUGGGAAUAUCGUCAAGCUAGGUUUCAUCACGAUCAUAUGAUUCGCGUUCGGUACUUUGAUAAUCUGAUAUGUGGGUGGACCAGUGCUUGGGUGCUUCCCUUACUUGGGCAAACAUCCCACUUAUGAUUAACCUCUAUUGCAAGCAUCCGCAACUACAAUAAAAGUAUUAAGGUAAACCUAACCAUAGCAUGAAACAUAUGGAUCCAAAUCAGCCCCUUACGAAGAAAUGCAUAAACUAGGGUUUAAGCUUCUGUUACUCUAGCAACCCAUCAUCUACUUAUUACUUCCCAAUGCCUUCCUCUAGGCCCAAAUAAUGGUAAAGUGUCAUGUAGUCGACGUUCACAUAACACCACUAGAGGAGAGACAACAUACAUCUCAUCAAAAUAUCGAACGAAUACCAAAUUCACAUGACUACUAAUAGCAAGAUUUCUCCCAUGUCCUCAGGAACAAACGUAACUGCUCGCAAAGUGUAUUCAUGUUCAUAAUCAGAGGGGUAUUAAUAUGCAUAAAGGAUCUGAACAUAUGAUCUUCCAACAAAUAAACCAACUAGCAUCAACUACAAGGAGUAAUUAACACUACUAGCAACCCAAAGGUGCCAAUCCCAGGCUUAGAGACAAGAAUUGGAUACAAGAGAUGAACUAGGAUUUUGAGAGGAGGUGGUGCUGGUGAAGAUGUUGAUGGAGAUUGCCCUCUCCUGAUGAGAGGAGCGUUGGUGAUGACGAUGGCGAUGAUUCCCCCUCCCGGAGGGAAGUUUCCCCGGCAGAACAGCUCCGCCGGAGCCCUAGAUUGGUUCUGCCAAGGUUCCGCCUCGUGGCGGCGGAGUCUUGUCCGAAAGAUGGCUUAUGAUUUUUUUUCCUCAUCGAAAGACUCCGUAUAGCAGAAGAUGGUCAUCGGAGGGCCACCAGGGGGCCCACGAGGUAGGGGCGCGCCCAGGGGGGUAGAGCGCACCCCCCACCCUCGUGGGCAGGGUGUGGCCCCCCUGGUGAACUUCUUGCGCUCAGUAUUUUUUUUAUAUUCUGAAAAUGACUUCCGUGAAGUUUCAGGACUUUUGGAGCUGUGCAAAAUAGGUCUCUAAUAUUUGCUCCUUUUCCAGCCUAGAAUCCCAGCUGCCGGCAUUCUCCCUCUUUAUGUAAACCUUGUAAAAUAAGAGAGAAUAGGCAUAAGUAAUGUGACAUAAUGUGUAAUAACAGCCCAUAAUGCAAUAAAUAUCGAUAUAAUAGCAUGAUGCAAAAUGGACGUAUCAACUCCCCCAAGCUUAGACCUCGCUUGUCCUCAAGCGAAAGCUGAAAUCGAAAAAUAUGUCCACAUGUUUAGAGAUAGAGGUGUCGAUAAAAAUAAAAUAUGGACAUGAGGGCAUCAUGAUCAUUCUUAGAAUGGCAACUUAUAUAAUUGUUGUCAUAUGAUCUCUUAUUCUAGAGUACCAAUUCAAUCACAAUUUCAAGUAUGAAUCAUAAACUUCAUUGAAAACUAACAAACCAUAAUCUCGGUCAUUGAAGCAAUUGCAAUUUAUCAUAACAUAGGAAAGAGUCAAUAUAAGAACUUUUCAGCAAGUCCACAUACUCAACUAUCAUAUAGUCUUUCACAAUUGCUAACACUCACGCAAUACUUAUGGGUAUGGAGUUUUAAUCGGACAUAGAGAAAGAUAGGGGCUUAUAGUUUUGCCUUGCGACGUUUUACCUCAAGGGUAAUGUCAACAAUAAUAGUUCAUGAAAACUCACAUCCAAUUAGCCAUAUAUACCAGGAUCUUUCCAACAUGUUGUGCUUGCCAAAAGAUAAAAUGUAAAAAAGGAAGGGUGGAGAUCACCAUGACUCUUAUGUAAGGUAGAAGAUAAAAGUAAAAGAUAGGCCCUUCGCAGAGGGAAGUAGAGGUUGUCAUGCGCUUUUAUGGUGGAUGCAUAAAAUCUUAAUGAGAAAGAACGUCACUUUAUAUUGCCACUUGUGAUAUGGACCUUUAUUAUGCAGCCUGUCACUUUUAUUUCUUCCAUAUCACACGAUCGUAUAAAGCUUAUUUUCUCCCACACUAAUAAGUCAUACAUAUUUAGAGAGAAAAUUUAUUGCUUGCACCGAUGACAACUUACUUGGAGGAUCUUACUCAAUCCAUAGGUAGGUAUGGUGGACUCUCAUGGAAAAACUGGUUUAAGGGCGUUUGGAAGCACAAGUAGUAUCUCUACUUGGUGCGAAGAAUUGGCUAGAAUGAGAGGGAAAGGCAAGCUCAACCAUGUGAGAUGAUCCAUGACAAUAUAAUUUGUCUCAGAUGUAAGAAAACAUAACCCAUUACGUUGUCUUCCUUGUCCAACGUCAACUCAUUAGCAUGUCAUAUUUUAAUGAGUGCUCACAAUCAUAAAAGAUGUCCAAGAUAGUGUAUUUAUAUGUGAAGACCUCUCUUUCUUUAUUACUUCCUAUUAAUUGCAACGAUGACCAAAACUAUGUUUGUCAACUCUCAACAACUUUUAUUCAUCAUACUUUUUAUAUGUGAGCUCAUUACUCUCCAUAAGAUCCAUAUGGUCUCUUUGUUUCUUUUUAUUCUUUCUCUUUUAUUUUAUCCACUCAAGAUCAUGGCAAAAUAAUCAAGCCCUUGACUUCACACUAAUCUUUAUUAUAUAGCUCACGGACUCGAUUACAUAGAAGGAUCAUAAAGCAAAACUCACAACCAGAUCAUACUAAAAACUUUUAUUCUACUAGAUCAAGAUAUUACCAAAAGGAUCGAACUAAGAAAAACGGUAAAGAUAAAAGUGAUGGUGAUACGAUACCGGGGCACUCCCCCAAGCUUGGCAGUUUCCAAGGGGAGUGCCCAUACCAGAUACUCAGUUCUUCUUUGUUGGUGAAGAAGGUGGAGUUGUUGAUGAUGGAUGGUCGCACAUCGAGCAUAGGAGGUCUUCUAACUUGCGGAUAAUGCCUUUGAGUGCGAUGAUAUGCUCCUUCAACAAAAUAUUUUCACGUGUGACAUACUUAUUUUGUAUACGAUCUAACUCAAUCAUCUUGAAAGCUUCGAUCUCAGUUGGGGUAAGAAGAUUUUGAUCAAGUUGAAGGAUGUCUUCUGUUGCCUGAACUUGGUCCUCCGUGGUCUUCUUGAUCCUUUCAUCCUUGUUGAUCUCCAUGGGUCCUUCUCUCUUCAGCUCUAUCUUCAUUAGCCAAGCAUCGUUGCCCUCAUUGUUGGAGGAGGAGGGAGACGACAUGAUGCUUAGCUUUGACAACCCUAGCAGAAAACAACUCGCAACAAGAACAAGAGAUUUUUGUGUGAUACGGUGGUCAAAACCUUCGGGAUAUUAUAUAAUGAAUGCUUACCGACCAAAAUACGUAACGUGUAAGAAAACGGAGUCCCGAGAGCACACGAGGUGCCCACGAGGUAGGUGGUGUGCCCAGGGGGUAGGGUGCACCCUCCACCCUCGUGGAGGCCUCGUGUCCUUCCCGGACUGCUUCUUAUUUUUCUAUUUUUCUAAAUAUUCCAAAACGGGAGAAAAUUUCCAUUAGAACUGUUUUGGAGUCUAUUUACUUACCGUACCACAUACCAAUUCCUUUUCGGAGUCUGAAACAUUCCGGGAAGUGUCCCUUAUGUAUUCCUCCAGGGUUACGGUUUCAAUAACAUUGGUUUCAACAUUUAUAGGAUUACCUGAGAUAUAAUGCUUAAUUCUUUGACCGUUCACCACCUUCGAAUUUGUGCCUUCGAAGUUGUUGAUUUUUAUGGCACUGGAACAAUAGACCUCCUCGAUAACGUAAGGACCUUCCCAUUUAGAGAGAAGUUUUCCUGCAAAAAAUCUUAAACGAGAGUUGUAUAAUAAUACAUAAUCACCUACAUUAAACUCACGCUUUUGUAUCCUUUUGUCAUGCCAUCUUUUAACAUUUUCUUUAAAUAAUUUGGCAUUCACGUAGGCUUGGUUCUCCAUUCAUCAAGUGAGCUAAUAUCAAAUAACCUCUUCUCAGCGGCAAGUUUGAAAUCAUAAUUGAGCUCUUUAAUGGCCCAAUAUGCAUUAUGUUCUGGUUUGAGAGGUAAGUAACAUGCUUUUCCAUAAACCAUUUUAUACGGAGACAUACCCAUAGGGUUUUUAUAUGCAGUUCUAUAGGCCCAUAAUGCAUCAUCAAGUUUCUUGGACCAAUUCUUUCUAGAUCUAUUAACAGUCUUUUGCAAAAUUAAUUUGAGUUUUCUAUUACUCAAUUCUACUUGACCACUAGACUGUGGGUGAUAAGGAUAUGCAAUCCUAUGAUUAACAUCAUACUUAGCAAGCCUUUUACGGAAAUCACCAUGAAUAAAAUGUGAACCACCAUCAGUCAUUAAAUAUCUAGGGACUCCAAACCUUGGAAAAAUAACUUCUUUAAGCAUCUUAAUUGAGGUGUUAUGAUCAUCACUACUAGUUGGAAUAGCUUCUACCCACUUAGUAACAUAAUCAAUAGCAACUAAAAUAUGUGUAUACCCAUUAGAGGAAGGAAAAGGUCCCAUAUAAUCAAAGCCCCAAACAUCAAAUGGUUCAAUAACAAGUGAAUAAUUCAUAGGCAUUUCUUGACGUCUACUAAUAUUACCAAUUCUUUGACAUUCAUCACAAGACAAGACAAACUUACGGGCAUCCUUGAAGAGAUUAGGCCAAUAAAAACCGGAUUGCAAUACCUUAUGUGCAGUUCUAUCUCCAGCGUGGUGUCCUCCAUAAGCCCCGGAAUGACACUUGCGUAGGAUCUAUUCUUGUUCAUGCUCAGGUACACAACGUCUAAUAACACCAUCUACUCCUUCUUUAUAAAGAUGUAGGUCAUCCCAAAAGUAAUGUCUCAAAUCAUAGAAGAACUUUUUCUUUUGCUGGUAUGUGAAACUAGGUGGUAUAAAUUUAGCAACAAUGUAAUUAGCAUAAUCAGCAUACCAUGGAGCAGUAUGAGAAGCAUUUAUGACAUUUAAUUGUUCAUCAGGAAAGCUAUCAUCAAUAGGUAGUGGGUCAUCAAGCACAUUUUCUAACCUAGACAAGUUGUCUGCAACGGGGUUCUCAGCUCCCUUUCUAUCAAUAAUAUGCAAAUCAAAUUCUUGUAGCAAGAGAACUGCUACCUCUUGAGCACUGCGUUGGAUUUCCUUGAAGAGGAAAGGGUGAUGCAGCAAAGUAGCAUAAGUAUUUACCUCAGUUUUUGAGAACCAAGGUAUCAAUCUAGUAGGAGGCUACGUGCGAGUCCCUCGUACCUGCACAAAACAAAUAACUCCUUGGAACCAACGUGAUAAGGGGUUGUCAAUCCCUUCGCGGUCACUUACGAGAGUGAGAUAUGAUAGAUAUGAUAAGAUAAUAUUUUGGUAUUUUUAUGAUAGAGAUACAAAGUAAAAUAAAAGCAAAGUAAAAGGCAAAGGAAAUAACUAAAUAUUGGAAGAUUAAUACGAUGAAGAUAGACCUGGGGGCCAUAGGUUUCACUAGUGGCUUCUCUCAAGAGCAUAAGUAUUUUACGGUGGGUGAACGAAUUACUGUUGAGCAAUUGACAGAACUGAGCAUAGUUAUGAGAAUAUCUAGGUAUGAUCAUGUAUAUAGGCACCACGUCCAAUACAAGUAGACCGACUCCUGCCUGCAUCUACUACUAUUACUCCACUCAUCGACCGCUAUACAGCAUGCAUCUAGAGUAUUAAGUUCAUGAAAAAGAGUAACGCCUUAAGCAAGAUGACAUGAUGUAGAGGGAUAGAUUCAUGCAAUAUGAUAAAAAAAUAUCUUGUUAUCCUCGGUGGCAACAAUACAAUACGUGCCUUGCUACCCCUACUGUCACUGGGAAAGGACACCGCAAGAUUGAACCCAAAGCUAAGCACUUCUCCCAUUGCAAGAAAGAUCAAUCUAGUAGGCCAAACCAAACUGAUAAUUCGAAGAGACUUGCAAAGAUAACCAAUCAUACAUAAAAGAAUCCAGAGGAGAUUCAAAUAUUGUUCAUAGAUAAUCUUGAUCAUAAACCCACAAUUCAUCGGUCUCAACAAACACACCGCAAAAAGAAGAUUACAUCGAAUAGAUCUCCACAAGAGAGGGGGAGAACAUUGUAUUGAGAUACAAAAAGAGAGAAGAAGCCAUCUAUCUAAUAACUAUGGACCUGAAGGUCUGAGGUAAACUACUCACACUUCAUCGGAGAGGCUAUAGUGUUGAUGUAGAAGCCCUCCGUGAUGGAUGCCCCCUCCGGCGGAGCUCCAGAACAGGCCCCAAGAUGGGAUAUCAUGGAUACAGAAAGUUACGGCGAUGGAAUUAGGGUUUAGGCUCCGUAUCUGAUCGUUUGGGGGUACGUAGGUAUAUAUAGGAGGAAGGAGUACGUCGUUGGAGCAACCGGGGGCCCAUGAGGGUGGAGGGCGCGCCUGGGGGGGUAAGCGCGCUCCCCUACCUCGUGGCCUCCUCCUUUGUUUCUUGACGUAGGGUCCAAGUCUCCUGGAUCAUGUUCGGUGAGAAAAUCACGUUCCCGAAGGUAUCAUUCCGUUUGGACUCCGUUUGAUAUUCCUUUUCUUCGAAACCCUAAAAUAGGCAAAAAACAACAAUUCUGGGCUAGGCCUCCGGUUAAUAGGUUAGUCCCAAAAAUAAUAUAAAAGUGAAUAAUAAAGCCCAAUAAUGUCCAAAACAGUAGAUAAUAUAGCAUGAAGCAAUCAAAAAUUAUAGAUACGUUGGAGACGUAUCAAGCAUCCCCAAGCUUAAUUCAUGCUCGUCCUCGAGUAGGUAAAUGAUAAAAAAGAUAAUUUUUGAUGUGGAGUGCUACUUGGCAUAAUUUUAAUGUAACUCUUCUUAAUUGUGGUAUGAAUAUUCAGAUCCGAAAGAUUCAAGAUAAAAGUUUAAUAUUGACAUAAGAAUAAUAAUACUUCAAGCAUACUAACAAAGCAAUCAUGUCUUCUCAAAAUAAUAUGGCCAAAGAAAGUUAUCCCUACAAAAUCAUAUAGUCUGGCUAUGCUCUAUCUUCACCACACAAAAUAUUUAAAUCAUGCACAACCCCGAUGACAAGCCAAGCAAUUGUUUCAUACUUUUGACAUUCUCAAACUUUUUUAAUCUUCACGCAAUACAUGAGCGUGAGCCAUGGAUAUAGCACUAUAUGUGGAAUAGAAUGGUGGUUUUGGAGAAGACAAAAAGGGAGAAGAUAGUCUCACAUCAACUAGGCAUAUCAAUGGGCUAUGGAGAUGCCCAUCAAUAGAUAUCAAUGUGAGUGAGUAGGGAUUGCCAUGCAACGGAUGCACUAGAGCUAUAAGUAUAUGAAAGCUCAACAAAAGAAACUAAGUGGGUGUGCAUCCAACUUGCUUGCUCAUGAAGACCUAGGGCAUUUUGAGGAAGCCCAUCAUUGGAAUAUACAAGCCAAGUUCUAUAAUGAAAAAUUCCCACUAGUAUAUGAAAGUGACGAAAUGAGAGACUCUCUAUCAUGAAUAUCAUGGUGCUACUUUGAAGCACAAGUGUGGUAAAGGAUAGUAACAUUGUCCCUUCUCUCAUUUUCUCUCAUUUUUUUUAUUUGGGCCUUUUCUCUUUUUUCUAUGGCCUAUUUUUUUCGUCCGGAGUCUCAUCCUGACUUGUGGGGGAAUCAUAGUCUCCAUCAUCCUUUCCUCACUGGGAUAAUGUUCUAAUAAUGAUGAUCAUCACACUUUUAUUUUCUUACAACUCAACAAUUACAACUUGAUACUUAGAACAAGAUAUGACUCUAUAUGAAUGCCUCCAGCGGUGUACCGGGAUAUGCAAUGGAUCAAGAGUGACAUGUAUGAAAGAAUUAUGAAUGGUGGCUUUGCCACAAAUAUGAUGUCAACUACAUGAUCAUGCUAAGUAAUAUGACAAUGAUGGAGUGUGUCAUAAUAAACGGGACGGUGGAAAGUUGCAUGGCAAUAAUCUCGAAAUGGCUAUGGAAAUGCCAUAAUAGGUAGGUGUGGUGGCUGUUUUGAGGAGUAUAUGGUGGGUGUAUGAUACCGGUGAAAGGUGCACGGUAUUUAGAGAAGCUAGCAAUGGUGGAAGGAAGAAAAGUGCAUAUAAUCCAUGGACUCAACAUUAGUCAUAAAGAACUCAUAUACUUAUUGCAAAAAUCUACAAGUUAUCAAAGCAAAGUAUUACGCGCAUGCUCCUAGGGGGAUAGAUUGGUAGGAGAAGACCAUCGCUCGUCCCCGACCGCCACUCAUAAGGAAGACAGUCAAAAAAUAAAUCAUGCUCCGACUUCAUCACAUAACGGUUCACCAUACGUGCAUGCUAUGGGAAUCACAAACCUCCUAGGGGGAUAGAUUGGUAGGAGAAGACCAUCGCUCGUCCCCGACCGCCACUCAUAAGGAAGACAGUCAAAAAAUAAAUCAUGCUCCGACUUCAUCACAUAACGGUUCACCAUACGUGCAUGCUAUGGGAAUCACAAACUUUAACACACGUAUUUCUCAAAUUCACAACUACUCAACUAGCACAACUUUAAUAUCACCAUCUUCAUAUCUCAAAACAAUUAUCAAGUAUCAAACUUCUCAUAGCAUUCAACACACUCAUAAGAAAGUUUUUACUAUUAUUGAAUACCAAGUAUAUUAGGAUUAUUUAAACAAAUUACCAUGCUAUUUAAGACUCUCAAAAUAAUCUAAGUGAAGCAUGAGAGAUCAAUAGUUUCUAUAAAACAAAUCCACCACCAUGCUCUAAAAAAUAUAAGUGAAGUACUAGAGCAAAACUAUAUAACUCAAAUGAUAUAAGCGAAGCACAUAGAGUAUUCUAACAAAUUACAAAUCAUGUAUUGCUCUCUCAAAAGGUGUGUACAGCAAGGAUGAUUGUGGUAAAUUAAAAAUCAAAGACUCAAAUCAUACAAGAUGCUCCAAGCAAAAUACAUAUCAUGUGGUGAAUAAAAAUAUAGCUCCAAGUAAAGUUACCGAUAGAAGUAGACGAAAGAGGGGAUGCCUUCCGGGGCAUCCCCAAGCUUUGGCUUUUAGGUGUCCUUAGAUUAUCUUGGGGGUGCCAUGGGCAUCCCCAAGCUUAGGCUCUUGCCACUCCUUGUUCCAUAAUCCAUCAAAUCUUUACCCAAAACUUGAAAACUUCACAACACAAAACUCAAAGUAGAAAAUCUCGUGAGCUCCGUUAGCGAAAGAAAACAAAAGAUCACUUCAAGGUACUGUAAUGAGCUCAUUAUUUAUUUAUAUUGGUGUUAAACCUAAUGUAUUCCAACUUAUCUAUGGUUUAUAAACUAUUUUACUAGCCAUAGAUUCAUCAAAAUAAGCAAACAACACAGGAAAAAUAGAAUCUGUCAAAAACAGAACAGUCUGUAGUAAUCUGUAGCUAGCGCAAGAUCUGGAACCCCAAAAAUUCUAAACUAAAUUGCUGGACGUGAGGAAUUUAUCUAUUAAUCAUCUUGAAAAAGAAUUAACUAAAUAACACUUUCAAAAUAAAAAUGUCAGCAGUUCUCGUGAGCGCUAAAGUUUCUGUUUUUUACAGAAAGAUUAACAAGACUUUCCCCAAGUCUUCCCAACGCUCCUACUUGGCACAAACACUAAUUAAACACAAAAAACACAACCAAACAGAGGCUAGGUAAAUUAUUUAUUACUAAACAGGAGAAAAAAAAUCAAGGAAUAAAAAUAAAAUUGGGUUUCCUCCCAACAAGCGCUAUCGUUUAACGCCCCUAGCUAGGCAUAAUAAGCAAGGAUAGAUCUAGGUAUUGCCAUCUUUGGUAGGCAAUCCAUAAGCGGCUCUCAUAAUAGACUCAUAUGGUAAUUUAAUUUUCUUUCUAGGAAAGUGUUCCAUGCCUUCCCUUAACGGAAACUGGAAUCUAAUAUUUCCUUCCUUCAUAUUAAUAAUUGCACCAAUCGUUCUAAGGAAAGGUCUACCAAGAAUAAUAGGACAUGAAGGAUUGCAAUCUAUAUCAAGAACGAUAAAAUCUACGGGCACAUAAUUCCUAUUUGCAACAAUAAGAACAUCAUUAAUUCUUCCCAUAGGUUUCUUAAUAGUGGAAUCCGUAAGGUGCAAGUUUAGAGAGCAAUCAUCAAAAUCACGGAAACCUAACAAAUCACACAAAGUCUUUGGAAUCGUGGAAACACUAGCACCCAAAUCACAAAAAGCAUAGCAUUAAUGAUCUUUAAUUUUAAUUUUAAUAGUUGGUUCCCACUCAUCAUAAAGUUUUCUAGGGAUAGAAACUUCCAACUAAAGUUUUUCUUCAUAAGAUUGCAUCAAGGCAUCAACGAUAUGUUUAGUAAACACUUUAUUUUGACUAUAAGCAUGAGGAGAAUUUAGCACGGAUUGCAACAAGGAAAUACAAUCAAUCAAAGAGAAAUUUUCAUACUUAAAUUCCUUGAAAUCCAAAAUAGUGGGUUUAGCAACAUCUAGGGUUUUAAUUUCUUCAAUCCCACUUUUAUCAAUUUUAGCAUCAAGAUCUAAGAACUCCGAAUUUUUGGAACGCCUUCUAGGUAAAGGUGGAUCAUAUUCAGUCCCAUCAUUAUCAAGAUUCAUAUUGCAAAACAAAGAUUUAAUAGGGGACACAUCAAUAACUUUUAGAUCUUCAUCUUUAUUUUCAUAGGAACUAGAAGAACACGCUCUUAUAAAGGCAUCUUUCUUAGCACGCAUCCUAGCAGUUCUUUCUUUGCACUCAUCAAUGGAAAUUCUCAUGGAUUUGAGAGACUCAUUGAUAUCAUGAUUAGGAGGAAUAGAUCUAAGUUUCAAAGAAUCAACAUCAAGAGAAAUUCUAUCAACGUUCCUAGCCAACUCAUCAAUCUUAAGCAAUUUUUCUUCAAUCAAAGCAUUGAAAUUCUUUUGCGAAGUAAUAAAUUCUUUAAUAUUAGAUUCAAAAUCAGAGGGCAUCUUACUAUAAUUUCCAUAAGAAUUGUUGUAGGAAUUACCAUAAUUAUUAGAGGGAUUACUAGGAUAAGGCCUAGGAUUAAAAUUUCCUCUAUACGCGUUAUUACCAAAAUUAUUCCUACCAACAAAAUUCACAUCCAUAGAUUAAUUAUUAUUCUCAAUCAAAGUAGACAAGGGCAUAUCAUUAGGAUCAUAAGAAAAACUCUUACUAGCAAAUAAUUUCAUAAGUUCAUCCAUCUUCCCACUCAAAACAUUAAUUUCUUCUAUCGCAUGCACCUUUUUAUUAGUAGAUCUUUUAGUAUGCCGUUGAGAAUAAUUAACCAUAAUAUUAUCUAGGAGUUUAGUAGCUUCUCCUAAAGUGAUUUCCAUAAAAGUGCCUCCCGCGGUCGAAUCUAAAAGAUUUCUAGAAGCAAAAUUCAAUCUGGCAUAAAAUUUUUGUAUAAUCAUCCACAAAUUCAAACCAUGAGUAGGGCAAUUACAUAUCAUUAAUUUCAUGCUCUCCCAAGCUUGUGCAACAUGUUCAUGAUCAAGCUGCUUAAAAUUCAUAAUAUCGUUUCUAAGGGAGAUGAUCUUAGCGGGAGGAAAAUACUUAGAGAUAAAAGCAUCUUUGCACUUGUUCCAAGAAUCAAUACUAUUUUUAGGCAAAGACAAAAACCAAGCUUUAGCAUGAUCUCUAAGCGAAAAAGAAAAUAGCUUCAAUUUAACAAUAUCAUUAUCCACAUCUUUCUUCUUUUGCAUAUCACAUAGAUCAACGAAGCUAUUUAGAUGGGUAGCGGCAUCUUCACUAGGAAGGCCAGAAAAUGAAUCUUUCAUAACAAGAUUCAGCAAGGCAGCAUUAAUUUCACAAGAUUCAGCAUCGGUAAGAGGAGCAAUCAGAGUGAUAAUAAAAUCAUUGUUUUUGGUAUUGGUAAAGUCUCACAAUUUAGUGUUAUCUUGAGCCAUCAUGACAAGCAAGCAAACUAACACACAAGCAAACAAAAAGCAAGCGGGCAAAAGAGGUAAAUAGAGAAAGAGAGGGAGGAUAGAGAGAGAGAGAGAGUGAAUAAAACGGCAAGGGUGAAGUGGGGGAGAGGAAAACGAGAGGCAAAUGGCAAAUAAUGUAAUGCGGGAGAUAAGGGUAUGUGAUGGGUACUUGGUAUGUUGACUUUUGCAUAGAAUCCCCGGCAAUGGCGCCAGAAAUCUUCUCUGCUACCUCUUGAGCACUGCGUUGGAUUUCCUUGAAGAGGAAAGGGUGAUGCAGCAAAGUAGCGUAAGUAUUUCGCUCAGUUUUUGAGAACCAAGAUAUCAAUCUAGUAGGAGGCUACGCGUGAGUCCCUCGUACCUGCACAAAACAAAUAACUCCUCGCAACCAACGUGAUAAGGGGUUGUCAAUCCCUUCACGGUCACUUACAAGAGUGAGAUCUGAUAGAUAUGAUAUGAUAAGAUAAUAUUUUUGGUAUUUUUAUGAUAGAGAUGCAAAGUAAAAUAAAAGCAAUGGAAAUAACUAAGUAUUGGAAGAUUAAUAUGAUGAAGAUAGACCCGAGGGCCAUAGUUUCACUAGUGGCUUCUCUCAAGAGCAUAAGUAUUUUACGGUGGGUGAAUGAAUUACUAUUGAGCAAUUGACAGAAUUGAGCAUAGUUAUGAGAAUAUCUAGGUAUAAUCAUGUAUAUAGGCAUCACGUCCAAGACAAGUAGACCGACUCCUGCCUGCAUCUACUACUAUUACUCCACUCAUCGACCGCUAUCCAACAUGCAUCUAGAGUAUUAAGUUCAUGAAAACAGAGUAACGCCUUAAGCAAGAUGACAUGAUGUAGAGGGAUAGAUUCAUGCAAUAUGAUAAAAAACCCAUCUUGUUAUCCUCGAUGGCAACAAUACAAUACGUGCCUUGCUGCCCCUACUGUCACUGGGAAAGGACACCGCAAGAUUGAACCCAAAGCUAAGCACUUAUCCCAUUGCAAGAAAGAUCAAUCUAGUAGACUGAUUCGAAGAGACUUGCAAAGAUAACCAAUCAUACAUAAAAGAAUUCAGGGGAGAUUCAAAUAUUGUUGAUAGACAAUCUUGAUCAUAAACCCGCAAUUCAUCGGUCUCAACAAAGACACCGCAAAAAGAAGAUUACCUCGAAUAGAUCUCCACAAGAGAUGGGGAGAAGAUUGUAUUGAGAUCCAAAAAGAGAGAAGAAGCCAUCUAGCUCAUAACUAUGGACCCGAAGGUCUGAGGUAAACUACUCACACUUCAUCGGAGAGGCUAUGGUGUUGAUGUAGAAGCCCUCCGUGAUGGAUGCCCCCUCCGGCGGAGCUCCGGAACAGGCCCCAAGAUGGGAUCUCGUGGAUACAGAAAGUUACGGCGGUGGAAUUAGGGUUUAGUCUCCGUAUCUGAUCGUUUGGGGGUACGUAGGUAUAUAUAGGAGGAAGGAGUACGUCGGUGGAGCAAUAGGGGGCCCACGAGGGUGGAGGGCGCGCCUGGGGUGGGGGGGUAGGCGCGCCCCCUACCUCGUGGCCUCCUCCUUUGUUUCUUGACGUAGGGUCCAAGUCUCCUGGAUCAUGUUCGGUGAGAAAAUCACGUUCCCGAAGGUUUCAUUCCGUUUGGACUCCGUUUGAUAUUCCUUUUCUUCGAAACCCUAAAAUAGGCAAAAAAACAACAAUUCUUGGCUGGGCCUGCGGUUAAUAGGUUAGUCCCAAAAAUAAUAUAAAAGUGGAUAAUAAAGCCCAAUAAUGUCCAAAAUAGUAGAUAAUAUAGCAUGAAGCAAUCAAAAAUUUAUAGAUAUGUUGGAGACGUAUCAAGAACCCAUCUAAUAAGUCUAGGUUUAGCAUCUUUCUUUUCCAUAAGAUAUUUAAUAGCAGCAUGUUCCAUGUGAAUAGUUACUUUAGAAUCAACAAUAUAUGGUCUAAACUUAUCACAAGCAAAUACAACUGCUAGGAAUUCCUUUUUGGUAGUAGCAUAAUUUCUGUGAGCAUUGUCUAGAGUUUUACUAGCAUAUUGAAGAACAUUUAAUUUCUUAUCAACUCUUUGCCCUAGAACAACACCUAUAGCAUAAUCACUAGCAUCACAAAUAAUUUCAAAGGGUAAAUUCCAAUCAGGUGGCUGAACAAUAGGUGCAGUGAUCAAUGCUUUCUUAAGUAUUUCAAAUGCUUCUACACAAUCAUCAUCAAAGACAAAUGGUAUAUCUUUUUGUAAUAAAUUAGUCAGAGGCCGAGAAAUUUUUGAGAAGUCCUUAAUGAACCUCCUAUAAAAACCAGCAUGACCAAGGAAACUUCUUAUACCUUUGAUGUCCUUGGGACAUGGCAUCUUUUCAAUAGCAUAAAGUGGCACUUUUCCCAAGAUGUCUUGGCUUUAUCAACUUCAAUACCUCUUUCAGAAACUUUAUGCCCCAAGACAAUACCUUCAUUAACCAUAAAGUGGCACUUUUCCCAAUUCAAGACAAGAUUAGUUUCUUCACAUCUUUGCAAAACUCGAUCAAGGUUGCUCAAGCAAUCAUCAAAAGAGGAUCCAUAGACGGAGAAAUCGUCCAUGAAAACCUCAGAGAUCUUUUCAUAAAAGUCAGAGAAUAUAGCCAUCAUGCAUAUUUGAAAGGUAGUAGGUGCAUUACCUAAACCAAAAGGCAUACAGCUAUAAGCAAAAGUACCAAAAGGGCAAGUAAAAGUAGUCUUUGAUUGAUCAUUGGCUGACACAGGUAUUUGAGAGAAACCAAAAUAACCACUAGAAAGCAAAAAUGUGUAUGUUUGGAUAAUCUUUCUAGCAUUUGAUCAAUAAAAGGUAAGGGGUAAUGAUCUUUUUUAGUCGCUUUAUUUAAUUUGCGGAAAUCAAUUACCAUCCUAUAACAUGUAAUAAUUCUUUGCGGGAUCAACUCAUCUUUAUCAUUAGGAACGACAGUAAUACCUCCCUUCUUAGGGACACAAUGGACACGACUUACCCACUGACUAUCAGCAACAGGAUAAAUUAUACCUGCCUCAAGAAGCUUUAGUAUUUCCUUUCUUACCACUUCCUUUAUCUUAGGAUUCAGCCGUCGUUGAUGAUCACAAACUGGUUUGGCAUCAUCCUCCAAAUUUAUUUUGUGUUGACACAGAGUGGGACUAAUGCCCUUAGGAUCAUCAAGAGUAUAUCCAAUAGCAGCACGGUGCUUCUUCAGAGUUUUCAAUAAUCUCUCUUCUUCAUGCUCUGAAAGGUUAGCACUAAUAAUAACAUGAUAUAUCUUUUUCUCAUCAAGAUAAGCAUAUUUAAGAGUAUCAGGUAACGGUUUGAGCUCAAACAUGGGAUCACCCUUGGGUGGAGGAGGAUCCCCUAGGAUUUCAACAGGCAAGUUGUGUUUCAGGAUGGGUUCCUGUUUAAAGAAUACUUCAUCUAUUUCCCUUCUUUCAUUCAUAAACAUAUCAUUUUCAUGGUCUAGCAAAUAUUUUUCUAAAGGAUCACUAGGAGGUACGGCAAUAGAAGCAAGACCAAUAAUUUCAUCUUUUACUAGGCAAUUCCUCUUCACGGUGUUGUCUACGAAAUUUAGAGAAAUUAAAUUCAUGAGACAUAUGACCUAAACCAAUAGUAACAACAUCCUUUUUGCAAUCUAUCUUAGCAUUAACUGUGUUCAAGAAGGGUCUACCAAAUAUAAUGGGACAAAAGCUAUCUUGUGGGGAACCAAGAACAAGAAAGUCAGUAGGAUAUUUAAUUUUCCCACACAAGACUUCAACAUCUCUAAAAAUUCCAAUUGGUGAAAUAGUAUCUCUAUUGGCAAGUUUAAUUGUGACAUCAAUAUCUUCUAUCUCAGCAGGUGCAAUAUCAUGCAUAAUUUCUUUGUAUAAGUCAUGAGGUAUAGCACUAGCACUGGCACCCAUAUCACAUAAGCCAUGAUAACAACAAUCUCCUAUUUUAACAGAAAUAACAGGCAUGCCUACCAAAGAUCUAGGUUUAUCUUUAGCACAAGGUUUAGCAAUUCUAGCAGUCUCAUCACGGAAAUGAAUAACAUGCCCAUCAAUAUUACCAGACAAGAGAUCUUUAACAAUAGCAAUAUUAGGUUCAACUUUAAUUUGCUCAGGAGGUAUAUAAGUUCUAAUAUUACUUUUACGAACCACAGUUGAAGCUUUAGCAUGAUCCUUUAUCCUAAUAGGGAAAGGUGGUUUCUCAACAUAAGAAGUAGGAACAAUAGGAUCAUUAUAAGUGAUAGUCUUUUCUUCAACUUUAAUAGGUGCAGCUACUUUUACUUCUAUGAUAGGAUGAUAUUUAAACCACUUCUCCCUAGGGAGAUCAACAUGAGUAGCAAAAGAUUCACAGAAAGAAGCUACUAUCUCAGAGAAAAGUCCAUAUUUAGUGCUAAAUUUACGGAAAACAUCGGUAUCCAUAAAGAUUUAACAUAAUCAAACUUAGGUGUCAUAUCUGACUCCUUACCUUCAUCGAGGUCCCAAUCUUCAGAUUUGCAUUUAACUCUUUCCAAUAAAUCCCAUUUGAAUUCAAUAGUCUUCAUCAUAAAAGAGCUAGCACAAGAAGUAUCGAGCAUGGUGUGAUUGCUAUCAUAAAGCCAAGCAUAAAAUUUUUGAAUAAUCAUUUCUCUUGAGAGCUCAUGAUUGGGGCAUGAAUAUAACAUUGAUUUAAGCCUCCCCCAAGCUUGAGCGAUGCUUUCUCCUUUGCGAGGCCAAAAAUUAUAUAUAUAAUUGCGAUCACGAUGAACAAGAUGCAUAGGAUAAAACUUCUGAUGAAAUUCCAAUUUCAAUCAUUUGUAGUUCCAUGACCCCGUAUCAUCACAUAGCCUAUACCAUGUCAAUGCAUCUCCCUUCAAAGAUAAAGGGAAGACCUUCUUCUUAAUAACAUCUCCGGGUACACCUGCAAGCCUAAAUAAUCCACAAACUUCAUCCACAUAUAUUAGGUGCUCAUCAGGAUGCAUUGUUCCGUCUCCUGUAAAAGGAUUAGCUAGCAGUUUUUCUAUCAUACCCGAAGGAAUUUCAAAGCAGACAUUUUCAUUUUCAUUUUCAUUUUCAGUAGGUUCAGUAGGUUGAGGAACAACUCUUUGCUCUACUGGUCGGGGUGAAGAUACCCCAAACAAGCCCCUCAAAGGAUUACUUUCCAUAAUAACAAGUGACAGUAAAUUUCAGCACACUAUAUAAAUUUUUCCUUACCAAAUUCCACCUACCAAAGGCUCUUCACUCCCCGGCAACGACGCCGGAAAAGAGUCUUGAUGACCCACAAGUAUAGGGGAUCUAUCGUAGUCCUUUCGAUAAGUAAGAGUGUCGAACCCAAGGAGGAGCAGAAGGAAAUGAUAAGCGGUUUUCAGCAAGGUAUUCUCUGCAAGCACUGAAAUUAUAGGUAACAGAUAGUUUUGUGAUAAGAUAAUUGGUAACGAGCAACAAGUAACAAAAGUAAAUAAAGUGCACCAAGGUGGCCCAAUCCUUUUUGUAGCAAAGGUCAAGCUUGGACAAACUCUUAUAUAGAGAAAAGCGCUCUCGAGGACACAUGGGAAUAUCGUCAAGCUAGGUUUCAUCAUGAUCAUAUGAUUCGCGUUCGGUACUUUGAUAAUCUAAUAUGUGGGUGGACCGGUACUUGGGUGCUGCCCUUACUUGGACAAACAUCCCACUUAUGAUUAACCUCUAUUGCAAGCAUCCAACUACAACAAAAGUAUUAAGGUAAACCUAACCAUAGAAUGAAACAUAUGGAUCCAAAUCAACCCCUUAUGAAGCAACACAUAAACUAGGGUUUAACCUUCUGUCACUCUAGCAACCCAUCAUCUACUUAUUACUUCCCAAUGCCUUCCUAUAGGCCCAAAUAAUGGUAAAGUGUCAUGUAGUCGACGUUCACAUAACACCACUAGAGGAGAGACAACAUGCAUCUCAUCAAAAUAUGGAACGAAUACCAAAUUCACAUGACUACUAAUAGCAAGACUUCUCCCAUGUCCUCAGGAACAAACGUAACUACUCACAAAGUGUAUUCAUGUUCAUAAUCAGAGGGGUAUUAAUAUGCAUAAAGGAUCUGAACAUAUGAUCUUCCACCAAAUAAACCAACUAGCAUCAACUACAAAGAGUAAUUAACACUACUAGCAACCCACAGGUACCAAUCCCAGGCUUAGAGACAAGAAUUGGAUACAAGAGAUGAACUAGGGUUUUGAGAGGAGGUGCUGCUGGUGAAGAUGUUGAUGGAGAUUGCCCUCUCCCGAUGAGAGGAGCGUUGGUGAUGACGAUGGCGAUGAUUUCCCCCUCCUGGAGGGAAGUUUCCCCGGCAGAACAGCUCCGCCAGAGCCCUAGAUUGGUUCCGCCAAGGUUCCGCCUCGUGGCGGCGGAGUCUCAUCCGGAAAGAUGGCUUAUGAUUUUUUUCCUCAUCGGAAGACUCCAUAUAGCAGAAGAUGGUCAUCGACGGGCCACCAGGGGGCCCACGAGGCAGGGGGCGCGCCCAGGGGGUAGGGCGUGCCCCCACCCUCGUGGGCAGGGUGUGGCCCCCCUGGUGAACUUCUUGCGCUUAGUAUUUUUUAUAUAUUCUGAAAAUGACUUCCGUGAAGUUUCAUGACUUUUGGAGCUGUGUAGAAUAGGUCUCUAAUAUUUGCUCCUUUUCCAGCCCAGAAUCCCAGCUGUCGGCAUUCUCCCUCUUUAUGUAAACCUUGUAAAAUAAGAGAGAAUAGGCAUAAGUAAUGUGACAUAAUGUGUAAUAACAGCCCAUAAUGCAAUAAAUAUCGAUAUAAAAGCAUCAUGCAAAAUGGACGUAUCACAGCUCCAAAAGUCCUGAAACUUCACAGGAGUUAUUUCCAGAAUAUAUAAAAAAUACUGAGCGCGAGAAGUACCAGAGGGGGGCCACCCAUCAGCCACAAGGGUGGGGGCGCGCCCCCUGGCUCGUGGGCCCCUUGGUGGCCCUCCGAUGCCCAUCUUCUGUUAUAUGGAGUCUUUCAUCGAGAAAAAAAUCAUAAGCAAGCUUUCGGGAUGAGACUUUGCCGCCACGAGGCGGAACCUUGGCUGAACCAAUCUAGGGCUCUGGCGGAGCUGUUCUACCGGGAAAACUUCCCUCCGGGAGGGGUAAAUCAUCACCAUCGUCAUCACCAACGAUCCUCUCAUCGGGAGGGGGUCAAUCUUCAUCAACAUCUUCACCAGCACCAUCUCAUCUCAAACCCUAGUUCAUCUCUUGUAUCCAAUCUUUGUAUCCAUACCUCAGAUUGGUACCUGUGGGUUGCUAGUAGUGUUGAUUACUCCUUGUAGUUGACGCUAGUUGGUUUACUUGGUGGAAGAUCAUAUGUUCAUAUCCAUUAUGCAUAUUAAUACCCCUCUGAUUAUGAACAUGAAUAUGCUUUGUGAGUAGUUACGUUAGUUCCUGAGGGCAUGGGAGAAGUCUUGCUAUUAGUAGUCAUGUGAAUUUGGUAUUCGUUCGAUAUUUUGAUGAGAUGUAUGUUGUCAUCCCUCUAGUGGUGUCAUGUGAACGUCGACUACAUGACACUUUACCAUUGUUUGAGCCUAGAGGGAGGCAUUGGGAAGUAAUAAGUAGAUGAUGGGUUGCUAGAGUGACAGAAGCUUAAACCCUAGUUUAUGUGUUUCUUCGUAAGGGGCUGAUUUGGAUCCAUAUGUUUCAUGCUAUCACUACAAAAAAAUACACUUCCGUGAUGAUACGUGUUUGUCAAAGUAGGUCGCGUUUUCUGUCAUGCAUGUACAUCCAUGACAAAUUUAUGACAGAAUCAAGAUAGUCAUACCUGUGCUGUCGUAGAAGUGUUCCAUGACAUUGCCAAAAUUAUCAUCAUGGAAGUGUCCACUUCCAUGACGAUAAAUCGCGUGUCACAGAAGUGCUUUCGUCAAGGGUGACCGACACGUGGCAUCCACCAUAACGGAACGCCGUUAAGCUAUCGGGUCGGGUUUUGGAUCCGAUAACCCGUUAACAGCCCCGACCAAUGGGGAUUUUCCACGUGUAAAAUCAUCAUUGGCUGGAGGAAACACGUGUCGGCUCACUGUUGGGACAGAUGUCAUCCGCUCAUUGGACCGAAGGCGCCUAUGAUACGGCAACACGUGGCAUGGCCCAACAGAGGCCCAUUCUUGUGAAAAGGCCGGCCCAUUUGACUUGGUCAAAAGGUGGCGGGCUGGCCCACGAAAAGCCUGUUAACGGCCUGUUCGCAUAUAGCCCAUUUACAACCCGCUAACCCAAGGCCCGUUAUGCCCUAUCCGGAUUAGGCCCAGUAGCGUCAUCUGGGCCAUCCAAUAUGAUUCCAUCCAUUUUAACUUCCGGCCCAUGUGUGGCCCAUGACUUCUUUCGGCCCAUAUGAGGACCUUUGUAACUCUUGGCCCAUUAACGGCCCAUGGUGAAACUGGCCCGUAAUGAAUAGUGUAUCACUUUAUACCCAUUAACAGCCUGUUAUUCCAUUGGGCCGUUUCCAGCCCAAGUUAUCUUUCGGCCUUCUCAGGGCCCAUUGAUUCUUGGGCUCAUUUGCAGCAUUCGGUUACAUACGGCCCGUUACUGUCAUUUUCUGCUUGUGGGCCAAAUUCAGCCCGUCGUUACAGUCGGCCCGUUUGCGGACCGUUAAUACGUUGGGCCGUUUUCAUGUCAAAAAAAACCCGUUGGGCUGUUUUCAUAGAGUUAUCAAAUACGGCCUAUUAAUGGCCCAUUAUGGUCCACAAAUAGUACGACCCAUGAAUGGCGAAAUGAUUGUAUGCCCCAUAGAAGGCCCAUGGAUCCUACGGCCCGUAUGAGGCCCAUGGAUAUUACGGCCCGUAGAAGGCCCAUGGAUCGUACGGCCCGUAGAAGGCCCAUGGACCCUACGGCCCGUAGAAGGCCCAUGGACCCUAAGGCCCGUAUAGAAGGACGAUGGAUCCUACGGCCGGACGAAGGCCCAUGGAUCAUACGGCCUGCAGGAGGCCCAUGGUUACAACAGUUCGUGUGUUGCCAUGAUUAUUUUGGCCUAGUUACCAAAAAUAGGCUAUUGUGGCCACUAGAAAAAAACAGAAAAAGAACUGCAAUGACUACAAGCAAACAACUAAACAAGACAAUAAGGAAACAAAUAAGCAAGCAAUUAACACUAGCCUAUUACCGCUAUUACACAUAUUACAUCCACUGGGCAUCAAAGUUCGCCACCAGUGCAAAUAUAGUGAACAAAGCAGCACAUUACAUACACUGGCCGUCAAAAUUGGCCACCAGUGCAAAUAAACAUGGCAGCAAAACAAGAGCAUAACUGAAACAACUUCAGAAGAGCUCAAGAAAUGUUAUCCUGGGUAUCCACCAUGCUGGCAAUAAGCUUAGCAAGCUGAUUAGCUUUGUCCUGUUUGGCGCUAAAAUCCUCCAACGCUUGCUGUUGCACCAGAAAGUAUGCAUCUGAAUGCUCCAGGGACUUCCGCAGUCCUUCCGCUUCUUGUCGCAGCACAGCUGAUCGAUGUCUUUCAGCUUGUAGUUGAGACUCAAGAAACCGAACUAAUUCAGACAGUGAGUUUGAAUAGCUUGUGCAAGCGGUAGUGGCCAGUAAUUCAAACACUAAACCAAGAUAGGACUUUGGGGUUGUCUCGCUGUCUUCAAGAUAGUCUUCCUUAGCUGUUUUAUCAGCUUUGUUGGAGACCAACAAGGAUGUGUCACUAUCCUAAACCUUAUCUGCAUUACUUCCUUUACCAUUGCUUAAUAAGGCACUAUUCCCCAAUAUUCUGUCAGCAUUCUAAAAGAAGAAACAAGCAGACACAUAACAAGUUUAGCAUGUACUAGUAUAUGAAACUCAUUUCAGUGAACCAGUUCAUUAGUAAGGUGGACAGGAUUAAACUACCAAGUCUUCUAUUGCCAAGUACUAAUACAUAAUAAAAGCAUCAAACAAACAUAUAUAUAUAUAUGUCCUAUGGUCACUGCAUUGUCUUGCCAAAUCAAAAUAGAGACACGGUUCAAAUCAUAUCAGUUCAAGACAAAGCAACAGUGAAAGAAUACAAAGCGUGGGAAACUACACGGCGCAACAAGAUUUCAGAUGGGUACCACGGGUCUACAUGUACAACAACACUAUUGGCUCUGUUGUGAUGCUAGUAAUGUGCAUGAUAUGAAAGUCAAUUGUAUACACAAUUGAAAUUGAAAUCAAUAGAGCUAUUGAUAAGAGCAAACCUGUUAAAGAAACAUGCUUGAACAUACCUGCUGUGCCAUUGGAGUUUCGAUUGGAUCCUUCAAUUUAAAAAUAAGUUUUAAUGAGUAAAUACAGUGAUACAAUAGCAAAGGCUCUAGGCGUUGGCAAAACGCAUUGCGCAUAACUACGCAUAAUCUGUGCAUAACUGCGCAUAAGCAUGCGCUUUGGUCAGUAAAGCGCAAGGCGGUGGAAAAACGCACAAUUAACGCCUAGCGCUUUUUUGAACUAUGAUAGCAAUGGAAUCUUAAAUUAGAACAGUUGUUCUUCAGGUUUAGGCACUUGUUCUACAUGAACAGAGUACAGUAAGACGCAAGAAUAUAAUAAUUAAAAAUAGAAAAUGAGCUCAUAGACCUUACCACAUUCUUGGUCCGGGACCAGUACAGAACAAGGUGUUCCCAGUCAUCGUCCAGUAAAUAUGUCUCAGGAGAACGUAAGGGAAUUUGAUGAGUUUCUUUGCCGGUGAAGUACGUUUUCUUCAUGUAAUUCCGAUACUGCCACCAAGCAUUCUUGAAGAUAGCAGAGGUAUUAGCACAGGUUACCUCAUCCUGAGUUUCCAAAUUGGUCCUUCUCUAUAGAGAAAAAUGGGAAAAUUUGUUGUAUUAUAACCAUCAUGGAGGUAGGAUGUAUGGGACGAAGCAAAGUAAUUGCCAUGAAUAACAUUACUUACACAUAACUCCUGGACAAACACCUGCAACUGGCAUUUUCCUUCAUCUUCAGUAUAAUAUUUCCAAGAUGGGAAGAUACGCGCAUACGAUUUAACAACAUCAAAUGCGAUAGAUGCUAAACUACGACUAGCUGGUUGUGCUUCCUCCAUAGGAAUAGGCGUACUAACUGGUGGAGUUGGGGUUCGCCAUGAUAGUACUGGCCCUUUGGGCACUGGAGCUGCCUUACUAACUGCUCUUGUUUGGGAGCUCUGUGGUGGAGAUGGUGUUGUGUUAACAGGAACUGGGUUACUAUUGGCUGGGGUUGGGGUUAGAUUGGGUGAAGCUGGUUCUCUGUCCAUCGCAGUAGGGGUACAAUCUGCGAGAGUUUGGGUUAUGUGUGGUAGGGCUGGUUCUUGUGCAUGUACAACCAGGGUGCUAUCUCCACCAAGAGGUAGCACUAUUUUAUUUGAAGACCGUGUUUUUAGUCCGCUAGAUACUGGCAUCACCCGCUCCAAUUCAAAUGGCUGAUAAACAGGAAACAUAGUUGAAUGUACAGACAUUGUAUGAGAGACAGAUGCAAUAGAUAGUGUGGAAAAAAGAGGGCAUGAAAUAGUUGACAUGUAUAUUGUUUAACUAAAACGGAUAGCAUGACAUAAUUUCACAUAUAUGAUGUCUAUCUAAACUGGAUAGCAUAGCAUAACAUAAUUCAAAGAUAUGAUGAAUAACUAAACAUGAUCGCAUGACAUAAUUCACCUACAUGUUAUCUAAGUAAUCAGGAUCGCCUCAUUUAAUUCACAUAUGUGAUUUAUAUGCUGAACAGAGGACAUUCGAUAUGAUGUCUGAACUAAGAACAUGGUUUUGAAUAUUAUGUAUAUGAUGUCUAAACUAUGCAAUACAAGACACCGUAUGCAUGAUAUGAGUAGUAUAACCGUGCCAAGUUAGAGCAUACACCUCAGUGGGGGAAUAGGACUGCUCAUCUGUCUCUGAAUCCAUCUCUGAGGAGCUAUCGGGACCCAACAAGAGAUCUGCUUUGACAGGUAGCAUUGUCUGCUCUGAAGGCCUUGUUUUCAAUCCAGAUUUUUCCAUCUCCCACCCAAAUGGCUGAUUCACAGGAAGAGUAGUUUAAUGUACAAACAUUGUCGACAAAUGGAAAUUUAAUGAAGAAAAGUAUGGGCAAGAUAUCAUUCAAAUAUAUGAUGCCUAGUUAAACAUGAUAACAUUGCACAUUUCACAUAUAUUAUGGCUGGCUAAAAGACAUGAGACUGCAUAAUUCCCAUAUAUGAUAUAGAAACUAAACAGGUGGCAUUACAGAACAUGUCUAAACUAAGCAGAUGACAUAUAUGAUGUCAAAAGUAGGCACUGCAAGGCAACAUAUGCAUGAUAUGACUAACAUCAUCAUGCCAAGGUAGAGCAAACACCUUGGGGGGUAAAUAGGAGUGGUCAGCGGCGUCUGAAUCUGCCUCAGAACAGAUAUCUUUCUCUGGAUUACAAUCUGGAGAGGGGUGGGGAGGGCUUGCCAUUGUGCCGCGCAAAACUCUUCUCUUUUUCUCUACAUGUUCAGCAUGACUGUGUACAAUAUCUGACAUGCAUACGAAAAAAAUAUGGUGAGAUUAUGUAAGGAGAGCAUGUAGAAAUUUAGAGUGAUGGUAACAACCAGUGGAUCGACGUUUCUCCGUUGAACCAAAAUAGCCCUAAUGGAUCGAUGUGAAUGUAUAGUAAUAAGUGAUGCAACAAGUGUACAACCUCUUUGCCGUAGCCGUGUCGACCUCAGCAUCAUUCGGUUGGUCGCUGAAGCAGUUGAGGCAGAGGUGGCUGUAGGAGGUGUGGAGGAAGAUAUGAGGAAUCUGUAGAUGGCAUCCAGGGCACUGCUCUGUUGUGAUGGAUCGUUCUGUCGUUGGAGCAGCGCCGGUGAGCCGUAAGACGUCAAGGCUGAAGCAGCACAAGAUAGGCAUCGUCAAUCUCAAGUGGGAUUCUAAUAGCAUCUCCAAUAGAUGAUGUAAAAUGGAUGUAAAAUUAACAUCACCAAAAACCACCUGACUACAACAGAUGAGGUAAAAACUGUUGACUCUGAACUUAACUAUUGAAACUGAAAUUUACUGUGGAAUCUGAAUGCUACUGUCGAAACUGAAUGCAAUGGUAGCAGAGAGGCACUUGACAUGUAGUUUAGGGAGGGCCUGCAGCUCAUCUUCAACCUGCACCCCCCCCUGAGCCGCCAGCCACCACCGGCCGAACCGUCGGCCCCAACGCCGCCUCGCCGCCCCGAAACAACUCGCCACCGCCGCCCCGACCAGCCCUCUAGGCCCCGCCCCCACCCUGAACCCUAAGAUAGAUAGUGGGGUACCUCUCCGGCGAGCCCCCUUCCCCGCUGCGGGUGUUUCUUCCUUAACUCUGGCGAGCCCCCCCCAACCCCUGAAAAUCGACUAACCGAAAAGUCGAUUCAGUCGACUGAAGUGUGGCUUAAUCGGAGCAGAGCAGCAGCACAAGCAAGGGGGAGGGCAGCAGCAGCAGCUGGGCGUGCGAGCGAUCGAGCGAGAGCCGGAGCAGCAACAGCAGCAGCGCGAGCGAGCGAGAGCCGGAGCAGCAGCAGCAGAUCCGGCUGGUAUGGACGCCGUCGCCGAAGGGGCCUCGCACUGGGGGAGAGCCGCCGUGGAGAUGUCGCCCGCGGCGCCGGCUUCAAGGUAGCCACUCCAUGGGGGUGCGGGAUGGAGCACCGUCAGCGCCGGGAGGUCGAGUUAAGGAGAAGGUGCGAUGCGAUGAGUGUACAACCUCUCUGGUGGCGCCGAGUAGGCCUCGGCUUUGUCCGAGGAGUUGGUGAGGAUGUUGCGGUUCCGGUGGAGCAGGUUAAGGCGGCGCUGUGGGGAUGGAGCAGUUGCGAUAGACGAGGCAAUCUUCGGAGCAGCUCCUUGGAGGUGGAGGACGGGGCGGCUGAACCGGCGGGACGGCAAGAUGGACGAUGGAUCCUCAUUCGGGGAGGUGGACGAGGGACAUCGAGCUGUUGCGGUGGACGACGUCAUCGGGGAAGAGGCCCCGGCUGGGCAGCGGUGACGUGGCGGACGGAGGAGGGUGGGGUUUCGCGGUUGGAGCGGAGAGGUUAUGGCAGCCUGGGAUUUCGAAUGGUGAAAAGGGGGCGAUGGGAGGGGGUGAAGCAUGACUUAUGGAUGCGUUUGUCCAAAAUGUAGGGUGUGUUACAAAAGUACCCCCACCGAUUUGAACUAGCGGCCCUUUCGGCUCAGGGUUAGAAGGGGGAUUUCGUGUGUCGGGAUUUGGCAGCUCGAGGGAGUUUUCACGCGCGUUGUAAUUUCGGGAUAGCAAGGCGCGGGUUGUGAAGGCGCCAGUUUUGGGAGCACGAUAUCUGAAUUUUCGGGAUAUAACAAGACGCAGGUUGAAUUUUAGGGACAAGCCUAACGUGUAGUAAUAUUGUACUUGUACGUACCAAAUCAAUUCGCACUUCCCUCAACAAAAAAGAAAACGAAAAAAAUAAAACUAUUCACACCACAUAAAGAGAGAGUCUUGCCCCGUUUUACUAUACAAAUGCUAUUCAAAGCUACUCCCUCCUUCCAUCUAUAUAGGUCCUAAUGUGUUUUUUAUGCUAACUUUGACCAAAUAUUAGAGCAAUGAUAUAUGACAUGCAACUUACACAAAGCACACCGUUAAAUUCGUCUGUGAAAGGUUCUUUCAAUGAUAUAAUUUUCCGUCCUUCUCCGGAAUAAACGUGUACUUUAUCAGAGAUAAAAAAAUAAGAGUACAGAUGCUCCACCAUGUGGUUCUAGUAGUAGUACUACUCGUACUACUACGCUUGGCUCUUCACCUCUUCGUGAAGUCGAACAAUGAUGGUACUCCGCAUGUUGGGUACUACAGUGUAUGCCUCUGACAAUCUGACACCGAAUGGACUGAUGCAUGUCCACCGAGGGUAGGUUGCAUUAGUCAAAAGGCGUAAGCGAGCUUCACCUUGUCCUGCAAGCUUCUCCUCGUUCUGCGAAUUGAUGGGACACACCAAAAAGUAGUGCUAGUCCAUACUCCCUCCUUUCCGGUUAAUACGGCUUAAUCUUUUUGCGGGUAAAUGAGAGAGCUUUAUUCAUAUAUAAGCAUUCUUAGGACGAUCAGCCAAGACACUGGUCACUAGGAAGCGAGGUACCCCGUAAAAAAUGAAGUAGGAAGCGAGGUGUUUCAUCAAGCCAGCUCUCGGCCACAUUCAAAGUGCAGCAAGCACGGUUCGCACGAAGAUGUGCCGCAAGGUUUGCUGACAUGUUUACAUGCUGAAUAACAAAAAAAGAGGAAAUAUUACCGAGCGCUACUAUUUGUAACAGGAUAUGAGCCAGAAUUAAGCGAGAAUUAUAGCGAGUGUUCCAUGCAAUCAACUUCCAUUAUCACAUGCGAGAACCCUCUAAGAGAACCAAAUGUGUUGAAGAUUGCAUUAUCACAUUUUAAAAUUAUACUAAGAGUGCAGACGCUCCUCCAUCUGGUUCCUAGUACUAGUAUAGUACAUACCUUUAUAGACUAUAGUAGUAGUACUAGUAAACUUUGCGCUUGGAUGUUCGCCUAUUCGGGAAGUCGAACAAUAAUAGCACUACUAGUAGUAUAGUGUAUGCUUCUGGCAAUCUGACACCGAAUUAACUGUUACACGUCCACCGCCUGAGCGAGGAAGAGCUUGCAUUAGCCAAAAGUUUCUCCUUGUCCCGCGAGCCACCGCGCGCAAGCUUCUCCCAUCCUGCAACCUUCUCCUCGUUCGGCAAGUUGACGGGACACAGCAAAGUAAUGCUAGUCCAUACUGCCUCCUCUCCGAUUAAUAUGGCUUAAUUUCAAACGAGAUAAAUACACUGUCUAUCACUGUAUAUUUGUAAAAAUACGGUCAGUGGACUUCAUAAUACGCUCAUUGCGCUCAAUAUAUAUAUUUUCCGGUGUUUAUACGGUCACUAGCUCACCCUGACUGAGUAUGUGUGUGCAUGCACGUGUAGGUUGAGCACUUCAGCGUGACAGUGUGUGUUUCGUCAUGUGCUCGGACAUGCAUGCAUUAGGGCAUCGCGCGUGUUUUUUCGUCCAUGUGUAUGUGUGACUGUUGCAUACACGUAGGGGGAGUACGUGUAGGGGCCACUAAGGAGCAGUCAAAUCACACAGUAAGUUAGUCGGAAGAAGCAACCAUCAUUUCACUCUUGAAUGACACGUACGCAAUAUAAAAUGGUUGAUAUGGAGAGAGAAAGAAAACCACUAUAUAUACACUAGCAUGAGCCUAAGCUACAAGCCUGCUUGCUUAGGUUGCUCUCUUCACAAGCAUAGAACGAUGGGCCUGAUCCCGCAGCUGGGGGAAGGGAACAAUGUUCUAUGUAGACGCGGUCGACAUCGGCGAGGGAGAAAACCCACAGUCGGUGCGUCCCAAUCGGGGGUCACCGCGGUAUGGGCCGAUGCCGCGUCCCAACCGCCCUUCUAGCUACAGCCCGACGUCCCAGGUAGUCCAUCUUCCUUUUGGAGCCGGCUUGCUCCAUUGCCGUAGCUCCAUCUCCAUGUCGAUCUUUCUCUACUUCUACCGGCUUCUACUUGUGAUGAGUUUAUGUCUCAUGAACUAGUGCCAGUACUAUUAUUCUAAUCACACUUCUUCAAUACCUUUGCCAUCAGGGAUGCUCAGGUCAAUUUUAGUGGAACUGCACAAAAGCAUCAUAUGAUCCGAGGGUGCCAGCCGUCUUUCCUUCGACAGGUUCUACCUGGCCAGGAAAUUAAAUCAUGUUUAGGGUUUAGGGUUUAAGUCAUAGUGACCCCAUCAGUAGUUUUUCUUUCGUACACGCUCUCAAAACUUUUUUCUUUAGUUGUGAAGUAAAUAUUGGCUAUGAUCUAUGAAUCAUUGAGACGCAUCAACAUGCGUGUUAGUUUUCCUUUGUAUUUGAUGGAAUGUUGUAACGGGGCAACCUUGGAAUAGGAAUGAAAUGGAGUGGAAAGUUUCCAUUUUUCCGGAGAAAAAAUGGAAACGGAAAGAAACCAACGUUUCAUUUUGUUGGAUCGCGCCAUCGAGCAAAACCAACAUUUAAAUCACGUCUGUCAUGUUCGUGUCUCACCCUCCUCCACGGCUCGACCCCACAUGGUCGCUCGGCAUGCCACUCACCGCAAACCGAGUAUACGAUAACUUUCCCGCUUGCUUGUCGAUGGAUCACGCCAUGGAGUACUAGCACUACUGGAAGAGAUUGACGAGUUGGGGGAGGACAGCUAGCUGUAGCACGGACUCCCAAGAACUUUUUACAUGCAUGUUGUAGCCGGCUAUUGCGACCUUUGAAUGCGGAGCAGCCGCGUGCACCCGGAAGCGGCACGGGCGACGCUCUCUCGGCCGGCGCGCCGCUUCAAUGCCGGCGCCAGUGAGAGGUCGUGUCCGCUCUGGCCAGGCAUGAAUGCGGCACUGAUCGUUUCGGAUGGGAGGCACGCGCCGGUGAUGAAGAGGGUUCGGGUUGGUCAGGACCGGCCGUGGCAGCGGUCCAGACGUGCGCAAACAAGAAAUGAUGUACGUUAAUAUUGCUGCGUAUAUAAUUAACAACGUAAAGAAUGUGCCAAUUGGACAAAUAUGAUUGGAGAUGGAGAUGGAAAUGGAAUUUUACGUAAACAUGGAUAUGCAUGUCUAUGUCUAUGUGUGUGUGCGCGAUGACUCUCGCGGCCUGGAAGCGGGACGUGUUUUUGAUUGAGUUUUCUUUCUUGGUACGUUAGAAAAUCAGUUUGUCUAAUUCACAUCUAGAUGUUAUUUAAGGAUAUCACAUCUAAGCUCCCACAAGUAUAUAAUGUAGCAACAAGAAACAAAAAAAACUAGGAAAAAAAUAGACCACAAACAGAGUGGACAUCAACUUAGGGUUUGCACUCUCCACACGCUCGCCGCACUACAUAUAUGUUACACGCUGGAGGCUCAGCGUUCAUUUGCUAGGGUUUGCUAUAUUCACAGUCUCUCACCCUCUCUUCACCAGAUCUAAACAAGAUUGUGUUGGCCUCUUAUCUCUCUCUCCCCCUCACAGCUAGUGAAUGAGGCGCCCGUAUCCCGUCGCACCGAGAAGGGGAGGAGGUGCAGCGUUCACUCUAUCGCCUUCGGCGAGGGAGGCAAUCCACUGUCGGCUGUGUUGUUCUCUUUCACCCAGUGCCAGUGCGGGAGGGCCACUGACCCCUUCUUCCUCGCUGUCGUACGUAGUGUGGGCAGAUCCGGCCUCCCGCCGCACACCUUGCCACAUUCCGACGACCCUAAGGUAUAAGUUUCUUUGAAACCGUCGUUGCUCUAGCUGCAUGUGGAUCUUUUUCGAUCUGUAGUCGAAUCUAGGUCUUGGUUCAAAGAGGAAAGAAUGUAGUGGUGGGCUGGAGCAAGAAUCUAGGACGUGGUUCAAUGAGGAAAGGAGGGGCGGAAAGUAGUAUAGACUGGCUAUCCAGCCGCUUUGUAGGUCGAAAAGGGAAAAAAGGGGUAACCCAGUACACACAUCUGUAAGGAACCGAUCUCUUUGUUGAAAAGGGAAAGAAACUGGGGGGUCGGGUAGUUUAUGCAGGACUAGAUUUGCUUCCCUCACAUAGGAAGAAGGUUCAAAGAGAACAAAUAUGGGACCAGUGCAUAUAUGCUGCUUGGCUACAUACUCUGCAUCACCCAUUUAUACGUGUGGACGCACAUGGUGCUGGCAUGUCCCAUAUAGCUAUUUUGCUGUUGUUAAUCUAAGAAUGCCGCCGGAAAAUUGAAGCAAUGCCACUGUUAAAAGUAAAUUACAUUUUUUAACGAAUAUUGUUUCAAGAAAAUGUCUCUGUUAAUAUGAAUCAAUGCAACCGUUUUAGAAAUGCUACUGUCCUAUUUUGUUUUCCAUCCAAGAUAAGUUAGAUGCUUAUUUCUAUCACCGUUUGUUUCAUCCUCCUUUAUCGGCAAGUAAUUGUUUCCUUUUUUUGCCUCUGUUAAAACAAGGGUAUCGAUUCAACUUGUUGUUAUUGCGACAUUUUGCUUCGCUACUCGAAACACUUAUGUUUUAAGAGUGUUUUGUGCAGUUUAACUUGAAUUUCACACCGGUGACUUUGCUUAAUUUUGGUGGAACUGCACAAAAGGAGAUCGAGAUUUCUUUCCAGUCUUCGUGGCGAGUUGUUUCAAAUCUUGGUCUCAACCACAUGAUGUGCAAUGUGCUUUGAUAUGUUGUGCUACUUGUUUUGGUACUGUUUUAAAUAAAUGUUGAAUUGAAGCUAUUGUAUUGCUGUCUUUUCCCAUUAAGUGGUGAACAAAAAUGGGACCAACCCAGACAUGAUGCUUGUUGCUUUGUUACAACAAAUUCAGCAUCACCCCCUUUAUAAGCCAGUAAUUGAUGCCACUCUCAGAAUUAACUACUGGAUCUUAUUUCAAAACUGCAACACUUGUUAGGGAUUGGCGGGAUUACCAUUUUUGUGGCUGCAUGUUUCAUCAUCCUUUAUUAGCCAGUAAUUGAUUCCUUUUUUGCCUCUGUUUAAACUGGGAUAUCUAUUCAACUUGUUGCUAUUGCGACAUUUUGCUUCACUAUGCGAAACACUUUGCUUGAUUUCAGUGCAACUGCACAAAACGAGAUUGGAUUUCCUAUUCGUGUUGGCAGAUUCGUAUUUUAUCUUGUCUGUCUCAUAAAAGGUCAGUACAGGCCUUCAUCCACAUGAUUGUGCAGUGUGCUUUGAGAUGUUGUGCUACUUGUAUUGGUACUGUUUUAAAUAAAUGUUGAAUUGAAGCUAUUGUAUUGUUGUCUUUUCCCAUUAAGUAGUGAACAAAAAUGGGACCAACCCAGACAUGAUGCUUGUUGCUUUGUUACAACAAACUCUACAUCACCCCCUUUGUAAGUAGAUGGAAGCACAUACUGUUGUUGCGCCCACUCUCCCCUAGAACUGUUUAUGCUUCUCGUUAAUCUAAUGCCGCUGGUAAAAUUAAGCAAUGCCACUCUCAGAAUUAAUUAACUACUGAAUCUUAGUUCAAAACUGCAACACUUGUUAGGAAUGGUACUAUCCUGCUUUGUAGUUCUUUCUACAUGUUUAACCAAGGUAUUGUUAAGAUAAUGUCUCUGUUGAAAUGAAUCAGUCGCAUUGUUUUAGGAAUGGUACUUUUCUGCUUUGUCGUUCUUUAUACAUGUUGAAAUAAGGCAUUGUUAAGAUAAUGUCUCAGUCAAUAUGAAUGAAUCAUACUGAUGGAGAAUUGCUACUCUCCUGCUUUGUUUCCCAUUAAGAUAAAGUAGAUCAGUAGAUGCUUUUCUUAUGAGAGUACAAGUCAUCAACCGCUAUUUCUCAAUAAUUGUUUCCCUUAUACCUAUUGUUGCUUACAGGGAUAUCAAAAUUAAAGCUCGGUUUUAUUCCGACUUCGAUUUUAGUUGAACUGCACAAAAGGAGCCAAUGUGUCCAAGGCAAACUGCUGCCUGGGUCCAGUUGGUCGUUCCACUUUGCAGAAAGAAGCAGUCACUGUUUGCGCUACAUUACAGAAGGAAUGACCGAGAAGCUUUACAGAGUAUUAUUAGACACCGGUGACAUGACUACUCUGCAAAGACCAUUGGCAAUUUAACAACACGUGGAGUGCCCUGGGCAAAAAGUUCCCAAAUAAGUACAAGAAGCUACGACAGGACGAUCAUAGGCAUUACAUAUUUUGAAUUGGAAAAGCUUGUCAAAGUUUAAUCAUUGAUGUUAGCAAGAAGACGUUAGUUUAAUAUAUUGGAAUUGGAAAACCUUGUCAAAAUUUGCUCAUUGAGGUUAGCCAGAAGACAUGCAUUUGAUAUUUUUGAGUGGGACGCCCUUGCUAUGAGUAGCGUCGAGUAUUUUUUCCUAUUCCUGUGUUCAGUUUAGAAGUAAAUAGUUACUCUGCUGAGAUAUUCCUGUGUUAAGUGUUUGUUCUGAAUAUUGUCUAUGUAAUGUCAGGCCUUGUGUUUGAUUGCAAAGUUGAGCUUGGAAUGUUGUGGCAUGCGGCAUCACGAGCUGUUCACCGUGCCUCCUGAGAAUAAUGCUUCGUAUUGUUUUGCAUGUCGAUCUAAUGCCAGUGAUUUGCUGGUUAAGAAGGUCAUCCUCUUCUGUUGUUUCCGUGCUUAAGAAGUUCAUCGUCUGAUGUUUCAUUCAUAGCCUAUACGAUAAGUCGGGUAGGUUAGACGUGAAACCAUAUAAUCUUCCGACCAACUCAUGAUAUUAGGCCGUGAUUGGAUCGUCGUUUUCCAACCAAAACCGCUUGUAAAACUGACACUUGUAAAUUAAAGCAGAUGGUCUCGGGCGAAGGCGCUUGGUUGGUCGAUUUAGACUAGUAAAAUAUCGGAAGUACUUCACACACGAUAAAAACGCUGAACGACACUCGGACGAUUGCUAAUCCAUCCGUUAGCUGCUGUUUCAGCCUUGCCCAUGGAUGGCAUGAUGCGCACAUCGUGCAUGUAUCAUCUGGUAAUGUCGUCCAUAUAGCAGUGCUCAUAAAAUAUACACUGGUCUCUCAAAUUACACGCGUAACCCGCCGGUUUUACUUACAGACCUCGGGCCCUCGGUUUCAUUACGCCUGUAUUUUACGCGUUGUUUCCGAUGACGAGUAAAUUACACUUGUAUGUUAAUAUAGGUUUGAAAUAAACCAGAGCUCCCAAGCGCGGCCUUACCGUUUCAUGCCAUCUCAGUUUCUUGAAGGUUCUCAUAAGUGUACGAUGAUCUUGGCUUCCUGAAUGAGCAGCAGGCGCUGUAUCAGACCAUCCAUAGGGACCGCGAGGCCCUCUCCGUUGUCCUUCGAGUUGUUGCGCUCGCCAUGGCGCCGAGCAUUGUUAACAUCGUCAACGAACAUGAGGAUUCAGGAGAUGACUUUAUUUUGACUGGAUGACACUAGGGACCCACUAGGGCCAUAGUCGUACAUACGCAAGUGCCUCCUUAUUAUGUACAACUAUAUUUUUUUUUGCUUUCUCCUGGUUUCCUCACAUCACGGUCCCACACCAUUGUCAACCUAUGUAGUCAAUAUAAACGAGAGAAUUGCACAAGGUGCAGCCGACAGCUGGGACCAAGCAGCUCGAGCAGUAUUUGUGUUUUUGAGGCGUGAGCACUGCAGAGUUUUUCUUGGCGAUGAUUUCGUUGUUGUUCAGAGGAGAGCGGGGUAUUAACUGGGCGGGCUGUGGCCCGUCUAGCCCAGGCCAGAUAUCCAGCCCACAUACUAAUUUUUCAAGAUGAAAAUGGCUAGCCCAGCUAUACGUCUUUUUGAGGAAUACCCAGGCAAGGUCAACUUGUUAUUCUCCGUCCCGCUGGGCUGCAAAUCUUUUCUAGGAGGGAUGCAUUAGGCUUAACAGGAAAAUGGGCUUUAAAAAAUAAUAAAUGAGAUAUAAUUAUAAAAACUGGGCAGUAACUAUAAAAAAAUGCACCAAACACGAAAUUAUUUUAUAAAAUAUUAUUUAUGGAUUUUGAAAAUCUUAAAUUUUCAUUGUUGCGUGCACAAUGUUUCGUUGGAUUUUUACGUAAUACAAAUUUAUAUUUAAUCUGAUUAGAAAUUUUGGGAUAAAAUUAUUUCGGAUCCCAUCAAAAUGUGAGAAAUUUUAUUGAAUUCUGUCUUCAACGAUUGGUUGAAAUUAUUAAUCGUUGUCCUAGCUAGAAAAUGGGUUGUACUUUUAACAAACUGUAAAUGGGCUGUUGUAAAUUCCAUUAGAAUUCAAAAAUGGGUUGUACAUUCUUAUAAAACGCAAAUGGGCUAUAAGUUCUCUGCCACACACUUGUGGGCCUACUAAGUGACGCGUCCCCUAAAAAAUAUAAGUUGACGCGUAUGCAAGGCUUUGUCAACUUAUUAUAGUCAACACACGGUUCUAGCAGCAGUGUCCGUUGGAUGUCUAUCCAAUGGAUGUCGUGCUUCUUCUUCAAUCUCGGAUAUUCUUAGGUUCGGUCGCCCAAAAAAUGAUUUCUCCCCCUGACAUCUGGGGCACACCGUUUUGGAGGCUGACCUGUGGGCCUACUAAGUUGGAGCGUACCAAGGGCUUUGUCAACUUAGUCAAUAUAAACGAUUCUAGCUUCAGUGAUCGUACGAUGUCCAUCCAACGCCCGUAGUGCUUCUUCAACCUCUGAUCUUCUUGGUCCAGCCGCCCAAAGUAGCGCCGGUCGUGCCGCCUGCUCCUGCCUCCCGUGGCCGGCUAUGCUGCCGCGGAGACCUCACCGCCCCCAUACUACUCCCAUCGCUGGCCAGGCCAUCCCUCCACUCACCCACACCCCCUGUUAUUCUGCGGCGACGGCAGCCUCACACCGCAGCCGAACCAGUGAACGCUCGUACUUCUCUCCGCGUGGGCAUCCACUACCGCGUCUUGCCUGGCUCCGCGUCAUCCCCUUCCUAGGCCUCGCCGUCGUCCACUACCGUGGUGCUCUCGGCGCGGCGUGGUCAAUAUGGUCAACGACCGACUUCCAUCGGAAGAGUACUAUACGUGGAGAGGCUGACAGCUGGGUCCACGGCAGCCGCAAGGAAGUGCCUCCUUAUUACGCGGAAAAUAAUUAUUCCUCCACCUGACAGCGGGGACCCAUCGGACGGGCCACCAGUAUUUUGCAAAAAAAAUCGUUCCCCCUGACUGUUGGGACCCACCGGACGGGCCACCGUAUUUCGCGAAAAAAACAUCCUCCCCCCCCCCCGCUGUCAGCUCAGACCCACCGGAAGUGCCUCCUUAUUACGCACAAAAAAUGAAUACUCCCCCGGCUAGCUGGGACCCACCUUGGUGGGAGGCUGACUUGUGGGGCUAUUAAGUUGACGGGGACGAAGGGCUUUGUCAACUUAGUCAAUAUGAACGAUUCUAGCUCCAGUGACCGUACGAUGUCCAUCCAACGUCCGUAGUGCUUGUUCAACCUGGCCUUCUUGCUCCAGCCGCCCAAAGCAGCGCCGGUUGUGCCGCAUGCUCCCGCCUCCCGUGGUCGGAUGUGCUGCCGCAGAGGCCUCACCGCCCCUACUAUUCCCACCGCUGGCCAGGCCCUGCGGCGACGGCAGCCUCGCACAACAGCCGAAUUAGUGAACCCUCGUACACCUCUCCGUGCGGGCUCCCACUGCUGCAUCUUCCCCGGCUCCGCAUCGUCCCUUCCUCGGCCUCGCCUGGUCCACCGUCGUGGUGCUCUACGCGCGGCGUGGUCAACGUGGUUAAGGAACGAUUUCCAUCGAAAGAGUACUGUACGUGGAGAGGCUGACAGCUGGGUCCACGGCCACAUCCCAGUUUUUUUGUGAUUUGCCAAGUCGCUUUGUCAGGCCUGUUGGGCUGCAAAUCUUUCAAGACGAGGAGAGCUUUCAUUCGGCUGGACAAGAAAAUGGCCCAUCAGUAAUGAGAAAUGGAUUGUACAUUUUUAAAACACAUCAAACCGGCAAUUAGUUUCAAAUAUCUUUUUUUCAUUUCAAGAUUUUAAAUUACAUUAAUUUUUAUGCGUGGAGAAUUUGUUGGAUUUUAUAUUGAUAUACAUUUAUUUUUAAAAUCAGUUUGAAUGUGAGUCGAAAUUUCGGAAUUAAAAAUAGUUCAGACCGCACGGAAAUAUGCAAAAAUUCGUAUAAUUUUUUAAUCAUGGCCACAAUAUGGGUUGUAAUGCUAAUAAAAAGAAUAUGGGCUCCAAAACAACCUUAAGAAUUAGCAAAUUGGCUGUAAAUUAUUAGAAAUAAUGGCAGAUGGGUUAUAUGUUGUUUUCCACAGAUUUGAGGAUUUUCUAAAAAAAGGUUGACACACAAGCACUGACUGUUGGAUGUCCAUCCAACGGCCGUCGUGCUUCUUCAAUCUCUGCUCUUCCUGCUCCAGCCGCUCAAACAAGCACCGGCAGGACUACCUGCUCCCUCCUUCCCGCGGCCGGUUGUGCUGCCGCGCAGGCCUCACCGCCCCACCGUACUCCCAUCGAUGGCCUAGUCAUCCCUCUACUCACCCACACCUGCUGUUAUUCUUCGGCGACGGCAGAAGAAUCAGUAAACCCUCGUACAGUCGUACUCCCCUCCGCGUGGGAAACAACUGCCGAGUCUUCCCUGCCUCCGUGUCGUCCCCUUCCUAGGCCUCGCCGCCGUCCACCGCCGUGGUGCUCUCGGCGCGGCGUAGUCAAUAUGGUCAACGACCGACUUCCAUCGAAAGAGUACUGUACGUGGAGACGCUGACAGCUGGGUCCAUGGCCGCAGCAAGGAAGUGCCUCCUUAUGACGCGCAAAAUAAUUAUUCCUCCACCUGACAGCGGGGACCCACCGGACGGGCCGUCGUAUUUCGCGAAAAAAUGUUUUCCCCUUGACUGCUGAGACACAUCAGCUACACCUUCGCACGCAAGGAAGUGCGUCCGGGCAAAAAAACAAAACGAUUCGCCCCGCUGACUGCUGGGACCCACCAACUACAUCUUCGCAUGCAAGGAAGUGUCUGACAGUCGGGACCCACCUGGUCGAAGUGUACGUAGCGUUGUCAUUCUGGUCGCGAAUGUGUACGUACAUAUAUACUGGUGGAUGUGGAGGCGCGCACAUGUCAUAGUAGAGGCGCGCACGUAGCAUGUACACGUACGUACAACGGCCAUGGUGCAAGAAAGAAAAUACGGCCACGUAUGUGUACAUACGGGCGGGGUCUCGAAUGCCUACUCGCGCAUACGUACGGUGAGGGCUCGUUGACAUGGUUGGGUCGAAACGGAGAAACAGCGUUGUCGUCGUGUUCACGGGGAGGCAAUGGAAUGCGUCGUGUUCAUCGGGAGGCAACGGAACGCGUGGGAGCCAACCGGCUGGGUCGUAACGGAAUGUGUGGUCGUGUUCAUCGGGAGGGCUUGGACGGAACAGGCGAUGGAAACAAGGCCUGACAUACCGCACAAUGAAGGAAACGGACCUCCUACAUUCGGAACGGGGUCCUAUUGAUCGGGAGGGGUCUGGCAUACCGCAAAACAGAGGAAACGGGCCUCCUACGGUCGAAACGGGGGUGUGGCGUACCGCAAAACGGACGAAACGGACCUCCUAAGGUCGAAACGGUGGUCUUGUUCAUCGGGAGGGGUCUGGCGUACCGCAAAAUGGGACUCCACGGGAUACUGUUCAUCUCUACCGUCAACCUCCUCCAGUCUUCAUGGGCUACCGUCGACCUCCUCUAGCCUCCACAGGCUCCUGUUCAUCCAGCCUCCACCGCGCUCUACUCCACCAACUACUAUUCAACCACCCCUCCAUGGGCACCCCUCCACCGUCUACUGUUCAUCCAGCCCUCCACACCAUGGGGUCCUGUUCAACCACCCUCCAUGGGCACCCCUCCACCGUCUACUGUUUAUCCAGCCCUCCACCACACCACGGGGUCCUAUUCAUUCAGAGGCAACGCCACAGCUCACUGUUCAUCCAACCCCCCCUCCCCGCAACGCUCACUGUUCAUCCCAGAGGCAGCAUCGAUCGGCUUCAGUUAGCAGCAGUAGCGAAGGAAUCGCUCAAUCGGGUUUAGUUAACAGCCAUCGAUCGAUCGCUCGAAUUCAGUAACGUGUAGCCUGCAGUGCAAUUGCUCGGGUUCAGUUAGAGCCCAACGCCUCGCUCGGGUUCAGUUAGAGCCAACGCCUCUCACACACGCGCCUACGUGUACGAGAGAAACGCGCAUCGCUCUGCCCCCGACCUCCCACCGUAACCGGGAACUCCCCGAAAUUUUCCUCGCCCUUGCUUCUACCAUAAUUUUUUCCAUCAUGAACGGCCCAAAGAAUGUCAUGCAGCUGCGUCUCCGGCCCGCCCAGGACGAAAAGCACAUUUUCUGUCAUAGAAGUAGGAGCCCACAACAUCUAUGAUGAUACCGGGUUUUGUCACAAUUACCGUCAUACAAGUGUCAUAUGUAUGACGGAAAAAAAAUCGUUCGGCCCAAAAUGUCACGGAUGUGUCUUUUUUUGUAGUGUAUGGUUAGGUUUACCUUAAUACUUCUAUUGUAGUUGCGGAUGCUUGCAAUAGGGGUUAAUCAUAAGUGAGAUGCUUGUCCAAUUAAGGAGAAUACCCAAGCACUGGUCCACCCACAUAUCAAAUUAUCAAAGUACCGAAUGCGAAUCAUAUGAUCGUGAUGAAAACUAGCUUGACGAUAAUUCUCAUGUGUCCUCGGGAGCGCUUUUCUCUAUAUAAGAAUUUGUCCAGGCUUGUCCUUUGCUACAAAAAGGAUUGGGACAUCUUGCUGCACCUUAUUUACUUUUAUUACUUGUUACUCGUUACAAAUUACCUUAUCACAAAACUAUCUGUUACCGAUAAUUUCAGUGCUUGCAGAGAAUACCUUGCUGAAAACCACUUAUCAUUUCCUUCUGCUCCUCGUUGGGUUCGACACUCUUACUUAUCAAAAGGACUACGAUAGAUCCCCUGUACUUGUGGGCCAUCAAGAGGCGCGGAUCCAAGAGCUAGAUCUCCACUAUAUUUCAAGACCUCAACCAACACCAAACAUGUCACCAACAAUACAUAGACGAGUCUGGAGGAUCAAACUACAAAGGUAAGUGUUUCCGCCACACCAACAAAUGUCUAGACAUCCAAGUGUUUUCCAAGGCCUCGCAGCAGCACCGGAGACAUCACGAACUAGACAGAGACGAGAUCAGAUGAUCAAACUGCAAAGGUAAGCGUUGCCGCCACGCCAACGAACCAUGGAGACGAUAACCUUGGUUGGUGAUCUUAUGCAUGAGGCCUGUGGAAAAUAAUGGGGGUCUAGCUCUUAAACCCUAUUAAAAAUUGUGGAUAGUAUUAGAGGUCUAGCUCUUAAACUCUAUAGGAAAUAAGUGAAGGUCUAGAUCUCGUCUUUGUCUUGUUGGAUUAAACCCCUAAUAGUAUUAAAUUGCCAACCCUAUUAAAAAUUCAAUUCAAUAAAAUGCAUAGAACUUUUAUCUAUUUUUUGUGAAAGGAACUUUUAUCUAUUUAAAGUGAGGGAUUUCACAUGAUGAUUUCUCUUGCAAACCCUAUAUGUUCUUCCAAUAUUAUUAGGGAGCUACAACAACUAUUCCAACAAAUUAUAUUGCCCCUUUAUUUAAUAAUGAUUAACUUGACCAUUCUCCCUUUUGAUGUUUUAGCAUCAGAUGGACUCUUAAACUUAGCAAAUACCCCUCUUGGGCUUUUUAUGAGCAACUCAAAUUAUUCCAUAGUUUUUACCCCAAGCCUAUGACCUAGCCCUAGUUCAAACCUCCUUUAUGCCUUCUCCGCCAUUUUAUUCCUGAACAUUGCCAAACCUUGCCCAAAUGACCUAGUUAUUUUUUUGGCCUUGAUAUAUACUCCCUCAGUUAUUAAAUAUAAGUCUUUUUAGAUAUUUCAAUGCGGACUACGUACGAAGCAAAAUGAGUGAAUCUACAAAUCUAAAAUAGGUCUAUAUACAUCCGUAUGUAGCCUUUAUUGAAAUCUCUAAAAGGUCUUAUAUUUAGAAAUAGAAGGAGUACGAGAGAAAGGACAUUUAAAUUUUACACUAUUUGGAUUCCAUUUGGCCCCUCAAAUAUUUUCCUAGAGAAUUCUUUUCAAUUUUCUAAAAAUAAAAUAGAAAAUAUUAAUAAAAACCUACUUCCCUCUCUCUUGUCGGUCUAGCCCACGAGUCUCCUACGUAUCCUACAUCCACACGCGCUGUGCAACGCCCAACCGCUGGGAGCUCCUAUUCGGCGCUGUAGGCGUCCAUUGGAGAAAGUGGCGCCUAUAGCGACCAGCAGCGGGCCAUGGGCCAUUAACAUUGCUCACGUGAGCCUGUUGGAUUCACUUUCUGUCACUCGCUAAAAGAAGCAUUCGCUACAUCGACUCGCCUUGCUGCAUUUUUUCUUGCUGUGCUGCGUUGCUGGUUCAGGAAAAAGAUCGGCCUGCGGUUUUUUACGAUUUUGAAUAUGUACGUGAAAUAAAAAACUUCACAGAUUUAUUAGAAAAAGUAGUGGUUUAAAAAAGUUCACGAAAUUGGGAAAAGUACACAAAUAAAAAAUCAUGAAUUAUGAAAAAAAUCAUCAAUUUUAAGAAAAACAUCCAUGAAUUUGAAAAUAGUUCAUCGGUUUUGAAAAAAAUCAUCGAAUUUGAAAUAUGUUCAUCGAUUUGGGAAAAAAGAUCACCGAUUUUGGAAAAAACAACACCAAUUUCAAAAAAGUUCACAAACAAUUCAAAAAAAAGUUCACCAAAUUCGAAAAAAAAUCAUCAAAGUAUGAAAAAGUUCAUUGAAUUUGAAAAAGGUUCAUCAAUGUUAAAAAAAUUCUUCAAAUUUGAGAAAAGAUUCAUCGAAUUUGAAAAAAAGUUCAUCGAAUUUGGAAAAGUUCUUUGAAUUUUAAAAAAAUCAUCAUUUUGGAGAAAAUUUAAUCAAAUUUGAAAAGGUUCAUAGUUUUUGAAAAACUUGAAUUUUAAAAAGGAAAAAGAAAAAAGAAAACUCGAAUAAACUUGCCCCGAAAACAGCCAGUGAUUUGGUAAAAAAAUGGGUUCCCAAAACCGGAUGAUUCUCACGAUUGAAGAGAUAAUAAAACGAAGGAAAAAGGUUAGAAGAGCACCAGUCCUUUGAUUCAAUGGCCUGGUGGUUACGCUCAUUUUCUUCGAGGGAGCGAAGUCUGGCGCUGCAUCAUUUUUUGGGCAAACCCUAAACAGCGCCCGUUCCUUCGAUGUGCGCAAACGGGCGCACACCCCCCAUGCCAAGAUGGGCCGGCCCAUAUUGCCUCUCAUUUUUCCGUCUAGUGAUGCAAAAAAAGUGGGGAGCAGCAGGCUUCAAACCCACAAGCACGUCAUGCAAGCAAGCCACGGUAGCCAUAUCAACCAAUACCACAGACAUGGUCAUUCAUUUCCUUCUUCUUUUCCUUUUCUUUUUCCUAUUCUUUUUUUCCUUUUUCUAAUUCUACGAGAAUAGUUCAACGGAUUUCAUGAACGUUCUUUGAAAUUUGGUGAACUUUUUUCAAUUCAAUGAAUUUUUUGAAAUCAUAUGAAUUGUAAAAUCAACGAACUUUUUUAAAUUGGUGAACUUUUUUCAAAUUCGAUGAACUUUUUUUUGAAUUCGAUGAAUUUUUUUCAAAUCCAAUGAACUUUUUUUUUAAAAUUUGAUGAACUUUUUUCCAAAAUAAGUGAACUUUUUAAAAAAUUUGUGAACUUUUUCUGAAAUCAAUGAACUUUUUUUCAAAAUCUAUGAACUUUUUUAAAAUCGAUGAACUUUUCUAUUUUUUAUGAACUUUUUUUUCCUUUUUCGUGAUGUUUUUUGAAAUCUGUGGACAUUCAAAUUUUGGUCAAUUUUUUUUCAGAAGGAAACACAGUUUUCUAUAUAGCGCGGUUAAACUUUACCUCUCAGAUCUUCCGCGUUGCAACCUUUUCAGUUGUGCAUAGUUGAUCUAGUGGUUAGAUUACCAAGCGCUGCAGCUUGUUCGUUUGUGUUCGAAUCCUCCCAGUAGCGAAGAUUCGCCGUGGACUUUUUGUGCCAGAAAUACAUUUUUUCAGUUGCCUGCGUAUUCAUGGGCCGGCCCACUAGUGGGCUGCAGUGGGCGCCUGGAUCCUCAACCGGCGCUUAAGGCGCCCUUUAUGAGCUCUCCAUUUUUUUGAACUGGACGUUUUAAACAGAAGGAAAAAAAAAGGAUAGAUGGGCCGAGCCCAAUCAGAAGCACCAAAUACGAUCCGCCCCAACCACCUAACCCUGCGCGAGUCCCAGCCAAACCCACCAAUUACCUCGAUUGCCAUAUUUGUACAUUAAUCAAAUUAAGAUAUGAUAGCUCUAAAAAAUCAAAUUAAGAUCUGAUUAGGAAAAAAUAAAAUAUAUACGUUUUUUCUCCAAAAUAUCACAAAUAAAUAAAAGUAUGAAAAUUUAGAGUAAUAUAAUUUCGAAUAUAAGUUAAUAAAAACAUCAGUAACCAAAUAUGUAAUGAAAUCCUAUAAAAAGAUGUUUGAAUAUUUUUGCGCCAGAAAUACAUUUUUUCAGUUGCCUGCGUAUUCAUGGGCCGGCCCACUAGCGGGCUGCAGUGGGCGCCCGGAUCCUCAACCGGCGGUUAAGGCGCCCUUUAUGAGCUCUCCAUUUUUUGAACUGGACGUUUUAAACAGAAGGAAAAAAAAAGGAUAGAUGGACCGAGCCCAAUAAGAAGCGCCGAAUACGAUCCGCCCCAACCACCUAACCCUGCGCGAGGGCGGAUCCUAUUUGACGCCCGCAGGCGUCAGAAGGAAGCCGCGACGCUCACGUGCGGUAUCAGUUGGGCCGGCCCACUUCGGGUUUCACGUGCGGGGUUCUUUUUCGUUCGCUGUUCGGGGGCAGCUCGCUUCUGUUUCGUACGAUAUCUGCUGCAUUUCUUUUGGUUUUCUUUCUCUAGUUUUCUUCUUUCGUUUUCUGUUUAGAUUUUUCUUUACUCUGCUUUUGUGGGCUUUUCUCUCUUCCAGGUUUGGUUUCUCGACCGGUUUUUGUUCCGAUUUUUUUCCUUUUCAGAUUUGCUUUUCUUUGGUUUAUUCUUUCAUUUUUUUUGUUUAUUUUUUUUCGUUUUCUUCUCUUUUCUGUGUAUUAUACAAAGAGCUCACACGUGUAUUUACAAAAAUGUUCUUCAUACAUUUAAGAAAAUGUUUUCUGUAUACUAAAAUAAUGUUCAUUGUACUUUUUUAUAAAUUAUUCAAUGUGUAUUUCAAAAUUGUUCAACGUAUAUCCCAAAAAUGUUCACUGUGUAUUUAUAUAUUGUUCAUUGUAUAUCAAAAAAUGUUCAAUGUGUAUUUAAAGAUUGUUCAGCGUAUAUCCCAAAAUUGUUCACUGUGUAAAUAUUGUUCAUCGUAUAUCACAAAAUGUUCAAUGUGUAUUUCAAUAUUGUUCAGCAUAUAUCCCAAAAAUGUUUACUGUGUAUUUAAAUAUUGUUCAUCGUAUAUCACAAAGUGUUCAAUGUGUAUUUAAAUAUUGUUCAGCGUAUAUGAAAAAUGGUCGAUGUGUAUUUAAAUAUUGUUCAACAUAUAUUACCAAAAUGUUCAAUGUCUAUAGGAAACUUGUUCAUCCUAUAUAAAAAGUUUCAAUAACUGUUCGGAAUUUCAAAUUUGUGCUCAUGUUUUUAAAUUUGUUUUCACUUUUCCAAAAAAUUGUUCACGUUUGAAAUUUGUUCAAAAUUUUCAAACAUUUUUCAUAUUUUAAGAAAAAUUAUUCACAUUUUCUAUAGGAAAUGGAGAAAUAAAACCGGAUCUGCCGCUGUACUAAGUACUACUUUGAAGUUAACGCUGCAGUUGAGCUUUCAAUGGUUGCUAGUUCGACUGGUGUUGCUUGCUGCUGUCGCAAUUGAGGUAAUCGGUUCGACUCCAUAUCCCCGUUUUUAUUUUUCUUGAUAUUUCCUUCGGCGUUGCGAAUGGGCCGGCCCGUACGCGCGCUCGUUUCAGCGAAGGCUCAACCCUCUGCCGCUCGCGGGCGGCGAACAGGAGCUCUCCUGCGCGAGUCCCAGCCAAACCCACCAAUUACCUCGAUUGCCAUAUUUGUACAUUAAUCAAAUUAAGAUAUGAUAGCUCUAAAAAAUCAAAUUAAGAUCUGAUUAGGAAAAAAUAAAAUAUAUACGUUUUUUCUCCAAAAUAUCACAAAUAAAUAAAAGUAUGAAAAUUUAGAGUAAUAUAAUUUCGAAUAUAAGUUAAUAAAAACAUCAGUAACCAAAUAUGUAAUGAAAUCCUAUAAAAAGAUGUUUGAAUAUCUUUUCAAGGGUAUACGGCAAGGAACUUUAAUAUAUUGGUAAGGGAUAGUUAAAUGUUAUUUAUAUCUUUCUUACAAAAAUAGCACAUAACUGCCUACCAAUAGAUUGCUCUAAAAAAAUACUCCCUCCGUUCCGAAUUACUUGUCUUGGAUUUGUCUAGAUACGGAGGUAUCUAGAGUCUAGAUACAUCCGUAUCUAGACAAAUCCAAGACAAGUAAUUCGGAACGGAGGGAGUAGCUUUAUAUUUAGGUUUGGGUUUGCCAAAUUGUAAUGUAUUAAUUAUUUCCCUAUUUUAGCAUGACUAGUUAAUUUCCUAUCUCCAAACAUGUUUAAAGAAACAAAAAGGAUUGGCAGCAUAGGGAGAGGGCAUCCUAUAUAAAAGGCAUCCAUUGGCAUUACACUAACAUAUCAGAAUCUGUAGAGUAACAUAGUUCUAGCGACUGUAACAAGAGACGAGGACUACAUAAAUUCUACUCUUGGGCCUUGCCCUCGUCCUUCUAUAUAGCAUCUGGUAUCUUCAAUGCCUACAUGCCUUAUCUACAUGUUUUGUUAAGCCCUCUAACACAUGUGACAGUUUUCAUGCCUAAUGAUCUUCCUCUAUUCUAUCUUGAUAUUGAUCUAUAGGCAUCAUGGAAACCAUCGAGGCACGUGGUCCUCAAAUUGAAAAGGGGAAGUGUAAUAACAAUGAUUGUGUGAAUUAUUGCAAGAUGGUGAAUGGCUAGGAGUAGGGUUGUGUCCCUGAGGGAUGCAGGUGUGUAUCGUGCUGGAAAGAUCCACAAUGCUCAGGGCCAGAAGUACCACCACCUCCAAGACACUUGAUGUAACAUUUUCUUUCAUGCUUGUGGUAUUAAUAUAAAAAA
rnacentral:lncRNA from 1 species